rnacentral:lncRNA from 1 species
CUCAAUAUGGGAAUGGUCUAUCUGCUGAUAAUUUUGAGUGGAUGAUUGGUCUUAUUUCCUUGAAGCAUCUCAAGAUGAACCAAGUCGACCUUUCAUUUGUUAGAUCAAAUUGGGUGGAUGUAUUAAACAAGCUUCCAUUUUUAACUGAGUUGCAUCUAUCUGAUUGUCGCCUCUCGGGUUCAGUUUCUCUAGCCUCAGUAGUUAAUUUUACUAUGCUUUCUGUUAUAUCCAUGAGGUGGAACUACCUUGAUUCAACAAUUUUGGAAUUGCUUGUAAAUAUCAGCAGCCUUACAUUCAUUGAUCUAAGCUACAACAGCUUAAACAGUAUUCCUCUUGGUCUCAAUCAGCUACCUAAUCUGCAAUACUUGAACCUGUAUGGCAAUGGAAAUCUUACUGGCAAUUGCUCUCAACAAUUGAGGGAAGGUUGGAAAAAGAUAGAGGUCCUCAUUUUGGCUUCAAAUAACUUUCAUGGUAAACUUCAAAUAACUUUCACUGCUCUUCCUUAAAUUUAUUGCUUAUGACUUUAUAAUUGGUAUAUAUUAUUAUACUAUUUGUUAAUAGAUGAAUUUUUCUUUUCUUUUCUUUUUUUGUUCUUGGUGAUUGCAGGUAGCAUUCCUGACUCCAUUGGAAGCUUCUGCAACCUAAAAUAUUUGGACUUAGGCCAUAAUAACUUGACAGGAAGUUUACCUCAAUUUCUGGAAGGAAUGGAAAACUGCAGCUGUAAAAGUUAUUUGCCUUACUUGACUAAUUUGAUCCUGCCCAACAAUCAAUUAGUUGGCAAAUUAGCAGAAUGGUUGGGACUGCUUGAAAAUCUCGUGGAACUAGACCUGUCAUAUAACAAGUUUGAAGGCCUUAUCCCUGCUUCUUUAGGGGCAUUGUCAAAUCUUGAGAGCCUCAAACUAAACAAUAACAGCCUUCAAGGUCCCAUCCCUGCAACUUUAGGGUCAUUGCAACACUUGACAGAUAUGUGGCUUGGAACUAACCAACUGAAUGGGACUCUCCCAGAUAGUUUUGGACAGCUUUCUGAAUUACUUUACCUGGAAGUUUCUUUCAAUAGUUUGACAGGGAUUCUCUCUGCAGAGCAUUUCUCAAAGCUAAGUAAGUUGAAACACCUGUACAUGCAGUCCAAUUCAGGUUUUAAUUUGAAUGUAAAUUCCAGUUGGGUCCCCCCUUUCCAGAUCCGGGACCUUGCUUUUGGUUCAUGCAGUUUAGGUCCUUCUUUUCCAGCCCGGCUUCAGUCCCAAAAGGAGCUUGUGUCUCUUGAUUUCUCAAACACUAGCAUUUCAAGUCCCAUACCAAACUGGUUUUGGAAUCUUUCUUCUAAUUUAGAUUUCUUAAAUCUUUCUCUCAAUCACUUGCAUGGCCAGUUACCAAAUCCAUUAAAUGUUUCUCAAUAUGCAUUGAUUGAUUUCAGCUCCAACCUCUUUGAAGGACCUAUUCCUCUUCCAACCAAAACUAUUGAAUCACUAUAUUUCUCCAACAAUAAUUUUUCGGGUCCCAUCCCACCGAGCAUAGGUGAAUCCAUUGCAAGCUCGAGGGUCCUUUCUCUUUCGGGUAAUCAAAUAACAGGAGUCAUCCCAGCUUCUAUAGGAGAUAUAAGGGGUCUUGAUAUCAUUGAUCUUUCAUGGAAUAGUUUGACAGGAAGCAUUCCCUUAACCAUUAUCAAUUGCUCUUCCUUAAGAGUUCUAGACCUCGGAAACAAUGGUAGCAUUCCACCUACAUUGGGUGGCCUCAAAGCAAUGGCUCAAGAGAAAAAUAUAAACCAAUUUGUGUUAUAUGGGAGCUUUCAAGGCAGACGGUAUGGAGGGCAAUAUUAUGAAGAAAGCUUGGUUGUGAACAUGCAAGGACAACGUCUAGAAUAUACCAGAACUCUUUCCCUUGUUACCAGUAUAGACCUGUCUGGCAAUAAUUUAAGUGGAGAGUUUCCAGAGGCAAUAACAGAAUUAUUUGGUUUGGUGGCUCUCAACCUGUCACGGAACCACAUUACUGGCCAAAUUCCUGAAAGCAUUUCAAGGUUGAAGGAAUUGUUAUCUCUUGAUCUAUCAAGCAAUAAGCUCUUCAGCACAAUUCCUUCUAGCAUGGCUUCAUUAUCUUUUUUGGGUUCUUUGAAUCUAUCAAACAACAACUUCUCUGGUGAGAUUCCUUUUACAGGACAGAUGACAACUUUUGAUGACUUUGCCUUUGAUGGAAACCCAGGUCUCUGCGGAGCUCCUCUUGUUGAAAAAUGCCAAGACAAGGAUUCUGAUAAAGAGCACAGCACUGGUACCGAUGAAAAUGACAAUCAUUUCAUUGAUCGGUGGUUUUAUUUGAGCGUCGGAUUAGGGUUUGCAGCAGGUAUUUUGGUUCCUUAUUUUGUUUUAGUAAGCAGGAAAUCUUGGUGUGAUGCUUACUGGAAUAUUGUGGAUGAAAUCAUUGAUAAGACAUUCUGGUUGAGAAGAAGAAGAAGAAGAGCAGCAACCUAUACCAGAAGUCAUGGAAGACCACAAUAAAUUUUACAGUUCGUUUUCUUAUCUCUAAGAAUUUCAAUUCUUCUUAACCCAAGUAACAAGUAAUGAGAAAAAUAGAAAGAAACACUUCAGUGUGCUCCACCAUCUAAACCUUUUAACUUCUUGAUGGGGGGAGGUAGGUACAAUUAUGUCUUCCGUGAAUGAUGCUAUGAAUGUGGAAAAUUUUCUCAUACUAAUGAAAUUUCUACCUCCUUGAUGGGAAAAGUUAAUAGGUUUAUGAAAAUUCUACAACAUUAUUGGCAACUUGUCCUCUGUAAUCUAGAAAAAAGUCUAUUUGAUAGUGAUUGAACAACUCCUUCACCAUGUGCAAAGUUCAAUAUCAUUUUGACCGAUAUGUGCCAAGAAAUAUUAAAUUGGCCGGAGAUAUAAAAGAAUUUAUAAAUAUUUUUUUCCUAUUUAUUUAAAAAUGACCAGAUAAAAUUUUUAAAUUUACAAUAUCAAAAUUAAUUCUCAAAUUAUUGUAGGUGAAAUGAAAAAAAGUUGUGGGAAUCAUUAUUAUUAAAUAGGAAUAAAUUUAAUAAAAUUUAAAUUUACAUGAUUUCUUGUCAAUGAUUUUUUUUUAAUAUACAUCUGAUUUCAUUUUAUUCUCCCACAAAAUAUUAUUUUCAUUUUCAAUAAGACUUCAAUUUAAUUUAAUUAAUUAAUGUGAUAUAAAUUAAAUUUAAAAUGUUUUUACAAAAUCAAAACAAAAAAUAAAAAAUAAAAAACAAUUUAUCCAAACAAGUCUUUUUGUUUUUUGUUUUUCUUUUAAAAAGUUAUUUUAUAAAAAUAAUUUUUCAAAUAUCCUUAGUUUUAUAAAACAUUAAAAAACUAUUUUUGGUUCUUUAACUUAAAACAAUUUCUAAUAACAAGCAUAAGAAAUCAUGGUCAAACAAGAAAUUAAAAAAUAAAUAAAAUAAAGUGUUUAUUUGACUUGUAUUAAAAAUGAAUAUUAAAAUUAUUUUUUUCUUAUAAUAAUUUUUGUUUCACUAGAAUAAAAAAAAUUGUUUCAUAAUUUAAAAAAAUUAUUUAUCUUUAACUCAUAAAUAAUUGUAAAUUUAAUUUUUAUUUUUUUAAUAAGACUUAACUUAAAUUUGAUUUCAUAUGAUUAUAAAUUAAAUUUAUAAAAUAAAAGUAAGACAUUAUUUUUAAAAACAAUACAAAUUCUUUUAUCUAAACAAGUUUUUUGUUUUAAAAAAACUAUUUUUUAAAAUAUCUUAUUAAACACUCUUAUUUUAAAAACAAAAAUUUAAAAACAUAGUAAGAAAAUUAAAUAUGAUUAAAAUUAAUUUGAAAUUUAUAUAUUUUAAUGGAUAACUUUGGUGCAAUGAAAGUUUCAUUAAGCGUGACAUAAAUUUAUGUCCUAAGUUAAAAAGAAGGCAUCACCAAAAAGUUAUAAUAUCCUAAUUUUUACAAACCACUUUUUAACAAAGCUAUUCAAACAUAUCCAAAGUUGAUUUUCUAAUAAGCCAAAAGCUUAUUUGGCUCACUAAUAGUUUAAGUUUUACGGUUAUAUGGUAAUUUUGUUAAAAAAAAAUUAUAAUUAAAAAAAGGUUAGUAUUAAGGCAUGAAAACAUUGUUAUAUGUAAAAUAUAUGAAUUAAUAAUAUUUUAUUUAAUAAAUUUUUUUUAUUUUAUAAUAUCAAUACUAUCUUUUAAAAUAUAAAUGGGAAAGAUAAUUAAACAUAUAAAUAUAAGUAAUUAAGUCAUUAUGACAAAGGAUUUGCAAGAAAUAGUUUAAAGAAAAGUAAAAAUAAUAAUAAUUCAAAAAAUAAAUCAAAAAAUGAAAUAUAACAAUCCUAUAAUUUUUAAUAAAAUUAAGAGAAAAUUAAUAAAAAAAAAUGUUAAUUAAUAUGGUUUUUUUGAACAAAUAGAAUAAUUUAAAAUCCUACUCACCAAUAGUAGACAAAAAUAAACCAUUGAGUCACAUAAAAGUUGAAACCAUUGUCAAUGACCUUGCUUUCAAGCAAAGUAAAAUAUAUAUGUUCUAUUUUAUAUUUUAGUAUAUUUUAGUAGAAAAACCCAUCAUCAUGAUUGUGACCUUAAACAAAACACUAGAAAAAAAUAUAUAUUUUAGUAAAAAUUAUAUUUUAAAAUAUAUAUGUUCAUAUUUUAUAAAACUAUAAAUUAUAUAUUUUUUCUUUAUAAAUAAAUAAUAAAAUUAUUUUAUAUAAUCAAACUACAAUAGGUGAACAAAUAUAAAAUAGAAAACACAAACACCCACUUCAAAUUAAUUCCCUUGGCUUUUCACAACCAAAACUACAAGAUUCCUCAAUCCAUCCGUAUUAAAUUCAAAACAAAAACACUCACAUUCAUCAAUAUUAAUUCUUGAUCAUUAUUAACAAAUACAAAAGACACACCCACCUCAAAAAAAUUUCUGAGUUGUCAUAACCCAUAUAUAUUACUAUGAUUUUAUGGUGCUGUAAUGACUAAUGAGGAAAAAAAAUCAGCAGGUGGUAAGGGUGAGCGGACGAGAACAGAUGGCGCAGAAGUAUUUGGUCUUGGUUUUGCUGGAGACAGGGAUACAGCAGACAUGCAAAUUGCAGUCAAGAAGUGUUGCAACAACAGGGCCUCCACAGCAUGGGCACACAGCUCCGGCUCCCUCUCUUUUUAUCACCUUCUUUCUCAUAUCAAACACUUGGAAUAUACUCAUCUUUGUCUUCUUCUUCUUCUUCCUUUAUUUCCACCACUGAUACUUAAUUCCUUGGUGUCUCUACUGCUGGUCGAGGAAUAUAUAUAUAUAUAUGGGAAGUUGCAAGAGAUCUGUAAGGAUGUUUUCCAGGAAAAUUCCAGAGGAAAAUGGCUAGCAAGUUCCUUGUCGAUGGAUUAAAGGGCAACAGCUUUUUGGUGGGGCCCUUCAAAGUCGGUGCAUUGAAUUGGAUCGGAUCGGCUUGCAUUUGAGUGCAAUUUCGUUUAUAAACCAUUACACUAUUAAAAUAUUAUUUAUUUAUUUAUUUAUUAUUAUUAUUGUAAAAUUGAUAUGUUAAAAAUAAAAAUUAUUAAUAUAUGUAAUUGAAACAAUUUACUUCUUUGUAAGGUAUGUAAAGUAAAUCAUUAUUUUAUCUUAUUAUUAAAAUAAUAAUUUUGUUUUUUUUUAAUAUCCAGCCUAUAGAGACUAAAAUGUUAAAAAAUAAAAUCAACACCCCUAUUCAAGUAUUAUUUUAAAAAAUAUUAUAAAAUUAUUUUAUUAUUAAAAAUAUAAAUUUUUAGAUUUCUAUCCCUGAGUUUGUAAUGCGUGGAUGACUCACGCUUGAGUAGAUUAAUUAUUACAUCCAGCAAACUAUUAAUUAUUGCAAAUUAAUACAACUGUAUUAUUAAAAAUACAAGUUGGAUGACUCACCCAACUUGUAUUUCCUUUCUCUUUUGGGUAAUCGACUAACAGGGACCCAUAUUCCAUAGGACACCUUACUUUUCUUUAAGUCAUGGUGUCCUAACUUUUCUUUAAGUCAUGGAUUUUUCAAGUAAAAAUUUGAUUGGAAGCAUUCCUUCUACCAUAAAUAAUCGCUCUAGCCUAAUUGUUUUAAACCUUAGAAAUAACAAUUUGUUUGGGAUGAUACCAAAGUCAUUGGAUCAGUUACAAUUGUUGGAAUCACUACACCUGAACCACAACAAGCUUUUAGGAGAGCUCCCCUCAUCUCUGCAAAAUUUAACAAGUUUGGAUGUCCUUGAUCUCGAUUACAAUAGAUUUUCAGGUCAGGUUCCUACUUGGAUUGGAGCUGCUUUUGUAAAUCUUGUAAUACUCAACUUGAAGUCGAAUAUAUUUUUUGGAAGACUUCCUUCCCAACUUUCAAAUUUAAGCUCCCUGUAUGUCUUAGACCUUACAAAAAACAAUUUGAUGGGUGAAAUUUCAAUCACUUUGGUUGAGCUUAAAGCUAUGGCUCAGAAGCAAUUGAAUAUAUAUUCGUUAAAUAUGAAUGUCAACUCCUUGUAUGAUGAAAGAUUAGUUGUGAUUACCAAAGGCCAAAGUCUAGAAUAUAUAAGGACUCUUUCUUUUGUUGUUAGCAUAGAUUUUCCCGGUGAUAAUUUAAGUGGACAGUUUCCCUAAAGAAUAACAAAAUUUAAAUGGUUUGGUGGUUCUAAAUGUCACUCCCCAAGACCCACUCCAAGGGCGUGACAGUCAUUUUACACCUUAAACCCGAAAGCUUAAAGUAUAAUCUGACCCAAACAAUCAUAUUGUAACUGGAUGUAACCAAUUACCAAAUACCUGUUCAGAGUAGCGGAACAAAAUUCUAAAAUCUUCAAACCUAACUUUAGAACUAAACAUCCAUCAACCAAAAUCCAUUAUCCAAAUAGAUUGCAACUCAACAAAUCAAGUACUAACAAAUUUUUAUAAUCUCCAAAUCUCAACUUCAAACUAUCAUAAAAAAUAUUUAAAAGCUCAAUAUCUAAAUAGCUUCCAAAAACUAAAUAAUUCAAAUGAACAUAAACUUAUAAGCUAACAAUGUUCAAAAAUAACAUCCUAAGAAAAAUCCUAAUGAUGACCAUUUCCCGACCUAGCCAUCACUCUUCGCCCGAACUAAGGGUACCUGAAAAAUUAUCAACAAAUAGGAAUGAGCUCAAAGCCCAAUAAGGAUCAUUAAUGCAGUCCAUGGAUCAAAUAUUUCAAGUUCACUUACAAAAUAGGAGAUAUUAUAACUAAUUAUUUUCAUAAACCUUUGAGUCAGUUUUGUCAAUACAUUCAAAACUUUUAACUGUACACAUUCAUUUCUGAUUCAAACAUUUUCAUAUCAAAUCCAAUCAAAACAUUCAAAUUAAUAAUUUACUUUGGUCAUCAAACAUCAAAUGGUGCCCAGUUAGGUGAGACUUUUCAAAUAGGUAGCUAGCCUCAAAUUGUUCCUUUAAGGUGGAUGGAACCAAACUCUACUAGUACUAGUAACCUCUAACCAAACCCCUAGAGGCUGGGGUCCAAAUCAAUUACAUUUUCCACCACAAAAAUAUAAAGAUCAACUAUUAUAUCCCGUUGACAAGGGCCAAACAAACCAGAGUCAAACACUUAUUUCAAUUAUUCAAAUUUGCAAAACACAAUAUCUCCACAUUUAUCUAUUGUAAACAAAAUAUAAGGUUCUAACAUACUUUUCAGGCAAAAUAUAUUUGAUCCAUGCAUAAAACUGUUGGGAUGUUCAGUUAAAGUAGUCAAAGUUGUUAGAAUUUCAUUCUGUUAAUAGUUCCUAUUUUUUUUGGGACAUGUUGGUAGGAUUUGACUAUUUCCUUAGCCAUUUACCACGUUCUUACGUGGGCUGUUUGUUUCCUUUUUAAUCUCUUUUGUAAGGCUUAUAUAAGCCCAUAACUUGUUUUGAAUUGAAUAAGACUCAUUCUCAUAUUGUGAGUGAAUUGCAUUAUGUCUACAGUUUACAACAAUCUGGUAUCAAAGCCCCAUCACGUGGCCUGAUUGUGAGAGAAAAGAAACCGCGGUUUCUUGUAGAGAGAAAGAGUGAAAAGAGAGUAAGAUAAGAGAAAGAGUGAUCAAAGUAUGGCAGCUGAAAGUAGUAACUUUGUUCAACCUGCAAUUCCUAAGUUCGAUGGCCAUUAUGAUCAUUUGUCUAUGCUUAUGGAAAAUUUUCUUCGUUCAAAGGAGUAUUGGAGCCUGGUCGAGAAUGGAAUCCCUGCUGCAGCAGAAGGAAUAGAGCCUAUUGAAGCUCAACAGAAGGCAAUUGCAGAUCACAAGCUGAAAGACUUGAAGGUCAAGAAUUAUCUGUUCCAAGCCAUAGAUCGAAACAUUAUGGAGACCAUCCUCAAUAAAGAGACUGGUAAGCAUAUCUGGGACUCUAUGAAGCAGAAGUACCAAGGUUCCACAAGAGUCAAAAGGGCACAACUUCAAGCACUUCGAAGGGAGUUUGAGGUUCUGCAGAUGAAAGAGGGUGAAAGUGUUGAUGAGUAUUUUGCUCGAACACUCACCAUAGCAAACAAGAUGAAGAUUCAUGGUGAAAGCAUGAAGCAAGUGGUGAUCAUUGAAAAGAUCCUGAGAUCAAUGACUUCAAGGUUUGACUAUGUUGUGUGUUCAGUUGAAGAGUCUAAUGAUUUAGACACUUUAACCAUUGAUGAGUUGCAGAGUAGCUUGUUGGUUCAUGAGCAGAGGAUGAAUGGGCAUGGAAGAGAUGAGCAGGCAUUGAAGGUGUAGACCCUCAAUUUUGUCCCUUUAGCACAUGUCUUUAAAUUCGUUUUCAGUGCUCCACAGUAGUUCCUUGGUGGCCCAUGGCUACUCAUACCACUUACCCUUUUCUGAGUCACCUCGGAGACUUUGGUUGAGGGAUUAUUUGAUCCCUUAUUGUGACCCUUGGCAGUUUUGAUUUAGACUUAAGCUUUUCUUUAUUUUUCUAGGAUAGUUCUUAUGCAUGUUUAGGCCAUUUAGACAAUGUCCCGAUCACUUUAGGACACUUGGCCUAUUAGGCACCACCCUAGGCCCGUUUAGUCUCAUCAUAGGUCCGUUUAGGCACACUUGGCCCAUUUGGACAUUUUUAGCGUGACUUGCAUGGUUACAUGGCUUUUGGGCUCGGCUUUUGUUUAUUGGUUUAUUUUUAUUUUAUUUUAUUUUAGUUUUAGCUUUAUGAUUAUCAUUCACUUUUUAUUAGUUAUUCUCCUCUUUAUAUUAUUUUCCUUAACUUAUUUAUUAUUUUUUAUUUAUUUAUUUAUUUAUUUAUUUUUUACCAUUUCCUAAUUUAUUUACUUGCUUAUUUAUUCAUUCAAUGAUUUAACUUCAAGAAUUUCAUGUUUUUGCAAGGAAACUUGCCAUUGGAGUUUAAGGAAGGCGGGACUCUCCUUGGAAAGUUUUGGAGGGGAAUUUGAAAUUGGAAAGAUUGCUUUUGAUUAGAAGAUUUGAAAAAAAAGAUAAGGAGAAAAGAAGAGAGAAAAAUAGGAGAUUUCGUUUUUUUUAGGAAAUAAAUUUAGGUCUUGAGGGAUGAUAUAUAUAUAUAUGUGAGAAAAGGGAAGAAAAGUGGCAGCACGCAUUGGAGUCUGAGAGUGAGAAGAAGAGAGAUAGCAAAAAAGGGAUUUUUCUUGAGGGAAAAGACACGCAUGAGAGGAAGGAGAGGGAGAUAGGAGUAGACUUUUGAAGAUUUUUGGAGAUCGUCUUGAGGGGAAGUACAGAGAGAGGGACUGACAGCACGCAUCUUUCUCGUUUGAAGCUGAGCAAUUCUCCUCAAAGAUUGGCUCUUCCAGGUAUGGUCACGUGAAAUUCGCAUUCUCUCAUCUCUAUUUGAUUCUAAAUAUUAUUUUGCAAGUCCCGAUGUCAUCUUAUUGAUUGUUGUGGAGAAUUAGGACUGAUUUUUUCUCUUCGAAUAUAUUUAAGCGUGAGCAUGCUCUGUUUUGGUUUUUGAUUUUUAGUCUUUUUAAUCUCUAUUGUUAAUGGUUGAUGCAUGGGAUUAUCAUUGAUAUUGAUAUUCAAGAACCGUUCUCUUUUCCUCUGAUAUCCUCACCUGUUCUUUUUUUUAGCCCAUUGACAAAGCAAUGGAAUGUGGCUUUGCUUGAUGACUUACUCUAUGCCUACCUUUCCUCUGUUUUGUUUUGUUUCUUUGUUUCUUUUCGCAUCUUCUUCUAUUUCUCUGUCACCCAUCCCUUGCUGCACGAUAGUUUGCACACCUAUUGGGUAUUCUCCCGGGUCAGUUGUGAUUGGUCCUUGGAUAGCAAAGAAAGCCAAGUUCUUAGUAACUUCAGAGAAUUCGAGAAUCAGAAAUAAAUUCAGAGAAGAGAGUUUGAGUCUGCUUCUGUGGCUACAGUCAGAAAGUUCUCAGACACGACAAGGGAUGAUUCUGAGUCCUAUGUUUUUACCUCCAUCUCCAAGGUCAGGGUCAUCGUGAGGGUGCGCCCCUUUCUUCCCCAUGAAAUCGCCGCUGCCAAAAACGGCAACCCGACUUCGUGCACCUUGAUCCUUGAUCAAGACUGUGAAUCUGGCGAAGAAGUUGUUGUUCAUCUUAAUGAUCAAGAAACCAGUCGCAGAGAGUGCUACAAGUUGGACUCGUUUCUUGGCCCACAUGACAACAAUGUGAGUCUGAUUUUUUUUUUUACAGAGAGGUAAGCCCUUUGAUUCCAGGUAUCUUUCAUGGCUGCAAUGCCACUGUCUUCGCUUAUGGGGCAACUGGCAGUGGGAAAACCUACACCAUGCAAGGCACUGAUGAACUUCCAGGUCUAAUGCCACUUACCAUGUCAGCAGUUCUAACUAUGUGUUGGAGCACAGCCAGCACUGCAGAGAUGUCAUAUUAUGAGGUCUAUAUGGACAGAUGUCAUGAUCUGUUGGAAGUCAAAGCAAAGGAAAUUGCAAUAUUGGAUGACAAAGAUGGGCAGAUUCAUCUAAAGGGCUUACCUCGUGUCCCAAUAAGUUCCAUGUCUGAAUUUUAUGAGGUCUUCUCUCGUGGAAUUCAGCGCAGAAAAGUUGCACACACAGGGCUUAAUGAUGUCUCUAGCAGAAGCCAUGGAGUCCUUGUGAUAUCUGUUUCCACUCCUUGUGAUGAUGGCUCCGAUGCUGUUGUUACUUGGAAGUUGAACCUCAUCGAUUUAGCAGGUGAUGAAGACAACAGAAGAACCUGCAAUGAAGGGAUACGUCUCCAAGAGAGUGCUAAGAUCAACCAGUCCUUAUUUGUCUUAUCAAAUGUGAUUUAUGCCCUUAACAAUAACAAGCCCCGUGUACCAUACAGAGCAAACAAACUGACCCGGAUACUGCAAGAUUCCCUUGGAGGAACCUGCCGUGCAUUGAUGGUUGCUUGUCUGAAUCCAGGAGAGUACCAAGAAUCUGUUCAUACGGUCAGCUUGGCUGCACGGUCGCACCACAUAUCUAACUCUGUUCCAUCAGCUCAAAAACAAGAUACUCCAAAUGUUAAAGUUGACAUGGAGGCGAAAUUGCGUGCCUGGCUUGAAUCAAAAGGAAAGACAAAGAGUGCACAAAGAAUGAGGGCAUUUGGUUCACCUCUUAUGAGCAAAGCUCCUAGUUCUUUGAGCUCUUUGAAGAAGCCCUGUCCAUGUCACAGCUCCACAAAAGCAAAGGCUAUUACAAACCAAGGUGCUUCCAAUGCUAAAGAAAGGGUUCUUUCUGUGCAGCACAGAAAUUUAUUCUACAAUGGAGAUUCAGUUGAUUCUGGCACAGAGCGUUUCAACUUUGCUGCUGAGAACAAUACCAACAAUACAGAAGAAGAGUUCAAGGCUGGUGGGGAUGGGAGUGCCUCAGAAACAAAUACAAUUUUACCUGAUGAUGCAUUGGCAAAUGACAAGAAGAUUCUGAAGCUGUAUACUUGGAAGCUUCAGUUUUUAAGGCUCUGUUUCCUUUCAUAUACUGGGAUCCAUUACCUAGCAUAGAAGAGUUCUACUUUGAGGGGCUUAGUAUCUGCUCAACAGAUUGGUACAGUCUAGGUAGGUUCAGGCAGUGAUGCGAGCUUAAUCUCUGCGAAGAUAUUGCCAUAAAUUCUGUAGUAACUGCCUUAACUUAUGGUCAAAAUAGCACCAUUGUUCCCAGCUAAGAGCCGGAUGUCAUAAAUUUGUUGAACUCUUUGAAGAAUUUAAGAAGUUGAAGUAAAGAAAAAUCAUAAGAGUUGAAGCUCCAUCACAAUCCAUUGUAGCCACAAGGUUACUGGCACAUGAUGGACUAAGUGCAGAACAGCUUGCUCGGGGUCUCAAGUCUUUUGAGUUGAAGACGACCUUUGAGGAUGUUUUCCCUGCUGAGGCAACAAGUGUCAAAGAAUACCUGCAGUAGGUUCAUGAGAUGGCAAUAGUUUCCGCUAUCCAGGAAGUGCAGAAAAAUAAUCUUAAAAGUUUAAAUGAUUAUAUGAUGAAAGUUAUGGAUAAGCUUGCUACAGCUUUCAAGAGUGCUUAUGACAGUUUGGGCCUUGAGACAUCUUGUGGUAAAUCUGCUAACAUACAGAAAAUUUGGUAUCUGAUGUAGACAUUAAUGGUUGAGGAUACAGUUGUUUAAUGGGAAUUGUUUCAUGUAAGGUUCUGACAAAGCUGAUCUUCCUGAAUGAAAUAGGGAACACAUCCCAAAUCGUGACUGAACAUACAAUAUUUGAUCACAAACGGAGACUGGUAUUCAACAAAUCAGAGACCCCUGAGUCUGAUUCUACAAUUCUGACCAAAGAACACUUCUCUGAGAUCUAGCCUGUGCUUCAUGAGGUCUCUUUUGACACAUUGGAAAGAACUAAUUCAAGUGAAGCCCCGAAGGCUACUAUAGUUAUUCCAGAUUCGGAACCUAAAAAGAUGGAAAAAGUUGCUUCAGGGUUCAUCUGGAACUCAGCUAGUUUAGGUGGAAAUCUGGUGAUGACACAAAGGAAUCAUUUCCCCUCUGGCAUACAGUAUUUCUGUCAUUAGAGAUGCUCUGGCCAAAAUUGUUUAUUCCAGAUUAUUUGAUUGGACUGUGGAUAAGAUUAAUAAUUUUAUUGGGCAAGAUUCUGAUUCAAAAGUUUUAAUCGAGGUCCUGGAUAUUUAUGGAUUUGAGAGUUUCAAGACAAGCAGUUUUGAGCAAUUUUGUAUCAAUUUGGCAAAGGAGAAACUGCAGCAACAUUUCAAUCAGCGUGUAUUCAAGAUGGAACAAGAAGAAUAUACAAAAGAAGAAAUUGACUGGAGUUAUAUAGAUUAUGUUGAUAAUCAAGAUAUUCUUGAUCUCAUUGAAAAGGAACUUGCUAACAUGAAGAAGCUGAACACAAGCUGAAUGUAGCUGAUGAAUGGGAAGAACAUGAUAUCUUGAUAGAGAUACGAGUCAAAUCUUGUCAAGGAACUUGUGCGCAAAUGGAGGAGAAUAAUUUCAAGGCAACUGAUGAUGUAUAUGAGCUGCAUGAGAACAAAAGCAUUUAGGCUGCUCAAGUAGCCCACAAGUAUGAAGCGAACAGUUUGGAAGCAAAUCAAGUGGCCCUUGGACAGGAGGAGAAAUUAAAGAUUGUCGCUGAGUCAUAAGGUAUUCAUAAGGAUUUCAAGGCAGCUAAGUGGAAAAUGUACUGGUUGAAGAAAUAUUUGAAGCAUCAGGCAUGACUGAUAGUAAUGCAGAGCAAGAAGCGAAUAAGAUCAGAAUGGACAAUUCCACAGGGUCAGAAUGUGAAAGAAAUCGCUCAAAGCUGGCAUCGACUUCAUAUGGGGAACAGUUUGAUCAAAGAAUAGAUGAAUUCUCCAGAUGCUCAGAAAUCACGUCAAAAGAAGCUUUGGAUUCGGGGUCAAGCGCAUCCUCUGACAAGAAUCAUGCCUUUGCCUCUAGUGAUUUUAGUGACUGAUAUUAUUUUGGUGGUGCUGGACAUGAGCAAGGACUCGAAUGAAAUAUGGUUCUGCCUACGCAUGGAGUUACUAUCAACCUUCGUGUUUGCCUUUUACAUGAUCCUGCUGGUGAGCAUCCCACAUGGAAGUAUUGACCCAAGCAUGGCAGGCCAUGCUGUUAUUUUGGCCUUAAUUUGAAUGCCCGACUACCACGGUGGAUACUUAGUUUCUGCGAACUUGAAAACAAAAUUAUUCUCAUUGAAAGGAUUCACCAAUACUGCCAAAAUCCCAGGAGAAGCUCCACUGAUCAUUGAGAAUUCUCGCCCUCCAUCAUCGUGGCCAGAAAAUGGAACAAUUGAACUAAUUGAUCUAAAGGUCCGCUACAAGGGAAGCCUUCCUGUUGUGCUUCAUAGUGUAAUCUACGGAUUUCCUGGUGGUAAUAAAAUUAGAAUUGUUUCUGUUGCUACAUCCAUUGCCACCAUAUCAAUUGUUGUUACUGCUCCACGUGCAAAACUGCAAGAAGAUUAUCAGGAUGAAUUAGUGGCUGCCAGAUAUAGUGGCAUAGGAAGCAAACACUGCACUACACAUAUGAAGCUUCUAAAUGAGGACAAGUGUUACAACUUUAAUGGUGGCCACAUAUCAGCUAACUGAGGAGAAUGUCAAAUCUGCUACUGCUUAUGUGCUUCUCUACAGGAAGGUGAGAAUCGACGAUGCUGCUGUAAGCAAUAGAGCACGAUCCUGUACAGGUUAUGACAAUACCUCCCACCUAGUAGAUGCCACAUGUAAACGACUAAUUCCUCCACGAUUUAGUCAUCCUUCUGAACCUGCACGUUGACAACCAUAUGGCCAUCCCUCUUCUGGUCAAGUUUAAGAUUAACUUGCUGUUAGUUCUCUUCUUCACAUGUAUGGCCACCUCGGUGCUUCUCCAUCACUCAAUCGAACAAAGUAGACAGAUAGGAUGAUGUUAUGAAGAUUAUUCAGCAUGUCUAGAAACUCAUGAGAAGUAAGUGUGGGUUCAGAAGUCAAGUUCAGUAGCAAUGCCGAAUGAAUAUUCCAGCAACCAUAGCUCAUUUGCAGCCUUAUGUGCAUCCUCAUCGGGAAGUUACUAACCAUGUUGAUUAUCUUCGAGCUCCUCACCAGAUGGGAGUCUCAAAUCAGCCUUUGGAAAAUUCUGGUUCUGCACUAGCUCAUCAGCAGAUCCGUGACAAUGUUAGUGGUGCUAAUGGUGAAGAUGAUACCCCAUCCAAUAAUCAAAAUUGUGUAGUUCCAACAGAUCUUUUAAUCUCCGAUGAUGCAAUACCUGAAACAGUUCAAGCAGAACCUGUAGUUGUGGCUGCUGCUGUUGCUUCUGGUGCUGGCAGUAAAGAUUGCGUCCUUGAAUCUGAAAGAAGGACAAGACAUGAUAACCUCCAAUUCCUCUAAUAGGGUUCCAAAAACACAAUGGGUUGAAUCAGUCAAAAUUCAAACCAUCAUAUCUCCUUCCUCUGCUCUGUGCCACCUAAAAUAGGCAUAGAAGAGAGAAGAGGCAUCUUUUGGGAAUUGAUUUUACCAUAUUCAGUUUGACAAGACAGCGUAGUUGGUGCUAUGGCUCAGCCUGGUGAUAUUUCCAUAACUUAUGUUCGUGAAUUGCCUGAGAUUAAAGGGAAGUUCGACCAUCAAAGAGCUAUGUCUCUUGGACUAAAAGCUGGGCCAGAAUACCGUGAAUUAUAGCUUUGGAAAAAUCAGUUCCUGAUGAGAUUACUACAAAAGAAAGGGUGAUCAAUCAGAGAAUGGGGAGUAUAGUAAUUUGAGAUUUGUGCAUAGUGAUCCUACCGCCCAUUCAGACUUUGGAAAAGGAGUCCACGAAGAAUUUUGGAACAUAAUUUUCUUUUUUUUAAUAUAACAAUGAGAGAAUGAAUGUUCAAGUUGAAACAGAUUUUGUGAAAAUGAAGGCUACUGCUGUUAACUUUAAUGUCAUUGGGAAUGGGAAUUUGUACUCAGAAGGGGAUUACAAGAAUGCUGCCCUCAUACUUGGAGAUAGAAGUAAGGAGAGUGCAACUUUAAAUCCAUGUUAGGGAUAAACAUCUGCUAUCUGUCCAAGCUGAGAUGACUGCCUAGAAUCUACAGAAUUUGCACUCUCAGUUGCAAGAGGAAUAGAAAGCUCUACCUUUAGAUCUGGAAUUGGUCUCCAAAAAUCGAAACAGGUGGUGAUGUCCAAACACGGUUCAGAAAAUAAAGCGGGGUAAUUAAAGAAUUCUAAUAUAAAAUUACAGCUGGAGAAUUCUGAUUUGCAAGUUUUGUUCUGGGGUAGAAGAAAUAAAGAAACUGAACCAUAGUUUGAGACACGGAAAAUGGAGUUUUGUCAAAGAAAGUGGGCAACUUCAAGCAGAUCAAUGUGUUGAUGUGAAUAGACAACUCCCUGCACCAUAAACUUGAGGAGGAAGUCAGGCUGCCAACAGAUGAAUAUGAAGGUACAGAAAGGCUUGAGGAAAAGGAAAUCGCCUUCAUUUUCAACCAGGACCUAUGAUCACCCUCCAAAGCUGAAACCAAUUGGGGAAUUAAUGCCAAAACUCUUGGAAGUAAAUCUGAAUGUAGGGGGAUUUCAAGGAAUCAGAAAAGGCCUGAGAAUGCAGUGAUGUAAGGUACUUAAAAGCAUGCAAGAGAGUAAAAAAGGGGAAUUUAAAGAGAAUAACAGCAGCACCUGCAAUCACCAGCAAUGCAAACUUAGUUGUACUCCCAAGCUCCAGUUCAUCAUGGCUACUUUGCUACACACACCCUCUCCUCUAUUUACUUCUGUGAUUGGGAACUUACUGUUUUAAAUUGAAUUUUUGAACCAUUGUUCAGCUAAACAUUCCCAGCUUUGAAAAAUCCAUCUUAGGAGCAUCUAGGUGUAAAAUCCCAAUUUUAACAUGCUAUUUGCUGCCAUUUUCCUCCGGGCAUGCACUUUCACUAUUUUAUUUUAUUUUCAACUAUUUUCAUGAUUUUCUCGAUUUUCUCAAGCAUGAACAAACUCCAUAAUUCCAAGUCAUGGAAUUUAUGGAAUCAACUCAUGCAAAAUCAAUCAGGGCUUUGGUGGGGGCCCGACAUCCAUGAUGUUUUCUUCAACACUUUUUGUUUGAUAUUGUGAUUUCUCUUUGUGAUAUAUAUGAGAUUAUUUUGAAUCUAUUAUUUGGCUAACCUUGUUUUCCAUAAAGGCGUUUAGCUUGCUACCCAGGUACGCUCUCUUCCUCACUCACUUUCAAAAAUUCUAUAGAGAUGUAUGCUAUUGAAGAUCAUAUCCAUGUUCAAUAUAAUCCUUGGGUGCUUUAAUAUAUAAGCUUCAUUGUGCGAUUAUCUAUGAUAAAAUGCAUGUUAGGUGAUAUAUUGUCUAAACUAACCAUUGAUGUUUUAUGAUAGCGCCUAGGAAGUGGUUCAGGUACGCACCCUAACUCUUCUUCAUUGUGAUCUUAUCUCGUUUAAUAUGCAAUUUUUUUCGAAAUCACCCUAGCCUACUUAGGUACCUAUAAUUAACUGAUUAAUGGCCACACUUCCCUCAACUUAGUUAGUAGAGACCUUUUUAGGGCUUAGAGGGGUGCUACCUCCUAAAGGUACCUUCCCAAUAGGUAACUUGAUCCCCGGACCGAGACUUGGGUUUUCAAAGACAUGCUUUUUCCAAAAAUUAUGGAGUCACAUUUUAGGGUUUUUCUUUCUUGUUUUAUUUUCCCUUUAAAAUAAAAAUAAAAUAAGUGGCGGCUCCAACUUUUUCCAAAAAUUAAUUUUUCACAAAUAAAUAAAAAGCGAGUCUCGCCGAUCGAGUGGGGGUGCAAGUGAAAAAUACGGGUCCACAAAUUGGCGACUCCAACUUUUUUUCAAAAACUAAUUUUUCACUAAUAAAAAGCGAGUCUCGCCGAUCGAGUGGGGACGCACGUGAAAAAUGCGGGUCCACAGAAGGUGACCUAUAAUGAUAAAUUUGCUGGAAGAGAAGGUCGUGGUCGUGGAGCUUUUUGAGGAAGAGACAGAGGAAGGGGCAGGCAAGCAUUCAACAAAGCUAUAGUUGAGUGCUACAAGUGUCAUCAAUUAGGGCACUUUCAAUAUGAGUGUCCUAAAUGGGAGAAGGGAGCACAUUAUGCAGAACUUGAUGAGAAAGAGGAGAUGCUAUUGAUGUCGUAUGUGGAGCUUAACCAAUCAAGGAAAGAAGAUGUUUGGUUUCUUGACUCGGGGUGCAACAAUGAUAUGUGUGGAAAUAAGCUGUGGUUCUCGGAUCUUGAUGAGGAAUUCCGGCAAUCUGUAAAGCUCGGGAAAAAUUCCAAGAUGACUGUAUUGGGAAAGGGGAACAUUAGAAUGCAAGUUGCUGGAGUUACUCAGGCAAUUACAGAUGUUUUCUAUAUUCCUGAGUUGAGAAACAAUUUGCUAAGUGUUGGACAAUUGCAAGGGAAAGGAGUGGCUAUUCUGAUCCAACAUGGAGAAUGCAGAGUCUAUCAUCCUGAGAAAGGGCUCAUUAUGCAAACAUCAAUGUCUACAAAUAGGAUGUUCAUACUGCCCGCAAGAGUUAUGCCAAAAGCUCCCACUUGUUUUCAAAUAACUCUUGAAGACAAUACACACCUCUGGCAUUGUAGAUAUGGGCACCUAAGCUUUAAGGGUCUCAGAACAUUGCAGUAUAAGGAGAUGGUGAGAGGGUUACCACAGCUGAAAGCAUCAUCCAAAGUAUGCACUGAUUGCAUGGUGGGAAAGCAACACAGGGACGCAAUUCCAAAGAGGAGCUUGUGGAGAGCAUCACAGAGGCUAUAGUUGGUACAUGCUGACAUUUGUGGACCCAUCAAACCUGUCUCCAACAGUAAAAAGAGGUACCUUAUUAGCUUUAUUGAUGAUUAUAGUCGUAAGGUAUGGAUAUAUUUUCUUACGGAGAAGUCUGAAGCUUUUACUACCUUCAAGAAUUACAAAAAUCUUGUUGAGAAAGAGACAGGAGCUUUUAUUUGUUGUUUGCGCACAGAUAGGGGUGGAGAGUUCACAUCUCUCGAAUUCAAUGUCUUCUGCAAAACUAAUGGUAUUAGUAGGCAACUCACUGCAGCCUAUACUCCUCAACAAAACGGAGUAGCUGAGCGCAAGAACAGGACAAUCAUGAACAUGGUUAGAAGCAUGUUAUCGGAGAAGCAAGUCCCAAAGAAUUUCUAGCCAGAAGCAGUGAACUGGACAACUCAUGUGCUCAAUAGAAGUCCUACAUUGGCAGUAAAAGGCGUGACCCCUGAAGAGGCUUGGAGUGGUGUUAAACCUAAUGUUGAUUAUUUUCGGGUUUUUGGAUGCAUUGGCCAUGUUCAUGUGCCAGAUAACAAGAGAAAGAAGCUAGAUGAUAAGAACUUUCAAUGUGUGUUGCUAGGGGUGAGUGAAGAGUCUAAAGCAUAUAGACUUUAUGAUCCAGUGUCCAAGAAGAUAGUUGUAAGCAGAGAUGUUGUUUUAGAAGAAGAUAAGUGUUGGAAUUGGGGGAGGAGUAAUGAAGAAAUAAGACUUGAUGUGCUUGAAUGGGGAGAUAGCAAUGAAGAAGGGAGUGAAGAUGAACAAGGUGAAGAUGACGUUGAAGAGGGGGUGGCAAUAGAGGGAAGAGAAAGAGAGGAUAACUUGUCUUCGAGUGAGUCACUUGGUUCUUGGAGUGAGUCACUUGGUGAAAAUUCAGGAGUAUCUGGAGAAAGCUCACCAAGCUCACAACAAGGGAGGAACAGAAGAGUACCAUUCUGGAUGGAAGAUUAUGUGAGUGGGGGAGAAUUUUCAGAAGGCGAUGUUGAGCACAACUUGGUCCUAUUUACCUCAACUGCAGAUCCAACUACUUUUGAAGAAGCUGUUCAAAGUUCCAAGUGGAGAGCUGCAGUGGACUUGGAAAUAGAAGCAAUAGAAAGGAAUGGGACUUGGGAGCUGACGGACUUGCCUGAAGGAGUGAAGAAGAUUGGAGUAAAGUGGGUUUUCAAAACCAAACUCAAUGAAAAUGGCAAGGUUGACAAGUGUAAAGCUCGACUGGUGGCAAAAGGGUAUGCACAACAACAUGGCAUAGACUAUACUGAGGUGUUUGCUCCUGUGGCUAGGUGGGAUACAAUUAGAAUGGUGAUUGCUUUAGCAGCUCGAAAUGGUUGGAGUGUGUACCAGCUUGAUGUCAAAAGUGCUUUCUUACAUGGUGAGCUAAAUGAAGCAGUGUUUAUCGAGCAACCACAGGGCUAUGAGAAGAAAGGUGAAGAGCAUAAGGUGUACAAACUAAAGAAGGCAUUGUAUGGGCUUAAACAAGCUCCUCGUGCAUGGUAUAGUCAAAUUGAAGCAUACUUUAUCAAGGAAGGGUUUGAGAGAUGCAGUUGUGAUCACACAUUGUUCAUCAAAACAGGAGAUGGAGGUAAAAUUUUGAUUGUUAGCUUAUAUGUUGAUGAUCUAAUUUUUACUGGUAAUGAUGAGAGUAUGUUUGUUAAAUUCAAGAAUUCUAUGAAACUUGAAUUUGAUAUGACUGAUUUGGGAAAGAUGAAGUAUUUUCUGGGUAUGGAGGUUUUACAAAAUUCUGAGGGUAUUUAUAUUAGUCAGAGGAAGUAUGCAAAAGAAGUGUUGGAGAGGUUUGGGAUGGAGAAAAGUAAUAGUGUGAAGAAUCCCAUUGUUCCUGGAGAUAGAUUAACGAAGAAUGAAGGCGGAGUUAAGGUGGAUGCUACUAAGUACAAACAAUUAGUUGGAAGUCUUAUGUAUCUGACUGCUACAAGACCAGAUUUGAUGUAUGUGGUGUGUCUUAUUAGCAGGUUCAUGGCAAGUCCAACUGAGAUGCAUCUGCAAGCUGCGAAAAGGGUGUUAAGGUACUUGAAAGGUACUGUAGAUUUGAGAGUUUUUUAUCAGAAGGAGGGUAAUGGUGAACUAAUGGCAUAUGCAGACAGUGACUAUGCAGGGGAUGUGGAUGAUAGGAAAAAUACUUCUGGCUAUGUGUUUUUGCUCAGUGAAGGAGCUGUGGCAUGGUCUUCUAAAAAGCAGCCUGUGGUUACUUUGUCUACUACUGAAGCAGAGUUUGUGGCAGCUGCUUCUUGUGCUUGUCAAGGAGUAUGGAUGAGGAGAGUACUGGAGAAGCUUGGUCAUUCUCAAGGAAAGUGCACUACUGUGUUAUGUGACAAUAAUUCUACUAUAAAGCUGUCCAAAAAUCCAGUAAUGCAUGGACGCAGCAAGCACAUUGAUGUAAGGUUUCAUUUCUUGCGUGAUUUGACUAGAGAGGAAGUUGUUGAGUUAAAGCACUGUGGCACACAAGAACAAGUUGCAGACAUUAUGACAAAACCACUCAAGUUGGAUGUGUUUUUAAAGUUGCGUGAGUUACUGGGUGUGAGUGUGGUACCAAGAGUCAACUGAAUGCAUUAUUGCAAUCAGUUUAGGGGAGGAAUUGUUGGGAUAUUCAGUUAAAGUAGUCAAAGUUGUUAGAAUUUCAUUCUGUUAAUAGUUCCUAUUUUUUUUGGGACAUGUUGGUAGGAUUUGACUAUUUCCUUAGCCAUUUACCACGUUCUUACGUGGGCUAUUUGUUUCCUUUUUAAUCUCUUUUGUAAGGCUUAUAUAAGCCCAUAGCUUGUUUUGAAUUGAAUAAGACUCAUUCUCAUAUUGUGAGUGAAUUGCAUUAUGUCUAUAGUUUACAACAAAAAUGAAUAAUAACUCAAAAUGUUUCCAAAUGAUGUAUAUAAAAAAUUUGUUUCUAAAAUAAUAAUAAUAAUAAUAACUGCAUUAAUUCCCCUUACCUCAAAAGAAGUCCUUGAAAGCUUGGGAGAAAAAUAAUUUUGGAAAAAUCUACCCUUCUCCUAAUAUAACAUAAGAGAAAUAAUUAUUACUAUUUAUCUAUCAUUUAACUAAUCUAUUCCUUAUUUAAAUAAAAUUAAUAAAUUCCCAAUUUGUUUCUAAUAACACAUUAUUAAUUUAAUUAAAUUACAAUUUUAUUUCAUUAUAAAAUUCUAUAUAUAUAUAUUGCUAAAUCUCUCAUUUUAUUUAUUAUAAAAAAGACCAUUAUUACUAUUAUCUUAUUUAUUAAUCUAAAACUAAAUAUUAUUAUUAUUUUUUUAAUUAACCAAUUCAAAAGCCACCCAAACUAUUACCCACUUGUCUCGGUACAUCAAACCAAUAAAACAAAGCAAGGUUUUUUUUUUUCAUUGCCUUCAUCAUAAUAAUGAAUCAUUAUAUAUAUAUAAUAAGCCUCCUUCCAUCCGGGCACACACCCAUUUUUUUUUCCUUCCAUCCAAUACUGUGCACACGCAUUCUCACUUUCUUUUUUUUUUCUUUUUUCUUUUUUAACAUUUUCUAAUCUCUUCAACCACAAAUAACAAUAUAUUUAUUUACUUUUUUUUUUUAUAAAAUUAACCCUAGCCUAAAAUCGAAACCUUCCAAGGAAUUUUUUUUUUCAUCUAAUAAAACUUAAGAUCUCCCAAAUUCCAACAAUAAAAUCAAAAUCUUAAUUUUUUUAUUAUUUUGAUAUUAAAACGAAUUAAAAAUAAAAUAAACUAACCCUAAUCUAGAUUUGGGUUUUUCAAAAGAUAUCUAAUGUAUUUGAAAUUAACCAAUGAAUCUAAAAUAUUAAACUAGGGGUUAGAAUCUUACCUAUAGAGAUCUAUUCUUCAACCCUGAAAUCCGACUCCAACCUUACGUUCUCUGGAAUUCUACAAACAGGAACUCUAUUCAGAAAAGAACGGAAAGAAUAAAAUUUCUAAUUUAUACCUAGGGUAUUUAUUAAUAAAAUUACAUUUUUACCCCUCUUCCUUUUUAUUAAAUUAAUUAAUUAACUAAUUUAAUUAUUAAUAACAAUUUCCUAAAUUACCCUUAAAAGAAAAUACUUGGGCGUUACACUAAACUUGUCCAAGAAUCACAUCACUGGCCAAAUUCCUGAAAGCAUUUCAUUAUUGCGUCAAUUAUCCUCUCUUGAUCUGUCAAGUAAUAAGCUUUUCAGAACCAUUCCUUCAAUCAUGCUCUCAUUAACAUUCUUGGGUCAUUUGAAUUUGUUAAAUAUUAAUUUUUCUUGUAAGAUCCCUUUUAUAGGGCAAAUGACAACUUUCACUUAGUCAGCCUUUGUUGGGAAGCUUAAUCUUUGAGGAGCUCCACUGAUCACAAAAUGUCAAGAUGAAGAUCCAAAUAAAAAGCAAAGUGUUAUUGAAGACAAAAAUGGUAGUGACUAUAUUGAUCAAUGGUUUUAAUUUAGCGUUGGCUUGGGAUUUGUGAUGGACAUUUUAGUUCCAUAUCUUGUCUUAGCAACAAAGAAAUCUUGGUGUGAUACCCAUUUUGAUUUUGUGGACAAAAUUUUCAAAUGGUUUGAGAAAAUAAAGGUUAUGCUUAAUUAAGAAAAGUAAAAGAUCACAGAGCACACAAGAUGAAAACAAAAGGAAUUUUCAGUUAAAGGUGGAGUCGAUUGCUCUCUCAUGGUGAUACGAUACAAAAGCUUGUCUCAUGGAGAGUUUGAAGAUCGACUUCAUGGAAUUUGGUCCAAGGUGGAGAUUAUUAGGAAGUGUCACAAAUUCCUAAUCAGUAUAAAUUCUUUUUUUGUAAAGAAUAUUAUAUAGAAUAUUUCUAGGUUGAUAUAUAUUGUAAUAUUGAACUUCUUUAUAAAAUAAGGAAGGUUGUUGGAAAUAUGUCUAUAAAUAUUCUAGGUCAUGAGGGGAAAAAGUUAUGAGAUGGAGAUGAGCUCAUAAAAAUUAUACGAGGUGGAUAGAGAUGUGAGGAAGAACAGAAGGUACCCGGUGGAGCGAGAAGGCUUAUGGUAGGGUUAUGGUUUUGUCCUUUGUAAUGUUCUCUAUUGUAUAGUGGAAUGAUUCUCUCUCAUCCGUGGAUGUAGGCAUGGUUGACCGAACCACGUUAAAACCUCGUGUACCAUUUGUGUUGAUUAUUUUAUCUUUGUGUUCUUCAUUAACGAUGUUUGCAUCAAAGCUUCCACCGUCGUAACAAUGGUGUUAUUUAACAAUUUUCUUUUAAUUUAAAUUAGUGUAUUAUUAAUAUGAUGGAUUUGUAUUAUGAUAUAAAAAUAUUGUUUUGAUGACUAAGUAGAAACUUGUUUUAUCCAAUAUUAUAAAAAGAAAAAUCAUCUUAAUCAGAAAAUUAAAUAACCAAGUCAAGGUAUUUUUUUUUUCAUUUUUGUUUUAAAUUUUGGGGAAUGUUUUACUUGAACAUGGUUUAGUUUUUUUGACUUGUUAACAUAGUUAAUACUAUAUAGAGGAUAAAGUUCCUUUAGUAUUGGUCAUGAUCAAACAAAAUAAAGACUGAUAUGAUUUCAAGUUUAAGGUCUUUUAGAUUUCGUAUAAAUUCAUCCUUAGAAAUUUUACUUAAACAUCAUGAGACUUUUUGACUUGACAAAACUUAACAACAUGGUCUACACUUUAUAUAAAAUAAAUAUUCUUUAUCAUGGGCUUAUUAUCAAUAUGACCUUGUGACAUGACAAAACUUUUACCAAGUGGUCUACACUUUAUAUAAAAUAAAUAUUCUUUAUCAUGGGCUUAUUAUCAAUAUGACCUUGUGACAUGACAAAACUUUUACAAAGUGGUCUACACUUCAUACAAAAUAAAUAUUCUUUAUUGUGGAUCAUGAUCAAGAAAAAUAUGGACUAUUAUGAUUUUAUUUUUAAAUGGUUAUUUAUUCUCCAUUUUUAUGUAAUUUAAAAUUUGUAUAAUAAUAAAAAUUUGGAAGAAACUAAUCUUUUACAGCAUAAGGCGAUAUGAUUAUGUGCAUGUUUUUGAUUACUUGGACAUCAAAAAUUAAGUUUGUGGAUUGGAUCAAAUUAUUUUCUAAUACUAUUUUCCUUUAAAGUUAAAAAUGAUUUCUUAAGUUUUCAAACAUAUAUAUAUAUAUAUAUAUAUAUAAUUUAUUAUGCAUGUAUAAGAGAACAAAUGGGAUGCAAUUAAAUAAUCGUAAUGAUGCUACUUCGGCACAUGUAGAUUUGAAUUAACUUUCUUUAUUUUGAUGUUUGCUUUUACGAAUUAAUCAAGAUUAGAUGUAGUAAUUGAAUUAUGUGUCCUUCAAUUUAUAAUUUUUUUUUAUAAUUAUAUAUAAUAAAUCUUUAAUUUUAUAAUAUUAUUAUUCAAGUUAGUCUUAUCUCAUUUAUAAUAAUUUGAGAACAUUAAACUUAUCUACUAUUAUUACUUAAGUAGGCCACAUUUUCCAUAGAUUCAAAUAUUUGAAAAGAUAUCACUACUUCAAUAAGGUUAUAAAGUUUUUUUAUAUUAUGAAUAAUGGGAUGGUUGUUAACUUAGUUGCUUUAUGAUGUUAUAUGUUUUGGACCUAAUAAUGGUUACAUUCAAUAACAGAUUAUAACUUUUUCCAUGGGUCAUUCACAAUGAGAGAAGACAUAGAUCAAUAUUACAUAAAUUUUUUGACUUCUAUAGAAAUUUAUUGUCCUUAUUAAUUUUUUGAUAAGACAUUUUACACUUUUUAGAAAAAUAAACUAGUUUUUUGUAAAUGAAAAAAAAAAUAGUAAAUGUUUUUAUCAUUUUCUAAGUGGCCAAUAAAUUUCCAUGACUUAUUUAACUAAGUGAAGUAAAAAAAAAAAUUUGUCAACCUUCUUUUAACUAUUCUGCAUAAAUAGAUUUUUAUUGAAAUUCCUUGAUAGCUUCUACUUAUUAGAUUUUAGCAUCUUAUGACUAAAAUAAAAGUUUUGAAAUUUUUAAGUUUUGAGUAUUAGCCGAGAAGAUUUUCUAUUUUUUUAUAUUUUACUUUAGCUAUUCUUCAUUUAUUAUUAUGUAAAAACUCUUUAAUAAUUAUAAAAAGCUUGGCAAAAUAAGAUCCAAGUAGAAUAUAUUCUUAUAUUUCCACCAUUUUAUCUAUUUGCAAGAAAAACAAUCAUAUGGGAUUGAGACUUUUCUAAAUAGCAAAACUAAUAAUGUUCUUUUCUCUUUUUAUAAUACUCCUUUUAUUUUUCAAGAAAAUCAAUGAGUUAAUAUAUAAGCAAAUUUUUAUUCUUCAAAUUAAGCAUAUACUUGUUAUUUAAAAAAAAAAAAAAAAAAGGAACUAUGAGCCAAAUAAGGUCUAUCAAAGUUUCUUUAAAUUUCAUCUAAUAUUUUAUUUAAAACAUAUACAACUUAUUUAUUUUAAUAUUUAGGCAAAGAAUAUUUUUAUUUAAUAUGUAAAAGAACUUAAAUUCAAAAAAUAACUUUCUCAAAGGUUUCUUUUUUCUUGGUGUAAACAUAUCAUAUUCCAAGCUUGGAGCUAAAAGAGUAUUUAGAAUGCCUUUUAACUUUGUAGUGGUUUAAUUAUAAGUAUAUAUAUUAUAUAAAACUCUUUUAAUGGUCACCAAAUACCUAUGGACAUUAAAAAAAGUUAGAUCAAAGAAAAUUAUACUUACAAUCCACGAUUAUGCUUGAUGUAAAGUAGUUAAUUGUUUUUAAGUCUCAUACGAAAUAGUUUGUGCAAUAAAAUAGUUUUUUAAGGGACAAAAAGUAAUUGAUGUUGUUUUUUCGAUAAUUCUCCUUAUUUAUUUUUUGUAAGAUAAAAUUAAUAGCCUAAUCAUUAUAGAACUUUCUUUUAUACCAUAAUGAGUUGUAUAAUUUUCAAUACUAUUUUGGUAUGUUGAAUGUCCUAAGCCAAGGUCUCCCAAAGUUUUAAAACAAAUGUAGUUUUCUAACAUGGAAAUGAAUUUUGAUUAUAUAUAUAUAUGGAUACCCCACUCAUGCCUUUUUCUUUUCUCCUAAUCAAGGUCUUCUAAAGUUUAAAACAAAUGUACUUUUUAAAUUGUAAAUCAAUUUAGAUUACUUUUCUUCUUAAAUCUAUUGGCACGAAGUCAAGAUCUUUGAAAAUUUAAUUAUAUUCCACAUCUUAAUACUACAUUGCCAUUUUUUUCCCCUUUAAGUCUAGGUCUUCCAAAGUUUAAAACUAUAUACCUCAUUGCCAUUUUUUUUCGUCUAAAGUCUAGGUCUUCCAAAGUUUAAAACUAUAUGCCCCAUUGCCAUUUUUUUCCACUUCAGGUCAAGUCUUCCAAAAUUUAAGACUAUAUAUAUAAAGUUAAAUUAUAUUUCAUGCUUUAAUACCCCACUCACACAUUUUUUUGUCCUCCUAGUCAAGGUCUUCUAAAGUUUAAAACAAAUGUAUUUUUUAACUAGUAAAUCAAUUUAGAUUACUUUUCUUCUUAAAUCUAUUGGCACGAAGUCAAGGUCUUUGAAAAUUUAAUUAUAUUCCACAUCUUAAUACUACAUUGCCACUUUUUUCCCCUUCAAGUCUAGGUCUUCCAAAGUUUAAAACUAUAUACAUCAUUGCCAUUUUUUUCAACCAAGUCUAGGUCUUCCAAAGUUUAAAACUAUAUGCCCUAUUGCCUUUUUUUUCCUCUUUAGGUCUAGGUCUUCCAAAAUUUAAGACUAUAUAUAUAAAGUUAAAUUAUAUUUCAAGCUUUAAUACCCCACUCACACAUUUUUUGUCCUCCUAGUCAAGGUCUUCUAAAGUUUAAAACAAAUGUAUUUUUUAACUAGUAAAUCAAUUUAGAUUACUCUUCUUCUUAAAUCUAUUAGCACGAAGUCAAGGUCUUGGAAAAUUUAAUUAUAUUCCACAUCUGAAUGCUACAUUGCCACUUUUUUUCCCUCCAAGUCUAGGUCUUCCAAAGUUUAAAACUAUAUACCUCAUUGCCAUUUUUUUUCGUCUAAGUCUAGGUCUUUCAAAGUUUAAAACUAUAUGCCUCAUUGCCAUUUUUUUUCCACUUCAAGUCUAGGUCUUCCAAAAUUUAAGACUAUAUAUAUAAAGUUAAAUUAUAUUUCAAGCUUUAAUACCCCACUCACAUUUUUUGUCCUCCUAGUCAAGGUCUUCUAAAGUUUAAAACAAAUGUAUUUUGUAACUAGUAAAUCAAUUUAGAUUACUUUUCUUCUUAAAUCUAUUGGCACAGAGUCAAGGUCUUUGAAAAUUUAAUUAUAUUCCACAUUUGAAUACUACAUUGCCACUUUUUUUUCCCUCCAAGUCUAGGUCUUCCAAAGUUUAAAACUAUAUGCCCUAUUGCCAUUUUUUUCCACUUCAGGUCUAGGUCUUCUAAAAUUUAAGACUAUAUAUAUAAAGUUAAUUAUAUUUCAAACCUGAAUACAUCACUCACACUUUUUUUUCCCCUCCUAGUCAAGGUCUUUUAAAGUCUAAAACAAAUGUAUUUUUUAACUUGUAAAUCAAUUUCGAUUAUUUUUCUUCUUAAACCUAUUAGCAUAUAGUCAAGGUCUUCGAAAAUUUAAUUAUAUUCCACAUCUGAAUACCCCAUUGCCACAUUUUUUUUUUCUCCAUUUCCACUUCUAUUGACCUUUCAUUGAUUGGAAGUCAAUGGGUCGAGGAACUAAACCAGCUUCCAAUUUUAACUAAGUUGCAUCUAACUCAUUGUCUACUCCAUAGCUCAAUUCUAGUAACUAUCCUAUAUGAAUAAAGUUUCACUGAAAUUUUGUAUCAGUAUCUAUUUACAAGAUUUCAACAUCUCGUGAUUGGAAUAAUGGUUUUUGAAAAAUUUAAGUUUUGAGUAUUAGAUGAGAAGAUUUUCAAUUCUUGCUAUUCUUCAUUUAAUAUAAUGUAAAACUCGUUAAUGAUUAUAAAAUGUUUGGCAAAACAAGAUUCAAAAGUAGAAUCUAUCCUUAAACCUUAAAUAAAUUUUUUUUUAAAGACUAUUUUUAUAAACUGAAAAACUAAUAAUAAUCUUUUCUCUUCAAUAGCACUCCUUUUACAUUGUACGAUAAAACUAAUGAGCUAAUCUAUAAGCACAUUUUUAAUCAAGCAUAUAAUUGUUAAUAUACAUUUUUAUAUUUUAAUAUUAUGAAAAAAUAAUGUUAUUUCGUAUGCAAAAGAACUUUAAUUAAAAAAAAUCAUUUUCUUAAGGUUUUGCUAUAAACAUAUCACAUUGUAAACACAACCCUUGGAGUUAGAGGAGUAUUUAAGUUUAAAAUAUUACUUGAUUUAGAAUCUAUUUGUUUAUUAAGAAAUUUUGAAAAAUAUAGCUAUAUGCAAAGGAGAAAUAAGGGAAUCAAAAUUUAUUUUAGGCCAACUUUGGUCAAUUAUUUUCUAGUACAACUCAUUUUGAACCGGUUUUCAUCUAUUAUUUUUUGGUACUCACUAGUCAAUUUUAAAGUUUCAAAUUAUUUAUAAAAAAUAUUAUACUCACUAACAAAUUGAACACAAGUCUUACUUCAUUUGAAGUCCAUUUAUCUAUUGUGCAAAUUUGUAAAAUUAUAGUUAUAUGCAUAGAAGAAACAAGAGUUAUUUUAAACUAAAGUCCAUGAAUUUCUUGUGGUGAUUAAGUUGCUUUUUGAGUCCCAAAUUCUUUCCUGAAAGUAAUAAACUUUUAAAAAAAAAUCCAAACCAAGUAAGUAUUGCUUGAUUUGAAGUCUAUUUAUCUAGUAAAAAAAAAAGAAAAUUAUAGUCUUACACAAAAAAUAAACAAUAGAGUCAUUAUAUACCAAUUUUGUCUAUAAAUUUAUGUUAUUAACUGAGUACGUGAGUUUGAAAUUAUUUUUAAAAAUUAUUAGAUUCAAUAAAGGAUUGGAGCAUUAGGUCUAGCUAGAUUUACAUUUUAUUUUCCUAGUUAAAAAAUUCAUAAAAAUAUAGUCGUGUAAUGAAGAAACUAGAAAAGUUAUUCAUAAUAAAUUUUGGUUCAUGAAUUUUUUUUAAUAUUAAUUGGAUUAGCUUUGAGUUUGAUGACUGUUUAGUAUUAAUUGGAUUGAUUUUGAGUUUCAAAUUAUUUUUAAAAAUGAAUAAAUCCUAUAUAUUAAUAUUACUUGAGUUGGAAUCUAUUUGCUUAAAAAAAAAUUAGAUAAGUUAAAGGAAAUAAAAAAAUUAUGUGUAAUUAAGAGAAAUAUCAUAUUUGAUGAUUUUUUUGGUAUUGAUUGGUGAAGAGAAAAUGAAAAAAGAAAGAGAAAAUGAAAAAUUAUUUUUUUAUUUCUUUUAUGUUUUCUUUUGCUUUUAAAAACAAGUGAAAAUAAUUUUUAUUUGUUUUUCGGAAAUUGUUCUCUAUUUAACUUUCAUUUUAAAAAUUGUUUUCAAACAAAAGGCCAAAUAAUGCUAUAAAUUUUUAAAUUACACCACCAAACAAUCUUAUAGAUUUAAUAGUAUUUUUGUAUGCUAAAUGACCUAAGCUCUUUAUUUAUUCUUGAUAACUUGAUUUACAUUUUUUGUUUCUUCCAAUUAAGAUUUUUUUUGCGUCUAGAAUGAGUAUAGUUUUUUUAAUUCUUAAAUGAAUUUUCAUGUUUAUCUUAAUCUUAUUGACCUUGACUUAGUGCCAAGUUAUGGCUUUUCUAUCCACACUUUUUUUUUUUGGUCUAAGUCAAGUUCUUCAAUCAAGACACUUGGUUUCUAUGGUGACACAAGGACUGAGGUCAUUUUCCACUCAAUUAGAAUUUAAUAUGAUACAACUCAUAUAAUACUAAAAAAGAAAAAAAGUGAGGCUAUCAUUGUCAUUACUUUAAACCACCUUCUAUAAAAGCAAGGGAAACGAGAAAGAUGUUUCAAGUAAGGUUCAACUCCACUAAUAUUGAUAAAUUAUUUUUAAUAUGCUUUUCUAUAUAAUCCUCUUAACUCUCUUACAGGUGAUUUCGGUUUUCGACAAUCAAAGUAAGGUUGAUCUAUGAGAUGAUCAUAACUGUUUUUCUUAGUAUAUAUUUACAUAUGCUAUUAGUAGAUCUUUUUAGACUGGUGAUGUUUGUUAAAUGUGUUGUUUAAAUAAGUUUUUCAUGUUGAUGCAAUUGUCUUUUAAGUUUUGUCAAUUUUUUCAUUUUUAUGUUGGAAAUAAAUUUUAAUUCAAUUCAAGCAAAUGCUGACCACAUAUUGGAAUUCAAUUUUUACAGGUGUUCUCUACUAGAGAACUGAAUAUUUACAUGGAGAGAAUUUCAAUUCUUGGUUUCAGUUUAUCCAUUCUCUAUUUCAUAACAACAGAACUUGCAUGUAGUGGUCAUACCCAUAUUGGCAACAAUGUUCAAUCUGAACAAAAGGCGCUUAUUGACUUCAAAAGCGGUCUCAAAGAUCCCAACAAUCGGCUUUCAUCAUGGAAAGGAAGCAAUUAUUGCUCCUGGAAAGGAAUUAGUUGCGAAAAUGGCACAGGAUUUGUCAUUUCAAUUGAUCUUCAUAACCCUUAUCCUCGUGAGAAUGUAUAUGAGAACUGGAGCUCUAUGACCUUAAGUGGAGAAAUUAGUCCUUUGUUGAUAAAACUCAAGUCUUUGAAAUAUCUAGAUUUGAGUUUCAACUCAUUCAAAGCCAUGCCAGUUCCUCAAUUCUUUGGGUCUCUGAAGAAUUUAAUAUAUCUAAACUUAUCGAGUGCUGGGUUUAGUGGAUCAAUUCCUUCAAAUUUAAGGAAUCUUUAUGGCUUGCAAUAUCUCGAUCUUUCUUCUGAGUAUCUUGAUGAUAUUGAUUUUGAAUAUAGUAAUGAUUUAUUUGUUGAAAAUAUUGAAUGGAUGACUGGCCUUGUUUCCUUGAAGUAUCUUGGUAUGAAUUAUGUUAACCUUUCAUUGGUAGGAAGUCGGUGGGUUGAGGUGGCAAACAAGCUUCCAAGUUUAACUGAGUUGCAUCUAGGUGGUUGUAGCCUCUUUGGCUCAUUUCCAUCUCCAAGCUUUGCUAAUUUUACUUCACUUGUUGUUAUAGAUAUCAACAACAACCAAUUUGAUUCCAAGUUUCCUGAAUGGCUUUUAAAUGUUAGCAACCUUGUAUCCAUUGAUAUAAGUCAGAAUCUAUUACAUGGGAAAAUUCCACUUGGUCUUGGUGGGCUACCCAAUUUUCAUUACUUAGAUCUAUCUGGGAAUUUGAAUCUCAGGGGCAAUAUCUCUCAACUGUUGAGGAAGAGUUGGAAAAAGAUAGAAGUUCUAAAUUUGGCUCAUAAUGAAUUUUAUGGUAAGCUUCUUUGUGUUAUUAGAAAAAUUGACAUUUCUUUGUUGAUAUGUUAAUGUAUAGUUAAGUAUAGUUCACAAUUGUGUAUAUAAGUGUUGAAUAUGUAUCAAUAUACAAAUAUCAAAUAAUCACUAUAUUUGAUUCACUUGUUAGAAAAAAAAUUCUUCUUAGUUAAAAAAUAUAUUAUUUUGAAUUUUAAAUUUCUUAGAAGGAAAUUUAGUUUCUUUUUUUUAUCUACGAAAAAGUAUCUAGUUUAACAAUUUAUGCUUAUGAAGUAUCAAUGUUAUUUAACAAUUUUUUUGUGUAAAGGUAAGUGAUUAUAUGAAGUGUUUGUCUACAUAACUAUUAAAAAAAAAUUGUAUCUUAUAGGAAUAUGAUUUUUUUUUUUUAAUCCUUAACUUCCGUUUUUACUUUAAAUUAGUUGAUGAAUGAUUUAUUAUUUAUUAUUGUCAAUAAUUAUACAUUUGUUAUAUUAAUUAUUUUUUUAAUGUUUUCGUUUCAUUUUGAUAUAACUCUCAUUUUUUCUUUAGUUUUGCUCCUGAGGAUAUAAUAAUUUGAGCAUGUACUAAAUGGAAUAUUUAUAAGAUGGUUGAAUUGAUAUAUGAUGUGCUUUGUCACUUAUGUUUUAAUAUUUUACUAAAUUUUGUUAUUAAAUGUUUUCCAUUUUUUACUCUCAUGGUAUACCUUCUUUUAAACUAUUCUAUUACAAUUUUAUUCUAAAUUGUUAUGUUUAUUUAAAGUACUUCAUGUUCCUAUAAAAUUUAAAUAAUUAUAAUUUACUAUUCACUUAUAUUUGAAAAGCUUGUAACUAAUAAAUUAAAAAAAUCACAUUGUAUUAAAAUUUAAAAAUUUGUUUUCUUUGUAUCUCUAAAAAGAAUUAAAUUCCUAUUUUGACAAUUUAUGUUUGUUAAGAGUCUUUAUCAUCAAACACCCUUCAAUCAUCUCCUACAUAUUUUCAAUUUCUAUUUUCUCUCACUAAUUCAUCUAUUAUAUCAAAAUAUUAUACUAGGUUGAACUCCUACUUUUCUCUAGCUUUGUUCUUUAAUGGUACGUUCUACUUUCAAAAUAUUAUAUCUUUGUAGAUAGGAAUAAUUUUCUAUUCAAAUUUUCUAGGAGUUUGUAAAUAAAUAGAAUAACCACUUGGAACUAAAAUAAUUGUUUAGAAAAACUUUUUUUUUUUUGCAUUGCUAAAAUACAAAUUAUAUUUUUGGUAACUUGGAUUUAUUAAAAAAAAAAAUGUAAUUACUUUCUCAAUCUUUUGGUUUAUAUUUUCAUUUUCUAUAUUUUCUCAUUGAACUAUCACUUUGUUCAAAUUAUUUAAGUUUAUUGUUAAAGAAACAAUUAAUGUCAAUGAUUAAUCAUACUAGUCUUAUAACAGUGAAAUCAAUUACUUUAUUUCAUGGUUAUCAUAAAAGAAAAAAAAAGUACCUAAAAAAAAAUCCAAUAUUUUUUAUUACUUUUUCUUUAAAGUAAUUGUUCAUGAAUUAAUUUGUUUUGUUAUUUACUAUUUUUAUUAUUUGUUUGUUACAUAAUUUUAAUUAGUAUAUAUUUUUAUUCUUGGUCAUUGCAGGUUCAAUUCCAAGCUCCAUUGGAAACUUUUGCAACUUAAAAUAUCUGGAUUUGAGUUUUAAUCUCUUGAAUGGAAGUUUACCUAAGAUUAUCAAAGGACUUGAAACCUGCAGUUCUAAAAGUCCUUUGCCUAAUUUGACGGAAUUAUCCUUGUAUGACAAUCAAUUGAUGGGAAAAUUGCCGAAUUGGUUGGGUGAGCUUAAAAAUCUCAAGGCACUCGAUUUAUCCAAUAACAAAUUUGAAGGUCUCAUCCCUGCUUCUUUAGGGACAUUGCAACAUUUGGAGUUUCUGUCUCUUCUGGAGAAUGAGUUGAAUGGAAGUCUCCCAGAUAAUAUUGGACGACUUUCUCAACUGCAAUACUUGGAUGUUUCUUUCAAUCAUUUGAGUGGAAGUCUCCUGGAUAGUAUUGGACAACUUUCUCAACUGCAAGACUUGGAUGUUUCUUCCAAUCAUUUGAGUGGAAGUCUCCCGGAUAGUAUUGGACAACUUUCUCAACUGCAAGACUUGGAUGUUUCUUCCAAUCAUUUGAGUGGAAGUCUCCCAGAUAGUAUUGGACAACUUUCUCAACUGCAAGACUUGAAUGUUUCUUCCAAUCAUUUGAGUGGAAGUCUCCCAAAUAGUAUUGGACAACUUUCUCAACUGCAAGACUUGGAUGUUUCUUCCAAUCAUUUGAGUGGAAGUCUCUCUGAACAACAUUUUUUGAAGCUGAGUAAGUUGGAGUAUUUACAGAUGGGUUCCAAUUCUUUCCAUUUGAAUGUUAGUCCCAAUUGGGUUCCCCCUUUCCAGGUGAAUGAACUUGAUAUGGGUUCAUGCCACUUGGGUCCUUCAUUUCCGACUUGGCUUCAAUCUCAAAAGAACCUCGAGUAUCUUGAUUUCUCAAAUGACAGCAUUUCAAGUCCCAUUCCAAACUGGUUUUGGAAUAUUUCUUUUAAUCUGCAACAGUUGAAUCUUUCUCACAAUCAAUUACAAGGUCAACUACCAAAUUCAUUAAAUUUUUCUAUUGGCGGUGGUGCUUACAUCGAUUUCAGUUCCAACCUCUUUGAAGGACCUAUUCCUUUUUCAAUCAAAGGGGUCCCUUUUCUAGAUCUCUCCCAUAAUAAAUUUUCUGGCUUUUUUUCACCGAGCAGAGGUGAAUCCAUGUUAGGCUUGCAUGCCCUUCUGCUUUCAGAUAAUCAAAUAACAGGAUUCAUCCCUCUAAACAUAGGAAAAUCCAUACCAAACUUGUCUUAUCUUUCUCUUUCAAGUAAUCAAAUAACAGGGGUCAUCCCAUCAAACAUAGGCGAAUCCUUACCCAACUUGGUUUUCCUUUCUCUCUCGGGUAAUCGAAUAACAGGGACCAUCCCAGAUUCCAUAAGACGCAUCACCAAUCUUGAAGUCAUUGAUUUUUCAAGGAAUAAUUUGACUGGAAGCAUUCCUUCUACCAUAAAUAAUUGCUCUGGGCUUUUUGUUCUAGACCUUGGAAACAACAAUUUGUUUGGGAUGCUACCAAAGUCGUUGGGUCAGUUACAAUUGCUUCAAUCACUGCACUUGAACCACAACAAGCUUUCAGGAGAGUUCCCCUCAUCUUGGCAAAAUUUAACAGGUUUGGAUGUCCUUGAUCUCAGUUACAACAGAUUAUCGGGUCAGGUUCCUACUUGGAUUGGAGUUGCUUUCGUAAAUCUUGUAAUUCUCAACUUGAGGUCGAAUAUGUUUUCUGGAAGACUUCCUUCUCGACUUUCAAAUUUAAGCUCCCUGCAUGUCUUAGACCUUGCACAAAACAAUCUGAUGGGUGAAAUUCCAAUCACUUUGGUUGAGCUUAAAGCCAUGGCUCAAGAGCAAAUGAAUAUAUAUCAGUUAAGUGUGAAUGCCAACUCCUCGUAUACCAGCUCCUUGUAUGAAGAACGAUUGGUUGUGAUUGCCAAAGCCCAAAGUCUUGAAUAUACCAGGACUCUUUNNNNNNNNNNNNNNNNNNNNNNNNNNNNNNNNNNNNNNNNNNNNNNNNNNNNNNNNNNNNNNNNNNNNNNNNNNNNNNNNNNNNNNNNNNNNNNNNNNNNGGUAGUUUAACUAAUAGAUGACACAUUUUUCAUGCAGCAAAUGGAGCCGACUCAAUUGAAGCAUGAGGCUAAGCUGAAGGGUGGAUUUUACGUUGAUCCAGAGGUUAAACUUCUAUUUAUUAUUCGUAUCCGUGGGUAUGCACUUGGACUAUAGUUAUUUCCAUUGAUACCUUUACUUUCAUAUUAAUAUUCUGGUUCUCAUUCCUGUCCACUCUGGAACUUUCAGUAUCAAUGCUAUGCACCCGAAGACGAGAAAGAUUUUGCAGCUCUUGUGUUUGAGACAGGUUAGAUGUCAAACCAUUGCAUCUGGAAAUGAGAAAUAUAUGGCUGUUAUAAAUCUAAUACCAUGCUUUGUGCUUGACAGCGUUAAGUUUCUUCUCAUAUCUUAUAUAGAUAUUCCUCUUCAAAGGAUAUAGUGGGGUAGGGAAUUGGGGUUGAACACCAGGGUGCCCUUUUUAGGAGUAGUAUUGCUAGUUCUUGCAUUGUUAAUCAGAAUUGUUUUCUUACUGUAUCAGAUCAUAUAUAUAUAUGUAUGUAUGUAUGUAUAUUUGUUUCACCUCAGAAUCUGAUGCAUAUACCUUAGCACUGCUGCUGUGAUCAAAACUUUGGGCAGAUAGAAAUUGGUAUUAUCCGUAUUUUUUCUACGCUUUUGAUAGUAGACUCUGACAGUAGUGGCAGUAUUUACCAGCUAGCUAUGCCCAGGUACAAUGCGUGAUACUGUACCAUAUUGCUUCUGAGAUAGGUUAUGGAACUGUGGCCCAUUAGCAUUCAUAUCAUGUCCAUAAAACACGCUUGACACUCAAAUGGCAAAGACAAACUACAAUUUUCAUUAACCAAAAUAAAUUGUCUAGUGAGCAAAUAAUCUAGAUUGAAACGUUGAAAAUCAAUGCCUAACUAUAGUACUCAAGAAGCUGAAUUAAAUGUAUCGAGGAUCAAAUAUCCCAAACUUGUAUUCUUGAUGCUAUUUUGAUGGUGGAUGAUUAGUUCAUCUAACAAACUGCUUCCUUUGUGAUUGAACAUUGUUAGUUUUAUGUCAAAUGGAUUAGUUAUGCAUCAUCAAGGAGGAUAUAAUGUCUCUUAUCAUGAGCUUACUAAUCUAAGCAAGCUAUCCCAUUAGAAAAAUGGAGUGUUCUUUGAUGACAUAAGAUCUUCUCAUUCACUUCUUUGAAUACAGAUAUUCAAUGGGGUGUUUCUUAAAGUGAACAAAGCAACAAUGAACAUGUUGCACAGGGUUGAGCCUUAUGUGACUUAUGGGUAAGUAUCUCACUCUUUUGUUUUUCUUAAAAUCCUAUAAAAAGUCUAAACUUGUAUAUUAUUCAUUUCUAAUGUAUUUAUAUUGCAAAUAUUUUAGGUACCCCAAUUUGAAGAGUGUGCGAGAAUUGAUUUACAAGAGGGGGUAUGGAAAGUUGAACAAGCAGAGAACUGCCUUGACCGACAACUCCAUUGUGGAACAGGUUUUUAUGUCAUUCUGUAUCUUGGUUUUCUAUGAGCGAUUGUUUGCUUUAUCUUGUUGCUAACCUGCUUUUGUGAUGAUAGGCUUUGGGGAAGUUUGGUAUUAUUUGCAUGGAAGAUCUUAUUCAUGAGAUCAUGACUGUUGGACCUCAUUUUAAGGAGGCCAACAACUUCCUAUGGCCAUUUAAACUGAAGGCACCAUUGGGUGGUUUGGAGAAGAAGAGGAAUCACUACGUUGAAGGAGGAGAUGCUGGAAACUGUGAAAAUUACAUCAAUGAGCUCAUUAGAAGAAUGAACUAGACAGCUUGCGGUACUUUUGGCCUUUUCUUAUUGGAAGUUUGAUAUCUUUUGCUUCUUAUUAGCAAUGAUAAAGUUGGAGAAUUCUUUUUCGGGUCAUAAAUAUGAACAAAGUGUUGAGAAAUUUAAUUUGAUAUUUGUUUUUAGACUUUGAUAGUAGAUAACUUUAUUACCUCUUGGAAUUUUAUCAGCAUCCAUGGAAUUGAUCAACGAGUGAUUUUCUAUUAUAGUUGCUUACAUUCAAAUUUUUGUGUUGCAAGGUCAAAUUUAUAUAUGCUAGUUAAAUUUAUGUAUGCCACUUAACAACAUUUUCCAUAUGACCCUCUUAGAAUGAAAUCUACCUUUAACAAUCAAAUGUAUAUCUAUAUAUAUAUAUAUAUGUAUUUGCAUGUUUGUGUGUAGGAUAAAUUAUAAAUUUACCUUACAAUAUAUGGUGCUUCAAUUGAGUUUGUAAACCUUUUUUUUCUAGUAAGGUUAUUCAUUGUAUGUGUCAAAUCAACCUCUUUAUUAUGGUUUUUGGAGCAAAUUUGUUGGAAAACCUCUAUGUGAACACUUGAAUUCAUCUUCAUAUGAUAUGUUUGGAUGUCUAAAAACACAAUGUUUAGUAUUAGAUUGACACGAUUAAAGGUUUGUUUCAAUUUAGAUGGUUUUUGUUUUUUCUACGUAACUUUAAGUAGAACUCAAUUUCACUCUUAAUACAAUAUAAUAGUAUUAAGUUGAUUUUUUUUAUUAUUUUAUUUUUGUAAAGUGGUAAGUAUUAAUAGGGUGAGGCCAUGCUGAGAUCCUAUUUGGUUUGUUUUAAUAGUUAUUUUUAGUAUGUAUUAAAAAGCCAAAUAUUUUAACUUUUUUAUUUAUUUAGUCAAAAAAUUUUUAAAAAUGCAUAAUAAGUGAAAAAAAAGUUAAAAGAAAAUCAUAUAAAGUCUCGACAUUAUGUUAAAAAACAAACAAUACAAUAGUCUUUAAAUUUUUUUUCUGAUGUUAUGUUUAAAUCAUGUUCAAGUUUCAAAUGCAUGUUGUAUGUAAAGAUUUUUGGUCUAAACUUGUUUGACUAUCACACAUAUAUAAAAAUUUUAAUUUUUUAAAAUAAAAAUAUAUUAACUAUUUUCUAGUUUUAGAAAGAGAAAAAAGAAAAUGUAUUAAUUGUCUAUUUUUAAAAAUAGAAAGCAUAAAAUAUAUUUCCAAUACUAAUCACGAAAAAAUAAAAUAAAAUAAAAUCUAAUAGUAAAGAAAAAUGAGUAAUCUUAGAAUGAGUAUGGACGAGACAGACAAGAAAAGCUCGCCAUGGAGACAUUCUUAUUACAUAUUCCUAACCCAAAAAGGGAACAUAUGGAACCUCCUUUUUCUUCCAAUGCACCAACAACACAAAGAAACACAAAGAAUCCCCAUCAUUGAAUACGAGCCAUGGCAAACAUGAACAUUAAAUGGUGGUUUGACAAUAUUUUCAAAAAUAGGUUAUAAAAAAUAAAUUUUGAAAACGAUUUUUAUAAUUAUCUUUAGAAAUUAAAUUUUGUUGAGAAUUCAAAUAUGAAAUGAUUUUUCUCUAACUUAAUACUUGUUUCUACCACCGUCCGGGAUAUAUGUGUGUAUCUCUUUAAAAAUGAAAAAAAGAACAACUUUAGUGCCUAAAUUGGCUAAGUAAUGAUAUUGUAUAGGACAAAGAGAAGAUGACAGUUAUCGGGUGAACAGUUUUUUUGCCUCAAAUCUUUAAAGAUUUUAGAUGUUUUAUUAUUUUUAUUUUUUUUUAAAUUUAGCCUUAAUUCUUUAAAUUGAGUCUUAUUUUCAAGUAUGUAUAUGAAUAUACCAAUUAAAAAAUUUAAUUUUUAUUUGGAAUAUGAGCUUAGAAAUUGAAUGAUGUUUUUUCAUCAAUAUCGAUUGAGAUUUUAAACGAGUGUUAGACAUGUUUAGACCAUAGAUGAAAAAGAAAAGAAUAAUAGUAGAUUAGGUGCAAAAUUGUCUUGAUAUAAUGAUUAACCAAAGGAUGCUAUAUCUUCUUCUAUAUGGAAUUAAUUUUCCUUUAUUAUUAAUAUAUUUCACUAUUUUUAUUUUAAUUCUAUUUAAACAAAAAUAGUCGUGUGAACUAAAAUCGAUGUUCCUUUUGUUAUGGUGUUAUUUGACAAUUUUCUUUUAAUAUUAUUUUUAAAAAAGUUAUAAUGUAGGGUAAGACAUUUUGGUAAAGGUAAUAAUCAAUUCAUUUCUUGACCAGUUGAUUAUUUUCUUAUUAUUAAGAUGUAGAAUGAUCUGAAUAAGAAAAAGGACGUAGUCAAGGUCUUUUAUUUUAUUUUAUUAUUAUUUUUAAAAUUUUAGAGGAUGUUUUACUUGAACACAGUUUAACUUUUUGACUUGAUAACGUGAUCAACAUUGCAUAGAAAAUAAACUUCCUUUAUCAUCGGUCAUGAUCAAACAACGUGAUCUACAAUUCAUAUAAAAUUGAUGGGUCGUGAAAAAGAUAAGAUUUUUUUUUAAUUUUAGAGGAUGUUUUACUUAAUCAUGGAUUAACUUUUUGACUUGAUAAUGUGGUUAAUACUGCAUAUAAAAUAAAGUUCUUUUUAUCAUCGGUUAUGAUCAAACAACAUGGUUUACACUUCAUACAAAAUUGAUGUGUCAUGAAAAAAAUACAAACUAUCUUAAUUUGAUUUUAAAUAGUUAUUUAUUAUCUAUUGUGGUCAACACUAGAUAGAAAAUAAAGUUCAUUUAUCAUUGGUCAUGAUCAAACAACGUGGUUUAUACUUCAUACAAAAUUGAUGUGUCAUGAAAAAAAUAUAGACUAUCUUAAUUUGAUUUUAAAUAGUUAUUUAUUAUCUAUUGUGGUCAAUACUAGAUAGAAAAUAAAGUUCAUUUAUCAUCGGUCAUGAUCAAACAACAUGGUCUACAAUUCAAACAAAAUUGAUGGGUCAUGAAAAAGAUGCAAACUUUUAAAAAAUAAAGAUAAAUUUAGAGGAUGUUUUACUUGAACACGUAUUAACUUUUUGACUUGAUAACGUGACUAAUACUUGCAUAUAGAAUAAAGUUCUUUUAUCAUCGGUUAUGAUCAAACAACGUGGUUUACACUUCAUACAAAAUUGAUGUGUCAUGAAAAAGAUACAAACUAUCUUAAUUUGAUUUUAAAUAGUUAUUUAUUAUCUAUUUAACUUGACAAACUUUACCACGUGGUCUACACUUCAUGAAAAAUAAAUAUUCUUUAUUGUGGAUCAUGAUCGAGAAAAAAAUGGGCUGUUAUUAUUUGCUUUAAAUGGUUAUUCAUUGUCCAUGAUUAAAUCUAGGCAAAUGAAGUUAUUUCCUUGAACACGUAAUAAUCAAUUUAGAGGAUGUUUUACUUGAACACGUAAUAAUCAAUUCAUUUUUUGGCCGUUGAUUAUUUCCUUAUUUUUAAGAUGUAGAAUGAUCUGAAUAAGAAAAAGGACGUAGUCAAGGUCUUUUAUUUUAUUAUUAUUUUUAAAAUUUUAGAGGAUGUUUUACUUGAAGACGGUUUAGCUUUUUGACUUGAUAACGUGGUCAACACUGCAUAGAGAAUAAAUUUCCUUUAUCAUCGGUCAUGAUCAAACAAUGUGAUCUACAAUUCAUACAAAAUUGAUGGGUCGUGAAAAAGAUAAGAUUUUUUUUUUAUAUAACUUAUUAUUAUUAUUAUUAUUUAUCUUGUGUGGAUAACAUUUUUUAUGGACUUUAUUAUUGUUAUUAUUAUUAUUCAUAAUAAUUUUUCUUUCAUGAAUUUUUUAAAAUAUCAAUUGGAUUAGCUUUGAGUUUGAUGACUGUUUAGUAUUAAUUGGAUAGAUUUUGAGUUUCAAAUUAUUUUUGAAAACGAAUAAAUCCUAUAUUUUAAUAUUACUUGAUUUGGAAUCUAUUUGCUUGAUAAAUUUUUUUAGAUAAGUUAAAGAAAAUAAAAAAAAGAAUGUGUUAUUAAGAAAAAGAUCAUAUUUGAUGAUUUUUGGUAUGGUUGGUGAAGAGAAAAUGAAAAAAGAAAGAGAUCGUGUUUACUUUAUUUGUUUUUAUGAUUUUUUAAAUUAUUUUGAUUUCUUUAUGUUUUUCUUUUGCUUUUAAAAACAAGUGAACAAAAUUUUUAUUUGUUUUUUGGAAAUUGUUCUCUAUUUAACUUUGGUUUUAAAAAUUGUUUUCAAACAAAAAGGCCAAAUAAUGCUAUAAAUUUCUAAAUUACACCACCAAACAACCUUAUGGAUUUAAUACUAUUUUUGUAUGCUAAAUGAUCUCAGCUCUUAACUUAUUCCUAAUACCUUGAUUUACAUUUUUUGUUUCCUCCGAUUAAGAUUUUUUAGCGUUUAGAAUUAGCAUAAUUUUUUUUAAUUCAUAAAUGAAUUUUCAUGUUUAUCUUAAUCUUAUUGACCUUGAUUUAGUGCCAAGUCAUGGUCUUUCUAUCCACACCUUUUUUUAUUUUAUUUUAAUUUUUUUUCCUUUUUGUCCAAGUCAAGGUCUUCAGCACUUGGUUUUUGUGGUGAGGCAAAGACUCAAGUCAUUUUCCACUCAAUUAGAAUUUAAUAUGAUACAACUCAAAUAAUACUAAAAACAAAAAGAAGUGAGGCUAUCAUUGUCAUUGCUUUAAACCACCUUCUAUAUAUUUUGUUGAAUUGAAAAUGCAAGGGAAGCAAAGAAAGAAGUUUCAGGUAAGGAACUAAUAUUGAUAACUUAUUUUUAAUAUGCUUUUCUAUCUAAUCCUUCUAACUCUAAGUGAUUUCGGUUCUCGCUAGUCAAAGUAGGUUGAUAUUUGAGAUGAUUAUAAUUGUUUUUCUUAAUAUAUAUUUACAUAUGUUAUUAGUAGAUCUUUUUAGACUAGUGUCGUUUGUUAAAUGUGUUGUUUAAAAUAAGUUCUUCAUGUUGUGCAAUUGUCUUUUAGAUUUUGCCAAUGUUUUCCAUUUUAUGUUGGAAAUAAAAUUUUAAUUCAAUUCAAGAAAAUGCUGACUACAUAUUGGAAUUCAAUUUUUACAGGUGCUCCUUACUAGAGAAUUACAUAUUUACAUGGAGAAAAUUUCAAUUCUUGGUUUCAUUUUAGCUAUUCUCUAUUUCAUAACAGAACUUGCAUGUAAUGGUCAUACCCAUGUCGACAACAAUGUUCAAUCUAAACAAAAGGCUCUUAUUGACUUCAACAGUGGUCUCAAAGAUCCCAACAAUCGGCUUUCAUCAUGGAAAGGAAGCAAUUAUUGCUACUGGAAAGGAAUUAGUUGCGAAAAUAGCACAGGAUUUGUCAUUUCAAUUGAUCUUCAUAACCCUUAUCCUCGUGAGAAUGUAUAUGAGAAUUGGAGCUCUAUGAACUUGAGUGGAGAAAUUAGUCCUUCAUUGAUAAAACUCAAGUCUUUGAAAUAUCUAGAUUUGAGUUUCAACUCAUUCAAAGCCAUGCCAGUUCCUCAAUUCUUUGGGUCUCUGAAGAAUUUAAUAUAUCUAAACUUAUCGAGUGCUGGGUUUAGUGGAUCAAUUCCUUCAAAUUUAAGGAAUCUUUCUAGCUUGCAAUAUCUCGAUCUUUCUUCUGAGUAUCUUGACGAUAUUGAUUUUGAGUAUCUUUAUGAUAUUCAUUCUGAAUAUUUUAAUAAUUUAUUUGUUGAAAAUAUUGAAUGGAUGACUGACCUUGUUUCCUUGAAGUAUCUUGGUAUGAAUUAUGUUAACCUUUCAUUGGUAGGAAGUCGAUGGGUUGAGGUGGCAAACAAGCUUCCAAGUUUAACUGAGUUACAUCUAGGUGGUUGUAGCCUCUCUAGCUCAUUUCCAUCUCCAACCUUUGUUAAUCUUACUUCACUUGCUGUUAUAGCUAUCAACUCCAACUACUUCAAUUCCAAGUUUCCUGAAUGGCUUUUAAAUGUCAGCAACCUUGUAUCCAUUGAUAUAAGUGACAAUCAACUGCAUGGGAGAAUUCCACUUGGUCUUGGUGAGCUACCCAAUUUGCAAUACUUAGAUCUAUCUUUAAAUGUCAAUCUUAGGGGUAGUAUCUCUCAACUAUUGAGGAAGAGUUGGAAAAAGAUAGAAGUUCUAAAUUUGGCUCAGAAUGAAUUACAUGGUAAGCUUCUUUGUGUUAUUAGAAAAAUUGAUAUUUCUUUGUUGAUAUGUUAAUGUAUAGUUAAGUAUAUUUCACAAUUGUGUAUAUAAGUGUUGAAUAUGUGUCAAUAUACAAAUAUCAAAUAAUCAGUAUAUUUGGUUCACUUGUUGGAAACAAAAUUCAUCUAAUUAAAAAAAAAUUAUUUUGAAUUUUAAAUUCUUAGAAGGAAAUUUAGUUUCUUUUUUAUCUAAGAAAAAGUAUAUAGUUUAACAAUUUAUGCUUAUGAAGUAUCAAUGUUAUUUGACAAUUUUUUGUGUAAAGGCAAGUAAUUAUAAAAAGUGUUUGUCUACAUGACUAUUAAAAAAAAUUGUGUCUUAUAGGAGUAUGGUUUUUUUUUUUAAUCCUUAACUUCAUUUUUUACUUUAAAUUAGUUGAUGAAUGAUUUAUUAUUUAUUAUUGCCAAUAAUUAUACAUUUGUUAUAUUAAUUAUUUUUUGAAUGUUUUCAUUUCAUUUUGACAUAACUCUCAUUUUUUCAAUUUGUUUUGCUCCUGAGGAUAAUAAUUUGAGCAUGUACUAAAUUGAAUAUUUAUAUGAUGGUUGAAUUGAUAUAUGAUGUGCUUUGUCACUUAUGUUUUAAUAUUUUACUAAAUUUAGUUAUUAAAUGUUUUCCAUUUUUUACUCUCAUGGUAUACCUUCUUUUAAACUAUUCCAUUACAAUUUUAUUCUAAAUUGUUAUGUUUAUUUAAAGUACUUCCUGUUCCUAUAAAAUUUAAAUAAUUAUAAUUUACAAUUCACUUAUAUUUGAAAAGCUUGUAACUAAUAAAUUAAAAAAAUCACAUUGUAUUAAAAUUUAAAAAUUUACUUUCUUUGUAUCUCCAAAAAGAAUUAAAUUCCUAUUUUGACAAUUUAUGUUUAUUAAGAAUCUUUAUCAUCAAACACCCUUCAAUCAUUUCCUACAUAUUUUCAAUUUCUAUUUUCUCUCACUAAUUCAUCUAUUAUAUCAAAUUAUUGUAAUUUAUAUACUGAGAUAUGACAUUUCAUGGUUGAGACUAGUAAUUGAAACCAUAAAAUUGAACAUUAAGUGAAUAUGAUAUGGCAUUUCAUGUUCUUAAAUAUUGUUAUUGAAAUUUUAAAAAAUUUAAGGUAGUAAAAAAUUUCUAAUACGUAUGUUUUUUAAAACAAUUUUUGAAUAUCAUUUUUUUUUAUGGUAGUUUACUAUUUAUAUUAGAGUUUCUAUGAAUUUCUAUGUCUAGAAAUAAAACAUAUGAAGCUUAUCCAAGCACAACCUUAAAGAAACAAUUAAUGUCAAUGAUUAAUCCUACUAGUCUUACAACAGUGAAAUCAAUUACUUUAUUUCAUGGUUAUCAUAAAAGAUAAAAAAAAGUACCUAAAAAAUAUCUAAUAUUUUUUCUUACUUUUUCUUUAAACUAAUUGUUCAUGAAUUAAUUUGUUUUGUUAUUUACUAUUUUUAUUAUUUGUUUGUUACAUAAUUUUAAUUAAUACAUAUUUUUAUUCUUGGUCAUUGCAGGUUCAAUUCCAAGCUCCAUUGGAAACUUUUGCAACUUAAAAUAUCUGGAUUUGAGUUUUAAUCUCUUGAAUGGAAGUUUACCUGAGAUUAUCGAAGGACUUGAAACCUGCAGUUCUAAAAGUCCUUUGCCUAAUUUGACGGAAUUAUCCUUGUACUACAAUCAAUUGAUGGGAAAAUUGCCGAACUGGUUGGGUGAGCUUAAAAAUCUCAGGGCGCUCUAUUUAUCCAGUAACAAAUUUGAAGGUCCCAUCCCUACUUCUUUAUGGACAUUGCAACACCUGGAGUAUUUGUAUCUUUCACGGAAUGAGUUGAAUGGAAGUCUCCCAGAUAGUAUUGGACAACUUUCUCAACUGCAAGGCUUGGGUGUUUCUUCCAAUCAUAUGAGUGGAAGUCUCCCAUAUAGUAUUGGACAACUUUCUCAACUGCAAUGUUUGUAUGUGUCUUCCAAUCAUUUGAGUGGAAGUCUCCCAGAUAGUAUUGGACAACUCUCUCAAUUGCAAGACUUGGAUGUUUCUUCCAAUCAUUUGAGUGGAAGUCUCCCAGAUAGUAUUGGACAACUCUCUCAACUGCAAGAGUUGGAUGUUUCUUCCAAUCAUUUGAGUGGAAGUCUCUCUGAACAACAUUUUUGGAAGCUGAGUAAGUUGUGGUAUCUACGCAUGGACUCCAAUUCUUUCCAUUUGAAUGUUAGUCCCAAUUGGGUUCCCCCUUUCCAGGUGAAUGAUCUUGAUAUGGGAUCAUGCCGCUUGGGUCCUUCAUUUCCGGCUUGGCUUUAGUCUCAAAAGAAGCUCCUGAAUCUUGGUUUCUCAAAUUGCAGCAUUUCAAGUCCCAUUCCAAACUGGUUUUGGAAUAUUUCUUUAAAUCUGCAAUGGUUAAAUCUUUCUGACAAUCACUUACAAGGUCAGCUACCAAAUUCAUUAAAUUUUUCUGGUCAAUUAGAGAUUGAUUUCAGUUCCAACCUCUUUGAAGGACCUAUUCCCUUUUCAAUCAUAGGGGUCUCUUUUCUAUAUCUCUCCCAUAAUAAAUUUUCAGGCUUUUUUCCACCGAGCAGAGGUGAAUCCAUGUUAGGCUUGUAUUACCUUUUGCUUUCAUAUAAUCAAAUAACAGGAUUCAUCCCUUUAAACAUAGGAAAAUCCAUGCCAAACUUGUCUUAUCUUUCUCUUUCAAGUAAUCAAAUAACAGGGGCCAUCCCAUCAAACAUAGGUGAAUUCCUACCCAGCUUGCAGUUCCUUUCUCUUUCGGGUAAUCAAAUAACAGGGAACAUCCCUGAUUCCAUAGGACACAUUACCUCUCUUCAAGUCAUUGAUUUUUCAAGGAAUAAUUUGACUGGAAGCAUUCCUUCUACCAUAAAUAAUUGCUCUGGCCUUUUUGUUUUAGACCUUGGAAACAACAAUUUGUCUGGGAUAAUACCAAAGUCGUUGGGCCAAUUACAAUCGCUCGAAUCACUGCACUUGAACCACAAUGAGCUUUCAGGAGAGCUCCCCUCAUCUUUCCAAAAUUUAACAGGCUUGGAAGUUCUUGAUCUUAGUUACAACAAAUUGUUGGGUGAGGUUCCUACAUGGAUUGGAGCUGCUUUUUCGUAAAUCUGGUAAUACUCAACUUAAGGUCGAAUAAGUUUUGUGGAAGACUUCCCUCCCAACUUUCAAAUUUAAGCUCCCUGCAUGUCUUAGACCUUGCACAAAACAAUCUGAUAGGUGAAAUUCCAAUCACUUUGGUUGAGCUUAAAGCCAUGGCUCAAGAGCAAUUUAAUAUAUAUCAGAUAAAUGUGAAUGUCAACUCCUCCUUGUAUGAAGAACGAUUGGUUGUGAUUACCAAAGGCCAAAGUCUUGAAUAUACCAAGACUCUUUCUCUUGUUGUAGGCAUUGACCUAUCCAACAAUAAUUUAAGUGGAGAGUUUCCCCAAGAAAUAACAAAAUUGUUUGGUUUGGUGGUUUUGAACUUGUCGAGGAAUCACAUCACUGGCCAAAUUCCUGAAAACAUUUCAAUGUUGCGACAAUUGUCAUCUCUUGAUUUGUCAAGCAAUAAGCUUUCCGGCACCAUUCCUUCAAGCAUGGCCUCAUUAUCAUUCUUGAGUUAUUUGAAUCUAUCAAAUAACAAUUUCUAUGGUAAGAUCCCCUUUAUAGGGCAAAUGACAACCUUCACCGAGCUGGCCUUUGUGGGAAACCCUGAUCUAUGUGGAGCUCCAUUGGCCACAAAAUGCCAGAAUGAAGAUCCAAAUAAAAGGCAAAGUGUUGUUAGUGACAAAAAUGAUGGUGGUUAUAUUGAUCAAUGGUUUUACUGAGCGUUGGCUUGGGAUUUGCCAUGGGCAUCCUAGUUCCAUUUUUUGUUUUGGCAACAAGGAAAUCUUGGUGUGAGGCCUAUUUUGAUUUUGUGGAUGAGAUUGUCAGAUGGUUGUUGAGAGGAAGAGCAACCUAUGCCAAAAAUCAUCGUAGAAGGCGAUAAAUUUUGUUUGUAGAUCUUUCUAUGGUUUUAGGUAUGAUGUACUAAAAGACAUGCACAAGUUGAUUUUACCUACUAGGACUCCCCUGAUGUAACAGAAUCUCUCUUAACUCAGAGACAGCAACACUGACCCAAAGAAACCUAUCAGACCUGAAACAGCUCAAUUCUCCAAUUAAAUUAUCCAGAAACUGACUUUGGCCGAUGACUUGGAAAUGAGGAGAACAGAGGAUUGCACAAGAUGAGAUCAAUUGCAAUGGGCAGCACAGAGGAUAUUAUUUUCAAGUAUGCAUUUUUUAUAAUCUUUUCUAAUUUCUAAUUUUAUUUUAUGUGAUUUAUAGAAAGAAAAAAAAAAGGUUUUUGUUAAUAUAAGUUGUGAUUUUUCAAUGUUAUAGCCUGUUUAACUGCUACUAAGAAAAACACACCGUCUUUUCUCUUUGCUAGUAGAAUUUAUAAUAGCCCCUAAAAUUAAAAAUAAUUGGUUCUAAUUUAAAAUUUUUGAAUUCUCUUAAAUAUGUAAUUUUCAUUUAUGUUUCCACUAGCUUAUAAUAUAUAAAUAGAAUAUGAACGUAAUAUUAUAAUAUUAUAAUAUUUUUUCUUUUUUCCAUUUUUAAAUUUUUUUUCCCAAGUUCAAAAACUUGAUUAAUUAUUAAGAAAAAUGGCUAAAAUUUAUAAUUCUUGAAAGAAAAAUUUACUUUUUUUUUUCAAACAAAUUAAAUAGAUGAUAACUUUUCAUAUAUAAUAAAAAUAUAAAUUAUGUAUUUUUUUGUUAAGAAAAUGGUAAUCUUUUAAUAAAAAUAAUAAAAAUAGAUAUUAAUAUUUUAAUAAAUCAAUAAAAUUGUAUUUAUUUUUUAAGUUUUAAAAUUUAUAGAUUUAUUAAAAUAUUAGUAAAAUAAAAUUUAUAAAUUUAUUGAAAUAUAUUCAUCAUUAUCAUAUUUGAUAUGCAAAAUAAGGAGUGAAAAUGGACAUCUCAUUCAUUAUCAUGUUUGGAAUGAGAAUGGAAUAAAAAAUUAUUCCAACAAAUAAAUAAAUUUAUGUAAAUUAUUUUUAAACACUUUUCAAAUAAUAAAAAACAAAAAACUGAUUUAUAUAAGUUGUUUUUAUAAAUAAUUUUUUAUUUUGAUUUUGUAAAUUUAAUUUGUAUAAUAUAAAUUUAAUUUAAUUUGUUUCUUAUUACAAAUAAAAAAAAUAACCUUGUUUUUAUAACUGAAUUAAAAAUAAAUAGUUUUGAAUAAAAUAUAAAAAUAAAUUAAAAAUAAUAAUUUUAUUAUUACAAAUAAAGUAAAAAUAAUUCAACUCUUUUCCUGGGCUGGGCCAGUUUGGCCCUUUUUAUUUAUUUUUUUAGUUUUGUAUUCCCCACUAGCUAGCCUUUUGGGCUCUGUUAUGGGUCCCAUCUCUGGACCUAAUUUCUGGGCCAAUUUUGGGCCGCCCUUUUUUAACAUAUAUAAUUUUUAUGAAGCCUUUUUUGCCUCCCUAAGGGGACCAUUUUCUGACAACUUUGGGGCCUUUGAAAUUUUAUUUUAUUUUAUUUUAUUUUUCUAAUAUUUUAGCUAUGAAUUAUACUAUUUUACAACUUCACACAAAUAUUUAUGUACUUUAAAAAAGAAUAUUAAAUUAUAAGAAAUAAAUAGAAAAUAAAUAUUUCAAUAAACCACAUACAUAACAAAAAAUAUAAAUUAUGUAUAUAUUUUUUAAAAAAAGAUGAUAAUAUUUUAGUAAAAUUUAGAAAAGAUAAAUAUUAAUAUUUUAAUAAAUUGAUUUGUUCUCGUGGCACAUGUCAUAAGCCAACCCUCCCAUCUUCCUCCCCUCACCCACACCCAACCAAAGCCCACAUGAUACCCAACCCAAUAAGAAAAAAUGGAUUAUUAUGAUUUAAUUUUAAAUUAAGUUAUUAGACAUUUGUAUAAGGAAAAAAAAAACUAAUUUAUUAUAAUAAGGUUAUUGUAUGUCUAUGUUUCUCGUUAGUGGGGGACGUAAAGGAAUCAAGUUUGUGGGUUGGAUUAUAUUAUUUUUUAAUAUCAUUUUCCUUUGAAGUCAAAAGUCAUUACUUAAAUUGCAAGACAUAUAUAAUGUAUGUGUAAGAAAAUGAAUUGGAAGCAAUUAUAUUAAUGACCCUACUAUGCCAUAUUUGGAUUUAAAAUAACUUUUCAAUGUCUUCAUAAUUUACAAUUGUGGAUAAUAAAUCUUUAAUCUUCUAAUAUUAUUGGCAAUAAUUUUGAAAAGCAAAGCGAUUGCGCUGAAAUAAUAUAGAGGUUAUAUUAAUUAGGACUUGAUGAGAUUAUAUUUAAUAUUUAAAUAUAAAUUAAUACUAUUUUUAAAAUUAAUUAGGACUUAAAAUUUUGUUUAAUAAUUUAAUACUAUUUUUAAUUUACUAAAUAUUCUUUUAGUUUACCAUGUGUAAUUUUUUUUUAAAAAAAAUUAAAAUAAUUUUAUAUAAAUAAGAGUGUCUAGUGUAUUAAUUUUUUUUUUGGAUUAUGUGAAAUCACAUAAUUAAAAUUAAUUUUUUAAUACAUUUUUUAAUACAAAAUUAUACUCUAUUUUUUGUUAAAUACAUUUAUUUUUAUCUUUUAUCAAAGUUUCUCGAAUUAUUAAUUUUUAGGCAAAAAUUUAAAUUCUUUUUUUUGUUAAAAAUGAAUACUAAUAUUUGAAAAAUUAUAGUUAUAAAUUUUAAAAAUUCACUUAAAUUUUUAUUUAGAUAAAAAAAAAAUUAAAUUAUAAAAAAUAAAUGGAUAAUAAUUAUUUCAAUAAAUAAUAUAAUGAAUUAAUGCAUAAUAAAAACAUAUAAAUUAGUAUUUUUGGGUUAAAGGAUUAUAAAAUGCAUACCUUAUGUUUUCUAUUGUUUUCUAAUUCCAUGCAUAUCUUAUUGUUUUGGGUAUUGAGGAGAGUUAUUUGACACGUAUCAGAGGGGAUAUGCUCUCCUUUUGGGGGUGUCUUGAGCAAAGGCAAGAAAAAUACAGGAAGCAGAGAGUUGUGAGGGAGGGUAGAGGUGCAGAGAGGCUUGGAUGAUAUGAUAAGAGAAGGAAGAGAAAACUAGCAAAGAAGCGGGGACUGUGAGAAAGUACAUAGAGAAAAUGAGAAAAAGGGCAGAGUAGGGUGGAGCUAGGGGAAGACUACAAAGAAAUUUUUACUAGAGGAGGAUAUUCAAGGUUGAUGGAUGAGCUGGUUUUAGCAAGAUUUUUGAUAGGAGUCUUAGGGAAGGAAUGAAAGUUGUGAGAGAACCAACAGAGAAAGAGUUUUACAGAGAAGAGCCAGAGAGGGAGAAUAAAGGAACAGACUGGUCUUGCUUGAGUUGGAAGAAGAGAAAGCUUGUUGAAAGGGGCCAACAUUGCUUAUGAAGAACAUCCUCAGGUAUGACUGCCAUGGAUCCUUUGUUUUUCUUCAUUGUUAUAUAGUCUCUUUCUCUUUUCUCGAUAUUUUCUGUGGAUUGCUUGACUAGGUGUUUAGUUUUAUGAUUCCUGUUUGGUUUAUGGGUUUAUUGUUGCUAUCUCCUUCAUUUUCUUUAGGGUGAUUUGAGAGCAACACAGCUCUGUUUUAGCUUCACUGUACAUCACGUGGAAGUCUUGCUUUUGUUUUCAUUUCCAUGGGAUGCAUUCUGGUUCACUCACCUACAUCUAAGCCUGUGGAUCAAAACAUGAAACGUGACUUUCACUAGUUCAUUCUGGUUUCAUCCUUCGUACUCUGUUUUCUUGGUUGUCUUCUUAUAUUCCUUUGUGUGUUUUCGGGUGCAUAUCAGUAUGUACAUCACCAGUUGACUAUGCUAGAGAAGGGCUUCUGAAUGCAGUUGAAGCUCGAGACCCAAAUUUGGAAUAAGAGAGCAGGCUCGGUGACUCUGAUGUGAUUGUUGUUUCAUGGGAAAAGUGAAUUGGCACCGGUUGAACAUAGGUUACCAGAGAAUGGUAAAUAUAUGGCUUGGGUUCCUUAGGCUUUGGGCUCACUAUUGCAGACUGCACCAUAAGGAGGAAGUGAGCAUAAGUUGAUUAUUACCCCUUUAGGUGUUGGAAAUGAAGUGGGUCAGUCUUGUGUCUUUGUGUCCUACAAGAGGAAAUCUGUAAUGAUGUUGAUGAUCAUGAUAAUGAGUCAGGUCAUACUAUUUCAGAAUUAGGCAUUAAAUUAGUCCAAGAACCAUAAAUUGGUGCUUUUGGAGAACAAUGUUCUUGAUGAUGACAUAAAGCUAGUUGUGAGCCAGAGUGGGGAAAUCAGUAUUGUAGAUGCCCCAGGAUUUCCUAAUGUAAAGACAUGCAGAUGAAGCCAGUAAAGCCAUUAAAGCCAGUAAAGCCAAAUGGUGUUGUUUUCGUAGGAUUGUUAACAGCUUGUACCCAUGCAUGGUUGGUUGAGAAGGAGGUUCAAUCACCGGAUGGGUCUGUUGAAAUCAAAACAGGAUGGUCAGUGAGAAAGAGCUCUCCAGUGGCAAUCCCAUAUUUGGGUUCAAUACUGGAACAAAAAAAGUAUGAAGAUCUAUUGAUUGCUGGAAUUGUUACUGUUUUUCACCCAAAAGGAUUCAUUUCAACUUUUGAAUAUAUUGAAAGUGGAAUUGCGAAAUUCUUGGUGAAUUACUUAUCCAAUGGUCUAUACAUGAGAUAAAAAGUCAGCUCACUGUGCAUGUGAGCCCAAGCUAGUUCCCUAACUCUAGUAGCCUGAACCAUCAGUUUGUCCCCCAUCACCAUAUUCAACAAUCAUUCCUCAUACCCCCUACCUUCAAUUUCAAACCUAUCAUACUCCCUCCAUGAUCCUCACUUUCUUUUCUCUCCAUAGCAUGCUCUUCAGAAGAUAAGCAUAAUUCAACCAGAAGUAGCUCGUGGUUGGGCCAUGGCUGGCUAAUCUCUCUCAUCCGGCCUCUCAUCAUUACCCAAGACGACCCCAGCAUACCCAUAGCCAUCGUUCAGCUUGAAGACGUGUCUGAACUCCUGGGUAGUUGUCAUCGGGACUGUGAUGGAAUAGUGCAACCAUAUUUAGGGUAUUCAAUUUGUUGUUGACGAUUAUGGAAAAUUUUCCUGUGUUACUGUUGAUUUCCUAGAGAAUAUUGCGGACUAACAUACAAUACCCCGAUAAUGCUGCAUACAAUCUGGGGCCCUGAAUCCUACAUGAAUCGCAGAAGUUGUAGGCAGUUUUGGUCCUUGAUGCAACCUCAUGAUGACAAGACAAAUACAGGGCCAAAAAGUUGGGCAUUAUAUUAUGGUUGAAGUUGUGUAUCAGAAUUCUGGCCAAAUAGCUCCAUUAGAUGGGGUUAUCAAAUUAAAAGAAGAAUACAAUUUCUGUGUCUUAUUGGAUGAGAGAAAUCUUGUGCUAUGGAAUGCAUCUAAGAAGAAGGUGAUUAUGGAUGAUCCCAUAGCUUGCAUGGCCAUCUUCUUAGGCUCAAUAAAAGGAACAGAGACUAAAUUACCAUGUGUUUGUCCAAGUUGCAAUUCUCCAUGUUUGGGUCUCUGAGGAAUUUAAUAUAUCUAAACUUAUCGAGUGUUGGGUUCAGUGGAGUAAUUCCUUCAAAUUUAGGGAAUCUUUCUAACUUGCAAUAUCUCGAUCUUUCUUUUGAGUAUCCAAUCUAUAUGAAUUUUGGAUAUUCUAAUGAUUUAUUUUGUUGAAAAUAUUGAAUGGAUGAUUGGUCUUGUUUCCUUGAAGUAUCUUGGUACAUAAUAUGUUAACCUUUCAUUGGUAGGAAGUUAAUGGGUUGAGGUGUUAAACAAGCUUCCAAUUUUAAUUGAGUUGCUUCUGGAUAGUUGUAGCCUCUUUGGCUCAAUUCCAUCUCCAAGCUUUGUUAAUUUUACUUCACUUGCUGUUAUAGCCAUCAACGUCAACAAAUUCAAUUCCAAGUUUCCUAAAUGGCUUUUAAAUGUCAGCAACCUUGUAUCCAUUGAUAUAAGUUACAAUAAAUUACAUGGGAGAAUUCCACUUGGUCUUGGUGAGCUACCCAAUUUGCAAUACUUAGAUCUAUCUUGGAAUUUGAAUUGCAGUAUCUUUCAAUUGUUGAGGAAGAGUUGAAAAAAGAUAGAAGUUCUAAAUUUGGCUCAAAAUGAAUUACAUGGUAAGCUUCUUUAGGUUAUUAGAAAAAUUGAUAUUUCUUUGUUGAUAUGUUAAUGUAUAGUUAAAUAUAGUUGAUAAUUGUGUAUAUAAGUGUUGAAUAUGUAUCAAUAUACUAAUAUCGAAUAAUCACUAUAUUUGGGUUACCCGUUGGAAACAAAAUUCUUCUUUUUAAAAAAAUGUUAUUUUUAAUUGUAAAUUUCUUAGAAGGAAGUUUAGUUUCUUUUUUAUCAUGAGCAUUUAAAUUAUUUUGUUGUGUGAACGUAAUGUAAAGAAUAUGUUUGAUUUGAUAAGUUUGAAAUAGACGUGGGAAUAAAGUUGGUUUUUCUCUCUUAAUUUCCACAUAAAACAAAAAUAGAACAUGUUACGUGGGAAAGAAAAUUAUGGGAAAAAGAAAGAAAAUUGCCAGUGGAAUGAUUUGUCACAAAAAAAUUAACUUGUAGAGUUUGUUUCUUUUUUCUUUUCUUUUUUCUUUUUAAAAGAAGAAUAUUAUAUUUGUAACAUUUAAACUUGAUUGUUAAAAUCAACAUCAUAAAAUCCAAUCAUGAAUGCUAAUAUUAAAAAUAAUAAAAAGUGUAAUUAAAGACAAUGUAAAUAUUAGCUUUUUUUUAAAAUGACAUUAAAAAUAAUAAAAAAAAUGCAAUUAAGACAAUUUAAAUAUUAAUUUUUUAAAUAAUUUUUUAGUAAUCUAUUUGGAUUUAAUUUGUGGAACCAAUUUCGACACCAUUUUCAAGUGAUAGUUAUCUUUUGUUUAGAUUAAUAUAAGAGUCGUAGUGAUUUUCGAAAACGCUCCCAUAUUUUUUAAUACUUGAAAGUUUUUAUCUUUCGAGUAUUAGAAAAGUUAAAAAUGCUUUCUGAAAUCAUUGUCAAAAUAUAUUUUAAGGCGUUAUCUAUUUUUUCUAGUUCUUGCAAUGGAUUAAGUAUUGAAUUAUAUAAGAUGGAGACAUCUUAUGGAUUAUUUGAGGGUCUGUUUGGAACAAUGACAAUGAAAAUGAAAAAAGAAAAUUCCAUUUCAUUUCUCAUUCUCAUUCUUAUUUUUUGUAAAACUUGGUUCAUCCAUAAUUUCCAUUGAUUUUUUAAAUGUUUUUUAGAAUUGCAAUUAUUUAAUGCAUGAAACUUUUUAAAAACUUGAGAACAGCUUUCUGAAGUCUAAAAUCUUUACACUUAAAAUAUUUAAAGGAAAUUUCUUUAUGAUAUGAAAAGAGGCUUCAAGCUCGAAUCUUCCCAUAAUUUUAAAUGAUGUUUUCUAAAGAUAUACAAAAUGGUAGAAAAUAAAUAAUGGUAGAAAGUCAAACGCGACUCAUAAUAAUUAUGGAGACUUCCCAUCAAAAUAAAUUUAUACAAUCUAUAUUUUCAAAAUUUAUACAUAAUAUUCAUGAAUCUCAAACAUCAAUAAAACAAAUUGUAAUCAUAAUUAACAAAUUUAAAUCAUAAAAUUAAUAAUUAUUUUAUCUACAUUAUAAAAUUCAUUUCAAGAAAGUUUUUUGGGGGCCCGUUAUAAUACUGAAUCAAUACAUAUUGAAAAGUGGUACUAACAAAAAAUGUCACAUAUAUAUUUUAGGUAUUAUACUUUCUAUAUCAAUCCCAUUUAUUUAUACCCUUAUCUAACGAUCUGAGUUUUACCAUUUAUUUUGAAUGACCUGUCAAAAAUAUUAGAUUUUGCAGCUCUUGCGUUUGAGACAGGUUAGAUGUCAAACCAUUGCAUCUGGAAGUGAGAAAUAUAUGGCUGUUAUAAAUCUAAUACCAUGCUUUGUGCUUGACAGCGUUAAGUUUCUUCUCAUAUCUUAUAUAGAUAUUCCUCUUCAAAGGAUAUAGUGGGGUAGGGAAUUGGGGUCGAACACCAGGGUGCCCUUUUUAGGAGUAGUAUUGCUAGUUCUUGCAUUGUUAAUCAGAAUUGUUUUCGUACUGUAUCAGAUCAUAUAUAUAUAUAUGUAUGUAUGUAUGUAUAUUUGUUUCACCUCAGUAUCUGAUGAGUAUACCUUAGCACUNNNNNNNNNNNNNNNNNNNNNNNNNNNNNNNNNNNNNNNNNNNNNNNNNNNNNNNNNNNNNNNNNNNNNNNNNNNNNNNNNNNNNNNNNNNNNNNNNNNNGAUAGGCUUUGGGGAAGUUUGGUAUUAUUUGCAUGGAAGAUCUUAUUCAUGAGAUCAUGACUGUUGGACCUCAUUUUAAGGAGGCCAACAACUUCCUAUGGCCAUUUAAACUGAAGGCACCAUUGGGUGGUUUGAAGAAGAAGAGGAAUCACUAUGUUGAAGGAGGAGAUGCUGGAAACCGUGAAAAUUACAUCAAUGAGCUCAUUAGAAGAAUGAACUAGACAGCUUGCGGUACUUUUGGCCUUUUCUUAUUGGAAGUUUGAUAUCUUUUGUUUCUUAUUAGCAAUGAUAAAGUUGGAGAAUUCUUUUUCGGGUCAUAAAUAUGAACAAAGUGUUGAGAAAUUUAAUUUGAUAUUUGUUUUUAGACUUUGAUAGUAGAUAACUUUAUUACCUCUUGGAAUUUUAUCAGCAUCCAUGGAAUUGAUCAAUGAGUGAUUUUCUAUUAUAGUUGCUUACAUUCAAAUUUUUGUGUUGCAAGGUCAAAUUUAUAUAUGCCAUUUAAAUUUAUUUAUGCCACUUAACAACAUUUUCCAUAUGACCCUCUGAGAAUGAAAUCUAUCUUUAACAAUCAAAUGUAUAUCUAUAUAUAUAUAUAUAUAUAUAUAUAUAUAUGUAUUUGCAUGUUUGUGUGUAGGAUAAAUUAUAAAAUUACCCUUACAAUAUAUGGUGCUUCAAUUGAGUUUGUAAACCUUUUUUUUCUAGUAAGGUUAUUCAUUGUAUGUGUCAAAUCAACCUCUUUAUUAUGGUUUUUGGAGCAAAUUUGUUGGAAUGUGACAGAAAUUUAGGAUACUAAUUCAUCAUCUUAUAUCAUCUUAUUUUAUUGCCCAUAUUCUUUGUUCCUUGUAAAAUCAAUAGUAGGCUUACUUGAUUAUUUUAAGUGGCUUCUAAAUAUUAUAAGCAAUAGUUUAGUCGAAUUAGACUGAAAGAAUAGGCAAAAUAAUUACUGCAGAGUCAAAUGCAACAUACCACAAGGUCUUGCCCCACCUCUUUCUUACUCUACAUCUCUUUUAAAUAGUAUUUUUUUGGUUGUUUUAUCUUUUUUUAGGACUAUCUUUAAAAAAUAAUUAUAUAGAAUGAUUAAAAAUAAAACACUAAAUAUAAAAAUUAUUUUUAAAAACAUAUUUAAUAAUAUUAAAAAUAUGUUAAAAAUAUUUCAGAUUUCUAAAUAAACUUUUAUUUUAUAAAACAUUAGAGAAUAAUUUUAAAAAAUUAUUCUCAAAAACUAUUUUUUAAAACUGUUUACGAAAAUAGUUACCAAAUAAGGCUUAAACUUUUAUUUAUUAUUCAUAUCCCAUGGGUAUGUACCUAUACUCAUGGAAGAAAAUAUCGGUAAUCACGGAUAUAUCGGUACUUCGAUUUUACGGAUAUAUCGGAUAUAUCGGAGAUAUAUCGGCGGAUAUUUUGGAAAAAAAAAUCGGUAGGCUUAAAAUUGUUAAAAACUCAUGGAAAUGUAAAGAAAACUUCAUAAUAAUAUAAUUAGAAGUAUAAUAGACAUUUUAAAGUUGUUUUGUAGAAAAAAUUGAUAUAAAUAUGAUAUAAUUUGCGAUAUUAAAUGUAAUUAUAUCAUGUCGAUCUAUAAGAAAUGUUAAUUUUGUAAUUGUUCUCAUUAUAAAGUCACAUAAAAUACUUCAUUUCAUUAAAUAGCAAUAAUUCGUACACAUUACAUUACAAUGUCCCUUUAAUACCAAAAUGAGGAUCGAUGUGGUUCAAUGGGAUUGAUAGAUGAAGGAACGCCGUCUUGCUGUUGGAGACAAUAUUGGUACCAACUCAAUGAACCUCGAUAAUAUUGGUUAAAAAUUCUAACAUGCCAUGCAUAUAUCUCUUGAGUCUUGCCCACUGCCUCUACAUGGAUAGGAUACUCAAAGUUCACCCAUGUGUUAAUGCCCAAUCCUCCUUCCAUCUGAUAUGGAACUUGGUAAGACAUUUGUCUAGAAGGUGAAUAACGCGACAUACCAUACUCUUCAUCUGUUGAACUUGAAGGUUGACCAUAACUCAUCACAUGAGGAGGGUAGACAUUAGCCUCAUUCGAGGAGUCACUAAAUUGAGUUCCUAUACUCAUAGAUUCAAAACUCCCUGAAAGUAACUCCUCAUUAUAUGGUUCCAUCAUUCGUUCUCUUCCGCUAUAUGGCUUCCCAAUAGCUCCUAUGCCUGGACCAGCUCUUCUAGAGCCAUGGUCUUCAUCCUGUGUGCAGUGUGUGAAAGUAUUUUCACAGGUGAAUUGGCUGACUGGAUAUUGACUAUGUUGACGUUCAUUAAUAUCUCCUCCCACAUUAUCACCUCCAUCAUCAGUUCCACCUCUUGAACCAUCGUAACCAGAAGCAGAAGUACCUGCAACACUAGGUCUACUACUAUGGCCAGCACUUGUGGAGUCAAUCUCUUGGUGGGAAUCAUCAGUAUCUUUGCUAAAACUUUCAGAGUGAACUUCUUCAGACAACACACGUUCAACAUUAACUCCAAAUUCUCGAGCAUGAGCAGCAAUUCGUGGAUCGGGAUUUCCAACUUCGUCAUCCAAGUGUAUAGGUCUCACCCAUUGGAACAACUGAUUAUCUUCUUCUUCACCCACCUCGGCUGAAAUGUCAAGAAGAUCAAGAUAAUCUUUUUCAGCAACUCGAUCAUUUUCUGCCUCCAUAUCGCGUAACUUUAGCCUCAUAUUAUAGUAACAAAAAACUAAUUGCUCCAAUCGAGAGUAAGCCAAACGAUUUCGUUGCUUUGUGUGGAUGAGAGCAAACGUGCUCCAAUUUCUCUCACAGGCAGUAGAUGACGCAGUUUGUGAGAGAACUUUGAUGGCUAACUUUCUCAAUGUAGGUGUUUGAUUCCCAUACAUAAACCACCAUUCAACUGCAACCAAUUUGAUAAUCAUAUAAAUACUUAUGUGGUGAAUUUACAAUAAUGAUAAUCAAUUUUUUCCUACAAAGACUCACCGGGCACCAUGGUUGACCUUGCUGCAAUUGCCGCUCGAUCACCGAAUCCUUUUUUUGCAUCUCGAAAAAGCACAAGCUAUGUAUUCAACAUUUAAUUUGUUAAUAUCAUAUUUGUUAGUAAACGUUCAAAUAAAUUGAUGAAUGAAAUUAUUGUUUUAUAGACAAAUAACAGUUUUUUAUUUACCUCAUUUCCAAAUUGACCAAGUGAUUCAGUAGUUGGAUCUAAUUUUGCAAAAACAUCAUGGACCGCUUGAAGUAGUUCCGAAUCACUACCAACUCUACGCCUAUAUUGAAAUCUUGGAUUCAAGAAGUAUGCUACAAUAAAAUUAAGUAGAGUUAGUAUUUUUUUAAACAAAAUUAAAUACAGAGUAAAAACUUAUAAAGAUAUAUAGUACUUAAGUACCUGCUGCAUGAAGUGGAUGUUUUAGUGUUUUCUCCCAACGAUCUUGUAUUAUUUUGAACAUCCAAUCUCCAGCUCCUUGACGCGUAAGGUUCGUUUUCAUCACGUGCAUAAGCUCAUACACAAAUGGCAUUAUGGGAACAACUUCAGAAUCCAUAAGUCGAAGCACCACGUAUAAUGGCUCAUAUAAUGAAACUAUAUUUGUCAUUCUGUCCCAAUACGCAUGGUUAAACAAUAAUUGCUCCAACUCUCGUCCAUGUUUUGUUCUACUCAGCUUGUGUUGUGCCCAAUCAUCACUCAUAAACAAUUUUUUCAAAUCGACCCUUUUUUUAAGAAGACUCUCAAGAGCAAUAUAAUUGGUAGCAAACCUUGUAGCUCCUGGUCGAACAAUGUCUCCACCACAAUACAGUCUCAUUUGUGCUAGUAACCAACCAUAAUUGUAAAUGAAGUUAGUUAUCUUGCGAGCAUUGUUUAUCACCUCGAUAACACUGGGUCUUUUACCAAUGUCUUCAAAGAUUAAGUCGAUGCAGUGCGCCGCACACGGAGUCCAGUAUAAGUUAUACUUCUUCAUCAAUUGUUUCCCUGCUUUCAUGAACGCCGACCCAUUAUCUGUGACAAUUUGGACCACAUUUUCUUUACCGACUUCUUUGAUAACAGUCUUCAAUAGGUCGUAUAUAUACUUGUGGUCUUUGAUAUAGUUCGAUGCAUCAACUGACUUAAGGAAGACCGUGCUCCCUUUAGAAUAAACCAUGAAAUUAAUAAUACUUAAUUUCGUGGGCCCUGUCCAUCCAUCUGACAUUAUUGUGCACCCAUAUGUCUUCCAUUUUUCUCUUUGUUGGUUCACAUAAGCUUCCAUUUCUCUGUACUCCAUUUCCAAGUACUUGUUCUUUAUGUCAAAUGGAGAUGGAGGUUCGAUUCCCAUUCCUGCACUUCAUAUAAAAAAAAAUGUAAAACAUGUCACAAAAGACUAUACUUACUAAAAGUAUAACACAAUAUAACAUUUAAAAAAUUAGUAAUUACCAGCUUGUUGUGCACCAAUAAUCAUAUUCUUGAAGUGAUGAGACUUUGCUUUUGCGGGUGCGACGCUCUCAUAAAUGAAGAAUUUGCUAAUUAAGCGUCUUAUCGUUUCUUUAAUUGCACCACCCUUGAAUAUAUCUUUGAUAUUUUUUUGUUUUGCUACAGAAGACUUGUAAAGUGAAGGGGCAAUAGGGGGUGAUUGUUGCGAAUGUCGCAUACUAUGUGAUUUUCGCAUUAUCGACGGUAAUCCAGGAGACUGUGAAGACUCCCCUGUUUUGCGUUUGCUUCCUACAAUAUUCUCAUAUUGUUCACGUUCCCAUUCUGAUGCUUUCGAGGCACGAACUGCAGAUCGAUAUGCAUCCCGCUCAUCUGGGUGCAUAUCUGCCGGAUACAUAUACACAUCUUCAUUCUCAACAUCUUCAUCAUCAUCAUCUUCGUCUACCAAAUGUGUAUGAUGAGUCCCCAUUGUGCCACGUAAUUGAGCACGAAUUUCUUCAAUAUCUGCAUUUUUCUUUGCUUUUGCUUUUGUUUUGUCAUGCACUAGGAAUCGUAUCUCUUCUUUCACUUCGGGCGGCACUCUCGGACACUUUUUGGUGUUGUUAUGCGGGUCUUUUUGCAUUAAAUGAAACUUGAAUCGCGUGAUGCCUCCACUUUUCAUCACCAACCCACAGAAAUUACAAAUUGUUCCAUUUCGGUUACCCUCAAUCGGUAAACAAUACUUCCAAGCCGGAUCUCACCCUGGCAGGGCAGAACCACCUUCACUAGCCAUGCUAAAUCUAUUGCAAUAAAAAUACACUUGAAUGUGAUUUCAAUGUAAACAAAAAUCAAGUCAAUAUUUAAAUUUAAAUAUAUGAGAAAUGUACAAAAUAAUGAUAAAGAAUGAACAUAGUUGAUAUUCCAUAUAUUUAAUUAAACUAAUUAAAUAAUUUAGCUAAGUUAAUUUUUUGAAUCUAAAUCUAAUUCUAUGAAAAAUUUACUAAAUUAAAAAUUAAUCAUAAUUGGAUAUGAAACUAAAUCAUGAUAAUCAUAAAAAUUGAACAUAUUUAAUAUUCCAUAUAUAGUAGUUCAUGUUAAUUAAACUAAUUAAAUAAUUUAGCUAAGUUAAUUUUAUAAAUCUAGAUCUAAUUCUAUGAUAAAUUUACUAACUUAAAAAUUAAUCAUAAUUGGAUAUGAAACUAAAUCAUGAUAAUCAUAAAAAUUAAACAUAUUUAAUAUUCCAUAUAUAGUAGUUCAUGUUAAUUAAACUAAUUAAAUAAUUUAGCUAAGUUAAUUUUUUGAAUCUAAAUCUAAUUUUAUGAAAAAUUUACUAAAUUAAAAAUUAAUCAUAAUUGGAUAUAAAACUAAAUCAUCAUAAUAUAAAAAUUGAACAUAUUUAAUAUUCCAUAUAUAGUAGUUCAUGUUAAUUAAAUUAAUUAAAUAAUUUAGCAUGUUAAUUAAAUUAAUUAAAUGUGAAACUAAAUCACAAAUAAUCAUCUAAAAUAAACAUAUCAAUUUAUAAUUAAAUAAUCAAAUUAACCUAAGUCAAUUCAAUAAAAAUAUACAAAUUAAUUACUAUUGAAUAUAAAAAUAACAUUAAAUCAUCCAUAUUAAUUAUAAUUGUAAACAAAAUUAAUUACAAUUUAAAAUAAACAUACCUUCAAAUUGGAGUAAUGAGAGAGCAAAUGAAGAAUGAAAGCAACAAUGGGUGAAAUUGAUGGAAAAAUGGCAAUUUAUAGAAGAAAUUUGGGCCAAAAUAGCCGUUGGAACACCAAUUUACCGUUGAAAUUCAAAUCUGGCCGUUGGAUCACAUUAUUAACGUUGGAAUCGCAUCUGGGCCAUUGGAUCAACGCGGGGGAAAUCUAAGCCGUCAGAUCGCGCUGGAGAGAGGAGCGAAACAUCGGCAAAAAAUCGCCGAAAUAUCGCCGAUUUAUCGGCGAUUUCCCGCGGCCACAGGCGAUUUUAUGACAAAAUCGCUGAUUUAUCGAGAUUCGGCGAUAUAUCGCCGAUUAAUUGGUGAUUUUUGGCGAAAUUUCCUCCUUCGAUUUUUCUCCUCCAUAUGCCGUGUCGCCGCCGUCCGAUACAAGAUAUAUCGGCGAUAUUUCGCCGAUAUUUCGCGAUAUUUUCCUCCAUGCCUAUACUAUAUAUAUCUGGUUGGCAUUCUUGUUCACGCUGUAACUUUCACUAUCAAUGCUAUGCACCCAAAACAAGAAGAUUUUGCAACUCUUGCCUUUGAGAUAGGUUAGAUGUCAAACCCUUGCAUCAGGAAAUGGGAAAUAAUUGGUUGUUAUACAUCUAUCUUAUCCAUGAAAUACCCUUGAUAUUCAAAAUAAUCUAUAUUAAAACCUUGAAAAUCAAUAUCUACCUAUACUACUCAAGAAGAUGAAUUGAAUGUAUCAAGGAUCAAAUAUCCCAAAUUUGUAUUCUCAAUAUUAUUAGGCUUCCUAAGAUGAAUUAGUUAUGGAUCAUCAAUAAGGAUAUAACAUCUUUUAUCAUGAAAUUACUAAUCCAACCAAGUUAUUCCAUUAGAAAAAUGCAGAUAUUUAAUGAGGUGUUUCUUAAAGCGAACAAAUCAACAAUGAACAUGUUGCACAGGUCUUACGGGUAUGUACCCUACGAGAGUGAUUUGCUACAUCUUGGUUUUCUAUGAGCAAUGAUUUGCUACAUCUUGUUGCUAACCUACGAGAGUGAUGGUAGGCUUUGGGGAAGUUUGGGAUUAUCUGCAUGGAAGAUCUCAUUCACGAGAUCAUGACUGUUGGACCUCAUUUUAAGGGGGCCAGCAACUUCCUAUGGCCAUAGAAGCUGAAGGCACCUUUGGGUGGUUUGAAGAAGAAGAGGAAUCACUAUGUUGAAGGAGGAAACGCUGGAAACCGUGAAAAUUACAUCAAUGACCUCAUUAGAAGAAUGAACUAGACAUCUUGUGGUACUUUUGGCCUUGUAUUAUUGGAAGUUUGAUAUCUUUUGCUUCUAACUAGCAAUGAUAAAGUUAAGAAUUCUUUUUCAAGUCAUGAAUAUGAACAAAGUGUUGGGAAAUUGAAUUUGAUAUUUGUUUUUAGACUUUGAUAGUAGAUAACUUUAUUACAUCUUAGAAUUUUAUCAGCAUCCAUGGAAAUGAUAAAUGAGUGAUUUUCUAUUAUAGUUGGUUAUAUUCAAAUUUUUGUAUUGCAAGGUUAAAUUUAUAUAUGUCAUUUAAAUUUAUGUAUGCAACUUCACAACAUUUUCCAUAUGACCAUCUUACAUUGAAAUCUAUCUUCACCAAUUAAAUAUAUGUAUUUGUAUGUUCCCCCCCAAUCGUCCCCCUUCCCACUUUUUUUUUCAGUAAGUUACUUGUAAAUGUCAAAUCAAUCUCUUUAUUAGGGUUUUUGGAGCAUACUUGCCGGAAAAACUCCAUAUAUACACUUGCCUUCAUUUUCAUAUGAUAUGUUUGGAUGCCUAAAAGAAAAAUGAUGUUUAGUGUUAGAUUGAAACGAUAAAAAGUUUGUUUCAAUUUAGGUUGUUUUUUCACUUAAAUCUAAAUAGAACUUAGUUUCAUUCUAAUACAACUUAAUAGUAUUAAAAUAAUACUAUUAAGUUGAUUUUUUUUAUUAUUUUAUUUUUGUUAAAUGUAAAGUAUUAAUAGGGUAAGGGUUAUGUUGAGAUUGCAUUUGGGUUGUUUCAAUUGUUAUUUUUGGCAUGUAUUAUAAAGUCAAAUAUUUUGGUAUUUUUUAUUUAAUUUUUUUAAAUGUAAUAAGUUAAAAAUAAAUCAUCUAAAGUCUUGGCAUUAAUUCAAAAAAAUAAACAAUACUCUAGUCUUUAAUAUAUAUAGAUUAAAGAAACCUAUGUUGAAUAAGAGGAGGUUGAAAAAGCUCAAUAUGGGUUUUGUUCGUGGACUUAUAUAGAUGAGUAGGAACAUGCAACAUGGAGUCCAUCUGAUGAUUCCGUUACGUUUUUGUUAAGAAAAUAGUAAUCUUUUAAUAAAAAUAGAUAUUAAUAUUUUAAUAAAUCAAUAAAAUUGUAUUUAUUUGUUAAGUUUUAAAAAUUAUAGAUUUAUUAAAAUAUUAGUAAAAUAAAAUUUAUAGAUUCAUUGAAAUAUAUUCAUAUGUGAAAUAUAUUCAUAUGCAAAAUAAGGAGUGCGAAUGAACAUCUCAUUCAUUAUCAUGUUUAGAAUGAGAAUGAAAUAAAAAAUGAUUCCAACAAAUAAAUGAAUUUCUAUAAACUAUUUUUAAAAAUACUUUUCUAAUACUAAAAAACAAAAAACUGGUUUAUAUAAGUUGUUUUUAAAAAUAAUUUUUUAUUUUGAUUUUGUAAAUUUAAUUUGUAUAAUAUAAAUUAAAUUUAAUUCGUUUCUUAUUACAAAUAAAAAAAAUAACUUUAUUAUUAUAACUGAAUUAAAAAUAAAUAGUUUUUAAUAAAAUAUGAAAAUAAAUUAAAAAUAAUAAUUUUAUUAUUACAAAUAAAGUAAAAAUAAUUCAACUCUUUUCCUGGGCUGGGCCAGUUUGGCCCUUUUUAUUUAUUUUUUUAGUUUUGUAUUCCCCACCAGCUAGCCUUUUGGGCUCUCUUAUGGGUCCCAUCUCUGGACCUAAUUUCUGGGCCAAUUUUGGGCCACCCUUUUUUAACAUAUAUAAUUUUUAUGAAGCCUUUUUUGCCUCCCUAAGGGGACCAUUUUCUGACAACUUUGGGGCCUUUGAAAUUUUAUUUUAUUUUAUUUUAUUUUUCUAAUAUUUUAGCUAUGAAUUAUAACAUUUUACAACUUCACACAAAUAUUUAUGUACUUUAAAAAAGAAUAUUAAAUUAUAAGAAAUAAAUAGAAAAUAAAUAUUUCAAUAAACCACAUACAUAACAAAAAAUAUAAAUUAUGUAUAUUUUUUUAAAAAAAAGAUGAUAAUAUUUUAGCAAAAUUUAUAAAAGAUAAAUAUUAAUAUUUUAAUAAAUUGAUUUAUUCUCGUGACACAUAUCAUAAGUCAACCCUCUCAUCUUCCUCCCCUCACCCACACCCAAUCGAAGCCCACCCACACCCAAUCGAAGCCCACCCACAUGAUACCCAACCCAAUAAGAAAAAAUGGAUUAUUAUGAUUUAAUUUUAAAUUAAGUUAUUAGAUAUUUGUAUAAGAAAAAAAAAAGAAAAAAGAAACUAAUUUAUUAUAAUAAGGUUAUUGCAUGUCUAUGUUUCUCAUUAGAGGGGAACUUUAAGGAAUCAAGUGGGUUGGAUGAUAUUAUUUUUUAAUAUCAUUUUCCGUCGAAGUCAAAAGGGAUUACUUAAAUUGCAAGACAUAUAUAAAGUAUGUGUAAGAAAAUGAAUUGGAAGCAAUUAUAUUAAUGACCCUAUUAUGCCAUAUUUGGAUUUAAAAUAACUUUUCAAUGUCUUCAUAAUUUACAAUUGUGGAUAAUAAAUCUUUAAUCUUCUAAUAUUAUUGGCAAUAAUUUUGAAAAGCAAAGCGAUUGCGCUGAAAUAAUAUAGAGGUUAUAUUAAUUAGGACUUGAUGAGAUUAUAUUUAAUAUUUAAAUAUAAAUUAAUACUAUUUUUAAAAUUAAUUAGGACUUAAAAUUUUGUUUAAUAAUUUAAUACUAUUUUUAAUUUACUAAAUAUUCUUUUAGUUUACCAUGUGUAAUUUUUUUAAAAAAAAAACAAUUAAAAUAAUUUUAUAUAAAUAAGAGUUUCUUGUGUAUUAAUUUUUUUUGGGAUUUUGUGAAAGCACAAAAUUAAAAUUAAUUUUUUAAUACAUUUUUUUAAACAAAAUUAUACUCUAUUUUUUGUUAAAUACAUUUAUUUUUAUCUUUUAUCAAAGUUUCUCGAAUUAUUAAUUUUUAGGCAAACAUUUAAAUUCUUUUUUGUUAAAAAUGAAUACUAAUAUUUGAAAAAUUAUAGUUAUAAAUUUUUUAAAUUCACUUAAAUUUUUAUCUAGUUAAAAAAAUAUUAAAUUAUAAAAAAUAAAUAUAAAAUAAAUGGAUAAUAAUUAUUUCAAUAAAUAAUAUAAUGAAUCAAUGCAUAAUAAAAAACAUAUAAAUUAGUAUUUUUGGGUUAAAAGAUUAUAAAAUGCAUACCUUAUUGUUUUGGGUGUUGAGGAGAGUUAUUUGACAUGUAUCAAAGGGGAUAUGCUUUCCUUUUGGGGGUGUCUUGAGCAAGGGCAAGAAAAAUAAAGGGAGCAACAGAAAGUGGGAGCAGCGAGUUGUGAGGGAGGGAAGAGGUGCAGAGAGGCUUGGACGAUAAGAGAAGAAAGAGAAAACCAACAGAGAAGCGGGGACUGUGAGAAAGUACAUAGAGAAAAUGAGAAAAUGGGCAAAGUAGAGUGGAGUUGGGGAAAGACUACAAAGAAAUUUUUACUAGAGGGGGAUAUUCAAGGUUGAGGGAUGAGCUGGUUUUAGCGAGAUUUUUGAGAGGAGUCUUGGGGAAGGAAUGAAAGUUGUGAGAGAACCAACAGAGAAAGAGUUUUACAAAGAAGAGCUAGGAAGGGAGAAGAAGGGAACCGACUGGUCUUGCUUGAGUUAGAGGAAGAGAAAACUUGCUGAAAGGGGCCAACAUUGCUUAUGAAGAACAUCCUCAGGUAUGACUGCUAUGGAUCCUUUGUUUUUCUUCAUUGUUAUAUAGUCUUUUUCUAUUUUCUCGAUAUUUUCUAUGGAUUGCUUGACUAGGUGUUUAGUUUUAUGAUUCCUGUUUGGUUUAUGGGUUUAUUGUUGUUAUCUCCUUUAUUUUCUUUGGGGUGAUUUGAGAGCAACACAACUCUGUUUUAGCUUCACUGUACAUCACAUGGAAGUCUUGCUGUUGUUUUCAUUUCCAUGGGAUGCAUUCUGGUUCACUCGCUUACAUCUAAGCCCGUGGAUCAAAACAUGAAACGUGACUUUCACUAGUUCAUUCUGGUUUUAUCAUUUCGUACUCUAUUUUCUUGGUUGUCUUUUUCUAUUCCUGUGUGUGUUUAAGGGUGCAUAUCAGUAUGUACAUCACCAGUUGACUAUGCUAGAGAAGGGCUUCUGAAUGCAGUUGAAGCUCGAGACCCAAAUUUGGAAGAAGAUAGUAGGCUUAGUAACUAUGAUGUGAUUGUUGUUUGAUGGGAAAAGUGAAUUGGCACCGGUUGAACAUGGGUUACUAGAGAAUGGUAAAUAUAUGGCUUAGGUUCCUUAGGCUUUGGGCUCACUAUUGCAAACUGCACCAUAAGAAGGAAGUGAGCAUAAGUUGAUUAUUACCCUUUUAGGUGUUGGAAAUGAAGUGGGUUAGUCCUGUGUCUUUGUGUCCUAUAAGAGGAAAUCGGUAAUGAUGUUGAUGAUCAUGAUAAUGGGUCAGGUCAUAUUAUUCAGAAUCAUGCAUUAAAUUAGUCCGAGAAUCAUAAAUUGGCCCUUUUGGAGAAAGAUGCUCUUGAUGAUGACAUAGAGCUAGUUGUGAGCCAGAGUGAGGAAAUCAGUAUUGUAGAUGCCCUAGGAUUUCCUAAUGUACAGACAUGCAGAUGAAGCCAGUAAAGCCAUUAAAGCCAAAUGGUGUUGUUUUCGUAGGAUUGUGUAGACCCCCAUUAGGGGCACAUUUUUUUCUCUCAUUUUGUGCAGCUCACUUGCCAGCUGGAGGGCUCCUACAAAGCCAAGUGCUGCCUCCUAGUUGGUUGCUAUGGAAUCAGCUUAGUGGAGUUGAUGGACGAAUGGGAAAGCAACACGAAUAGGAGGAUAUGCUGGGGAUCUGCAAGCCGUUAUGGGGUAGCAGGCCAGCUGCAGGAAAGAGAGGAGCGUCUCCGGCAGAGGAGGGGUGGUUGCUUUUAGAGGGGACUGCAGAGAUCUUUUUGGAGGGAGCUUUUGUUUGGUUAUUUUGGGGUAGAGGGAGAUCCUUUGGGCUGGAGAGAGAAGGGAAGCCAGAGGGUGAGAAAGGGUGAGAUUCCGGUGGUUUUUCUGAGAGGUAGCUUGUAGAGAUAGCUUGGAGAGAAGGUUGCUUGAGGGAGGCGUGCAAGGAUUCUGCAGGUAUGAGAGAGCAAGCUGCAAAGGGAGGUUUUUCAUGGCUUUUUGACAGAGGUUUUGAGGUGUUUUGAAGCUGAACAGAACCUUGCAAGAGAAGGGCACUCUCAGGUAUGAAUGCAUCAGGUACAUUGUUUUAUUUUGGAUCCUUACUAUCCCUCUGCAUUUCUUGUUGAUAUCUGGAUAUUUGUUGGUUUGCUUGGGGUGGAUGAUGAAGGCCACUUGUUGCUUGUUGAUUAUAAUCUUGAACCCAUGCUUGAUGUUGUUAAUCUUAAUAUGCCUUGCUUCUACUGUGAAAUAUCCCGAGAAUCAUGCCCAUAGUUGUAUUUGAUGUGUUUAUCUCACUUAACCAGAAGGCUCACUGAUGAUCUGUGAAGUGACGCCUCAUUUGAGGAUGUUUUAGUUUUUUUAUGCUCUAUUUCUAUUGUUUCUUCUCUGUGGUGGUCGCCUUUUGUUCUUGAGUCUUGUUCAAUGCAUGGGCUGCGAGAGAGGAGGAGAAUCCAGGACUGACUAUGCAGCUUGAGCCAAGCCUUAUGGUGACUGUAAGGAGAGGUGUUCAUCAGUGAAGAUCAUGGUAACUCGAUGAUGAGAACAGCUGGAAGGAAGCUCUCUGCUAACGUUCAUGGCUCAUUUCCUGAUUUGAGCAGCCGCCCAAUCUUUUGCAAGUGAAUAUGCAGAAACUGGCGUGCCUAUGGAUAAUGAUGAUAAGUUGUAUCUCUUUGGUCUGUUAAUGUCUGAGAUCAGAGGCUCCCACAUGAGGUGUCAUAGGUGCCCGACAUUGAUCUUAUGGAGCAAGAAUUCAGUAGCUAUGACUUGGCAGAGCACCUGAUAUCACAAAAGUUGCAAAAGGAACAACUUCAACCACAGAACCAUCCAUCUCCUCAUCCCACACCUCAUGUCAUUGGGUCAGGUGUGGAGUAAUUUCCUGGUUUUUCUUUUAGUCAGAGCAAGAACCCUGUUCUCCAACAGUCAGUCCAUCAUCCAGCAUAAGAUAUGGAACAUCUUUUGGAGCUUAAGUUACAACAGCAGCGAGAGUUUGAGCUUCAUCAACGACAUCGGUUUCGUCAAUAGCACCUUCAUCACCACCAAAUGAAAUUGCAGCAGCAGCAGCAGCUACAAUAGUCUCAUAUUCAACAAUUGCUUCUUGAAUAGUUGUGGCAUCAUCACAUGUCUGAUCCGGGUUUCGGGCAGUCAAAGAUGGACCUUAGGGGCGACAACAUGCUUGAUCAGGUUUUGUUGAGGAAAAGCCUUCUCCAUGAAUUGCUUCAAGGCUACUGGAUCCAUCUUUAGAACAGAUCAUUCAAGCAAAGAUUGGUCAGAAUGCAUAUAGAGGACGGUCAAAUGAUUUAUUGGAGCUCAUAUCACAGAUGAAGCAUGAGAAUGCAUCCCCCUCAGAACAACAGCUUCAUUUUCGCCAAGAACAGUCACAUGCAAGGCCUCUUUGGGGCACUUCAAUCCCCUCCUUAUUAUCCAAAACCUCCUGCUCGCUUGAAGGGGAGUCUGUUCCAUCAAAACCUGAGUUCUCUCGCAGUGAUAAUGAUGAAAAUACAAGUGAAGGUGUUUUGGAUGCUGUUCAUCAAUUGGUUUAUCUUGAUCCAAGGAAUUCAGAUACAGGGAUUACCAUAGAUCCAUCCAACAAAGACCCAAAAUUAGAUACUGGCUUCUCACAAUCCCUGAAAUAUGAUUGCACUAGUCCGGAGGAUAACGGAAUUCCCCACAAUGAUAUUGAGACAGAAACUGUGCUAGAAAUGGCACUGGCAGGCCUAGAGUUGAAGCAGACAACUCUGAGAAUAAUGAAUUAAUAUUUGGCUUUGGUAGCAAUCACCCUCAGCCUAAUGAGGAUGCUGUGACCUGUGUUGAGUGGGGAACAAGUUCUGGAAGCUGUUCUUUUGUUUCAUCGUGGAAGGAUCAAACAUGCUUUAAAAAUAACACCAAUUGGGUUUAUUGCUUGCACAAAACCCUUGCAGGAAAAAGGUUCUGAAAGUGGUGCUCUUACUCCAUCUUAUAAGGAAUAAAUAUGGGGCGUUGAAAAUAAUGGGAAUGAGUUUUCUAUUGGCACAAUGGAUAAUCUCAAAUUUGAUGAAAUAAACAACUCUAGGAAUAGUGAGCUAAUCAUUACUUCUGGCAACAUGAGCAACACUGGAGUAGUCAUGGAUGUCGUGACAAGUGUUCAGAAGCAAAGAGGAUUAGUGCUAAAUAUGGCGUGCUGCCCAAUGAUCAAUGCUUAACUGUUUUGGGGAUGGCUUGGUCCAGAAAGUGCCAAAGUGCAGUCAUGGAUGUUUUCAUGUGGUGAAUGAGGGUUUGAUACAAGCCUUAUACGCAUUGUAGCAGUCAGUUGAUAACCCCAAGGUAGUGAUCUCAGUAUUGGGUACAAGCAUUAGAAACAGUCCAGAUCAAGUCUCACCCGUGGUAGAAGAAAUUGCGCCCUGAUCUAGUUCAUUCGAAAUCUGAGGAAGGAAAAGAGUAUGUUGUCCGUCUGCCCGGGUAAUUGAUGCACAUCAAACUCUCGGUAAGCCAUUGGCAAGAGCCAUAUACGUUUUAAAGCUUGAAGGUGCGCUUUGUAACAGCCAGACAAGUGUUCGAUUUUCUCAUUCACCUCAGCAGCCAAAGCUUCAACAGCAGCAGCCUGAAUUGCCUGGGCAUAUGGGACUUCCCCCAAUGACAGCAACUAAUUAGCCUUUCAUCUGCUGACAUGGUGUCUCUAUCCGUUCUGUAUGAUGAUAUUUAGCAGCUUCUAGAUGUUGACGAGUUUCCAUCAAUGUAUGGCAUGUUGAUGAAGAGCAAACAACAGUCUUCUACCACCAGUGGUGCUGGACGGGACCCCUCCUGGUGCAAAAUUCGGAGACCUCCAGUUUGAUGUACCUACGAACUCCACCCUCAAGCGAGAUGGGAUGGUGAAUGCCACUUUCUGGUCAGCUUGCUUCAAGAACGAUCUCAUGACUGAGGGCACCUUCGCCCUCGUCGGAAUCUUCCAUGGAAAGGAUUCUUGGUUUCUAGCUUACGAUGAUGUGUUCUUGCCUCGUCGAGUGGGCAAUCCUCCUGGAAUGAGCAAGAAGUCUGGAUGUUCAACUGCUCUUCUACCAGCAAGAGUGGUGCAGGCACUGAAUUUGAAGUUAGACGACGUCGGUUCUCAAACUCAGCUUCACCCUCGUUUUAAUGGCAGCUUUGCUCCUGACGUUGAUGCUGCAAUGGAUUUAAUGUCGCUGCGCUUCAUCUCCAAUCAAUCUCUACUCGCCGUAGUCCAAUCCGACGACUUGGAACCGCUGAAGCAGAUCAUCCAUAAGUUGACAGAAGAGGAGCCGUCUGAUCAAGCUUCGAUCUCGGCUCUGAUGGCCGAGAAUGAACUGAAGACAACAGUGUUGAAAACACCUCAUGGAGAUUUGUCUUCGUGCAUUGGAAUAGUCAAGGAGAACAGACGUGGCCAACAGAGGCAGAAAUGGCUGAAGCAGAUGGGAAUAGAAAAAGCUAAAAAGUCUGAAAAAGAGUAUUCUUCCUUGAGGUACUUCAGAAUACCAGUGGCUCCUACCCCUAAAGUUCAUCCAGUGGAGGCCUCUAAUGUUGGAAAAGGAUUGGGAGCUGCUGCACUAUCAUUGCCUGCUGCUUCUACCACGGAACAUCCGUGGAGUGUAUCUCUAAACCCUUGUUGAAUACUGGAGAUGCAUUGGAUAAGUACCAAAUUGCUGCACAGGAGUUGGAAGCUUUGCUAACCAAGGACUCAGGGGAUGCUGAGAUUCAGGGGUUUAUCACUCAGAUUCCCGAAAUAAUACUCAAAUGUGUGUGCCGAGACGAGGCUGCAUUGACUGUAGCUCAGCAGGUGUUUAAGAGCUUAUACGAGAAUGCAUCAAAUAGUCUACAGUGGAGUCAUCAUGUGAUCAGAAGGCCUAUGGUUUGGUGACAGUGGUAGUAACAUGGACAAAGGAGAGAAGAUGAUAGAUCAGAUUCAAGAGAUGGAGCCCACAUCUCUGCCAGCAUCAUUCCUCCCUAAGCUCACCACUGCGUGCUUCCAGUUGCAUGGCCACCUUUGGCAUGCAACCUUUUUCUUUUCUUCUUCUUCUUCUCUUUCCUUUUCUUAUGCCAUGAGCUAUCAACCCAGUUCAUCAUCCCUUGAUCUUGAAAACGAUUUCUCAAAUCUCAUUUUGUAAAAAUCUUUCUCAAAUUCUGAUUUUUCAAAUAAUUCCAAUUUUUCCCUCUUUCAUCCUUAGAAUUUUUAGGAUCACCCAAGAAUCUCAUUUUUAUAUAAAAUUUUGCUGCCAUUUUUCUUCAUGGCAAGCAACUUUCACAUUUUCUCUAUCCUUACAAGGUUUUGAAAUAAGCAAGGAUUUAAUUCCGUAAUUCCGACUAAUGGAAUUUAUGGAAUUAAUUCAUGCAAAAAUAAACGGGCUUUGGUGGGGGCCCCACAUACUUGACUUCAUGACUAAUCGAUUGAUUGAUUGAUUUAUUUGUCAUGCAUGAUUGAUUUACUCUGUUCCUUGAUAUGCGCUUAAUUAUAUCUGUUCGUUGUUCACUAACCAUGUUUCAUGAUAGCGCAUUCGUGAUUGCCACCCAGGUAUGCAUCUAUUCAUAUUUUGCUCAUUCUUUAUACAUGCUUUGCUUCUCAUAUGUGCAUGAUUGAUUCGAGUAUUCAUUGAUUUUCUCAUUGAUUGUCAUAUCAGCUUCAUCUCAUUAGUAGAGACCCGACUUUAGGGACUUAGAGGGGUGCUACGGUCUUUACCGUACCUUCCCAAUAAGUAACCUGACCCCCGAACCCGAUCCGGUUUUUCGCAGAUCACUUUUUCCAAAAUAAGGAGUCACACAUAGGGUUUUUCUUUCUUAUUUUGUUUACCCUUUAAAAAUAAAACAAAAAUAAGUGGCGACUCCAAGUCAAUUUUUCUUAAUCAAUAAAGAUCAAUUUUUCAAAUUAAAAAUCGAGCUCGCCAUCGAGUGGGAAACGCAUUGAGCUGAAAUGCGGGGUCCACAGAUUGUUAACAACUUGUACACAUGCUGUUGGGAUAUGUGCCCAUAAACAAAUGAGAUGUUUUUUAUUUUGCUGAUUAUUAAUAUUUUUUUAAGGAAUUAUUUCAAUAUUAUUGUUGCAUGCAUGUUAUAGAUGCUUUAUAAAUAUCGAAAACCCUAGAUUAUUUAAUUGUAACUUUAAAUAUUGUAUAUAAGUGUUAUAUACAAGAGGAUAAUAUUUAAAGUAAAAUAAUCUAAUAUGUUCGUAAUUAAAAAUUAAAGUUGGGAUCUUUAAUUUAAAAUUACUAGCGCGGUUCAUUACAUUCUAAAUGAAAUGAUCUUAUCCGGAUUGUUAAUAAUGAGAUUAUUGGAAUGAAAGCGCUUUAUAUAAUUUGAUUAUAUAGGACUGGAACACGAUUAAUUAUGAAUCUCUGAUAAAUUCCUUUAUAAUAUAGAGCAUUCAAUAUUAAUCAAUGAUGGUCAUAUAUGCAUUGAUCUUAAUUCUGAGUGAUUAAUAGACUCCUAUUUAUUCUAUUGUAUUUUUUGACAUACCGGGUAAUGACACAAAUACAUAGUGUCAAAUUCUUGGUGUAUUGGAAGUAUAAUAAAAUAAAUAGCCGGGAAUAUUAAUAUACAAGAUGAAAUCCAUUCAUUCGUUAAGAAGUCAGAUGGACGGUUCCCAUAAGUAUUGGUUCGGGCCUUGAAUGAUAAGAACACUCAAUUUAUGAUUAGACCAUAAAUAUAUUAUUCAUUAGAGAACCAAUGGCACUUAAGGAGAAAGAUAUAAUUAAAGAGGUUAACGGAAAAACCUAGCUUUAAUUAUGAACCGUUUAUGGAGGAUUGACUCAUAUGUAGUGACUAUAUCAAUGGGCAAUUCAAAUCCUUUGAAUAUAUUUAAUUUUAUAAAUUUAAGAGUGCAAUUCCAAAUUUUUAGUGGAGUAAUUUUGGAAUUAAUAAUUUUGAUUUUUUAAUUAAGUUGUUAAUUAAUUGUCAAAAUUAUUGGAGCUUAAAAUUAUAAUGUCCAUAGUUCCUCUCAACGGCUCCAUUAAAAUUAUAUGAACAUUUUUUUUAUGUUGGGUUGAUUUUAUUAGUUUGGAAUUUUGAAUUCUAAAUUAAUUUCACACAAUCUUGAUUUGAUUUAUUUAUUUUAUAAUUUGAUUAUUUAAAAUAUUUUUUGAUACAAUGUGGUGAAGACCACACUUACUUGUAUUCCCUAAGAAACACCUUUUGAGUGGGGAUCAUGGGGAGAGAUAUUCUCUCCUAUGUUUUUCAAAAUUCAAAGAAACACUUUUUAAGUGGGGAUCAUGGGGAGAGAUAUUCUCUCCCAUGUUUUUCAAAAUUCAAAAUAUGUCAGUUAUUUUUUUCUUCGUGGUAUUAAAAAGUUUUUUUUUUCUCAAUGUUUCUCGGAUGAUGGGAUGAGAAUACAAGUUUUCAAUAUAUAUUAAGUUGUGUGAGAAAAACCCAAGGAUGAAAAAAACGCCCACUCGUUUUGAGUUCAUCAUAAUUUGGAGAACGUUAGAGAAAGAUCCAUGGUGCUUUAGAGGAUUUAGAAUUCUAAGAUCUUUUUGGUGAAGUUCAAAUUUAUCAGCCUAAUCGCAAGGUACAAUUCUAAUUUACCUAUAUUUGUUAUUUCAUUAAAUUAAUACAAGUAUUAAUCAUUGAGAAAAAAUUUUGAGAAAAUUUUUUUGGCUUCCAUUUUUUCUUUUAUUUAUCCGGUUUCAAAACCAACACAUACAUGGUUGGUUGAGAAGGAGGCUCAAUCACCGAAUGGGUCUGUUGAAAUCAAAACAGGAUGGUCAGUGAAAAAGAGCUCUCCAAUGGCAAUCCCAGAUUUGGGUUCAAUACUAGAACAAAAAAAGUAUGAAGAUCUAUUGACUGCUGGAAUUGUUACUGCUUUUCACCCAAAAGGAUCCAUUUCAACUUUUGAAUAUAUUGAAAGUGGAAUUGCGAAAUUCUUGGUGAAUUACUUAUCUAAUGGUCUAUACAUGACAUAAAAAGUCAGUUCACUGUGCAUGUGAGCCCAAGCCAAUUCCCUAACUCUAGUAGCCUAAACCAUCAGUUUGUCUCCCAUCACCAUAUUCAACAAUCACUCCUCACACCCCCUACCUUCAAUUUCAAACCUAUCAUACUCCUUCCAUGAUCCUCACUUUCCUUUCUCUCCAUAGCAUGCUCUUCAGACGAUAAGCAUAAUUCAACUAAAAGCAGCUCGUGGUUGGGCCAUGGUUGGCUAACCUCUCUCAUCCGGGCUCUCAUCAUUACCCAAGAUGACCCCAACAUACCCGUAGCCACCGUUCAACUUGAAGACAUAUCUAAACUCCUGGGUAGUUGCCAUCGAGACUGUGGUGGAACAAUGUAACCAUAUUUAGGGUAUUCAAUUUGUUGUUGAUGAUUUUAGAAAAAUUUUCGAUGUUAUUGUUGAUUUCCUAGAGAAUAUUACGGACGAACAUACAAUACCCCGAUAAUUCUGCAUACAAUAUGGGGCCCUGAAUCCUACAUGAAUUGCAGAAGUUGUAGGCAGUUUUGGUCCUUGAUGCAACCUCAUGAUGACAUAACAAAUACAGGGCCAAAAAGUUGGGUAUUAUAUUGUGGUUGAGUUGUGUAUUAGAAUUCUGGCCAAAUAGCUCCAUUAGAUGGGGUUAUCAGAUUAAAGGAAGAAUACAAUUUCUGUGUCUUAUUGGAUGAGAGAAAUCUUGUGCUAUGGAAUGCAUCUAAGAAGAAGGUGAUUAUGGAUGAUCUCAUAGCUUGCAUGGCCAUCUUCUUAGGCUCAAUAAGAGGAACAGAGACUAAAUUACUGUGUGUUUGUCCAAGUUGCAAUUCUCCAUGUUGUGGUGUGUUUCUCCAUGUUUGGGUCUUUGAAGAAUUUAAUAUAUCUAAACUUAUCGAGUGUUGGGUUCAAUGGAGCAAUUCCUUCAAAUUUAGGGAAUCUUUCUAACUUGCAAUAUCUCGAUCUUUCUUUUGAGUAUCCUAUCUAUAUGAAUUUUGGAUAUUCUAAUGAUUUAUUUGUUGAAAAUAUUGAGUGGAUGAUCAGUCUUGUUUCCUUGAAGUAUCUUGGUGCAUAAUAUGUUAACCUUUCAUUGGUAGGAAGUUAAUGGGUUGAGGUGCUAAACAAGCUUCUAAUUUUAAUUGAGUUGCAUCUAGAUAGUUAUAACCUUUUUGGCUCAAUUCCAUCUCCAAGCUUUGUUAAUUUUACUUCACUUGCUGUUAUAGCCAUCAACGUCAACGAAUUCAAUUCCAAGUUUCCUGAAUGACUUUUAAAUGUCAGCAACCUUGUAUCCAUUGAUAUAAGUUACAAUCAAUUACAUGGGAGAAUUCCACUUGGUCUUGGUGAGCUACCCAAUUUGCAAUACUUAGAUCUAUCUUGGAAUUUCAAUCUCAGGGGCAGUAUCUUUCAACUGUUGAGGAAGAGUUGGAAAAAGAUAGAAGUUCUAAAUUUGGCUCAAAAUGAAUUACAUGGUAAGCUUCUGUGUGUUAUUAGAAAAAAUGAUAUUUCUUUGUUGAUGUGUUAAUGCAUAGUUAAAUAUAGUUCAUAAUUGUGUAUAUAAGUGUUGAAUAUAUAUCAAUAUACUAAUAUCGAAUAAUCACUAUAUUUGGUUCACUCGUUGGAAACAAAAUUCUUCUUAUUAAAAAAAAAUUAUUUUUAAUUGUAAAUUUCUUAGAAGGAAAUUUAGUUUCUUUUUUAUCAAGAGCAUUUAAAUUAUUUUGUUGUGUGAAUGUAACGUAAAGAAUAUGCUUGAUUUGAUAAGUUUGAAAUAGACGUGAGAAUAAAGUUGGUUUUUCUCUCUUAAUUUCCACAUAAAACAAAAAUAGAACAAAUGAAACUUUGUCUUGUUACGUGGGAAAAAGAGAGAAAAUUGCUAGUGGAUUGAUCUGUCACAAAAAAUUGACUUCUAGAGUUUGUUUUUUUUUUUCUUUUUCUUUUUAAAAGAAGAAUAUUAUAUUUGUAACAUUUAAACUUGAUUGUUAAAAUCAACAUCAUAAAAUCCAAUCAUGAAUGCUAAUAUUAAAAAUAAUAAAAAGUGUAAUUAAAGACAAUGUAAAUAUUAGCUUAAUUUUUUUAAAUGACAUUAAAAAUAAAAAAAAAUGUAAUUAAGACAAUUUAAAUAUUAAUUUUUUAAAUAUUUUUUUAGUAAUCUAUUUGGAUUUAAUUUGUGGAACCAAUUUCGACACCAUUUUCAAGUGGUAGUUAUCUUUUGUUUAGAUUAAUAUAAGAGUCGUAGUGAUUUUCAGAAACGCUCCCAUGUUUUCUAAUACUUGAAAGUUUUUUUCUUUCAAGUAUUAGAAAAGUUAAAAAUGCUUUCUGAAAUCACUGUCAAAAUGUAUUUUAAGGCCUUAUCUAUUUUUUCUAGUUCUUGCAAUAGAUUAAGUAUUGAAUUAUAUAAGAUGGAGACAUCUUAUGGAUUAUUUGAGGGCCUGUUUGGAAUAAUGGCAAUAAAAAUGAAAAAAGAAAAUUCCAUUUCAUUUCUCAUUCUCAUUCUUAUUUUUUGUAAAACUUGGUUCAUCCAUAAUUUCCAUUGAUUUUUUUUAAAUGUUUUUUAGAAUUGCAAUUAUUUAAUGCAUGAAACUUUUUAAAAACUUGAGAAUAGCUUUCUGAAGUCUAAAAUCUUUUCUCUUAAAAUAUUUAAAGGAAAUUUCUUUAUGGUAUGAAAAGAGGCUUCAAGCUUGAAUCUUCCCAUAAUUUUAAAUGGUGUUUUCUAAAGAUAUACAAAAUGGUAGAAAAUAAAUAAUGGUAGAAAAUAAAAAAUCAAUACAUACCGAAAAGUGGUACUAACAAAAAAUGUUACAUAUAUAUUUUAGGUAUUAUACUUUGUAUAUCAAUCUCAUUUAUUUAUACCCUUAUCUAACGAUCUAAAUUUUUAAACCCUAUUUUUAGCAUUUUGCAUGGAUUGAAAAUAGAGUUUUAUUGUCUAUUCGAUGAUUUACUGUAAAGGUGAAAAUAAGAGGAGGUUGGACUUGCUUACCAUGGCUUCAAGCGGAUCAAAUUCGGAAUGCGCAGAGAUUAGGAGGAGGAAGAAAGCCACCGAUUUCUAGAGUUUGGUUCCAGGAAGGAGUUUUUCGAAUUUACGGAAAGGUCCUUGGAAUUUACUUGAAAUAUUUUAGUACACCUUCUUUAUCCAGUGCUUUAAAAUGGGAGGCUUGGACUUCGGGUGACGAUGGGAUGGGUGACCCUGACCAUCAACACGGGGCCGGGCCUUGGGCUUGGGUGCGGAUUAAUUUUUGUUUAUAUUAUUUUAUUUUUUACUAAGAGAAGUGUAUAAAUUAAAAUUUCAUAAAUUAUGAAAAUAUUAAAAUAUUAAAUAAAAGAUAUCAAUGAAAUUAAAAUUGAUUAAAACUCAUAAAAAAAUAUAAAAACACAUUCUAAUAUUUUCAUUUCUUUUCUAUUUAUUUUAUUUUUAUAUUUGAUAUCCAUAUAAUGAUGGAUUUUUUAGUAGAAACUAAUAUUUUCUAUUUUUAAGUUUUGAAGUUUAUUUAUUCUUAUAGUUUAUUAAUAAAAAUGAUGAAUUUUAAUUCUUUUAAAAAAUUAUUUGGAUUUUUUUGAUAAAUUUAUUUUAUGACAUUUUUAAUUAGUAAAAUUGCUACCACUUGUAUUUAUAAAUUCUCCUUUUAAAAUAAUUAUGUUUUCAUGAAGUCUAAAGCUUCUUUUGUUUCAAAUUCCUUAAGUUAAUGUUUGGUUCCAAAAAAUUUGAGAAAAGAUGUGAGGGAAAAAAAUAAAGAGGAAAAGUGGAAGAAAAUAAAAAUAAAAGAAAAAUAAAAAUAGAUUUAAAAUCAAUAAAUCAUAUAAAUAUUAAAUAAUUUUAAAAUACAUAAAUUUCUAACCAAUUUAAUUAUAUGCUUGGAAUGAACUAGUAAGUUGAUUUAUUUAUUUAUAUAUUUUUUAUUUAAGACUUGGGCUUGCUUUAAGUAUAGAAUAUGUUACAAACACAUACAUAAAGGAUGGAUUGAGGGGUAUUUUUGAAAAAAGAGAAAUUGGUAAGGGUAUUUUUGAGAAACAAAAGAUAUAAAACAUCUCGGAAACAUUUUUAAAAAGUACUUUUAGUUUAUGAAGUGUUUUUUUUUUUAAAUUAAAUGUUUUAAUAAAAUUUAAAAAACAUUUCUACACCAUUGAAAAAUCAUUAUAGUGUUUCUUAAAGAAAUACUUGAUAACUAAACUUUUAGAAAAAAAAAAGCUUUUAUUAAAAAUAGUUCAAAGAUAAAUAUUGCCAAAUGCACUCUAAAAAAAAUACUUUUAGUUUAAAAGGUGUUUUUUAAAAAUAAAAAAAAAGUAUUUGAUAAAUUUUAGGAACUUAUAAUAUGUUUUGAAAAAACACUUAAAAUGUAAUUUUCCUAAAAACAUUUAGAGUGUGUUUUGCAGUGUUUUGAAAAAGUGUUUCUACCGAUUGAUUGUUACCAAUAGCCUCUUAACUUAAUUGGUAACACCCAUCAUAGGUGUUUAUAAUUUAGAAAUGUUUAUAUUCUUGAGAGGGAAAGCUUCCCACUCUUGAGAGUGAAUCUCAUUGUGGACUUGGCAACAUCAGAAUUUAGAUUACCAAUUAAGGUUCAGACUCGUGAACUGAAUAAUUUAAGAGAAUGGACAAAAUAAUUUAAGAAAUAAAAAUAAACUUUGUAGAUAUAUAAUGACAUAGUAGCAAGCCUCACAUAAUAUCCGAACAUUUAUCUGAUUUACAGAUUAGUUUCUAAUGACUACUCCAAAUCCAUGACAAAGAUUCCAAAAAGAAUAAAUAACAAACACAAUAUUCAAAUUAAAGAUUAUUAGAGAAACAAACACAUGAAUGCAAAUUGAAAAUAGUAACAGGAAAACAAACACAAUAUUCGAAAAAGUGUUUCUACCAUACCUAAUACUUAAAAAGUAAAAAUUUUUAAGUGUUAAAAAGGCUAAAAAAUACUUUUCAUAAUUAUUGUAAAACGCACUCUUAAAAAAUAAAAAUAUAUUUCAAAUAAAAGCAUUGUCACCAACCGUCUAACUAAAAAAAAUUGCUUUUCAAAUGUGAGUUAACAACUCUUUUUGAAAAAUUUUGCAAGACAAGCUCUUGGAGUUGUUUGAGAGUUCUUUUACCGAUUGAUUGGUUAUGGAUGCUAGACUUUUACAUUAAUCUAAUCAUGUUAUAAUCUCAAAUAAGGUGAAAUUGAUUAAAUUGGAAAUCCACCCAACCUCGCAUCGGGUUGAAAAUUGAUAGUUUUUUAUUAAGUUGGACUAAACUGAUAUGAGUUGAUUAUUCAAAUUGAUUAAGUUGCGCGGGUUUGAGAUUUGGGCCGAACAAUACCCAGAUCCAUACACAAGAUAAUGGAUCCGGACUCGGAUACGGGACCCGGCCCAUUUGAUCUCCGACGAACACAUUUGUAUAUCCAACCCCUAGAUCGUGCGGCCAGGAUCUAAUCUCUCCCUGAAAAGAAAUGUGAGCCGUUGGAUGACUGAAUACAAAGCCACAAUCAAACCCUACGAAACCCUAGUUUUUCACUCUCCUUCUUUUCAGACUGCUUCUGAUUCUCAAGACUCCUAUCUUCUCCACUGAUCACAGCGGCCACUCUCGGUGAGUAGAAGCUAUUUUCCGUUUGGUUCCUUAGAAAAUAUGGAAGGAAAUGCUUAAUUUUGGAUCUUAUUACGGUUUUUGUGGGUUUGUUUUGGUUCCUACUCGAAUGAAGUUGGUGGAAGUGACUGUUUCUUGUUUGAUUCCCGAGAAAAUAGAACAGCAGUUGAAAGACUUUUGAUCUUGUUAUGUUUUAUGCUGUUCUGGUUUGGUUCCUAAACGAAUGAAAAUGCUCAUUUAAACCGAGAGAUUUCAGUAUCUCAGUUUCCUUCUCUUUUUUUUCUCUCGACUUUCCUGGCAUCCAAACAUGGUUUUGUAGUUGGAGUUUACCUAUAAGUGAUUGUUCAUUUGUUUGCCCCUGAAAAAAGGGACAAAAUCUUGGAUCUUGUAUUGUUUUAUGUUCUGGUUUGGUUCCAGAAGAAUACAAAUGUGACCGAGAAAUUUCAAUCUCACUUCCUUUAUUAUACUGUACUUUCUUGGCAGCCAAACAUGGGCUUGUAGUUUAGACUUUGCGUAUAUCAGCAAAAAAUUGCUUAUUAAUGUUGUCCAUCUGAUUUUUACACAUUCUACAUCUCACUGAAAUAUCGACUUUGAUUUUUCUUCUGGUGAAUCUAGGGUAAUGCGUUUCUUUGUUUUGCUUUCCAGUCAGUGAUUUCUUCAUGUAUGUUUGGUGCCUGACAAAAGUUUGAAUAUUCAAUUUUCUGUUUUUCCAGAAAAUGUGAGCUCUCCUAAGUUAAACCAGAUGUUUAUAUCAAGUUAAGCCGAAAAUGGCUUUUUAAGGAUUCCCGUUUUCUUUUUCUAUGUAAAUGCUGGUUAUAGGGAAAUCUAGGGUUUCAGACUAAAUUACUUCUGAUAAUCUUUAAUUGGUAUAGUUCCUUUGGUUGUUGAGAAAGUGGGGGAAAGAAAAAGGAGCCCUAAAUAUUAUAUUUCAGUAUGUUCUGGUAUUGAAAAAAAAUGAACUGAAAAAGAGAGAUAAUCGAAUUAGAAUAGUUUGGUUUUUAACUUUCUUUGAUCUCAAAUAAAUCUAGUUUAUUAUUAAUUUUCAAAAUUUUUGUACAUAUUUGCAGCGGCCAAUUUGUGUUCUACUCAAUGUUUUAAAAGGCUGUUGAGGCUUACACCUUGAGGCUAGCCUCAAAUCAAGGCUCUACAAAUUAGCCUUGGGGAUAUAGCCUUAAAUAGGGUAAUUGAGGCUUAGGCCUCACCCUAUCUAAGCCUCCAAUAUCCAAAGGAUCUUCAGCUUUUAUGAGCUUUUGUUAUAUAUUUUAUACGAGGCUUAAGUCUCAAUUUUCAAUGAGUUUUAAUGGGUCUAUAAUCUAUGCUUUUGUGAACUUUUGAUAGAGAUUUUAUGAGUUUUGUAUUGGGUCCCUACUUGGUUAAGCCUUUUACAAAAUAAGGGCUUAGAUGAUUUCUAAUUAAUCUUUUAAAGGGUUAAUUUCAUUGACCUCUCUUGAGGUUUUGGCUAUAUACACCUAGUCCUCGUUGGCUUGAAAUUUCAUCAAAUGCCUCCCUUCCCUUUUUCAUUUGUUGUUUUAACUCACCUCCCCUCUAAUUCAAAAUAAGGGAGGUAUUUGACAAAUUUUCCAACUAGUGGGGACUAACUGUAUUUAGCUAAAAUCUUAAGGGAGGUGAGUGAAAUUCAAAGUUUUUAAAGGCGAAAGCGUAAGGCGAGGCAUAAGCCUCGAGGCGUUGAGGCGUAAGCUUUUUGAGCCUUACAUUAUAUAAUUAAUUAAUAUUUUAAAAUAUAUAAAAUAAAAUAGGAUAAAUAAAAACAUGAAAAUAAUUCAUUAGAAUCAUAAAAAAAAACAUACUAGUUCCCUACUUUCACAAAAAACCAUAACAAAUUCAUAAAAUAGAUUAUAGAUUCAACUAUACUAAUAGUUUCAAACUUUAACAAAAAGCCAAAACUAAGUCAUGAAAUAGAAAAUAGAGUCAACCAUAAUAGUAGUUCUAAACUUUUACAAAAAAUCCAUAACUAAGUCAUGAAAUAACAACUAGAGUAAAUUGUUUCAACUUAAAUCCUCCUCUCCAAGGUCAUCAUCAUCCUCAUCCAAUGUAUCAAUAGUAGGAAAAUGUCCACUAUCAUGUAUCCCCAUUUCAUCUAAAUCUUCAUCUUCAUCAAUUGGUGUCAAAUUCAAUUCCUUUUCCUUGCCUUUGCCUCCACUUGUACCUAACAUAAAGUAUUAAUUAUGUGUAAAUAUUAAAAGUUUUUUUUAUUAAAUUUAAUCAAAUUUAUGAUUUCAAUUUUUGAGUACUUACUUGGUACUUCAUUAUGUUUCCUUUUGUAGGAAUGUGAAGAAACCAUAUGAUCCGAUGAUGCUUGCGUCUCUUGGGAGUUGGAUGACACAACUCUAAUGGCAUCAACAUUGAAUAAUUCAUUAUCUUGAAGCCAACAAAGAUCAAGGGGGAGGAGGGGAUCUUCUUUCUCCGCAAUCCAUUCAUCAUCGGAAUCAAUCUCCUCUACCAAGAUUGGAUCAACAUUUUGUUUCCUUUGUAGACUUCGCUCUCUCAAUCUAGUGUUGUACCUUACAUAUACUAGAGCAUUCAACCUUUGAUGUUCAAGUCUAUUUCUUUUUUUUGUAUGGAUCUACAAAUAAUAAAAGAAACAAUUUUAUGUGUUAAAAUGAAAUAAAGUUCUCUAACAUUGAAAUAAAAAUAUAUGUAUAAAAAUUUAUAAAAAUAGAAGUAUUACCGAUUCAAAUGUGCUCCAAUUUCUUUCACAUCCCGAAGCACUACAAGUAAGGCUAAGGACUCGAAUAGCAAACUUUUGCAACUCCGGUGUUGAACCCCCAAAACGCAUCCACCAACUUGUAGGACUUCUUAAUGUUCGAGAAUCAAUUGCAAUACGACUCCCAAAUUCAUCCAUUGCUUGGUCAUAUGAGUCCAACUGAAUGUCAGCUUUUAAACGUUCUUGAUAAUCCAACAUCCUAUCCAUGCAUUCAAAUAAUCCCUUCCUCACCUCAUCAACAUUAGAGAACUUAUCUCCAUACCGCAAUUGAGGAUUAAGAUAAUAGCCUGCUGCAUGUAAAGGUCGAUGAAGUUGCGGAGUCCAUCUUGCAUCAAUUUUUCUCCAAAUUGGGCCAUAUUUUCUCUCCAUGCCCCGACAAUUAAAUGCAAUCUUCUCCUUAGCUGAAUCCAUCAACUCAUAAAUAUAACCCAUGGCCGGUCUUUCCUCUGAAUCAACCUCUCUCAAGACACUAACUAAUGGAACAGUGGUCUUUAUGCAAAAAGCAACAUGAGGCCAAAAAUUUGGAUCAAACAACACUAUACUUCGAGUUUUUACACCUUCUACCUUUUUAGCCCAUGUGCUUGAACACUAUUUUUCUGAGGAGAACAUUGCUAUAAGAGCUUGCUUUUGCUUAUAAAGACUUUGGAGAGUAAGAAAUGCAGUAGCAAACCGUGUAAUUGCUGGACGAAUAAGUUCAUGAUUUUUUGUAAAUGUUCUCAUCAAGCUAAGAACUCAAGUAUGCCCAUAUAUAAACUUCACAACUUGCCUAGCUCGAGAAAGUGUAGUAGCAUGAACAUUUAGCUUUCCAAUAUCCUCCAACAUCAAAUCAAUGCAAUGAGCAGCACAAGGAGUCCACUACAAUCUACUCCUUUUUUCCAUAAGCCUCAUUCCAGCAUUCACAUAAUUAAAGGCAUUAUCAGUGAUGACUUGCACAACAUUCUCCUCUCCAAUUUCUUCAACCACCUCAUCAAGAUAUUUGAACAUCAAUUCCCCAUUUUUUAUUGUAUCAGAAGCAUCAAUUGAUUUCAUAAACCAAGUGCCAGCAGGACUAUUCACCAAAAAAUUAAUAAGACACAUACUUUUUCCAUUUGUCCAACCAUCUGACAUAAUUGAACAUCCAUAUUGUUUCCAAGCUUUUUUGUGAUCUUCCAUAAUGAUACUUAGGUCAUUCACCUCUUCUUUAAGAAUCCAUGUCCUCAAUUCGUGCAUAGAUGAAGGCUUAAACCCGGGCCCAAAGUUUGCAACAACAUCUAUCAUAGGAAACCAAUAAGGAUCAUUCACAGUGUUGAAUGGGAGACCUUUUGAAUACAUAAACCUACCAAUUUUUCUACACACUUCCUUCCUUUCUUCUUGCUUCCACUUUGAAUUCAACGUACUUUGUCUAGGUUGUGAAGUGGUAAAUUUAUCCAUGGGUCCCCUAGGAAUAGGUUCCCCACUCCCACUUACACUCCCACUCCCACUCCCUAAUGUCCCUAUUGUUUUAGAUAAGGCACUUUCAUGCAUUGAAGUUGGACCCAUACCAAUUUCUUGGAGCAAUUCAUUUCUCUUCGUUUUUUUAUCCUUAAAAUUAGCCAAUGCCUCUUUACAUUCCAAUCUAGCAUCUUCACUAACUUUGUUGCAUGGUUUCAUACCAUGAUGAGUUCCGGCUAAGUGAUGCUUUAGUCUAUUCACCCCUCCCAUACAUCUUUGAUUGCAAAAUUUACAUCUUAAAUAUUGCUCUCCAGAAACUUCAAUCACAUACUUCCACACAAAAUCCUUUCUUGAAUUUUUCGAAUCGGAGGAACUCAUUCUAAAAAAAAUCACCAAUAAUAAUAUUCAAAUUUCCAUAUAACAAUAUAAUUGACUAAAAAAUAAUAACAAAGCACAAUUGAAAGAAAUUUAAAAAUGAAAUAUAAAAUUUAAUUGGUUUAAAUUAAAAAAAAAAACCAAUUUUUUUUAAAGGAGUUUAAAAAUUAUACACAUAAAUUUUAAUUGGAAUUUAAUAAUGAAAUAAAGAAAAUUGAGGUGAGAAUUAAAAUUAAAUCAGAAAUAAAAAAUUCAAAAUUCACAAAUAAUUAUCUUUUAUAUAAUUUUAAUUAUAUUUGUUUAUUGAUACUAUAAGCAAACAUAUAAAAAACUUCAAAAUAAAAUCUUAUUAACAAAAGGCACAUCUGAUUUGAUAAUUUAAAAAAAAAAAAAAAAAAAAAAGAUGAAAAACCUAUUGGGAGAGAGAGAAAAUCGUGGAUCGGAAGUGUGGGCUGUGAGUGAGAGAAUUUAAAUGCUGUGAGAGAGAGAAAAAAGGGUUUAAAACUUAAAUAGAUAUACAGCACAUCUGAUUUAAUAAAAAAAAAAAAAAAUUUGGAUGAAGAGCCGACGCCCGUGUGGAUUGCAGAGAGAGAAACGAAGAGGGAGAAACCAUGGAAGAGGGAGUUCGCAACAUACCUGGAGAUGAGAGGGAUUGCCGCCGGAGAAGAUCGCUGCGAUUGGUCGCCGCCGAGGGUGAGCACUCCGUCGCCGCUUGACUGGAAGAGGUAGGGUUUUGUUUUGGGUUUGUUUUCAGUCGGGACUGGGGUUUUAGGGAUUACUUAGGGUUUUUUUUUAAAUCUCUGUUCAUUGCCACAUCAGAUCCGACGAAGCGUACGCCUCACCGGAAAAGGGUGAAAGGCACGAUCAAAGUGCGCCUCAAUCACGCCUCACCAGAAAAGUGUACGCCUUUCAGGUGUUUCGCUUUAUUUUUAACGCCUCGACGCGUUUUUGCUGCGCCUCGCCUCAAGGCGCGCCCCACCAACGCCUUUAAAAACACUGGUGAAAUUAACCAAUCUUUUAAAUUGAAAGGAAAAAGAGUGAUUGAGAAGAAUAAGGGAAUUGAUGUUUUUAAUGGCUGAUCUCAUAUAUAAUCUAAUCCAAUUAUUGAUUGAUCAAAAAGAUACCACUACAAUUGGUGGAUAAAGAAGAAGAAAGAUGAGUGGAUAUUAACACUAAUGGGGAGGAUAAUAUAGCAAUUGAAUAUAAUAAUGGUCCUUGGAGGGUCCUAUUAGUGCUAGUAAUAGCAAUGGUGAAAAUUAUUUUUGAUAAAAUCAUGAGACAAAGCUAAAUUUAAUGAGAAAAAAAGAAUUAAAUUAGAACUAUUACAAAUGAAAAAUAAUUAGUUUUAUCAUUAUAAAAUUUGUUUACCUAUAAACAAAUCAUUAUGAAAUUUGUGUUUUGUAUUAUUUAACUUUCUUGUGACUUUAUGAGUAUAUAUUUUAAUUUUUUUUUUGAUAAUUUUUAUUAUUUAUUUGUUUAAGUUGAGGCUUACACCUCAUUUUCCAUGAGGCUUAAGUCUCACCUUGUUUAGACAAAAUGCCUCAAGAUCAUCUUUAGCCAUUUAAAACAUUGGUCCUUCUCUUUUUGAUGUAUUCAUAUCUCUUUUGAGCUUUUGUUGUCUUUGUAGUGCUUAUUAAUUAUAAAAGGUUUGUGAUGAAUAUAGAAUUUGUCAUUUGAUUGGUUUUUGGCUUGGUACAGAGAUGGGUGAAGAGGAAGCCAAGGGAGGACCAGUGAUACCAGAGUCUGUGCUGAAGAAACAGAAGAGGAGCGAGGAAUGGAUAUUGGCAAGAAGCAAGAGGUUGAGGCGAAAAAGAAGAAGAAUGCUGAGAAUUGGAAACUGAUUUACAGUAGAGCUAAGCAGUAUGCAAAGGAGUAUGAGGAGCAGGUACUCGUAGUUUUGUCUCAUGUAUUUGUUUUUCUGUUUUACUCAUGAAGAUGUGGGUAGUUUUAACUAAUAGAUGACACAUUUUUCAUGCAGCAAAUGGAGCCGACUCAAUUGAAGCAUGAGGCUAAGCUGAAGGGUGGAUUUUACGUUGAUCCAGAGGUUAAACUUCUAUUUAUUAUUCGUAUCCGUGGGUAUGCACUUGGACUAUAGUUAUUUCCAUUGAUACCUUUACUUUCAUAUUAAUAUUCUGGUUCUCAUUCCUGUCCACUCUGGAACUUUCAGUAUCAAUGCUAUGCACCCGAAGACGAGAAAGAUUUUGCAGCUCUUGUGUUUGAGACAGGUUAGAUGUCAAACCAUUGCAUCUGGAAAUGAGAAAUAUAUGGCUGUUAUAAAUCUAAUACCAUGCUUUGUGCUUGACAGCGUUAAGUUUCUUCUCAUAUCUUAUAUAGAUAUUCCUCUUCAAAGGAUAUAGUGGGGUAGGGAAUUGGGGUUGAACACCAGGGUGCCCUUUUUAGGAGUAGUAUUGCUAGUUCNNNNNNNNNNNNNNNNNNNNNNNNNNNNNNNNNNNNNNNNNNNNNNNNNNNNNNNNNNNNNNNNNNNNNNNNNNNNNNNNNNNNNNNNNNNNNNNNNNNNNNNNNNNNNNNNNNNNNNNNNNNNNNNNNNNNNNNNNNNNNNNNNNNNNNNNNNNNNNNNNNNNNNNNNNNNNNNNNNNNNNNNNNNNNNNNNNNNNNNNNNNNNNNNNNNNNNNNNNNNNNNNNNNNNNNNNNNNNNNNNNNNNNNNNNNNNNNNNNNNNNNNNNNNNNNNNNNNNNNNNNNNNNNNNNNNNNNNNNNNNNNNNNNNNNNNNNNNNNNNNNNNNNNNNNNNNNNNNNNNNNNNNNNNNNNNNNNNNNNNNNNNNNNNNNNNNNNNNNNNNNNNNNNNNNNNNNNNNNNNNNNNNNNNNNNNNNNNNNNNNNNNNNNNNNNNNNNNNNNNNNNNNNNNNNNNNNNNNNNNNNNNNNNNNNNNNNNNNNNNNNNNNNNNNNNNNNNNNNNNNNNNNNNNNNNNNNNNNNNNNNNNNNNNNNNNNNNNNNNNNNNNNNNNNNNNNNNNNNNNNNNNNNNNNNNNNNNNNNNNNNNNNNNNNNNNNNNNNNNNNNNNNNNNNNNNNNNNNNNNNNNNNNNNNNNNNNNNNNNNNNNNNNNNNNNNNNNNNNNNNNNNNNNNNNNNNNNNNNNNNNNNNNNNNNNNNNNNNNNNNNNNNNNNNNNNNNNNNNNNNNNNNNNNNNNNNNNNNNNNNNNNNNNNNNNNNNNNNNNNNNNNNNNNNNNNNNNNNNNNNNNNNNNNNNNNNNNNNNNNNNNNNNNNNNNNNNNNNNNNNNNNNNNNNNNNNNNNNNNNNNNNNNNNNNNNNNNNNNNNNNNNNNNNNNNNNNNNNNNNNNNNNNNNNNNNNNNNNNNNNNNNNNNNNNNNNNNNNNNNNNNNNNNNNNNNNNNNNNNNNNNNNNNNNNNNNNNNNNNNNNNNNNNNNNNNNNNNNNNNNNNNNNNNNNNNNNNNNNNNNNNNNNNNNNNNNNNNNNNNNNNNNNNNNNNNNNNNNNNNNNNNNNNNNNNNNNNNNNNNNNNNNNNNNNNNNNNNNNNNNNNNNNNNNNNNNNNNNNNNNNNNNNNNNNNNNNNNNNNNNNNNNNNNNNNNNNNNNNNNNNNNNNNNNNNNNNNNNNNNNNNNNNNNNNNNNNNNNNNNNNNNNNNNNNNNNNNNNNNNNNNNNNNNNNNNNNNNNNNNNNNNNNNNNNNNNNNNNNNNNNNNNNNNNNNNNNNNNNNNNNNNNNNNNNNNNNNNNNNNNNNNNNNNNNNNNNNNNNNNNNNNNNNNNNNNNNNNNNNNNNNNNNNNNNNNNNNNNNNNNNNNNNNNNNNNNNNNNNNNNNNNNNNNNNNNNNNNNNNNNNNNNNNNNNNNNNNNNNNNNNNNNNNNNNNNNNNNNNNNNNNNNNNNNNNNNNNNNNNNNNNNNNNNNNNNNNNNNNNNNNNNNNNNNNNNNNNNNNNNNNNNNNNNNNNNNNNNNNNNNNNNNNNNNNNNNNNNNNNNNNNNNNNNNNNNNNNNNNNNNNNNNNNNNNNNNNNNNNNNNNNNNNNNNNNNNNNNNNNNNNNNNNNNNNNNNNNNNNNNNNNNNNNNNNNNNNNNNNNNNNNNNNNNNNNNNNNNNNNNNNNNNNNNNNNNNNNNNNNNNNNNNNNNNNNNNNNNNNNNNNNNNNNNNNNNNNNNNNNNNNNNNNNNNNNNNNNNNNNNNNNNNNNNNNNNNNNNNNNNNNNNNNNNNNNNNNNNNNNNNNNNNNNNNNNNNNNNNNNNNNNNNNNNNNNNNNNNNNNNNNNNNNNNNNNNNNNNNNNNNNNNNNNNNNNNNNNNNNNNNNNNNNNNNNNNNNNNNNNNNNNNNNNNNNNNNNNNNNNNNNNNNNNNNNNNNNNNNNNNNNNNNNNNNNNNNNNNNNNNNNNNNNNNNNNNNNNNNNNNNNNNNNNNNNNNNNNNNNNNNNNNNNNNNNNNNNNNNNNNNNNNNNNNNNNNNNNNNNNNNNNNNNNNNNNNNNNNNNNNNNNNNNNNNNNNNNNNNNNNNNNNNNNNNNNNNNNNNNNNNNNNNNNNNNNNNNNNNNNNNNNNNNNNNNNNNNNNNNNNNNNNNNNNNNNNNNNNNNNNNNNNNNNNNNNNNNNNNNNNNNNNNNNNNNNNNNNNNNNNNNNNNNNNNNNNNNNNNNNNNNNNNNNNNNNNNNNNNNNNNNNNNNNNNNNNNNNNNNNNNNNNNNNNNNNNNNNNNNNNNNNNNNNNNNNNNNNNNNNNNNNNNNNNNNNNNNNNNNNNNNNNNNNNNNNNNNNNNNNNNNNNNNNNNNNNNNNNNNNNNNNNNNNNNNNNNNNNNNNNNNNNNNNNNNNNNNNNNNNNNNNNNNNNNNNNNNNNNNNNNNNNNNNNNNNNNNNNNNNNNNNNNNNNNNNNNNNNNNNNNNNNNNNNNNNNNNNNNNNNNNNNNNNNNNNNNNNNNNNNNNNNNNNNNNNNNNNNNNNNNNNNNNNNNNNNNNNNNNNNNNNNNNNNNNNNNNNNNNNNNNNNNNNNNNNNNNNNNNNNNNNNNNNNNNNNNNNNNNNNNNNNNNNNNNNNNNNNNNNNNNNNNNNNNNNNNNNNNNNNNNNNNNNNNNNNNNNNNNNNNNNNNNNNNNNNNNNNNNNNNNNNNNNNNNNNNNNNNNNNNNNNNNNNNNNNNNNNNNNNNNNNNNNNNNNNNNNNNNNNNNNNNNNNNNNNNNNNNNNNNNNNNNNNNNNNNNNNNNNNNNNNNNNNNNNNNNNNNNNNNNNNNNNNNNNNNNNNNNNNNNNNNNNNNNNNNNNNNNNNNNNNNNNNNNNNNNNNNNNNNNNNNNNNNNNNNNNNNNNNNNNNNNNNNNNNNNNNNNNNNNNNNNNNNNNNNNNNNNNNNNNNNNNNNNNNNNNNNNNNNNNNNNNNNNNNNNNNNNNNNNNNNNNNNNNNNNNNNNNNNNNNNNNNNNNNNNNNNNNNNNNNNNNNNNNNNNNNNNNNNNNNNNNNNNNNNNNNNNNNNNNNNNNNNNNNNNNNNNNNNNNNNNNNNNNNNNNNNNNNNNNNNNNNNNNNNNNNNNNNNNNNNNNNNNNNNNNNNNNNNNNNNNNNNNNNNNNNNNNNNNNNNNNNNNNNNNNNNNNNNNNNNNNNNNNNNNNNNNNNNNNNNNNNNNNNNNNNNNNNNNNNNNNNNNNNNNNNNNNNNNNNNNNNNNNNNNNNNNNNNNNNNNNNNNNNNNNNNNNNNNNNNNNNNNNNNNNNNNNNNNNNNNNNNNNNNNNNNNNNNNNNNNNNNNNNNNNNNNNNNNNNNNNNNNNNNNNNNNNNNNNNNNNNNNNNNNNNNNNNNNNNNNNNNNNNNNNNNNNNNNNNNNNNNNNNNNNNNNNNNNNNNNNNNNNNNNNNNNNNNNNNNNNNNNNNNNNNNNNNNNNNNNNNNNNNNNNNNNNNNNNNNNNNNNNNNNNNNNNNNNNNNNNNNNNNNNNNNNNNNNNNNNNNNNNNNNNNNNNNNNNNNNNNNNNNNNNNNNNNNNNNNNNNNNNNNNNNNNNNNNNNNNNNNNNNNNNNNNNNNNNNNNNNNNNNNNNNNNNNNNNNNNNNNNNNNNNNNNNNNNNNNNNNNNNNNNNNNNNNNNNNNNNNNNNNNNNNNNNNNNNNNNNNNNNNNNNNNNNNNNNNNNNNNNNNNNNNNNNNNNNNNNNNNNNNNNNNNNNNNNNNNNNNNNNNNNNNNNNNNNNNNNNNNNNNNNNNNNNNNNNNNNNNNNNNNNNNNNNNNNNNNNNNNNNNNNNNNNNNNNNNNNNNNNNNNNNNNNNNNNNNNNNNNNNNNNNNNNNNNNNNNNNNNNNNNNNNNNNNNNNNNNNNNNNNNNNNNNNNNNNNNNNNNNNNNNNNNNNNNNNNNNNNNNNNNNNNNNNNNNNNNNNNNNNNNNNNNNNNNNNNNNNNNNNNNNNNNNNNNNNNNNNNNNNNNNNNNNNNNNNNNNNNNNNNNNNNNNNNNNNNNNNNNNNNNNNNNNNNNNNNNNNNNNNNNNNNNNNNNNNNNNNNNNNNNNNNNNNNNNNNNNNNNNNNNNNNNNNNNNNNNNNNNNNNNNNNNNNNNNNNNNNNNNNNNNNNNNNNNNNNNNNNNNNNNNNNNNNNNNNNNNNNNNNNNNNNNNNNNNNNNNNNNNNNNNNNNNNNNNNNNNNNNNNNNNNNNNNNNNNNNNNNNNNNNNNNNNNNNNNNNNNNNNNNNNNNNNNNNNNNNNNNNNNNNNNNNNNNNNNNNNNNNNNNNNNNNNNNNNNNNNNNNNNNNNNNNNNNNNNNNNNNNNNNNNNNNNNNNNNNNNNNNNNNNNNNNNNNNNNNNNNNNNNNNNNNNNNNNNNNNNNNNNNNNNNNNNNNNNNNNNNNNNNNNNNNNNNNNNNNNNNNNNNNNNNNNNNNNNNNNNNNNNNNNNNNNNNNNNNNNNNNNNNNNNNNNNNNNNNNNNNNNNNNNNNNNNNNNNNNNNNNNNNNNNNNNNNNNNNNNNNNNNNNNNNNNNNNNNNNNNNNNNNNNNNNNNNNNNNNNNNNNNNNNNNNNNNNNNNNNNNNNNNNNNNNNNNNNNNNNNNNNNNNNNNNNNNNNNNNNNNNNNNNNNNNNNNNNNNNNNNNNNNNNNNNNNNNNNNNNNNNNNNNNNNNNNNNNNNNNNNNNNNNNNNNNNNNNNNNNNNNNNNNNNNNNNNNNNNNNNNNNNNNNNNNNNNNNNNNNNNNNNNNNNNNNNNNNNNNNNNNNNNNNNNNNNNNNNNNNNNNNNNNNNNNNNNNNNNNNNNNNNNNNNNNNNNNNNNNNNNNNNNNNNNNNNNNNNNNNNNNNNNNNNNNNNNNNNNNNNNNNNNNNNNNNNNNNNNNNNNNNNNNNNNNNNNNNNNNNNNNNNNNNNNNNNNNNNNNNNNNNNNNNNNNNNNNNNNNNNNNNNNNNNNNNNNNNNNNNNNNNNNNNNNNNNNNNNNNNNNNNNNNNNNNNNNNNNNNNNNNNNNNNNNNNNNNNNNNNNNNNNNNNNNNNNNNNNNNNNNNNNNNNNNNNNNNNNNNNNNNNNNNNNNNNNNNNNNNNNNNNNNNNNNNNNNNNNNNNNNNNNNNNNNNNNNNNNNNNNNNNNNNNNNNNNNNNNNNNNNNNNNNNNNNNNNNNNNNNNNNNNNNNNNNNNNNNNNNNNNNNNNNNNNNNNNNNNNNNNNNNNNNNNNNNNNNNNNNNNNNNNNNNNNNNNNNNNNNNNNNNNNNNNNNNNNNNNNNNNNNNNNNNNNNNNNNNNNNNNNNNNNNNNNNNNNNNNNNNNNNNNNNNNNNNNNNNNNNNNNNNNNNNNNNNNNNNNNNNNNNNNNNNNNNNNNNNNNNNNNNNACACCUUUUUUUAUUUUAUUUUAAUUUUUUUUCCUUUUUGUCCAAGUCAAGGUCUUCAGCACUUGGUUUUUGUGGUGAGGCAAAGACUCAAGUCAUUUUCCACUCAAUUAGAAUUUAAUAUGAUACAACUCAAAUAAUACUAAAAACAAAAAGAAGUGAGGCUAUCAUUGUCAUUGCUUUAAACCACCUUCUAUAUAUUUUGUUGAAUUGAAAAUGCAAGGGAAGCAAAGAAAGAAGUUUCAGGUAAGGAACUAAUAUUGAUAACUUAUUUUUAAUAUGCUUUUCUAUCUAAUCCUUCUAACUCUAAGUGAUUUCGGUUCUCGCUAGUCAAAGUAGGUUGAUAUUUGAGAUGAUUAUAAUUGUUUUUCUUAAUAUAUAUUUACAUAUGUUAUUAGUAGAUCUUUUUAGACUAGUGCCGUUUGUUAAAUGUGUUGUUUAAAAUAAGUUCUUCAUGUUGUGCAAUUGUCUUUUAGAUUUUGCCAAUGUUUUCAUUUUUAUGUUGGAAAUAAAAUUUUAAUUCAAUUCAAGAAAAUGCUGACUACAUAUUGGAAUUCAAUUUUUACAGGUGCUCCUUACUAGAGAAUUACAUAUUUACAUGGAGAAAAUUUCAAUUCUUGGUUUCAUUUUAGCUAUUCUCUAUUUCAUAACAGAACUUGCAUGUAAUGGUCAUACCCAUGUCGACAACAAUGUUCAAUAUGAACAAAAGGCUCUUAUUGACUUCAAAAGUGGUCUCAAAGAUCCCAACAAUCGGCUUUCAUCAUGGAAAGGAAGCAAUUAUUGCUACUGGAAAGGAAUUAGUUGCGAAAAUAGCACAGGAUUUGUCAUUUCAAUUGAUCUUCAUAACCCUUAUCCUCGUGAGAAUGUAUAUGAGAACUGGAGCUCUAUGAACUUGAGUGGAGAAAUUAGUCCUUCAUUGAUAAAACUCAAGUCUUUGAAAUAUCUAGAUUUGAGUUUCAACUCAUUCAAAGCCAUGCCAAUUCCUCAAUUCUUUGGGUCUCUGGAGAAUUUAAUAUAUCUAAACUUAUCGAGUGCUGGGUUUAGUGGAUCAAUUCCUUCAAAUUUAAGGAAUCUUUCUAGCUUGCAAUAUCUCUAUCUUUCUUCUGAGUAUCUUGACGAUAUUGAUUUUGAGUAUCUUUAUGAUAUUCAUUCUGAAUAUUUUAAUAAUUUAUUUGUUGAAAAUAUUGAAUGGAUGACUGACCUUGUUUCCUUGAAGUAUCUUGGUAUGAAUUAUGUUAACCUUUCAUUGGUAGGAAGUCGAUGGGUUGAGGUGGCAAACAAGCUUCCAAGUUUAACUGAGUUGCAUCUAGGUGGUUGUAGCCUCUCUAGCUCAUUUCCAUCUCCAACCUUUGUUAAUCUUACUUCACUUGCUGUUAUAGCUAUCAACUCCAACUACUUCAAUUCCAAGUUUCCUGAAUGGCUUUUAAAUGUCAGUAACCUUGUAUCCAUUGAUAUAAGUGACAAUCAACUGCAUGGGAGAAUUCCACUUGGUCUUGGUGAGCUACCCAAUUUGCAAUACUUAGAUCUAUCUUUAAAUGUCAAUCUCAGGGGUAGUAUCUCUCAACUAUUGAGGAAGAGUUGGAAAAAGAUAGAAGUUCUAAAUUUGGCUCAGAAUGAAUUACAUGGUAAGCUUCUUUGUGUUAUUAGAAAAAUUGAUAUUUCUUUGUUGAUAUGUUAAUGUAUAGUUAAGUAUAGUUCACAAUUGUAUAUAUAAGUGUUGAAUAUGUGUCAAUAUACAAAUAUCAAAUAAUCAGUAUAUUUGGUUCACUUGUUGGAAACAAAAUUCUUCUAAUUAAAAAAAAAUUAUUUUGAAUUUUAAAUUCUUAGAAGGAAAUUUAGUUUCUUUUUUAUCUAAGAAAAAGUAUAUAGUUUAACAAUUUAUGCUUAUGAAGUAUCAAUGUUAUUUGACAAUUUUUUGUGUAAAGGCAAGUAAUUAUAAAAAGUGUUUGUCUACAUGACUAUUAAAAAAAAUUGUGUCUUAUAGGAGUAUGGUUUUUUUUUUUAAUCCUUAACUUCAUUUUUUACUUUAAAUUAGUUGAUGAAUGAUUUAUUAUUUAUUAUUGCCAAUAAUUAUACAUUUGUUAUAUUAAUUAUUUUUUGAAUGUUUUCAUUUCAUUUUGACAUAACUCUCAUUUUUUCAAUUUGUUUUGCUCCUGAGGAUAAUAAUUUGAGCAUGUACUAAAUUGAAUAUUUAUAUGAUGGUUGAAUUGAUAUAUGAUGUGCUUUGUCACUUAUGUUUUAAUAUUUUACUAAAUUUAGUUAUUAAAUGUUUUCCAUUUUUUACUCUCAUGGUAUGCCUUCUUUUAAACUAUUCCAUUACAAUUUUAUUCUAAAUUGUUAUGUUUAUUUAAAGUACUUCCUGUUCCUAUAAAAUUUAAAUAAUUAUAAUUUACAAUUCACUUAUAUUUGAAAAGCUUGUAACUAAUAAAUUAAAAAAAUCACAUUGUAUUAAAAUUUAAAAAUUUACUUUCUUUGUAUCUCCAAAAAGAAUUAAAUUCCUAUUUUGACAAUUUAUGUUUGUUAAGAAUCUUUAUCAUCAAACACCCUUCAAUCAUUUCCUACAUAUUUUCAAUUUCUAUUUUCUCUCACUAAUUCAUCUAUUACAUCAAAUUAUUGUAAUUUAUAUACUGAGAUAUGACAUUUCAUGGUUGAGACUAGUAAUUGAAACCAUAAAAUUGAACAUUAAGUGAAUAUGAUAUGGCAUUUCAUGUUCUUAAAUAUUGUUAUUGAAAUUUUAAAAAAUUUAAGGUAGUAAAAAAUUUCUAAUAUGUAUGUUUUUUAAAACAAUUUUUGAAUAUCAUUAUUUUUUUUUAUUUAUGGUAGUUUACUAUUUAUAUUAGAGUUUCUAUGAAUUUCUAUGUCUAGAAAUAAAACAUAUGAAGCUUAUCCAAGCACAACCUUAAAGAAACAAUUAAUGUCAAUGAUUAAUCCUACUAGUCUUAUAACAGUGAAAUCAAUUACUUUAUUUCAUGGUUAUCAGAAAAGAUAAAAAAAAGUACCUAAAAAAAAAUCUAAUAUUUUUUCUUAUUUUUUCUUUAAACUAAUUUGUUUUUUUAUUUACUAUUUUUAUUAUUUGUUUGUUACAUAAUUUUAAUUAAUACAUAUUUUUAUUAUUGGUCAUUGCAGGUUCAAUUCCCAGCUCCAUUGGAAACUUUUGCAACUUAAAAUAUUUGGAUUUGAGUGUUAAUCUCUUGAAUGGAAGUUUACCUGAGAUUAUCAAAGGACUUGAAACCUGUAGUUCUAAAAGUCCUUUGCCUAAUUUAGAAGUUCUAAAUUUGGCUGAGAAUGAAUUACAGGGUAAGCUUCUUUGUGUUAUUAGAAAAAUUGAUAUUUCUUUGUUGAUAUGUUAAUGCAUAGUUAAACAUAGUUCAAAAUUGUGUAUAUAAGUGUUGAAUAUGUAUCAAUAUACAGAUAUCCAAUAAUCAGUAUAUUUGAUUCACUUGUUGGAAACAAAAUUCUUCUUAUGAAAAUAAAUAUUAUUUUGAAUUUUAAAUUUCUUAUAAGGAAAUUUAUUUAUUUUUCUAAGAAAAAAUACGUAGUUUAACAAUUUAUGCUUAUGAAGUAUCAAUGUUAUUUAACAAUUUUUUGUGUAAAGGUAAGUAAUUAAAAAAAGUGUUUGUCUACAUAAUUAUUAAAAAAAAAUUGUAUCUUAUAGGAAUAUUAUUAUUAUUAUUUUGAAUUCUUAACUUCCUUUUUUACUUUAAAUUAGUUGAUGAAUGAUUUAUUAUUUAAUAUUGUCAAUAAUUAUACAUUUGUUAUAUUAAUUAUUUUUUGAAUGUUUUCAUUUCAUUUUGACAUAACUCUCAUUUCUUCAAUCUAUUUUACUCCUAAUGAUAAUAAUUUGAGCACGUACUAUAUUGAAUAUUUAUAUGAUGGUUGAAUUGAUAUAUGAUGUGCUUUGUCACUUAUGUUUUAAUAUUUUACUAAUUUUAGUUAUUAAAUGUUUUCCAUUUUUUACUCUCAUGGUAUACCUUCUUUUAAACUAUUCUAUUACAAUUUUAUUCUAAAUUUUUAUGUUUAUUUAAAGUACUUCCUGUUCCUAUAAAAUUUAAAUAAUUAUAAUUUACUAUUCACUUAUAUUUGAAAAGCUUGUAACUAAUAAAUUAAAAAAAUCACAUUGUAUUAAAAUUUAAAAAUUUACUUUCUUUGUAUCUCCAAAAAGAAUUAAAUUCCUAUUUUGACAAUGUAUGUUUGUUAAGAAUAUUUAUCAUCAAAUACCCUUCAAUCAUCUCCUACAUAUUUUCAAUUUCUAUUUUCUCUCACUAAUUCAUCUAUUAUAUCAAAUUAUUGUAAUUUAUAUACUGAGAUAUGACAUUUCAUGGUUGAGACUAGUAAUUGAAACCAUAAAAUUGAACAUUAAGUGAAUAUGAUAUGGCAUUUCAUGUUCUUAAAUAUUGUUAUUGAAAUUUUAAAAAAAUUUAAGGUAGUAAAAAAUUUCUAAUAUGUAUGUUUUCUAAAACAAUUUUUGAAUAUCAUUAUUAUUAUUUUUUUUAUGGUAAAGUUUACUAUUUAUAUUAGAGUUUCUAUGAAUUGCUAUGUUUACAAAUAAAACAUAUGAAGCUUAUCCAAACACAACCUUAAAGAAACAAUUAAUGUCGAUGAUUAAUCCUACUAGUCUUAUAACAGUGAAAUCAAUUACUUUAUUUCAUGGUUAUCAGAAAAGAUAAAAAAAAGUACCUAAAAAAUAUCUAAUAUUUUUUCUUACUUUUUCUUUAAACUAAUUGUUCAUGAAUUAAUUUGUUUUGUUAUUUACUAUUUUUAUUAUUUGUUUGUUACAUAAUUUUAAUUAAUACAUAUUUUUAUUCUUGGUCAUUGCAGGUUCAAUUCCAAGCUCCAUUGGAAACUUUUGCAACUUAAAAUAUCUGGAUUUGAGUUUUAAUCUCUUGAAUGGAAGUUUACCUGAGAUUAUUGAAGGACUUGAAACCUGUAGUUCUAAAAGUCCUUUGCCUAAUUUGACGGAAUUAUCCUUGUACUACAAUCAAUUGAUGGGAAAAUUGCCGAACUGGUUGGGUGAGCUUAAAAAUCUCAGGGCGCUCUAUUUAUCCAGUAACAAAUUUGAAGGUCCCAUCCCUACUUCUUUAUGGACAUUGCAACACCUGGAGUAUUUGUAUCUUUCACGGAAUGAGUUGAAUGGAAGUCUCCCAGAUAGUAUUGGACAACUUUCUCAACUGCAAGGCUUGGGUGUUUCUUCCAAUCAUAUGAGUGGAAGUCUCCCAUAUAGUAUUGGACAACUUUCUCAACUGCAAUGUUUGUAUGUGUCUUCCAAUCAUUUGAGUGGAAGUCUCCCAGAUAGUAUUGGACAACUCUCUCAAUUGCAAGACUUGGAUGUUUCUUCCAAUCAUUUGAGUGGAAGUCUCCCAGAUAGUAUUAGACAACUCUCUCAACUGCAAGAGUUGGAUGUUUCUUCCAAUCAUUUGAGUGGAAGUCUCUCUGAACAACAUUUUUGGAAGCUGAGUAAGUUGUGGUAUCUAUGCAUGGACUCCAAUUCUUUCCAUUUGAAUGUUAGUCCCAAUUAGGUUCCCCCUUUCCAGGUGAAUGAUCUUGAUAUGGGAUCAUGCCGCUUGGGUCCUUCAUUUCCGGCUUGGCUUCAGUCUCAAAAGAAGCUCCUGAAUCUUGGUUUCUCAAAUUGCAGCAUUUCAAGUCCCAUUCCAAACUGGUUUUGGAAUAUUUCUUUAAAUCUGCAAUGGUUAAAUCUUUCUGACAAUCACUUACAAGGUCAGCUACCAAAUUCAUUAAAUUUUUCUGGUCAAUUAGAGAUUGAUUUCAGUUCCAACCUCUUUGAAGGACCUAUUCCUUUUUCAAUCAUAGGGGUCUCUUUUCUAUAUCUCUCCCAUAAUAAAUUUUCAGGCUUUUUUCCACCGAGUAGAGGUGAAUCCAUGUUAGGCUUGUAUUACCUUUUGCUUUCAGAUAAUCAAAUAACAGGAUUCAUCCCUCUAAACAUAGGAAAAUCCAUGCCAAACUUGUCUUAUCUUUCUCUUUCAAGUAAUCAAAUAACAGGGGCCAUCCCAUCAAACAUAGGUGAAUUCCUACCCAACUUGCAGUUCCUUUCUCUUUCGGGUAAUCAAAUAACAGGGAACAUCCCUGAUUCCAUAGGACACAUUACCUCUCUUCAAGUCAUUGAUUUUUCAAGGAAUAAUUUGACUGGAAGCAUUCCUUCUACCAUAAAUAAUUGCUCUGGCCUUUUUGUUUUAGACCUUGGAAACAACAAUUUGUCUGGGAUAAUACCAAAGUCGUUGGGCCAAUUACAAUCGCUCGAAUCACUGCACUUGAACCACAAUGAGCUUUCAGGAGAGCUCCCCUCAUCUUUCCAAAAUUUAACAGGCUUGGAAGUUCUUGAUCUUAGUUACAACAAAUUGUUGGGUGAGGUUCCUGCAUGGAUUGGAGCUGCUUUCGUAAAUCUGGUAAUACUCAACUUGAGGUCGAAUAAGUUUUGUGGAAGACUUCCCUCCCAACUUUCAAAUUUAAGCUCCCUGCAUGUCUUAGACCUUGCACAAAACAAUCUGAUAGGUGAAAUUCCAAUCACUUUGGUUGAGCUUAAAGCCAUGGCUCAAGAGCAAUUGAAUAUAUAUCAGAUAAAUGUGAAUGUCAACUCCUCCUUGUAUGAAGAACGAUUGGUUGUGAUUACCAAAGGCCAAAGUCUUGAAUAUACCAAGACUCUUUCUCUUGUUGUAGGCAUUGACCUAUCCGACAAUAAUUUAAGUGGAGAGUUUCCCCAAGAAAUAACAAAAUUGUUUGGUUUGGUGGUUUUGAACUUGUCGAGGAAUCACAUCACUGGCCAAAUUCCUGAAAACAUUUCAAUGUUGCGACAAUUGUCAUCUCUUGAUUUGUCAAGCAAUAAGCUUUCCAGCACCAUUCCUUCAAGCAUGGCCUCAUUAUCAUUCUUGAGUUAUUUGAAUCUAUCAAAUAACAAUUUCUAUGGUAAGAUCCCCUUUAUAGGGCAAAUGACAACCUUCACCGAGCUGGCCUUUGUGGGAAACCCUGAUCUAUGUGGAGCUCCAUUGGCCACAAAAUGCCAGAAUGAAGAUCCAAAUAAAAGGCAAAGUGUUGUUAGUGACAAAAAUGAUGGUGGCUAUAUUGAUCAAUGGUUUUACUUGAGCGUUGGCUUGGGAUUUGCCAUGGGCAUCCUAGUUCCAUUUUUUGUUUUGGCAACAAGGAAAUCUUGGUGUGAGGCCUAUUUUAAUUUUGUGGAUGAGAUUGUCAGAUGGUUGUUGAGAGGAAGAGCAACCUAUGCCAAAAAUCAUCCUAGAAGGCGAUAACUUUUGUUUGUAGAUCUUUCUAUGUUUUAUGUAUCAUUGUAAGCUUUGGAAGUGAAUUUCAUCACAGUUGCAAUAGAAAAAAAGACUUAGCUUUUAAUUUAUUUUAACUUCAGAACAUAUCCUUUGUUUAUAAUCUGCAGUGUUUUGGCAUUGGCAGAAGGCUUAGAAAAGAACUUGACACCUCUUAUUCAUUUUACAUUCAGAAGUCUUGCUUAUCAUAUUUCCCAGCUCCUUAUCAAUCAUUAAACUCCUUGUACAACCAAAUAUUGUGAAAUUCUGUAUGAACAUAACCAAAGAGAAGUGAAAAAACAGUUGUUUCUGAAGUUUCACUGAAAGCAAAUACAUCUAUUAUACCCUAUUCAAGUUCUAAAGCAAUAUAGAUCGUAGAUGAUUUCUAGAUACCCCUGUGCCACCAACACAACACAAAUAUAUAAAUAAAAACAAAUUAAUUAACCAAGAAUAGGUAAAAUUCACACAAUGGCCUUUAUUUAAUUACUGAAACAUGAAUAUGUAAACAAUUCAGCUUGGUCACGCCCACUACUUUGACUUCUGCACAGUAGCAAUAUUAGGUAUGAUGUACUAAAAGACAUGCACAAGUUGAUUUUACCUACUGGGACUCCCCUGAUGUAACAGAAUCUCUCUUAACUCAGAGACAGCAACACUGACCCAAAGAAACCUAUCAGACCUGAAACAACUCAAUUCUCCAAUUAAAUUAUCCAGAAACUGACUUUGGCCCAUGACUUGGAAAUGAGGAGAACAGAGGAUUGCACAAGAUGAGAUCAAUUGCAAUGGGCAGCACAGAGGAUAUUAUUUUCAAGUAUGCAUUUUAUAAUCUUUUCUAAUUUCUAAUUUUAUUUUAUGUGAUUUAUAGAAAGAAAAAAAAAAGGGUUUUUGUUAAUAUAAGUUGUGAUUUUUCAAUGUUAUAGCCUGUUUAACUGCUACUAAGAAAAACACACCAUCUUUUCUCUUUGCUAGUAGAAUUUAUAAUAGCCCCUAAAAUUAAAAAUAAUUGGUUCUAAUUUAAAAUUUUUGAAUUCUCUUAAAUAUGUAAUUUUCAUUUAUGUUUCCACUAGCUUAUAAUAUUUAAAUAGAAUAUGAACGUAAUAUUAUAAUAUUAUAAUAUUUUUUCUUUUUUCCAUUUAAAAUUUUUUUUCCCAAGUUCAAAAACUUGAUUAAUUAUUAAGAAAAAUGGCUAAAAUUUAUAAUUCUUGAAAGAAAAAUUUAUAUUAAUAAAUAAUAUAAUGAAUUAAUGCAUAAUAAAAACACAUAAAUCGGUAUUUUUGGGUUAAAAGAUUAUAAAAUGCAUACCUAAUGCUUUCUAUUGUUUUCUAAUUCCAUGCAUACCUUAUAUGCUCUCCUUUUUUUAUGGAUAUGAUGUUUUAAAAGAUAUCACUUUCAAUGUGAUUGCAAGGUCUUUAUUAUUAUACUUUUGUCUAUGGGUCAUGCACAGUGGGACAAGACCCUAGUCAAGUUUAUAGGAAAUUUUGAAUUUUCCAUUACAAAAAGUUAAUUUGAUUUUAUUAUAAGUCGAAAAAAAGAAAAAAUAAAAAAAGAAAAAAAACAAGAUUUAUUAAGUCUUUUUUUUUUAUUUUUUUAUUUUUUAUGGUUGAGAGAUAAGAAUACAUAGAAAAUGUUUUUUUAUGGGCGAUGCACGAUAGGACAAAUCAAGGUUAUAUAAAAUUUCGAAUUUUCCACCAAUAAAUUUUUAAUCAAGCAUAUAUUUGUCAAUGUAUAUAUUUUUAUUUUAAUAUUUAUAAAAAAAGAUUGUUAUUUAAUAUGUAAAAGAACUUAAAUUCAAUAAUCAUUUUUUUUUUUAAGUUUUUCUAUAAACAUAUCACAUUCCAAACACAACCCUUGUAACUAGAAGUGUAUUUAAGUUUAAAAUAUUUUUUAACUUUGAAGUGGUUUAGUUAUGAUUAUAUAUUAUGUAAAACUCUUUUAACAGUCACCCAAAUACUUAUGGACCAAACUAGUUCAUAUAAGUGUUUUCCUUUUAUUAUAGUUCUAUUUUACUAUUUUUCUUUAAAUUCUAUGUUUUUAUGCAAGUAUUUUUCUUUUAUUAUAGCAAUAUUUCACUAUCUUUAUUUUAAUUCUAUUUAAACAAAAGUAGUCAUGUAGAGUAAGAUUGAUUUUUCAUUUAUUAUGGUGUUAUUUACCAGUUUUUCUUUUAAUUUUAUUUUAAAAAAACUAAAAUGUAGAGUUGUCCUUAAGGUAACGAUCAAUUUAUUUAUUGACUAGUUGAUUAUUUCCUUUAAUUUUUUUAUUAUGAUAUAAAAUUAGUGUCUUGAUCACUAUUAAGUAUUUCUUUAUAUCCUAUAUUAUAAUUGGAUAUAAAGUUGUUAGUUUUUUUUUUAAAGUGAAAAAUGAUUUUAAUGGGACCAAGUCUAGGUCUUUUGUUUUUUGUUUUAAUUUUAGGAAUGUUCCACUUGAGUAUGGUUUAACUUUAUGACUUGAUAGUGUGGUCAACACUACAUAGAAAAUAAAACGUCUUUUAUUAUCAAUCAUGAUUAGAAGUUCCUUUAUUAUUGGUCAUGAUCAAACAACAUGAUCUACACUUCAUAUAGAAUUGAUGGGUUGCCAAAAAAAAAUGUAAACUAUUGUAAUUUGAUUUUAAAUUCUUAUUUAUUAUCCAUAUGACUAUUUGACUUGACAAACUUUACAACGAAGUCUAUACUUCAUGCAAAGUUAAUAUUCUUUAUUAUGGAUCAUGAUCAAGAAAAGAAUGGACUCCUAUGAUUUGAUUUAAAUGGUUAUUUAUUGUACAUCAUUAAAUCUAGUAAGAUAUUUCUAUAAUAAAAAAAUUGGAAGAAACUAAUAUAUUAUCAUAAGGUUAUAUCAUGCGUAUAUGUCUCAUUGAUUGAGACUUAAGGAAUUAAGUUUGUGAGUUGGAUCAUAUUAGUUUCUAAUAUCAUUUUCCUUUGAAGUAAAAAGUGAUUAUUUAAGUUGGAAGACAAAUAUAUUGUUUAAUCUAUUAUGUGUGUAUAAGAAAAAAAAUUGGAUGCAAUUAUAUUAAUGGUGUUAUUUUGGCAUAUUUCUAUUUGAAAUAAUUUUGCAUAAUUUAUAAUUGUAGAUAAUAAAUAUUUAAUUUUAUAAUAUUACUGGCCAAGUUAGACUUGCAUGAUUUAAAAAAAAUUUGAGAAUACUAAACUUAUGUAUUAUGUAAAAUAAUUUUCAUGAACUUGAAUGUUUUAAAAGAUAUUAACCUUCAAUAUGGUUGUAAGGUUAUUAUUAUUAAAACUUGUCUAUCAUUUUGUGUGGACAAAUUUUUCAUGGAGAAUUGAUUAUUAUUAUUAUUAUUAUUUCUCUUGUGUGGAUAUUUUUUAUGGACUUGAUUAUUGUUAUUAUAUAUAUAUAUAUAUAUAUAUAUAUAUAUAUAUAUAUAAAUUUAUCUAUUAUCUUGCGUGAACAACAUUUUUCAUGAAUUUGAUGUUUUAAAAGAUAUUACACCUUUAAUAUGGUUGUAAGGUUUUUAUUAUUAUAUUUUUUUUCUAUGGGACAUGCACAGUUGGACAGACCCAAGUCAAGUUUAUAUGAAAUUUUGAAUUUUCCACUAUAGAAAAUUAAUUUCAUUUUCUUAUAAGGCAAGAAAAAAAAAACAAGACUUAUCAAGUCUUUUUUUUUUUUUUUUUCUAAUGCUUAAGAGAUAAGAAGACUUAGAAAAUGUUUUCUAUGGGUGAUGCACAAUGGGAGAAAUCAAGGCUAUAUAAAAUUUGAAUUUUUCAAUAUAGAAAAUUAACUUGGUUUUCUUAUAAGCCAAAGAAGAAAAAAAGAAAAAAGAAAAAAAAAAGAAAACAAAAUUUAUCAAAUCUAUUUUUUUUUUUUUUUUUUAUGCUUGAGAGAUAAGAACACAAUUAUUGAAGGUAAAUUUCCUUGUAACUCCUUUUAACCUUUUCUUUAAGAGAUUAUAUAUGAUUGUGUUAAACCUUUAAUUUUGUAAGACUUGUAACUAACAUAUUGAGUGGUUUUCUAAGUGGUAAAUCAUCUAUGAUCGGUUUUACACAAUGCUUUUACAAUCGGAUUGGUCAUUGAAUUGAAAAAGUUACCAGUUUAUGGUUCACUGGUCGGAGUGGCGGUUGAACCGAUGAUGUCAUAAAUAUAUAUGUAAUAAAUAAAUGAAGGAUAACAAAUUUUAAUCAACAAAAAUUAUAAGUCAACAAAAAAUUAAAACAUUAAAUAUUAAACAUAAAAUAUAAAAAUAUUAAAUAUUAAAGUUUAAAAAUAAAAACUUAAAAGUGUUAAACUAAUAAAUGGAUUUGAGCCACAACUAAUAGCUAACAACCACAAAAAAAUGGAUUUGUUGCAAGGAGUGUGGCUAGGUUGAGAACUAGAGCAGGGAGAGGGGCGGUUAGGGGGUGGUAGAAAGCCAACAUUUUGAAGGAGGGGCGGGGGGUGUUUCAAUUCGAAGGAAACUGACAAGCUCGUUUGGUUCUCCGGUCUGACUGCUGGUUCACUCAGCCCGAUGUUGGUUCAACCCUUGGCCGGCUCAACUCACCAGAUCGAAUCGAAACUGCACUGGCUAGUUUGGUUUGAAUUUUAAAACCAUGGUUCUACAUCAAUUAUGAAAAAAAUUAGUAAAUAGUUUUAUUAUUUUCUAAGUGGGCAAAGCUUUCCACUAACUUACCUAUGUAAGUGAUGUAAAUUUUUUUUGCCUACCCUAGUAAUUAUCCUAUAUGAAUAAAGUUUCACUGAAAUUUCAUAUCGGUAUUUAUUUACUAGAUUUUAGCAUCUCGUGAUUGGAAUAAUAGUUUUUGGAAAUUUUAAUUUUUGAGUAUUAGAUGAGAAGAUUUUCAAUUCUUGCUUUUAUUUUUGCUAAUCUUCAUUUAAUAUGAUGUAAAACUAGUUAAUGAUUAUAAAAAGUUUUGCAAAACAAGAUUCAAAAGUAAAAUCUAUCUUUAAACCCUAAAUAGUGUUUUUUUUUAAGACUAUUUUUCACCAUUCUUAUAAACUGAAAAACUAAUAAUGAUAUUUCUCCUCAAUAGCACUCCUUUUACGUUGUAAGACAAAACUAAUGAGCUAAUUUAUAAGCACAUUUUUAAUCAAGCAUAUAAUUGUUAAUAUACAUUUAUCUAUUUUAAUAUUUAUGAAAAAAAAGAUUGUUAUUUAAUAUGUAAAAGAACUUAAAUUCAAAAAUAAUUUUCUUAAGGUUUUUCAAUAAACAUAUCACAUUUCAAACACAACCCGGGAGUUAGAGGAGUAUUUAAGUUUAAAAUAUUACUUGAUUUGGAAUCUAUAUGUUUACUGAGAAAAAUUGAAAAAUAUAGCUAUAUACAAAGGAGAAAUAGGGGAAUCAAAAUUCUUUUUAGACCAACUUUGGUCUAUUAUUUUCUAUUACAACUCAUUUUGAACUAGUUUUCAUCUAUUAUUUUUUGGUACUUACUAGGUAUAUUUUAAUUUUCAAUUAUAAAAAUUAUUAUACUCACUAAAAAAUUGAACACAAGUCUUAUUUUAUUUGAAGUCCAUUUAUCUAGUAAGCAAAUGAAUAAAAUUAUAGUUAUAUGCAUAGAAAAGACAAAAGUCAUUUUAAACUAAAGUCCAUGGAUUUCUAGUGGUGAUUGAGUUGCUUUUUGAAUCCCAAAUUCCUUCUUGAAAGUAAUAAACUUUUAAAAAAAUCCAAAGUAGGUAAGUAUUGCUUGAUUUGAAGUCUAUUUAUCUAGUAAAAAAGAAAAAGAAAAUUAUAGUCUUACACAGAAAAUAAACAAUAGAGUAAUUAUAUACUAAUUUUUGUCUAUAAAUUUAUGUUAUUAAUUGAGUCCAUAUGUGAGUUUGAAAUUAUUUUUAAAAAUUAUUAGAUUAAAUAAAGGAUUGAAACAUUAGGUCUAUCUAGAUUUACUUUUUAUUUCCAUAGUAAAAAAAUUCAUAAAAAUAUAGUCAUGUGUAAUGAAUAAACUAGAAAAGUUAUUCAUAAUAAAUUUUGGUUCAUGAUUUUUUUUUAAUAUUAAUUGGAUUAGCUUUGAAUUUGAUGAUUGUUUAGUAUAAAUUGGAUUGAUUUUGAGUUUCAAAUUAUUUUUAAAAACGAAUAAAUCCUAUAUAUUAAUAUUCCUUGAGUUGGAAUCUAUUUGCUUAAUAAAAAAAAUUUAGAUAAGUUAAAGAAAAUAAAAAAUUAUGUGUAAUUAAGAGAAAUAUCAUAUUUGAUGAUUUUUGGUAUUGAUUGGUGAAGAGAAAAUGAAAAAAGAAAGAGAUUUUGUUUACUCAUUUGUUUUUAUGAUUUUUUAAAAUUAUUUUUUAUUUCUUUAUGUUUUCUUUUGCUUUUAAAAACAAGUGAAAAUAAUUUUUAUUUGUUUUUUGGAAAUUAUUCUCUAUUUAACUUUCAUUUUAAAAUUUGUUUUCAAACAAAAAGACCAAAUAAUGCUAUAAAUUUCUAAAUUACACCACCAAACAAUCUUAUAGAUUUAAUAGUAUUUUUGUAUGCUAAAUGACCUAAGCUCUUGACUUAUUCCUAAUACCUUGAUUUACAUUUUUUGUUUAUUCCAAUUAAGAUUUUUUUUUGCAUCUAUAAUGAGUAUAGUUUUUUUUUUAAUUCAUAAAUGAAUUUUCAUGUUUAUCUUAAUCUCGUUGACCUUGACUUAGUGCCAAGUUAUGGCUUUUCUAUCCACACUUUUUUUUUUCCUUUUUUGUCCAAGUCAAGUUCUUCAAUCAAAACACUUGGUUUCUAUGGUGACGCAAGGACUGAGGUCAUUUUCCACUCAAUUAGAAUUUAAUAUGAUACAACUCAUAUAAUACUAAAAACAAAGAAAAGUGAGGCUAUCUUUGUCAUUACUUUAAACCACCUUCUAUAUAUUUUUGUUGAAUUGAAAAAGCAAGGGAAAUGAGAAAGAAGUUUCAAGUAAUUAAGGUUCAACUCCACUAAUAUUGAUGAAUAAUUUUUAAUAUGCUUUUCUAUAUAACCCUUCUAACUCUCUUAUAGGUGAUUUCGGUUCUCGCCAAUCAAAGUAAGGUUGAUCUAUGAGAUGAUUAUUGUCACGCCCCAAGACCCACUCCAAGGGCGUGACGGUCAUUUCACACCUCAAACCCGAAGGCUUAAAGUAUAAUCUGACCCGAACAAUCAUAUUGUAACUAGAUGUUACCAAUUACCAAAUAUCUGUUCAGAGUAGCGGAACAAAAUCUAAAUUCCUCAAAAUUCAAUUUCCAAAUAACUUCCAAAUAUCAAAUGAUCCAAAUGAACAUAACUAACAGUUAAACAAAAUCCAACAUAAAAUCCUAAGUCAAAUCCUAAUGAUGACCAUUCUUCAGCCUAGCCAUCACUCCUCACCCGAACUAAGAGUACCUGAAAAUUUUCAACAAUUGGGAAUGAGCUCACAGCCCAAUAAGGAAUAUUAAUGCAAUUCAUGGAUCAAAUAUUUUCAUUUCAAAUAGGAGAUAUCAAUUUUUUUUUCUCAUCAAAUAUCAGAGUUCCAAAAAUACCAAUAUAUUCAAAAUUCAACCAUCCAAUUUCAUAUCAAAUUCAAACACUUUCACAUAAGAUUCAAUCAAAUUCAUUCAAGUUUCAUUACUCUGGUUAUCAAAUAUCAAAUGCCCAGUUAGGUGGGACUUUUCAAAUGGGUGGCUAGCCUCAAAUUGUUCCUGGUGGACGGAACCAAACACUACUAGUACUAGUAACCUCUAACCAAACCCUUAGAGGCUGGGGUCCAAAUCAAUUACAUUCCCACCAUGAAAUGUAAAGGUCAACUAUUAUAUCCCAUUGACAGGGCCGAAUAGUCAACUAUUAUAUCCCGUUGACAAGGGCCAAAUAAACCAGAGUGAUGUUUUUGUUCAAGUAUUCAAAUUUACACAACAUAAUAUCUCCAUAUUUUGUGUCAUAAAUAAAACAAAAUAUUCCAACAUAACAUUUAGUGCAAAACAAUUUGAUCCAUGCAUGGUAACAAAAUAUCAUUUUAUUUUCCACAAUUCAAAAUAACAUAUGAAAUAAUUUAAUUUUAUAAAUAUUACAUUAACUUCCCUUACCUCAAAAGAAGUUCUUGAAAGCUUGGGAGAAGAAUAAUUCUGAAAAAGAUAUAAUCUACUCUUCACCUAAUAUAACAUAAGAGAAACAAUUAUUACUAUUUAUUUAUAAUUUAACUAAUUUAUUCCUUAUUUAAAUAAAACUAAUAAAUUCCCAAUUUGUUUCUAAUAACACAUUACUAAUUUAAUUAAAUUACAAUUUUAUUUCAUUAUAAAAUUCUAUAUAUAUAUAUAUAUAUAUAUAUUUUGCUAAAUCUAUUAUUACUAUUAUCUUAAUUAUUAAUUUGAAACUAAAUAUCAUUAUUUUAUUAAUUAUCUAAUUUGAGGCUAAAUCAUUAUUACAAAAAAUAUAUUAUUAUAUAUUUUGCUAAAUCUCUUACUUGUCUGGGAUACACACCAAACAAGUAAAACAAAGCAAUUUUUUUUUUUUCAUUGCCAUCAUCAUAAUAAUGAAUCAUUAUAUAUAUAUAAUAUAAGUCUCAUUCCAUCUGGGCACACGCCCAAAAUUUUUUAUUUUUUUAUUUUCCUUCCUUCCAAUGUUGUGCACACGCGUUCUCCUUUUUUUUUUUUUUUUUUGAUUAACCCUAACCUAAAAUCGAAAUAUUCCAAGGAAUUUUUUUUUUCUAAUAAAACUUAAGAUCUCCCAAAUUCCAAUACUAAAAUCAAAAUAUUAAAUUUUCACUAUUUGAUAUUAAAACGAAUUAAAAAAAAAUAAUCUAACCCUAAUCUAGAUUUGGGGUUUUCCAAAAAAAAUAUAUCUAAUGUGUUUGAAAUUAAUCAAUGAAUCUAAAAUAUUAAACUAGGGGUUAGAAUCUUACCUAUAGAAAUCUGUUCUUCAACCCUGAAAUCUGACUCCAACCUUACGUUCUCUGGAAUUCUGCGAACAGGAACUCUAUUCAGAAAAGAAGGGAAAGAAUAAAAUUUCUAAUUUAUACCUAGGGUAUUUAUUCGUAAAAUUACACUUUUACCCCUCUUCCACUUUAUUAAAUUAAUUAAUUAACUAAUUAAAUUAUUAAUAACAAUUUCCUAAAUUGCCCUUAAAAGAAAAUGUCUGGGCGUUACAUUUAUAAUUGUUUUUCUUAGUACAUAUUUACAUAUGCUAUUAGUAGAUCUUUUUAGACUGGUGAUGUUUGUUAAAUGUGUUGCUUAAAAUAAGUUUUUCAUGUUGAUGCAAUUGUCUUUUAAAUUUUCAAUUUUUUUUUUCAUUUUUAUGUUGGAAAUAAAAUUUUAAUUCAAUUCAAGAAAAUGCUGACCACAUAUUGGAAUUCAAUUUUUACAGGUGCUCUCUACUAGAGAACUGAAUAUUUACAUGGAGAGAAUUUCAAUUCUUGGUUUCAUUUUGGCUAUUCUCUAUUUCAUAACAACAGAACUUGCAUGUAGUGGUCAUACCCAUAUCGGCAACAAUGUUCAAUCUGAACAAAAUGCUCUUAUUGACUUCAAAAGUGGUCUCAAAGAUCCCAACAACCGGCUUUCAUCAUGGAAAGGAAGCAAUUAUUGCUACUGGCAAGGAAUUAGUUGUAAAAAUGGCACAAGAUUUGUCAUCUCGAUUGAUCUUCAUAACCCUUAUCCUCGUGAGAAUGUAUAUGAGGACUGGAGCUCUAUGAACUUGAGUGGAGAAAUUUGUCCUUCGUUGAUAAAACUCAAGUCUUUGAAAUAUCUAGAUUUGAGUUUCAACUCAUUCAAAGCCAUGCCAAUUCCUCAAUUCUUUGGGUCUCUGAAGAAUUUAAUAUAUUUGAACUUAUCAAGUGCUGGGUUCAGUGGAACAAUUCCUUCAAAUUUGGGGAAUCUUUCUCACUUGCAGUAUCUCGAUCUUUCUUCUAAGUAUCCUAAAUAUGUUGAUUUUGAGUAUUCUAAUGAUUUAUUUGUUCAAAACAUUGAAUGGAUGAUUGGUCUUGUUUCCUUGAAGUAUCUUGGUAUGAAUUAUGUUAACCUUUCAUUGGUAGGAAGUCAAUGGGUUGAGGUGCUAAACGAGCUUCCAAUUUUAUCUGAGUUGCAUCUAGAUGGUUGUAGUCUCUUUGGCUCAUAUCCAUCUCCAAGCUUUGUUAAUUUUACUUCACUUGCUGUUAUAGCUAUCAGCUCCAACCAUUUCAAUUCCAAGUUUCCUGAUUGGCUUUUAAAUGUCAGGAACCUUGUAUCCAUUAAUAUAAGUUUAAGUCAAUUACAUGGGAGAAUUCCACUUGGUCUUGGUGAGCUACCCAAUUUGCAAUACUUAGAUCUAUCUUGGAAUUUGAAUCUCAAGGGCAGUAUCUCUCAAUUGUUGAGGAAGAGUUGGAAAAAGAUAGAAGUUCUAGAGUUGGAAAAAGAUAGAAGUUCUAGAGUUGGAAGGAAAUGAAUUACAUGGUACGUUUUUUGUGUUAUUAGAAAAAUUGAUAUUUCUUUGCUGAUAUGUUAAUGUGUAGAUAAAUAUAGUUCACGAUUGUGUAUAUGAGUGUUGAAUAUGUAUCAAUAUACAAAUAUCAGAUAAUCACUAUAUUUUGUUCACGUGUUGGAAACAAAAAUCUUCUUAUUAAAAAAAAUAUUAUUUUGAAUUCUAAAUUUCUUAGAAGGAAAUUUAGUUUCUUUUUUAUCUAAGAAAAAGUAUGUAGUUUAACAAUUUAUGCUUAUGGAGUAUCUAAGUUAUCUAACAAUUUUUUGUAUGAAGGUAAGUAAUUACAAAAAGUGUUUGUCUACAUAACUAUUAAAAAGAAUUGUAUCUUAUAGGAGUAUGAUUUUUUUUAAUCCUUAACUUCCUUUUUUACUUUAAAUUAGUUGAUGAAUGAUUUAUUAUUUAUGAUUGUCAAUAAUUAUACAUUUGUUAUAUUAAUUAUUUUUUGAAUGUUUUCAUUUCAUUUUGACAUAACACUCAUUUUUUCAAUUUGUUUUACUCUUGAGGAUAAUAAUUUGAGCAUGUACUAAAUUGAAUAUUUAUAUGAUGGUUGAAUUGAUAUAUGAUGUGCUUUGUCACUUACGUUUUAAUAUUUUACUAAUUUUAGUUAUUAAAUGUUUUCCAUUUUUUACUCUCAUGGUAUACUUUCUUUUAAACUAUUCUAUUAAAAUUUUAUUCUAAAUUGUUAUGUUUAUUUAAAGUACUUCCUGUUCCUAUAAAAUUUAAAUAAUUAUAAUUUACUAUUCACUUGUAUUUGAAAAGCUUGUAACUAAUAAAUUAAAAAAAUCACAUUGUAUUAAAAUUUAAAAAUUUACUUUCUUUGUAUCUCCAAAAAGAAUUAAAUUCCUAUUUUGACAAUUUAUAUUUGUUAAAAAUCUUUAUCAUCAAAUACCCUUCAAUCAUCUCCUACAUAUUUUCAAUUUCUAUUUUCUCUCACUAAUUCAUCUAGUAUAUCAAAUUAUUGUAAUUUAUAUACUGAGAUAUGACAUUUCAUGGUUGAGACUAGUAAUUGAAACCAUGAAAUUGAACAUUAAGUGAAUAUGAUAUGGCAUUUCAUGUUCUUAAAUAUUGUUAUUGAAAUUUAAAAAAAUUUAAGGUAGUAAAAAAUUUCUAAUAUGUAUGUUUUCUAAAACAAUUUUUGAAUAUCAUUAUUUUUUUUAUGGUAAAGUUUACUAUUUAUAUUAGAGUUUCUAUGAAUUUCUAUGUUUAGAAAUAAAACAUAUGAAGCUUAUCCAAACACAACCUUAGGGUUUCUUUUUUUCCUCAUCAUUAAGAGAAUUGACUAAAAUCCAAAUCAAGAAGCUACUAUUAACUUCUAUCCUAAAGAGGAAGCAAUUGUUGUCAUAUGAGUUUUUACUUCGAUAGAUUGUCUCUUGUAACCUUCAUUAAUUAAAUUAGAACUUUAUUGAUAAAAUUAAAGUCUCUAAGAUAUUUAGAUUUGAGUGAUAAUUUGAUUCAAGGACAUCCUCACUCCUCAAUUAAUUUGGAUGUUUCAUUUUAUAGCAUAUCCUUUGCAUAUUUUAGUUAAACUGUAAACCAUGUUACUUCGUCAUUUUACUGAUUUUAGUUUAUUAUAAGCUUCUCAUUCUUUAUUUAAUUUUGCUAGUUUCUUGUAGAGUUAUUGUUUCAAAAUAUUAGACUAGGUUGAAUUCCUACUUUUCUCUAGUUUUAUUCUUUAAUGGUACGUUCUACUUUUCUAUUCAAAAUUUCUAGGAGUUUGUAAAUAAAUAGAAUAACCACUUGGAAUUAAAAUAAUUGUUUAGAAAAACUUUUUUUUCUUUUUUUUUUUGGCAUUGCUAAAAUAAAAAUUAUAUUUUGGCAAUUUGGAUUUAUUGAAAAAAGAAAAAAAUCUAAUUACCUUCUCAAUCUUUUGGUAUAUAUUUUCAUUUUUUAUCUUUUCUUAUUGAACUAUCACUUUGUUCAAAUUAUUUUAGUUUAUUGUUAAAGAAACAAUAAACUAAUAUUUUUUCUUACUUUUUCUUUAAACUAAUUGUUCAUGAACUAAUUUGUUUUGUUAUUUACUUAUUUGUUUGUUACAUAUUUUUAAUUAAUACAUAUUUUUAUUCUUGGUCAUUGCAGGUUCAAUUCCAAGCUCCAUUGGAAACUUUUGCAACUUAAAAUAUCUGGAUUUGACGGGUAAUUAAUUGCAUGAAUGGAAGUUUACCUGAGAUUAUCAAAGGACUUGAAACUUGUAGUUCUAAAAGUCCUUUGCCUAAUUUGAUGAAAUUAUUCUUGCGCGACAAUCAAUUGAUGGGAAAAUUGCCGAACUGGUUGGGUGAGCUUAAAAAUCUUAGGGUACUCGAUUUAUCUGGUAACAAAUUUGAAGGUCCCAUCCCUGCUUCUUUAGGGACAUUGCAACACCUGGAGUAUAUGUAUCUUGGAUUCAAUGAGAUGAAUGGAAGUCUCCCAGAUAGUAUUGGACAACUUUCUCAACUGCAACAAUUGCAUGUUUCUUACAAUCAUUUGAGUGGAAGUCUUCUAGAUAGUAUUGGACAACUUUCUCAACUGCAAGUCUUGGAUGUUUCUUCCAAUCAUUUGAGUGGAAGUCUCUCUGAACAACAUUUUUGGAAGUUGAGCAAGUUGGAGUAUCUACAGAUGGACUCCAAUUCUUUCUAUUUGAAUGUGAGUCCCAAUUAGGUUCCCCCUUUCCAAGUGAAAAAUCUUCGUAUGGAUUCAUGCCACUUGGGUCCUUCAUUUUCGGCUUGGCUUCAGUCUCAAAAGAACCUCCAGUUUCUUGAUUUCUCAAAUGGCAGCAUUUCAAGUCCCAUUCCAAACUGGUUUUGGAAUAUUUCUUUUAAUCUGCGGCACGUAUUCCUUUCCAACAAUCAAUUACAAGGUCAGCUACCAAAUUCUUUAAAUUUUUCUGGUCAAUUAGAGAUUGAUUUCAGUUCCAACCUCUUUGAAGGACCUAUUCCUUUUUCAAUCAAAGGGGUCUCUUUUCUAGAUUUCUCCCAUAAUAAAUUUUCUGGCCCUAUCCCACUGAGCAGAGGUGAAUCCAUGUUAGACUUGAGAUACCUUCUUCUUUCCGAUAAUCAAAUAACAGGGCCCAUCCCAUCAAACAUAGGUGAAUCCCUACCCAACUUGUAUUUCCUUUCUCUUUCGGGUAAUCGAAUAACAGGGACCAUCCCAGAUUCCAUAGGACACCUCUUCUCUCUUAAAGUCAUUGAUUUUUCAAGGAAUAAUUUGACUGGAAACAUUCCUUCUACAAUAAAUAAUUGCUCUAGCCUAAUUGUUUUAGACCUUGGAAAUAACAAUUUGUCCGGGAUGAUUCCAAAGUUGUUGGGUCAAUUACAAUUGCUUCAAUCACUACACUUGAAUGACAACAAGCUUUCAGGAGAGCUCCCCUCAUCUUUCCAAAAUUUAUCAAGUUUGGAACUCCUUGAUCUCAGCUCUAACCAAUUAUCGGGUAAGGUUCCUUCAUGGAUUGGAACUGCUUUCAUAAAUCUUGUAAUACUCAACUUGAGGUCGAAUGUAUUUUUUGGAAGACUUCCCUCGCGGCUAUCAAAAUUAAGCUCCCUACAUGUCUUAGACCUUGCACAAAACAAUUUGAUUGGUAAAAUUCCAAUUACUUUGGUGGAGCUUAAAGCCAUGGCUCAGGAGCAUAACAUGGAUAUGUAUUCUUUAUAUCACACGGGGAGCAGCUCUUGGUAUGAAGAAAGGUUGAUUGUGAUUACAAAAGGCCAAAGUCUUAAAUACACCAGGACUCUUUCUCUUGUUGUUAGCAUAGAUCUAUCCGACAAUAAUUUAAGUGGAGAGUUUCCUGAAGUAAUAACAAAAUUGUCUGGUUUGGAGUUUCUAAACUUGUCCAUGAAUCACAUCAUUGGCCAAAUUCCCGAAAGCAUUUCAAUGUUGUGUCAGUUGUCCUCUCUUGAUCUAUCAAGUAAUAAGCUUUCUGGCACCAUUUCUUCAAGCAUGUCCUUGUUAACAUUCUUGAGUUAUUUGAAUUUUUCAAAUAACAAUUUCUUUGGUAAGAUCCCCUUUAUAGGGCAAAUGUCAACUUUCACAGAGUCAGCUUUUGCUGAAAACCCGAAUCUUUGUGGAACUCCAUUAGUCACAAAAUGCCAGGAUGAAGAUCUAGAUAAAAGGCAAAGUGCUCUUGAGAACAAAAUUGAUGGUAGCUACGUUGAUAAGUGGUUUUACUUGAGUAUUGGCUUGGGAUUUGCGAUGGGCAUUUUAGUUCCAUAUUUUGUUUUGGCAAUAAGAAGAUCUUGGUGUGAUGCUUAUUUUGAUUUUGUGGACAAAAUUGUCAAAUGGCUAUUGUUUAGAAGAAGAGUGACCUAUGCCAAAAAUCAAGCCCAAAGGCAAUAAAUUUUGUUUGUAGAUCUUUCUAUGCUUUAUGAUUCAUUAUAAGCUUUGGAAGUGAAUUUCAUCACUAUUGCAAUAGAAGACAAGACUUUGCUUUUAAUUUAUUCAAAGAUAAUUACUUUAUGAUAUUAUAUCUUCAUAUUACUUCAAGGUGUGCUAAUAAUUUAUACUCUAAUUUUUAAUUUUAUUCCAUUGAUUUAUGAAAAAAAAGGUCUUUGUUAAGAUAAGUUGUUUUUUUCAAAGGUUAUGACCUUUUUAACUGCCACUAACAAAGAAAAAGAACAAAUAUAUAUAUAUAUAUAUAUAUAUAUAUAUAUAUAUAUAUAUAUAUAUAUAUAUAUAUAUAUAUAUUUCCCAUUGUAAGUAAAAUUAAUAAUAACCCCCAAAAACUUGUUAUUAAAACUUAUUAGAAGAAAAAUUCUAAUUUAAAAAUUUUAAAUUAUCUUUGAAAAUGUGAUUAUUAGUCUUGUUUCCACUAUCUCAUAAAAUUUGACUAGGAUAUGAUGAUCAUAUUACAAUAUCAUGUAAAAUAUUUCUAUUCAUUUCUUAAAAUUGGUAUUCGUGAAAAUAUUUGGUUUGUCCCAACUAUAUACUUAUCCAUCCCCUAAGCUUCUAGGUGGGAAUGCUUUUGAUUAUACAUAUGCCCUGUUUGGAUAGUCUUUUACUUCUACCCAUAAUUAAAUGCAUAACCCAUAGUACAACAAAACUUUUAUCUCAUUUAAAAGUCCAAAAUCUUAAUUUUCUAUAAGUAUUUAGCUUAAUUUUAUCCAUCUUCAUACAUUAUGUCUUUGUUUUGCUCUAUUAAAAUGACUUCUAUUCACCAAGACUCGAAUAUUUAAACAAAUCUGCUCCACCCAAAUAUCUAAUUCUACUUGGUCAUAGAAAUAUUCGUUGACAAACAAACAUCAUCAUAGCAAUGAAGGCAAAAAAUGAUAUAUCAGCCAAAUGCAAGAAACAAUGUAACCCCAUUGUGGAUCGUGUCACAUAUCCUCUCUAAAAUGGAUCCAAAACCAAAAAGUAAGUUUUAGAAGUGAAAAAAUCAUAUGUUAUUAUUAGACCGAAUAACACAUCAACCUGCCGAGAACUGCGGCUAAGACAAAACCCCAUUUCCUCCUAGCACAGUUGUUCCUUGUCUAUGAUGAGGCUGGUUAUUUCUCAGCCAGAAUCACAUCCCGUUUUAGAGCCAGUUCCGUCUGUUGUUUCUCUGACUCUUGCUCCUCCAUCCAUGGGAAUUGAGUUUGAGACACCAGCCAAUAGAGCCACUUUCAUAUAUAUAAAAUCCGUCUUUAAUAUUGUUGAAACCAUCCAAAGCUGACGGUUUGAUUCAAAGUUUGCCACCCAUGGGAAAAGGAUUCCAAAUAUAAAAAUUGGCUUUAAUGUUUCCGAACAACUUUGUCAUGGUUCAAUAAUAAAUAGAAACAUAUCCAUGAUAUAAGUCUGAUAAAUCUUUUUAUUUUUUAUAAGGAACAAGGAGAUGUAUUAAUAUAAAGGAGGAAAAAAGGUCCAUGAACUAAACCAAAGGGAAAGUCAAGCACUGAUCAUCAUUAUUACCUGUACAUGUAAAUUUGAAGAUUUUUCUUGGACCCUUAUUACCAAUCUUCUACCUUUGAUAUGAGACAAGUAGGGCCUGCAGGCUCAUCCAAUUCAGAGGUCAUCUAUCGAAUCCUAGGUUAUUCUUAGGGAUGAGUUUCUCUAUCUAAUGCUUCUGAAAUUCUGUCACAUGUGAUUUCUAUACCUGGGAUGUCUAGGUCUACGAAACAAUCAUCAAAAGCAGAUUUGCUUCUAAAAUCCUCUUGCAGAUAAUUUCUAUUUCUUGGGUGAGAUUGUAAUUUUAUUUUCUUAACAUGUAUCAAAGUAAGAUGCACAAGUACUUGACAAUUUUUCUUAUCAGAUUGAUGAACUUUCUUAAAUGUGACACUGUUGAGUAUCUAACAAUUUUUUCCAUAUAUUUUGAAAGCGGUUUUCUACAAUUUGUUGGUGUGUAUUGAAAUUUUAAUUUAUGCAUAUUUCUUUCUUUUUGGGUUACAUACAAUGGACAAGGAUUAGGUACCAAGAAAUGACAAAAAAAUAUUAAAAAAAUGAUUAAAGAAAAAGUGGUCAUGGUGAUAGAACCUGUAUAAACUUUGAAUUAAAUGGAAGAGGCAAGGAAUAUUCCAGUACCACAAUCAUUUGAUCACUUGCAACCAUCCCAAGGAGCAGCCAACAAUAUUCAAUUUCAUCAAUCUAUCCCUUUGAUCAAAAGAUCAUAAAUGAUUUCCAGACUUUCCAUCUCUUAUAAAUAUCUGUUGCCACUCAUAGGAAAAGGCUUCCAAAUAUAAAACUUUACAUUAAUGUUACCCAAACAAUUUUGAUUAUCUGUAAGCAUUGAUUGUCAUUAUUCGAAUUGGAUCCUUAUCGUCAAUCUUCUGCAUUUUAUAUGAGACAUGUGGGCCUGAAGUCUCAUUCAAUUCAGAGGUCAUCUAUCUAAUCCUAGGGUAUUCUUAGCGAUGAGUUUCUCUAUCUAAUGCCUCUGAAAUUCUCUCUACCUUGGAUGUUUUGAUCUACCACAAUCAUCAAAACUAGAUUUGCUUCUAAAAUUCUCUUGCAGGUAAUUUCUAUUCUAUGGAUAUUUUGAUCUGGGUGAGGUGAUUCUAAUUAUUUUUUCUUAACAUGCAUAGAAGGAUGAUGCACAAGUACUUGACAAAUUUUCUUAUCUAAUUAGAUUGAUGAUCUUUCUUACAUGUGUUAUUGAGUGUCUUGAUGCAUUUGUCUUCUUUUUAUUCGUAUAUGGGAAACAAAAUUUUUCUUCAAUUCAUGAAAAGAGAUAUAACAUGUUGCAAUGAAAAUUUUACAGGUGUUCAUAGUUGGUGAAUUGCAUAAUAAAUGGAGAGGAUUUCAAUUCUGGGUUUUCUUUUACCUCUUCUCUAUUUAAUGGUGAAAGGAACAAUUGCUUAUAAGGAUGAAACUCAUUUGAUAGAUUGCCUAGAAUCCGAUCGAGAAGCCCUUAUUGACUUAAAAAGCGAUCUCAAAUAUUCCAAAAAUCGAUUUUCAUCAUGGAAAGGAUGUAAUUGUAUGAAUUUGAGAAAAGGAGCUCAAUGAGCUUGAGUGGGGAGAUUAGUUCUUCAUUGUUAAAACUCAAGUCCUUGAAACAUUUAGACUUGAGUUUCAACACAUUUGAAAGCAUCCCAAUUCCGGAAUUCUUUGGAUCUUUGAAGAAUUACAAUAUCUAAACAUAACAAAUGCUGGGUUUAGCGGUGUAAUCCCUCCAAAUUUGGGAAACCUCUCAAGGUUGCAGUAUCUUGAUCUUUCUUCUCAAUAUGGGAAUGGUCUAUCUACUGAUAAUUUUGGGUGGAUGAUUGGUCUUAUUUCCUUGAAGCAUCUCAAGAUGAACCAAGUUGACCUUUCAUUUGUUAGAUCAAAUUGGGUGGAUGUAUUAAACAAGCUUCCAUUUUUAACCGAGUUGCAUCUAUCUGAUUGUCGCCUCUCGGGUUCAGUUUCUCCAGCCUCAGUAGUUAAUUUUACUAUGCUUUCUGUUAUAUCCAUGAGUUGGAACUACCUUGAUUCAACAAUUUUGGAAUUGCUUGUAAAUAUCAGCAGCCUUACAUUCAUUGAUCUAAGCUACAACAGCUUAAACAGUGUUCCUCUUGGUCUCAAUCAGCUACCUAAUCUGCAAUACUUGAACCUGUAUGGCAAUGGAAAUCUUACUGGCAAUUGCUCUCAACAAUUGAGGGAAGGUUGGAAAAAGAUAGAGGUCCUCAUUUUGGCUUCAAAUAACUUUCAUGGUAAACUUCAAAUAACUUUCACUGCUCUUCCUUAAAUUUAUUGCUUAUGACUUUAUAAUUGGUAUAUAUUAUUAUACCAUCUGUUAAUAGAUGAUUUUUUUUUUCUUUUCUUUUCUUUUUUUGUUCUUGGUGAUUGCAGGUAGCAUUCCUGACUCCAUUGGAAGCUUCUGCAACCUAAAAUAUUUGGACUUAGGCCAUAAUAACUUGACAGGAAGUUUACCUCAAUUUCUGGAAGGAAUGGAAAACUGCAGCUCUAAAAGUUAUUUGCCUUACUUGACUAAUUUGAUCCUGCCCAACAAUCAAUUGGUUGGCAAAUUAGCAGAAUGGUUGGGACUGCUAGAAAAUCUCGUGGAACUAGACCUGUCAUAUAACAAGUUUGAAGGCCUUAUCCCUGCUUCUUUAGGGGCAUUGUCAAAUCUUGAGAGCCUCAAACUAAACAAUAACAGCCUUCAAGGUCCUAUCCCUGCAACUUUAGGGUCAUUGCAACACUUGACAGAUAUGUGGCUUGGAACUAACCAACUGAAUGGGACUCUCCCAGAUAGUUUUGGACAGCUUUCUGAAUUACUUUACCUGGAAGUUUCUUUCAAUAGUUUGACAGGGAUUCUCUCUGCAGAGCAUUUCUCAAAGCUAAGUAAGUUGAAACACCUGUACAUGCAGUCCAAUUCAGGUUUCAAUUUGAAUGUAAAUUCUAGUUGGGUCCCCCCUUUCCAGAUCUGGGACCUUGAUUUUGGUUCAUGCAGUUUAGGUCCUUCUUUUCCAGCUUGGCUUCAGUCCCAAAAGGAGCUUGUGUCUCUUGAUUUCUCAAACACUAGCAUUUCAAGUCCCAUACCAAACUGGUUUUGGAAUCUUUCUUCUAAUUUAGAUUUCUUAAAUCUUUCUCUCAAUCACUUGCAUGGCCAGUUACCAAAUCCAUUAAAUGUUUCUCAAGAUGCAUUGAUUGAUUUCAGCUCCAACCUCUUUGAAGGACCUAUUCCUCUUCCAACCAAAACUAUUGAAUCACUAGAUUUCUCCAACAAUAAUUUUUCAGGUCCCAUCCCACCGAGCAUAGGUGAAUCCAUUCCAAGCUUGAGGGUCCUUUCUCUUUCGGGUAAUCAAAUAACAGGAGUCAUCCCAGCUUCUAUAGGAGAUAUAAGGGGUCUUGAUAUCAUUCAUCUUUCAUGGAAUAGUUUGACAGGAAGCAUUCUCUUAACCAUAAUCAAUUGCUCUUCCUUAAGAGUUCUAGACCUUGGAAACAACGACUUGUCCGGGAGAAUUCCAGAACAGAUGGGUCAGUUAAAGUGGCUUCAAUCUCUUCACAUGGAAAACAACAACCUUUCAGGAGGGCUGCCCUUAUCUUUCCAAAAUUUGUCUAGUUUGGAAACUCUUGAUCUCAGUUACAACAGAUUGUCAGGUAACAUCCCAACAUGGAUUGGAGCUGCUUUUAUGGGUCUUAAAAUCCUUAACUUGAGGUCGACUGGGUUCUCUGGCAGUCUUCCUUCUGAGCUUUCAUAUCUACGUUCAUUGCAUGUCCUGGACCUCUCACAAAAUAAUUUGACUGGUAGCAUUCCACCUACAUUGGGUGGCCUCAAAGCAAUGGCUCAAGAGAAAAAUAUAAACCAAUUUGUGUUAUAUGGGAGCUUUCAAGGCAGACGGUAUGGAGGGCAAUAUUAUGAAGAAAGCUUGGUUGUGAACAUGAAAGGACAACGUCUAGAAUAUACCAGAACUCUUUCCCUUGUUACCAGUAUAGACCUGUCUGACAAUAAUUUAAGUGGAGAGUUUCCAGAGGCAAUAACAGAAUUAUUUGGUUUGGUGGCUCUCAACCUGUCACGGAACCACAUUACUGGCCAAAUUCCUGAAAGCAUUUCAAGGUUGAAGGAAUUGUUAUCUCUUGAUCUAUCAAGCAAUAAACUCUUCGGCACAAUUCCUUCUAGCAUGGCUUCAUUAUCUUUUUUGGGUUCUUUGAAUCUGUCAAACAACAACUUCUCUGGUAAGAUUCCUUUUACAGGACAGAUGACAACUUUUGAUGAACUUGCCUUUGAUGGAAACCCAGGUCUCUGCGGAGCUCCUCUUGUUGAAAAAUGCCAAGAUGAGGAUUCUGAUAAAGAGCACAGCACUGGUACCGAUGAAAAUGACAAUCAUUUCAUUGAUCGGUGGUUUUAUUUGAGCGUCGGAUUAGGGUUUGCAGCAGGUAUUUUGGUUCCUUAUUUUGUUUUAGUAAGCAGGAAAUCUUGGUGUGAUGCUUACUGGAAUAUUGUGGAUGAAAUCAUUGAUAAGACAUUCUGGUUGAGAAGAAGAAGAAGAAGAGCAGCAACCUAUACCAGAAGUCAUGGAAGACCACAAUAAAUUUUACAGUUCGUUUUCUUAUCUCUAAGAAUUUCAAUUCUUCUUAACCCAAGUAACAAGCAAUGAGAAAAAUAGAAAGAAUUAAACACUUUAGUGUGCUCCACCAUCUAAACCUUUUAACUUCUUGAUGGGGGGAGGUAGGUACAAUUAUGUCUUCCGUGAAUGAUGCUAUGAAUGUGGAAAAUUUUCUCAUACUAAUGAAAUUUCUCCCUCCUUGAUGGGAAAAGUUUAUAGGUUUAUGAAAAUUCUACAACAUUAUUAUUGGCAACUUGUCCUCCGUAAUCUAGAAAAAAGUCUAUUUGAUAGUGAUUGAACAACUCCUUCACCAUGUGCAAAGUUCAAUAUCAUUUUGACCUGAUAUGUGCCAAGAAAGAUUGAAUUGGAGAUAUAAAAGAAUUUAUAAAUAUUUUUUUCCUUUUUAUUUAAAAAUGACCAGAUAAAAUUUUUAAAUUUACAAUAUCAAAAUUAAUCCUCAAAUUAUUGUAGGUGAAAUGAAAAUUAGUUCUGAAAAAAUGUUGUGGGAAUCAUUAUUACUAAAUAGGAAUAAAUUUAAUAAAAAUUUAAAUUUACAUGAUUUUUUUUAAUAUACAUCUGAUUUCAUUUUAUUCUCCUACAAAAAUAUUAUUUUCAUUUUCAAUAAGAUUUAAAUUAAAUUAAAUUAAUUAAUAUGGUAUAAAUUGAAUUUAAAAUGUUUUUACAAAAUUAAAACAAAAAAUAAAAAAUAAAAAACAAUUUAACCAAACAAGUCUUUGUUUUUUUUUCUUUUAAAAAGUCAUUUUAUAAAAAUAACUUGUCAAAUAUCCUUAUUUUCAUAAAACAUUAAAAAACUAUUUUUGGUUCUUUAACUUAAAACAAUUUCUAAAAACAAGCAUAAGAAAUCAUGGUCAAACAAGAAAUUAAAAAAAAAAAAAAGCAUUUAUUGGAGUUGUAUUAAAAAUGAAUAUUAAAAUUAUUUUUUUUUGUAAUAAUUUUUAUUUCACUAGAAUAAAAAAAUUGUUUCAUAAUUAAAAAAAAUAUUUAUCUUUAACUCAUAUAUAAUUGUAAAUUUAAUUUUUAUUUUUUUUAAUAAGACUUAACUUGAAUUUGAUUUCAUAUCAUUAUAAAUUAAAUUUAUAAAAUUUUUAUAAAAUAAAAGUAAGGUAUUAUUUUUAAAAACAAUACAAAUUCUUUUAUCUAAACAAGUUUUUUUGUUUUUAAAAAACUAUUUUUUAAAAUAUCUUAUCAAACACUCUUAUUUUAAAUACAAAAUUUAAAAAACCUCAUAAGAAAAUCAAAUAUGAUUAAAAUUAAUUUGAAAUUUAUAUAUUUUAAAAUUAUUUAAUCCUUAUAUAAUAAAAAUAAAAUAAGUGAAAUGAGUCUAAAAAAUUAUUUAAAAAUAAUUUAUUGAUUUUAAAUCGAUAUCUUUUCAUUUUCCUUUACUUUUUCUUUUCUCCUACUUUUCUUCUUUAUUUUAUUUUUCUUAUAUUUCCCUCAAAUUUUUAGAGAAUCAAGUAUAGCCUAAUUAUUCUAGCAAUAACGUGAAUUCAAAAGCAAUGUUAAGAGACUUUAAUUUCAAGAAAUAGAAGAAGAAAGUGAUUUUAAUAUCUGAAAGUUGAUUUUUAUCGUGCAAGUGUAAGUAGGUAUAUUUUAUUAAAAUGGAUGAAAUAAUUCUAUUUUAUAAAUCCAAUGGUCCACAUUUGUUCAACUUAAAAAAUGCCCAGUUUUGAGAAAAUAUCCUAUCUUUUUUCUUUUGAAAAUAAAAUAAUCACCAAAAUAUUAAAGGAUAUUUAUAUUUAAAAAAAAGUUACUUUCCAAGUUCAAAUAUAACAUGGGUUAAAUUUAUAAGUUUAGGAUCAUUUCAUCUAUUUUAAUUAAUUAAUAUUUUCAAUAAUGAUAAAUCUAACGAAAAAAACUUAACUAAUAAUUAUAUAAAACUUUAAAAUUUUAAUUUCUUAUUUUUUUUUAUUUCAUUUGGGAAUUUUUAAAUUUUUUUGUUUUAAUAAAAAGUUGAAGCUAAAGAAAUGGAUAACUUUGGUGCAAUGAAGGCUUCAUUAAGCGUGACAUAAAUUUAUGUCUUAAGUUGAAAAGAAGGCUUCACCAAAAAGUUAUAAUAUCCUAAUUUUUACACUAUAUUGUUCUUAUGUCUUAAGCACUUUUUAACAAAGCUAUUCAAACAUAUCCAAAGUUGAUUUUCUAAUAAGCCAAAAGCUCAUUUGGCUCACUAAGAGUUUAAGUUUUACGGUUAUAUGGUAAUUUUGUUAAAAAAAAAAUUAUAAUUAAAAAAAAGGUUAGUAUUAAGGCAUGAAAACAUUACUAUAUGUAAAAUAUAUGAAUUAAUAAUUUUUUAUUUAAUAAAUUUUUUUAUAAUAUGAAUACUAUCUUUUAAAAUAUAAAUGGGAAAGAUAAUUAAACAUAUAAAUAUAAGUAAUUAAGUCAUUAUGACAAAGGAUUUACAAAAAAUAGUUUAAAGAAAAGUAAAAAUAAUAAUAAUUAAAAAAAUAAAUCAAAAAAUGAAAUAUAACAAUCCUAUAAUUUUUUAUAAAAUUGAGAGAAAAUUAAUUAAAAAUGUUAAUUAAUAUAGUUUUUUUUGACCAAAUAGAAUAAUUUAAAAUCCUACUCACCAAUAGUAGACAAAAAUAAACCAUUGAGUCACAUAAAAGUUGAAACCAUUGUCAAUGACCUUGCUUUGAAGCAAAGUAAAAUAUAUAUGUUCUAUUUUAUAUUUUAGUAGAAAAACCCAUCAUCAUGAUUGUGACCUUAAACAACAAAACACUAGAAAAAUGUAUAUAUUUUAGUAGAAAUUAUAUUUUAAAAUAUAUAUGUUCGUAUUUUAAUAAAACUAUAAAUUAUAUAUUUUUUUCUUUAAAAAUAAAUGAUAAAAUUAUUUUAUAUAAUCAAACUACAAUAGGUGAACAAAUAUAAAAUAGAAAACACAAACACCCACUUCAAAUUAAUUCCCUUGGCUUUUCACAACCAAAGCUACAAGAUUCCUCAAUCCAUCCGUAUUAAAUUCAAAACAAAAACACUCACAUUCAUCAAUAUUAAUUCUUGAUCAUUAUUAACAAAUACACAAGACAAACACCCACCUCAAAAAAUUUUCUGAGUUGUCAUACCCGUAUAUAUUACUAUGAUUUUAUGGUGUUGUAAUGACUAAUGAGGAAAAAAAAAAAAAUCAGCGGGUGGUAAGGGUGAGCGAACGAGAACAGAUGGCGCAGAAGUAUUUGGUCUUGGUUUUGCGGGAGACAGGGAUACAGCAGACAUGCAAAUUGCAGUCAAGAAGCGUUGCAACAACAGGGCCUCCACAGCAUGGGCACACAGCUCUGGCUCCCUCUCUUUUUAUCACCUUCUUUCUCAGAUCAAACACUUGGAAUAUACUCAUCUUUGUCUUCUUCUUCUUCCUUUAUUUCCACCACUGAUACUUAAUUCCUUGGUGUCUCUACUGCUGGUCGAGGAAUAUAUAUAUAUAUAUAUAUAUAUAUAUAUAGAUAGAUAGAUCAUUGAGAUGAGAAGUUUCCUUGAGAAUCUGUAAGGAUGUUUUCCAGGAAAAUUCCAGAGGAAAAUGGCUGGCAAGUUCCUUGUCGAUGGAUUACGGGCCAACAGCUUUUUGGUGGUAAAACAUGGGCUAAGGCUAAAUGGGCCGAGUCUUAUUGUUAAAUGGGUUUUAGGGUUAGGGUUGGUAUAUGAUAACUAGAACUCUUGUAAACUCUAUAAAUAGGUGGCUUGGGAAAACGUAAAAGUGAGAUGGGAAGGUGCAUGAGCCGUCUUUCAAUAGUAAAGAGAAUUGCUCGCUCUCUGCCUGUGGACGUAGAUCACUUUGAUCGAACCACGUAAAUCUUGUGUUUGUUCUUGUGUGUGAUUGUUUUCUUCCAUUAUUCCGCGAUUCUAUUGCUUGCUUGCUUUACAANNNNNNNNNNNNNNNNNNNNNNNNNNNNNNNNNNNNNNNNNNNNNNNNNNNNNNNNNNNNNNNNNNNNNNNNNNNNNNNNNNNNNNNNNNNNNNNNNNNNGGAACUGGGCUGCAAAGUGGGCUCUAUGCCCUCUGUGUAUUUGGGGCUGCCAUUGGGGGCCCGUAAUAAGAGUGCAGCUGUGUGGGAUGGGGUGGAGGAGAAGAUGAGAAGAAGACUAGCGCAAUGGAAACGGCAAUACAUUUCCAAAGGUGGGAGACUUAUUCUCAUUAAGAGUACGAUGGCUAGCAUACCCUUGUACCAAAUGUCUCUUUUCCGUAUGCCCAAGUUGGUUGCGCGAAGAUUAGAAAAAUUGCAAAGGGAUUUUCUUUGGGGAGGAGGAAAUUUAGAAAGGAAAGUGCACAAUGUUAAUUGGAAGAUUGUGUGUACGGAGAAGGAAAAGGGGGGGCUUGGCUUAAGGAAGCUAGUCCCGUUAAAUAAAGCUUUGUUGGGGAAAUGGAUUUGGAGGUUUGCUUGUGAAAAGGAAAAUUUGUGGAGACAUGUACUUGUGGCGAAAUAUGGGCAAGAGGGGUUUGGUUGGAUGACCAAAAAGACUAAUGGGACUUUUGGAGUAGGGGUUUGGAAGGAAAUUAUGAAGGAAAAGGAGUGGUGUUGGGAGAAUAUGGCUUUUAGGAUAGGGAAUGGUACCAGAAUCAGAUUUUGGAAUGACCUUUGGUGCGGAUAUACUGUGCUGUCCCAAAGGUUUCCUCAUCUUUAUGGGAUGGCUGCUCAUAGGAAUGGUACAGUAGAGGAUAUGUGGGACCAGAAUAUGGGCCAAGGUGAUUGGGAUAUAAGAUUUGUGAGAGGAUUUAAUGAUUGGGAGUUGGAUUUGGUAGGGAAUUUGCUUCAUACAUUGAGGGGGUUCAAUCCGACUUUAGAAGAGGAUGCUGUUUUUUGGAAAAGGGGGAAAAACGGAAAGUUUAAAGUUAAAGAAGCCUAUAACUUGGUGGUAAAUUCUGGGGCUAGCAAUUUUCCGAAGAACAACAUUUGGGUGGAUAAAGUUCAAACAAAAAUUUUGUUUUUUGCUUGGGAAGCUACUUGGGGCAAGGUGCUCACGCUUGAUAAGCUCCAGAGAAGAGGGUGGCAUCUCCCUAAUCGGUGUUUCUUGUGUGGAUGUGAAGAGGAAACUGUUAAUCACAUACUAAUACAUUGUAUAGUGGCAAGAGUUCUGUGGGAUAUGAUAUGUGCUUUGGUUGGUAUUAAGUGGGUCUUUCCAGAAACUGUAAAGGAGGUACUAUUAAGCUGGAGGGGCCCUUUUGUAGGGAAAAAAAGGAAAAAGAUAUGGAAGUCUAUACCGUUGUACAUUUUUUGGACUCUUUGGAAGGAAAGAAAUAGGCUUGCUUUUAAGGGGGGGGGGGGGGGGGGGGGGGGGGGUUUUAAAAAACAAAAAAUAAAAAAACUUUUUUUUUUUUUUUUUUUGGGAGGGGGCAAAAAUUUUAUGGAGAAAGGGGGUUUUUUUUUUUAAGGACCCCCGGGGGGGAAACCCCCCCUUUAAGGGGGGGGGGGGUUUUUUUUGUUUUUNNNNNNNNNNNNNNNNNNNNNNNNNNNNNNNNNNNNNNNNNNNNNNNNNNNNNNNNNNNNNNNNNNNNNNNNNNNNNNNNNNNNNNNNNNNNNNNNNNNNNNNNNNNNNNNNNNNNNNNNNNNNNNNNNNNNNNNNNNNNNNNNNNNNNNNNNNNNNNNNNNNNNNNNNNNNNNNNNNNNNNNNNNNNNNNNNNNNNNNNNNNNNNNNNNNNNNNNNNNNNNNNNNNNNNNNNNNNNNNNNNNNNNNNNNNNNNNNNNNNGUUGUCUCUUAUAGGAUCCCUGGAGUGGAUAGCCGCCAUUUAAGGGCUGGUGGGCUUUUUGUUGUUUUUGUUUUCCUGUGUUUUUUGAGGCUCUAGCUAGAUUGUAUACUCCCUGUAUGCGUGUGGCUUUUUGGCCUCUUUUCAAUAUAUUAUUUGCUUACUUAUAAAAAAAAAAAAAGAUUUUUGGUCUAAACUUGUUUGAGCAUCACAUAUAUAGUUAUAUGAUCUUUUAUAAUAUUUAUAAUAUGUGUGUAAUCUCUUUAAAAAUGAAAAAAAGAACAACUUUAGUGCCUAAAUUGGCUAAGUAAUAAUAUUGUAUAGGACGAAGAGAAGAUGACAGUUAUCAGGUGAACAUUUUUUUUUUGCCUCAAAUCUUAAAAGAUUUUAGAUGUUUUAUUUUUUUUAUUUUUUUUAAAACUUAGUCUUAAUUAUUUAAAUUGAGUCUUAUUUUCAAGUAUGUAUAUGAAUAUACCAAAUAAAAAAUUUAAUUUUUAUUUGGAAUAUGAGCUUUGAAAUUGAAUGAUAUUUUUUCAUCAAUUUCGAUUGAGAUUUUAAACUAGUGUUAGACAUGUUUAGACCAUAGAUGAAAAAGAAAAGAAUAAUAGUGGAUUAUGUGCAAAAUUGUCUUGAUAUAAUGAUUAACCAAAGGAUGCUAUCUCAUCUUCUAUAUGGAAUUAAUUUUCCUUUAUUAUUGAUAUAUUUCACUAUUUUUAUUUUUAUUCUAUUUAAACAAAAAUAGUCGUGUGAACUAAAAUCGAUAUUCCUUUUAUUAUGGUGUUAUUUGACAAUUUUCUUUUAAUAUUACUUUUAAAAAAGUUAUAAUGUAGGGUAAGACAUUUUGGGAAAGGUAAUAAUCAAUUCAUUUCUUGACCAAUUGAUUAUUUCCUUAUUUUGAAGAUGUAGAAUGGUCUGAAUAAGAAAAAGGAUGUAGUCAAGGUCUUUUAUUUUAUUAUUAUUUUUAAAAUUUUAGAGGAUGUUUUACUUGAAGAUGGUUUAGCUUUUUGAUUUGAUAACGUGGUCAACACUGCAUAGAGAAUAAACUUCCUUUAUCAUCGUUCAUGAUCAAACAAUGUGAUAUACAAUUCAUACGAAAUUGAUGGGUCGUGAAAAAGAUAAGAUUUUUUUUUUUUUUUUUUAAAUUUUAGAAGAUGUUUUACUUAAACAUGGAUUAGCUUUUUUGACUUGAUUACGUGGUUAAUACUGCAUAUCAUCGGUUAUGAUCAAACAACUUGGUUUACACUUCAUACAAAAUUGAUGUGUCAUGAAAAAGAUACAAACUAUCUUAAUUUGAUUUUAAAUAGUUAGUUAUUAUCUAUUGUGGUCAACACUAGAUAGAAAAUAAAGUUCAUUUAUCAUUGGUCAUGAUCAAACAACGUGGUUUAUACUUCACACAAAAUUGAUGUGUCAUGAAAAAAAUGCAGACUAUCUUAAUUUGAUUUUAAAUAGUUAUUUAUUAUCUAUUGUGGUCAACACUAGAUAGAAAAUAAAGUUUAUUUAUCAUCGGUCAUGAUCAAAUAACGUGGUCUACAAUUCAAACAAAAUUGAUGGGUCAUAAAAAAGAUGCAAACUUUUAAACUAUAUAAAUAAAUUUAGGGGAUGUUUUACUUGAACACGUAUUAGCUUUUUGACUUGAUAAUGUGGUCAAUACUGCAUAUAGAAUAAAGUUCCUUCAUCAUUGGUUAUGAUCAAACAACGUGGUUUACACUUCAUACAAAAUUGACAUGUCAUGAAAAAAAUAUAAACUAUAUUAAUUUAAUUUUAAAUAGUUAUUUAUUAUCUAUUUAACUUGACAAACUUUACGACGUGGUCUACACUUCAUGAAAAAUAAAUAUUCUUUAUUGUGGAUCAUGAUCGAGAAAAAAAUGGACUAUUAUUAUUUGAUUUUAAAUGGUUAUUCAUUGUCCAUGAUUAAAUCUAGGCAAAUGAAGUUAUUAGAUAUUUGUAUAAUAAAAAAUAAUUUUGGAAGAAACUAAUCUAUCAUCAAAAGGUUAUAUCAUUUGUAUGUUACUCAUUAGUUGAGACUUAAAGGAAUUAAGUUUGUGGGUUGAAUCAUAUUAUUUUUGUAAUAUUAUUUUCCUUUGAAGUUAAAAAUGAUUAAUUAAGUUGCAAGACAAAUAUAUUGUUUAAUUUAUUAUGUGUGUAUAAGAAAAUAAAUUAGAUACAAUUAUAUUAAUGAUGUUAGUUUGACAUAUUUUGAUUUAAAAUUACUUGGUGUAAUUUAUAAUUGUAGAUAAUAAAUAUUUACUUUUAUAAUAUUAUUGGCCAAGUUAGACUUGCAUGAUCUUAAAAAAAUUUGAGAAUACUAAACUUAUGUAUUAUGUAAAAUAAUGUUCAAACUUAAUGUUUUAAAAGAUAUUAACCUUCAAUAUGGUUGUAAGGUUAUAAUUAUUUAAACUUAUCUAUCAUCUUGUGUGGACAACAUUUUUCAUGGAGAACUUUUUUUAUAUAACUGAUUAGAUUUAAUACUAUUUUUGUAUGCUAAAUGACCUAAGCUCUUAACUUAUUCCUACUACCUUAAUUUACAUUUUUUGUUUCCUCCGGUUAAGAUUUUUUAGCGUUUAGAAUGAGUAUAAUUUUUUUUAAUUCAUAAAUGAAUUUUCAUGUUUAUCUUAAUCUUAUUGACCUUGACUUAGUGCCAAGUCAUGGUCUUUCUAUCCACACCUUUUUAUUUAUUUAUUUCCUUUUUGUCCAAGUCAAGGUCUUUCAAUCAAGGCACUUGGUUUUUGUGGUGAGGUAAAGACUUAAGUCAUUUUCCACUCAAUUAGAAUUUAAUAUGAUACAACUCAAAUAAUACUAAAAAACAAAAGAAGUGAGGUUAUCAUUGUCAUUGCUUUAAACCAUCUUCUAUAUAUUUUGUUGAAUUGAAAAUGCAAGGGAAACAAGAAAAAAGUUUCAGGUAAGGAACUAAUAUUGAUAACUUAUUUUUAAUAUGCUUUUCUAUCUAAUCCUUCUACUUUAAGUGAUUUCGGUUCUCGCCAGUCAAAGUAAGGUUGAUCUUUGAGAUGAUUAUAAUUGUUUUUCUUAAUAUAUAUUUACAUAUGUUAUUAGUAGAUCUUUUUUGAUUGGUGACGUUUGUUAAAUGUGUUGUUUAAAAUAAGUUCUUCAUGUUGUGCAAUUGUCUUUUAGAUUUUGCCAAUGUUUUCAUUUUUAUGUUGGAAAUAAAAUUUUAAUUCAAUUCAAGAAAAUGCUGACUACAUAUUGGAAUUCAAUUUUUACAGGUGCUCCUUACUAGAGAAUUGAAUAUUUACAUGGAGAAAAUUUCAAUUCUUGGUUUCAUUUUAGCUAUUCUCUAUUUCAUAACAACAGAACUUGCAUGUAAUGGUCAUACCCAUAUCGACAACAAUGUUCAAUCUGAACGAAAGGCUCUUAUUGACUUCAAAAGUGGUCUAAAAGAUCCCAACAAUCGUCUUUCAUCAUGGAAAGGAAGCAAUUAUUGCUACUGGAAAGGAAUUAGUUGUGAAAAUGACACAGGAUUUGUCAUUUCAAUUGAUCUUCAUAAUCCUUAUCCUCGUGAGAAUGUAUAUGAGAACUGGAGCUCUAUGAACUUGAGUGGAGAAAUUAGUCCUUCAUUGAUAAAACUCAAGUUUUUGAAAUAUCUAGAUUUGAGUUUCAACUCAUUCAAAGCCAUGCCAGUUCCUUAAUUCUUUGGGUCUCUGAAGAAUUUAAUAUAUCUAAACUUAUCGAGUGCUGGGUUUAGUGGAUCAAUUCCUUCAAAUUUAAGGAAUCUUUCUAGCUUGCAAUAUCUCGAUCUUUCUUCUGAGUAUCAGGACGAUAUUGAUUCUGAAUAUUUUAAUAAUUUAUUUGUUGAAAAUAUUGAAUGGAUGACUGACCUUGUUUCCUUGAAGUAUCUUGGUAUGAAUUAUGUUAACCUUUCAUUGGUAGGAAGUCGGUGGGUUGAGGUGGCAAACAAGCUUCCAAGUUUAACUGAGUUGUAUCUAGGUGGUUGUAGCCUCUUUGGCUCAUUUCCAUCUCCAAGCUUUGUUAAUUUUACUUCACUUGCUGUUAUAGCUAUCAACUCCAACGACUUCAAUUCCAAGUUUCCUGAAUGGCUUUUAAAUGUUAGCAACCUUGUAUCCAUUGAUAUAAGUCAGAAUCUUUUACAUGGGAGAAUUCCACUUGGUCUUGGUGAGCUACCCAAUUUGCAAUACUUAGAUCUAUCUUGGAAUGUCAAUCUCAAUGGCAAUAUCUCUCAAUUGUUGAGGAAGAAUUGGAAAAAGAUAGAAUUUCUCAAUUUGGAAGGAAAUGGAUUACAUGGUAAGCUUCUUGUGUUAACAAAAAAUUGAUAUUUCUUUGUUGAUUUGUUAAUGUAUAGUUAAGUAUAGUUCACGAUUGUGCAUAUAAGUGUUGAAUAUAUGUCAAUAUACAAAUAUCAAAUAAUCACUAUAUUUGAUUCACUUGUUGGUAACAAAAUUCUUUUUAUUAAAAAAAAUUAUUUUGAAUUUUAAAUUUCUUAGAAGGAAAUUUAGUUUCUUUUUUAUCUAAGAAAAAAUAUGUAGUUUAAUAAUUUAUGCUUAUGAAGUAUCAAUGUGAUUUAACAAUUAUUUGUGUAAAGGUAAGUAAUUAUAAAAAGUAUGUCUACAUAACUAUUAAAAAGAAUCGUAUCUUAUAGGAAUAUGAUUUCUUUUUUAAUCCUUAACUUCCUUUUUUUUUACUUUAAAUUAGUUGAUGAAUGAUUUAUUAUUUAUUAUUGUCAAUAAUUAUACAUUUGUUAUAUUAAUUAUUUUUUGAAUGUUUUCAUUUCAUUUUGACAUAACUCUCAUUUUUUCAAUUUUUUUUGCUCCUGAGGAUAAUAAUUUGAGCAUGUACUAAAUUGAAUAUUUAUAUGAUGGUUGAAUUGAUAUAUGACGUGCUUUGUCACUUAUGCUUUAAUAUUUUACUAAAUUUAGUUAUUAAAUGUUUUCCAUUUUUUACUCUCAUGGUAUACCUUUUUUUAAACUAUUCUAUUAAAAUUUUAUUCUAAAUUGUUAUGUUUAUUUAAAGUACUUCCUGUUCCUAUAAAAUUUAAAUAAUUAUAAUUUACUAUUCACUUAUAUAUGAAAAGCUUGUAACUAAUAAAUUAAAAAAAUCACAUUGUAUUAAAAUUUAAAAAUUUACUUUCUUUGUAUCUCCAAAAAGAAUUAAAUUCCUAUUUUGACAAUUUAUGUUUAUUAAGAAUCUUUAUCAUCAAAUACCCUUCAAUCAUCUCCUACAUAUUUUCAAUUUCUAUUUUCUCUCACUAAUUCAUCUAUUAUAUCAAAUUAUUGUAAUUUAUAUACUGAGGUAAGACAUUUCAUGGUUGAGACUAGUAAUUGAAACCAUAAAAUUGAACAUUAAGUGAAUAUGAUAUGACAUUUCAUGUUCUUAAAUAUUGUUAUUGAAAUUUAAAAAAAAUUUAAGGUAGUAAAAAAUUUCUAAUAUGUAUGUUUUCUAAAACAAUUUUUGAAUAUCAUUAUUAUCAUUUUUUUAUGGUAAAGUUUACUAUUUAUAUUAGAGUUUCUAUGAAUUUCUAUGUUUAGAAAUAAAACAUAUGAAGCUUAUCCAAACACAACCUUAAAGAAACAAUUAAUGUCAAUGAUUAAUCCUACUAGUCUUAUAAGAGUGAAAUCAAUUACUUUAUUUCAUGGUUAUCAGAAAAGAUAAAAACAAGUACCUAAAAAAAAUCUAAUAUUUUUUCUUACUUUUUCUUUAAACUAAUUGUUCAUGAAUUAAUUUGUUUUUUUAUUUACUAUUUUUAUUAUUUGUUUGUUACAUAAUUUUAAUUAAUACAUAUUUUUAUUCUUGGUCAUUGCAGGUUCAAUUCCAAGCUCCAUUGGAAACUUUUGCAACUUAAAAUAUCUGGAUUUGGGGAAUAAUUACUUGAAUGGAAGUUUACCUAAGAUUAUCAAAGGACUUGAAACCUGCAGUUCUAAAAGUCCUUUGCCUAAUUUGACGGAAUUAUAUUUGUAUUACAAUCAAUUGAUGGGAAAAUUGCCGAACUGGUUGGGUGAGCUUAAAAAUCUUAGGGUACUCUAUUUAUCCGAUAACAAAUUUGAAGGUCCCAUCCCUGCUUCUUUAUGGACAUUGCAACACUUGGAGUAUUUGAAUCUUGGAUUGAAUGAGUUGAAUGGAAGUCUCCCAGAUAGUAUUGGACAACUUUCUCAACUGCAAGGCUUGAGUGUUCUUUCCAAUCAUAUGAGUGGAAGUCUCUCUGAACAACAUUUUUUGAAGCUGAGUAAGUUGAAGUAUCUAGGCAUUGGCUCCAAUUCUUUCCAUUUGAAUGUUAGUCCCGAUUGGGUUCCCCCUUUCCAGGUGAAAGGUCUUCAUAUGGGUUCAUGCCACUUGGGUCCUUCAUUUCCUGGUUGGCUUCAGUCUCAAAAGAACCUCGAGUAUCUUGAUUUCUCAAAUGACAGCAUUUCAAGUCCCAUUCCAGGCUGGUUUUGGAAUAUUUCUUUGAAUCUGCAACAGUUGAAUCUUUCUCACAAUCAGUUACAAGGUCAGCUACCAAAUUCAUUAAAUUUUUAUGGUGAAUCAGAUAUUGAUUUCAGUUCCAACCUCUUUGAGGGACCUAUUCCUUUUUCAAUCAAAGGGGUCUAUUUACUAGAUCUCUCCCACAAUAAAUUUUCUGGCCCUAUCCCACUGAACAUAGGUGAAUCCCUACCUAACUUGCAUUACCUUUUCAUUUCGAAAAAUCAAAUAACAGGGACCAUCCCAGAUUCCAUAGGACACCUUUCUUUUCUUGAAGUCAUUGAUUUUUCAAGGAAUAAUUUGACUGGAAGCAUUCCUUCUACCAUAAAUAAUUGCUCUAGGCUUUUUGUUCUAGACCUUGGAAACAACAAUUUGUUUGGGAUGCUACCAAAGUCGUUGGGUCAGUUACAACUGCUUCAAUCACUACACUUGAACCACAACAAGCUUUCAGGAGGGUUCCCCUCAUCUUGGCAAAAUUUAACAGGUUUGGAUGUCCUUGAUCUCAGUUACAAUAGAUUAUCGGGUCAGGUUCCUGCUUGGAUUGGAGCUGCUUUCAUAAAUCUUGUAAUUCUCAACUUGAGGUCGAAUCUGUUUUUUGGAAGACUUCCUUCUCGACUUUCAAAUUUAAGCUCCCUGCAUGUCUUAGACAUUGCACAAAACAAUCUGAUGGGUGAAAUUCCAAUCACUUUGGUUGAGCUUAAAGCCAUGGCUCAAGAGAAAUUGAAUAUAUAUCAGUUAAAUGUGAAUGCCAGCUCCUCGUAUGAAGAACGAUUGGUUGUGAUUAGCAAAGGCCAAAGUCUUGAAUAUACCAAGACUCUUUCUCUUGUUGUAGGCAUUGACCUAUCCGACAAUAAUUUAAGUGGAGAGUUUCCCCAAGAAAUAACAAAAUUGUUUGGUUUGGUGGUUUUGAACUUGUCGAGGAAUCACAUUACUGGCCAAAUUCCUGAAAGCAUUUCAAUGUUGCGGCAAUUGUUAUCUCUUGAUUUGUCAAGCAAUAAGCUUUCCGGCACCAUUCCUUCAAGCAUGGCCUCAUUAUCAUCCUUGAGUUAUUUGAAUCUAUCAAAUAACAAUUUCUAUGGUAAGAUCCCUUUUAUAGGGCAAAUGACAACCUUCACGGAGCUGGCCUUUGUGGGAAACCCUGAUCUAUGUGGAGCUCCACUGGCCAUAAAAUGUCAGGAUGAAGAUCCAAAUAAAAGGCAAAGUGUUGUUAGUGACAAAAAUGAUGGUGGCUAUGUUGAUCAAUGGUUUUACUUGAGCGUUGGCUUGGGAUUUGCCAUGGGCAUCCUAGUUCCAUUUUUUGUUUUGGCAACAAGGAAAUCUUGGUGUGAGGCCUAUUUUGAUUUUGUGGAUGAAAUUGUUAGAUGGUUGUUGAGGGGAAGAGCAACCUAUGCCAAAAAUCAUCCUAGAAGGCGAUAAAUUUUGUUUGUAGAUCUUUCUAUGCUUUAUGUAUCAUUAUAAGCUUUGGAAGUGAAUUUCAUCACAGUUGCAAUAGAAGAAAAGAGCUUGACACCUCUUAUUGAUUCUACACUAAGAAGUCUUGCUUAUCAUAUUUCCCAACUCCUUAUCAAUCAUAAACUCCUUGUACAACCAAAUAUUGUGAAAUUUUGUAUGAACAUAACCAAAGAAGUGAAAAAACAGUUUCUGAAUUUUCAAUGGAAGCAAAUACAUCUUAUUAUACCCUAUUCAAGUUCUAAAGCAAUAUAGAUUGUAGAGCCUCAUCUCGAUCCUCUUCAUAAAGAACAGAAAAAACUGGAUACCCUGUGCCACCAACACUACACAAAUAUAUAAAUCAUGAGCAGGAAGAUGCAGUUGGGAUAAAGAAACCUAUCAGACCUGAAACAACUCAAUUUUCCAACUAAAUAAUCCAGAAACUGACUUUGGCCGAUGACUUGGAAACGUGGAGAACAGAGGAUUGCACAAGAUGAGAUCAAUUGCAAGGACAAAGUGCAAUAAGUAGCACAACAGAGGAUAUGGUUUCCAAAACAGGGCUCUCUGCAAUUGAAAAUGCACCAGACACUCUCUUUUAUUGUUUUCAAUAAUAAUUUUUUAUUUUGAUUUUGUAAAUUUAAUUUGUAUAAUACAAAUUAAAUUUAAUUCGUUUCUUAUUAAAAAUAAAAAAAAAUAUCUUUAUUGUUACGAUUGAAUUAAAAAUAAAUAGUUUUUAAUAAAAUAUAAAAACAAAUUCAAAAUAAUAAUUUUAUUAUUACAAAUAAAUUAAAAAUAAUUCAACUCUUUUCCUUAUUUUUAGGGUGAGGAGUGAUCUUAAAGACAACAUUAAUAGGCUUAAAAGCAGGCUUCUGCACCUCAAUUGGAGCUACCACAUGGCACCAUGUCAUAGGCCAACCCCCCCCCUCUUCCUCCCCUCACCCACACCCACACCCAACCGAAACCCACCCCGCAUGAUACCCAACCCAAUAAAAAUGAGUUGGGCCUAAUUUUGGCCCAUUUUCUUGGUCUGGAUAGUUUGUCCCUUUUUUUUUUCCCCAUCCAAUAUUUUAGGCCCUCUUAUGGGUCCCAUUCCCUGCCCAAUUUCUGGGCCAAUUUUGGGUCUCACUUUUUUUUUCUUUUUAUCCUUAAAUGGACCAUUUUUUGGCCCAUUUCUGGGCAACUUUUGGGUCGUUUGAAUUUUUAUUUUUAUUUUCUUUUUUUUUAAACCAUUUUUUCCUCUCUGCAAGGGCCUAAUUUCUGGGCCCAAUAUAUGGACCUUUUUUUUCUUGGUUUUUCCUUCUCCAUUUUAACUUCCAACUUUCAAAACCCAUAAUUUUGAAUGAGUCAUAGUCUUUUGAUUAUUUAUUUAUUUAUUUAAUUUUAAAAGAUGUUUUACUUGUGCACAAUUUAGCUUUUUGACUUGAUAAUGUGAUCAAUAUUACAUAGAGAAGUUUUACUAUCAUCGGUCAUAAUCAAACAACGUAGUCUACACUUCAUACAAAAUUGAUAGAUCAUAUUAUUCUAACAUAAUUUUAAAAUGGUUAUUUAUUAUCCAUAUGAUAAUUUGACUUGACAAACUUUACAACGUGGUCUACACUUUAUUCAAAAUAAAUAUUCUUUAUUGUGGGUUAUAAUAAAAAAAGGAUUAUUAUGAUUUAAUUUUAAAUGGUUAAUCAUUGUCCAUGAUUAAAUCUAGACAAAUUAAGUUAUUAGAUAUUUGUAUAAGAAAAAAAAAAUGGAAGAAACUAAUUUAUUAUAAUAAGGUUAUCGCAUGUGUAUGUUUCUUGUUAGUUGAGACUUUAAAGGAAUCAAGUUUGUGGGUUGGAUCAUAUUAUUUUCUAAUAUCAUUUUCCUUUGAAGUCAAAAGUGAUUACUUAAAUUACAAGAUAGAUAUAAUAUUGGCAACCUAGUUAGAUUUUUAAAAUUCUUAUGAAUGGUAAAAAUUGUUUUCUAUUUCUUUCAAAAAUAACAAAAAAAAUAAUGUUUUGUGAUGGUUUCAAAUAAUUUUAUAAUUUUAGAAGAUAAAAAAAAUUGUUAUUCUAAAAUGCAAAUAAAAACAUAUGAGUUUUCUAAUAACAAGUGAAAGUUAUUAAUUUAUUAUUAUUGAAUUUUAAUUUUAAUUUUUAAUUUUUUAAUUUUAUUUGAAGAUAAAUUAUUUUAAAACUACUAUAUUAUUUUUUAAAAAAUAAUAGAAGAGUUUUUUCUAUCUAGAAAAUUAAUUUUAAAAAAUAACUAUUAGUCCAAAGGUUCUCCUAAUCAUGUUUUGAUGAUAACAAACUAUGUUUAAGUUACUAAUUGGUUUGAAUUAUAAAGAAUUUCAAUUUUUAAUUUGGAAAUUCAUCAAAUGACCUAAUGGAUGCAAGAUCAAGACUUUUGAAAGACCUUUUAAUCAUAGGAAACAUAUGUAAGAUGAAUACAUGAGUGCACUUAGGAUUUUCAUAUCAUUUCAUGCAUCUUUGAAAACUCAAUUUAUGCAUUAAAGUUACAUUUCCAUCAAAAUCUGAGUUCUAUUAAAUGAACUUUAGGCAAAACGUUUCAAAAUUGGCAUACUAUUUUACCUAAAGACUUUGCUUAAUUGUUAAAAGCAAAAAGACCAGAAAAGAUAAGUUUUCGAGCCAAAAAUGGUGAACCGAUCGAGGCACUAGCCGAUCGACUCAACCGACUAGGGUACUGGUCAACCGGUUACUCUUUCUGGGUCGAGGUCCAAUCGAGAGAUGCAAAAACACUCCUUCUCUCCCAGUAGUCUUUCUUUCUCGGUUAAGAGAUUUGUCUUCCCGAUCGAGGUCUAAUUAAAGGUAACGAUCACUUGUCAAGCAUUUAAUGCUCUAAUGACAGCGGUGCUGCGUCACUAGGUGAUGAAGCAUGAUACCAUCCACCACCAUUCAUUGAACUUGCCGACAAAAUCAACUAGUAGUUCGGUUAAUUAACCUAACUCAUGAAAACCAAGAAGAAAACAUUUCACCUAACUCAUGAAAACAAUAAACAUUUCCGAUAUUUUAUCUUUCAUUGGAAGUUUGUGAAAUUAUUAAUUUUUUAGAUAAACAUUUUACCCAUAUUUUUUCAUUAAAAAUAAAUAUUAAUAUUUGAAAAUUUUUAACUAUAAAUUAUAAUAUUUUACUUUAAAACAAAUACUACAUUAUAAGAAAUAAAUACAAAAUAAAUGGAUAAUAAUUGUUUCUAUAAAUAACAUAAUGAUAACUUUUCAUAUAUAAUAAAAAUAUAAAUUAUGUAUUUUUUUUUUGUUAAGAAAAUGGUAAUCUUUUAAUAAAAAUAGAUAUUAAUAUUUUAAUAAAUCAGUAAAAUUGUAUUUAUUUGUUAAGUUUUAAAAUUUAUAGAUUUAUUAAAAUAUUAAUAAAAUAAAUUUUAUAAAUUUAUUGAAAUAUAUUCAUCAUUAUCAUGUUUGAUAUGUAAAAUAAGAAGUGAGAAUGAAAAUCUCAUUCAUUAUCAUGUUUGGAAUGAGAAUGGAAUAAAAAAUUAUUCCAACAAAUAAAUAAAUUUCUGUAAACUAUUUUUAAACACUUUUCAACUAAUAAAAAACAAAAAACUGAUUUGUAUAAGUUGUUUUUAAAAAUAAUUUUUUAUUUUGAUUUUGUAAAUUUAAUUUGUAUAAUAUAAAUUAAAUUUAAUUCGUUUCUUAUUACAAAUAAAAAAAUAACUUUAUUAUUAUUAUUGAAUUAAAAAUAAAUAGUUUUUAAUAAAAUAUAAAAAUAAAUUAAAAAUAAUAAUUUUAUUAUUACAAAUAAAGUAAAAAUAAUUCAACUCUUUUCCUUGGCUGGGCCAGUUUGGCCCUUUUUAUUUAUUUUUUUAGUUUUGUAUUCCCCACCAGCUAGCCUUUUGGGCUCUCUUAUGGGUCCCAUCUCUGAGCCUAAUUUCUGGGCCAAUUUUGGGCCGCCCUUUUUUAACAUAUAUAAUUUUUAUGAAGCAUUUUUUGCCUCCCUAAGGGGACCAUUUUCUGGAAACUUUGGGGCCUUUGAAAUUUUAUUUUAUUUUAUUUUAUUUUUCUAAUAUUUUAGCUAUGAAUUAUACUAUUUUACAACUUCACACAAAUAUUUAUGUACUUUAAAAAGAAUAUUAAAUUAUAAGAAAUAAAUAGAAAAUAAAUAUUUCAAUAAACCACAUACAUAACAAAAAAUAUAAAUUAUGUAUUUUUUUUAUAAAAAAAGAUGAUAAUAUUUUAGUAAAAUUUAUAAAAGAUAAAUAUUAAUAUUUUAAUAAAUUGAUUUAUUCUCGUGGCACAUGUCAUAAGCCAACCCUCCCAUCUUCCUCCCCUCACCCACACCCAACCGAAGCCCACCCACAUGAUACCCAACCCAAUAAGAAAAAAUGGAUUAUUAUGAUUUAAUUUUAAAUUAAGUUAUUAGAUAUUUGUAUAAGGAAAAAAAAAACUAAUUUAUUAUAAUAAGGUUAUUGUAUGUCUAUGUUUCUCGUUAGUGGGGGACUUAAAGGAAUCAAGUCUGUGGGUUGGAUUAUAUUAUUUUUUAAUAUCAUUUUCCUUUGAAGUUAAAAGUCAUUACUUAAAUUGCAAGACAUAUAUAAUGUAUGUGUAAGAAAAUGAAUUGGAAGCAAUUAUAUUAAUGACCCUACUAUGCCAUAUUUGGAUUUAAAAUAACUUUUCAAUGUCUUCAUAAUUUACAACUGUGGAUAAUAAAUCUUUAAUCUUCUAAUAUUAUUGGCAAUAAUUUUGAAAAGCAAAGCGAUUGUGUUGAAAUAAUAUAGUGGUCAUAUUAAUUAGGACUUGAUGAGAUUAUAUGUAAUAUUUAAAUAUAAAUUAAUACUAUUUUUAAAAUUAAUUAGGACUUAAAAUUUUGUUUAAUAAUUUAAUACUAUUUUUAAUUUACUAAAUAUUCUUUUAGUUUACCAUGUGUAAUUUUUUUUUAAAAAAAAAACAAUUAAAAUAAUUUUAUAUAAAUAAGAGUGUCUAGUGUAUUAAUUUUUUUUUUUGGAUUCUGUGAUAGCACAAAAUUAAAAUUAAUUUUUUUAUACAAAAUUAUACUCUAUUUUUUGUUAAAUACAUUUAUUUUUAUCUUUUAUCAAAGUUUCUCGAAUUAUUAAUUUUUAGGCAAACAUUUAAAUUCUUUUUUGUUAAAAAUGAAUACUAAUAUUUGAAAAAUUAUAGUUAUAAAUUUUAAAAAUUCACUUAAAUUUUUAUCUAGUUAAAAAAAUAUUAAAUUAUAAAAAAUAAAUAUAAAAUAAAUGGAUAAUAAUUAUUUCAAUAAAUAAUAUAAUGAAUCAAUGCAUAAUAAAAACAUAUAAAUUAGUAUUUUUGGGUUAAAAGAUUAUAAAAUGCAUACCUUAUGUUUUCUAUUGUUUUCUAAUUCCAUGCAUACCUUAUUGUUUUGGGUGUUGAGGAGAGUUAUUUUACAUGUAUCAGAGAGGAUAUGCUUUCCUUUUGGGGGUGUCUUGAGCAGGGGCAAGAAAAAUAGAGGGAACAAGAGAAAGUGGGAGCAGUGAAUUGUGAGGGAGGGAAGAGGUGCAGAGAGGCUUGGACGAUAAGAGAAGAAAGAGAAAACCAACAGAGAAGCGGGGACUGUGAGAAAGUACAUAGAGAAAAUGAGAAAAUGGACAGAGUAGAGUGGAGUUGGGGGAAGACUACAAAGAAAUUUUUACUAGAGGAGGAUAUUCAAGGUUGAGGGAUGAGCUGGUUUUAGCGAGAUUUUUGAGAGGAGUCUUGGGGAAGGAAUGAAAGUUGUGAGAGAACCAACAGAGAAAGAGAUUUACAAAGAAAAGCUAGGGAGGGAGAAGAAGGGAAUCGACUGGUCUUGCUUGAGUUAGAGGAAGAGAAAGCUUGCUGAAAGGGGCCAACAUUGCUUAUGAAGAACAUCCUCAGGUAUGACUGCCAUGGAUCCUUUGUUUUUCUUCAUUGUUAUAUAGUCUCUUUCUAUUUUCUCGAUAUUUUCUAUGGAUUGCUUGACUAGGUGUUUAGUUUUAUGAUUCCUGUUUGGUUUAUGGGUUUAUUGUUGCUAUCUUCUUUAUUUUCUUUAGGGUUAUUUGAGAGCAACACAACUCUGUUUUAGCUUCACUGUACAUCACGUGGAAGUCUUGCUAUUGUUUUCAUUUCCAUGGGAUGCAUUCUGGUUCACUCGCUUACAUCUAAGCCUGUUGAUCAAAACAUGAAACGUGACUUUCACUAGUUCAUUCUGGUUUCAUCCUUUCGUACUCUGUUUUCUUGGUUGUCUUCUUAUAUUCCUGUGUGUGUUUAAGGGUGCAUAUUAGUAUGUACAUCACCAGUUGACUAUGCUAGAGAAGGGCUUCUGAAUGCAGUUGAAGCUCGAGACCCAAGUUUGGAAGAAGAUAGCAGGCUCGGUAACUGUGAUGUGAUUGUUGUUUCAUGGGAAAAGUGAAUUGGCACCGGUUGAACAUGGGUUACCAGAGAAUGGUAAAUAUAUGGCUUAGGUUCCUUAGGCUUUGGGCUCACUAUUGCAGACUGCACCAUAAGAAGGAAGUGAACAUAAGUUGAUUAUUACCCUUUUAGGUGUUGGAAAUGAAGUGGGUUAGUCUUGUGUCUUUGUGUCCUAUAAGAGGAAAUCUGUAAUGAUGUUGAUGAUCAUGAUAAUGGGUUAGGUCAUAUUAUUCAGAAUCAUGCAUUAAAUUAGUCUGAGAAUCAUAAAUUGGCCCUUUUGGAGAAAGAUGCUCUUGAUGAUGACAUAGAUAGAGCUAGUUGUGAGCCAGAGUGAGGAAAUCAGUAUUGUAGAUGCCCUAGGAUUUCCUAAUGUACAGACAUGCAGAUGAAGCCAGUAAAGCCAUUAAGGCCAAAUGGUGUUGUUUUCGUAGGAUUGUUAACAACUUGUACACAUGCAUGGUUGGUUGAGAAGGAGGCUCAAUCAUCGGAUGGGUCUGUUGAAAUCAAAACAGGAUGGUCAGUGAAAAAGAGCUCUCCAAUGGCAAUCCCAGAUUUGGGUUCAAUACUGGAACAAAAAAAGUAUGAAGAUCUAUUGACUGCUGGAAUUGUUACUGUUUUUCACCCAAAAGGAUCCAUUUCAACUUUUGAAUAUAUUGAAAGUGGAAUUGUGAAAUUCUUGGUGAAUUACUUAACUAAUGGUCUAUACAUGAGAUAAAAAGUCAGUUCACUAUGCAUGUGAGCCCAAGCCAGUUCCUUAACUCUAGAAGCCUAAACCAUCAAUUUGUCCCCCAUCACCAUAUUCAACAAUCACUCCUUGUUAAGAUAUGGACUCACACAUAUUUAACAAUGGUACAUGACUAAGCUAUUCGCCUUUGAUAUUUAUUUUAUAUCGGUUUUCCACAGUAUGGGCCACCUUAUGUGUAGAGCCCAAAGCCAUCACGGGCCUUAGAUGAUGGGCCUAAGACUCGUGAGGCCCAAUAGCCAAAGGGUAUGGUCCCUAAGGCAGGAGGGUAUAAAAGGCUUGUGUCUUUUGGAUCAAAUACAUCUUUUGAAAGACUUGAACCGCUCUCUCUCUCCCGCUCCCAUCGUCUGAGAGAAUCCAGAAAGAGGUGGUGCCCUCCACAGCCUAAGAAGAUCCAUACCUUGUCCAAAAGGAAAAACAACAAAAUGGAUUCAGGUUUGUUCAUUCCCUAUCUAGAGAUCAUAGCAUGCUUUUAGAAUUGAUAUAUGCAUAUGUAUAUCCUGCAUGUGUUUUGGGUGAUAAUGGAUUCAGAAAUCUAACAAUUGGUAUCAGAGCUCGGUUCCAUUUUCACCAAAACCCACAUUUUAGAUUUUCCUUUUCUCGUUGGGAAUUAAAAAAAAAAAAAAAAAUUGGAGGCGCCGUUCAGGCGCGAUUUGGUGGCGGUCACUGCGAUAUCAUUCUCCUCGUGGUGUCGGGGAAUGGAAGACGCCAUUGCAAGCGCCUGUCUUGGCGCUGUUCAGGCGCACCACUGCAGCGCCUUUAGGCACCAUUAGGGUGCCCUCCCAGAGGCAUCGGAGCGCGUAUCAGUGCCAUUGAUGGUGCGCUGGAGCACCAUUGAAGGGCGCUGGAGCGCCAUGGAAGGGUGCUGGAGCGCCAUGGAGGCGCGCUGGUGGUUGUUGGUGCGCGCUGCAAGGGUGGCCUCUGACGCCGUUCCGGGGUCGUGCUCUGAGGCGCCACUUCCGGCAUCGUCUCCAGCGCCAUUUAGGGCGCACUGCUGUUGGAGGCCAACGCCAUGAAUGGCGUUUUUGUUAAAAAAAAAAAAAAAAAAAAAAAAAAAAAAAAAGGCCACAAGAGAGCUUGAACCCGUGACCAUGUUAUUCCCUUUAAUUUGACAGCUGAACCACUAGACCAAGUCUUUAUUUGAUGUGUCAAUUGGUAUAUAUAUAUAUAUAUAUAUAUAUACCUGCUUUUAUUCUUUAAUUGCUUUUAUGCUUCAAUUUGUAUGGAUAUAUACAUAAAUUUGUGCAUAAAUAAAUAGAUGAUUAAUUUUAAUUAAAUUAUUUUUUACUAUAUUUGUGUUUUAUAUUUUUAAAAUAAAUAAAUUGUAUAUGUUGGUUGCCAAAGUGACUUGUAUUAUAUAACUUAUUUAUUUUAUAAUAUGUAAACAUAUUAUUGUUAUUUAAAAUAAUCGGCCCAAAGGAAGAUUAUUUUAAAAUAAUAAUAGAUAAAGAAAUCAUAAAUAUAUGACAUAUAAUGUUUAUCUUGCAUUUGAUAUGUUAGUCCAAAGACAAACAUAUUGUUUUCGAUUUUAUUGUCAAUAUUUAUGAAUUAAUUUUGUAUAAAGAUACCAAUUACAAAUUAAUAUUUUUGUCCAAAGACUGAAUAUUAAUGUUUGUGCUAGGUAUUUUAUAUGAUGUUAUUUAUUCAUGUAUGUAUGAUGCUUAUGUGACUGAUUGUGAGUUUUAUUAUUAUAAAUUCAGCAUUUUCUAUAUAUGCAAAUGUUAAUAACAUUCCUGUGCUUAACGGCACAAAUUUCAAGAAAUGGAAAGAGCACGUAAUAAUUGUGCUCGGGUGCAUGGAUUUAGACUUUGCAUUAAGGGAGGAUCGCCCUUCAGAUCUUACUAGUGCCAGCACUGCUGAGCAAAGGUUUACUAUGGAAAAAUGGGAGCGAUCCAAUCGCAUGAGUCUAAUGAUUAUGAAGCACUCAAUUCCAGAAGCAAUAAGGGGUGCAAUACCUGAGGAAACCCAAGCCAAGGCAUUCUUGGACCAAGUAGCAAACCGAUUCGCUGCAAACGAAAAGGUUGAGACAAGCACUAUUCUUAGUAAGCUUGUCUCUAUGCGGUAUAAAGGGAAAGAGAAUAUCAGGGAGUACAUUAUGGAAAUGUCUAAUCUUGUGACGAGACUUAAGACACUAAAGUUAGAGUUGUCGGAAGACAUACUCGUGCACUUGGUCUUGAUCUCUCUGCCUACACAAUUCAGUCCAUUCAAAAUUAGCUACAAUACACAAAAGGAAAAAUGGACUUUGAAUGAGCUUAUUGCUCAAUGUGUGCAAGAGGAGGAGAGAUUGAAACAAGAGAAGAUAGAAAGUGCUCACUUGGCUUUCACAUCUCAAGGAUUUGGUACCAACAAGAAAAGAAAGAGGGACAAUAAAGGAAAACAAACUGCAGUUUCUGAAACAUCAAAGCAGAAGGUGCAGAAGAAACAAGAUAAGGAGAUCACUUGUUUCUUUUGCAAAAAGGCUGGUCAUAUGAAGAAGACAUGUGCCAAAUACGCUGCUUGGCAUGAAAAGAAAGGUACACUUCUCAACUUUGUUUGUUCAGAAAUUAAUUUAGCUAUAGUGCCUACAGACACUUGGUGGAUAGAUACGGGUGCAACUACUCACAUAAGUGUCACUAUGCAGGGUUGCCUAAGGAGCCGAAUGCCAACUGAUGGUGAAAGAUACAUCUAUGUGGGAAAUGGCAACGAGGUUGCAGUCAAGGCUAUUAGUCUUUUCAGAUUACAGUUAGACUCUGGAUGUAAUUUGGAUUUGGAAGAGACUUUUGUAGUACCGUCGUUUAGACGGAAUUUAAUUUAUGUUUCUUGUCUGGACAAAUUUGGAUAUUGUUGUUCAUUUAGAAAUGGAAUGGUUAGUCUUUAUCUAAAUUCAAUUGCUAUUGGUACAGGUAGUUUAACAGAUAAAUUAUACAAAUUGAACAUAAAGACCACUAAUGGAAAUGAAACCUUGCAUUCAAGUAAUUAUGGCAUUAAGCGAAAAUUAAUAAAUGAGAAUUCAUCAAUGUUAUGGCACAAGCAUUUGGGUCACAUUUCAAAUCAACGGAUUCAAAGGCUUGUGUCAGAAGGAAUUCUUGAUCCACUUGAUUUCUCAGACUCUCAAGUCUGUAUAGAGUGCAUUAAAGGUAAACAAACAAAUAUGAGGAAAAAGAAUGCCAAUAGGUGCAGUGACGUCUUGGAAUUGAUACAUACGGACAUUUGUGGUCCAUUCCCUGUAGCUUCUUGGAAUGGACAACAAUAUUUUAUCACUUUCAUUGACGAUUACUCGCGCUAUGGUUAUCUUUAUUUGAUUCAUGAGAAAUCUCAAUCAUUGGAUGUGUUCAAGAAUUUCAAAGCUGAGGUUGAGAACCAACUAAGCAAGAAAAUAAAGGCCGUCAGAUCUGACCGUGGAGGUGAAUACUAUGGUAGAUAUGAUGGAUCAGGUGAACAACGUCCAGGGCCAUUCGCCAAAUAUUUGAUGGAGUGUGGUAUCGUUCCUCAAUACACCAUGUCAGGGACUCCAAGCCAAAAUGGUGUAGUAGAGAGGCGAAACCGUACUCUUAAGGAUAUGGUAAGAAGUAUGAUUAGUCAUUCUACCUUACCAGAAUCACUUUGGGGCGAAGCCAUUAAAACUGCAGUUUACAUUUUGAAUAGAGUACCAAGCAAAGCAGUAGCCAAAACCCCAUAUGAAUUAUGGACUAGCAAGAAACCUAGUAUUAGGCACUUGCAUGUCUGGGGUUGUCUAGCUAAAGCUAGGCCUUACAAGCCAAAUGAAAAGAAAUUGGACUCCAGAACAGUGAGCUGCUACUUUGUAGGGUAUUCUGAAAGGUCGAGAGGUUUCAAAUUUUAUGAUCCCUCAACUAGAUCCUUCUUUGAAACGGGCAAUGCUAAGUUCAUUGAGGAUGUUGAGUUAAGUGGGAGAGAGUCAUUAAGAAAGGUGGUCUUUGAAGAAGAAUCUGUUAAUAUUCCUAUUAUUACGACUGGACAUGGUCAUAUUAUGUUUGAUGACACUAUUCAGAAUGUACAGUCGAUAACAGGGAUUCAAGACACACCUGAGAUUCCUCCUGCUCAAGUUAUGGAACCGAUUCAAGUUCAUCAAGAGGUAACUCAACAACCUCAAGUACAAGUGCCACUAAGGAGAUCCAUUAGAGAAAGGAGAAGUGCAAUUUCAGAUGAUUAUGUUGUAUAUCUCCAAGAACAUGAGUUUGACAUGGGUCUGGAAGACGAUCCAAUUUCAGUAAGUCAAGUCAAACAAAGUUCUGAUUCUGAAAAGUGGAUAGAAGCCAUGAAGGAUGAGAUGAAAUCAAUGAAAGACAAUGGUGUUUGGGACCUAGUAAAGUUGCCUAAAGGUGUAAAACCAAUUGGUUGUAAAUGGAUUUUUAAAACCAAGCGGGAUUCAAAAGGCAACAUUGUUAGGUAUAAAGCACGCCUAGUUGCAAAAGGUUUCACUCAAAAGGAAGGCAUUGAUUAUAAAGAGACUUUUUCACCAGUUUCAUCAAAGGACUCCUUUAGAAUCAUCAUGACACUUGUAGCUCAUUAUGAUUUAGAGCUACAUCAAAUGGACGUUAAAACAGCGUUUCUUAAUGGCAACAUUGAUGAGACAAUAUACAUGGUGCAACCGGAGAACUUUGAGUCUAACGAUUCAAAGCAACUUGUAUGCAGAUUAAAAAGGUCCAUAUAUGGUUUAAAACAAGCAUCCCGACAAUGGUACCGAAAGUUUGAUCAGGUGAUUACUUCAUUUGGUUUUAAGGAGAACACCGUUGAUCAAUGCAUAUACCUUAAGUUCAGUGGGAGCAAAUUUAUUAUCUUGGUGCUAUAUGUUGAUGAUAUUCUACUUGCAAGUAGUGAUAUGAGACUUUUGCAUGAAACCAAGCGAUUUCUGUCUAGUAAAUUUGACAUGAAGGAUCUUGGUAAUGCAUCUUUUGUGCUGGGUAUACAGAUCCAUAGGGAUCGUUCAAGAGGUAUACUUGGGUUAUCACAAAAGGCCUACAUCGAUAAGGUGUUGAGUAGAUUUGGCAUGGACAAUUGUGUACCAGGAGACACGCCUGUAGCAAAAGGCGAUAAGUUCAGUUUGCACCAAUGUCCGAAAAAUGAACUUGAGAAGAAAGAUAUGGAGAGAUUUCCCUAUGCCUCGGCAGUAGGAAGUCUCAUGUAUGCACAAGUUUGUACGCGUCCAGAUAUUGCGUACAUUGUUGGAAUGUUAGGCAGAUAUUUAAGUAACCCAGGUAUGGAUCAUUGGAAAAAGGCAAAACGGGUUAUGCGGUAUUUACAAAGAACUAAAGAUUACAUGCUCACAUACCGUAGAUCAAGUCACUUAGAAAUCGUGGGAUAUUCGGACUCCGAUUUCGCGGGAUGUAUUGACUGUAGGAGAUCCACUUCACGCUACAUCUUCAUGCUAGCUGGAGGAGCAGUUUCAUGGAAAAGUGUUAAACAAACACUUAUUGCUUCUUCCACCAUGGAGGCAGAAUUCAUAGCCUGUUACGAAGCAUCAAACCAUGGGAUAUGGCUGCGGAAUUUUGUCACUCAGUUACGAAUAGUUGAUGGGAUUGAGAAACCAUUGAGAAUCAACUGUGAUAAUAAAGCCGCAGAAUUGUAUUCUAAGAACAACCGAAGUUCGUCGAAGUCCAAACACAUUGACAUCAAGUUCUUGGUUGUGAAAGAAAGAGUUCAGAGUCUUCAAGUAUCGAUUGAACACAUAAGCACAAACUCCAUGAUUGCGGAUCCACUCACUAAGGGUUUGUCACCCAAAGUAUAUCAUGAGCAUGUCACACAUAUGGGUGUUGUACACAUUGAUGAUAUGCUAGUAUAGUGGGAGUUUGUAUUUAGAUUUUGUGUUUAUUUUCUUGAUGUGAUAUUAUAUAGUGUUAUCUGUACAAAUCUUGAUUUUAAAGACUAUUGUAUUUGAACACUCUGAAUUAAAAUGAUGACUUUCAAAAGCAGUUAAGCAUCAAGUGUUGAAAGUGGAAUUUGACUAUUUUUAGUCAUAAAGUAGGACCGAUUGGAAAUAGACAUAUUAAAGAUCACAUUCUAUGUAAUUUCCAUGCUACACAUCCAUACUUGAUCCAUGUUGCUAAUUUUGUUAAUGUUGUGAUUGAUGAUAGAUCUAGUUAAAUUAUGAUUAACGAAGGCCGCUUUAAUCCUAUGUUAACAUAAUUAGUAGACCGGAUUGUUUAAGGAUAUGAAGAUAGAAUAGCAAGAUGAGCUCAAUAAAGUCCUAUCAUGAACAUUGUUUUGUAAUAUAUGUGGUCCAAGUGGGAGAUUGUUAAGAUAUGGACUCACACAUAUUUAACAAUGGUACAUGACUAAGCUAUUCGCCUUUGAUAUUUAUUUUAUAUCGGUUUUCCACAGUAUGGGCCACCUUAUGUGUAGAGCCCAAAGCCAUCACGGGCCUUAGAUGAUGGGCCUAAGACUCGUGAGGCCCAAUAGCCAAAGGGUAUGGUCCCUAAGGCAGGAGGGUAUAAAAGGCUUGUGUCUUUUGGAUCAAAUACAUCUUUUGAAAGGCUUGAACCGCUCUCUCUCUCCCGCUCCCAUCGUCUGAGAGAAUCCAGAAAGAGGUGGUGCCCUCCACAGCCUGAGAAGAUCCAUACCUUGUCCAAAAGGAAAAACAACAAAAUGGAUUCAGGUUUGUUCAUUCCCUAUCUAGAGAUCAUAGCAUGCUUUUAGAAUUGAUAUAUGCAUAUAUAUAUCCUGCAUGUGUUUUGGGUGAUAAUGGAUUCAGAAAUCUAACACUCCUCACACCCCCUACCUUCAAUUUCAAACCUAUCAUACUCCCUCCAUGAUCCUUACUUUCCUUUCUCUCCAUAGCAUGCUCUUCAGACGAUAAGCAUAAUUCAACUAGAAGCAGCUCGUGGUUGGGCCAUGGUUGGCUAACCUCUCUCAUCCGGGCUCUCAUCAUUACCCAAGACGACCCCAACAUACCCGUAGCCACUGUUCAACUUGAAGACAUAUCUAAACUCCUGGGUAGUUGCCAUCGAGAAUGUGAUGGAACAAUGUAACCAUAUUUAGGGCAUUCAAUUUGUUGUUGAUGAUUCUAGAAAAUUUUCCGAUGUUAUUGUUGAUUUCCUAGAGAAUAUUGCGGACGAACAUACAAUACCCCGAUAAUGCUGCAUACAAUAUGGGGCCCUGAAUCCUACAUGAAUUACAGAAGUUGUAGGCAGUUUUGGUCCUUGAUGCAACCUCAUGAUGACAUAACAAAUACAGGGCCAAAAAGUUGGGCAUUAUAUUGUGGUUGAAGUUGUGUAUUAGAAUUCUGGCCAAAUAGCUCCAUUAGAUGGGGUUAUCAGAUUAAAGGAAGAAUACAAUUUCUGUGUCUUAUUGGAUGAGAGAAAUCUUGUGCUAUGGAAUGCAUCUAAGAAGAAGGUGAUUAUGGAUGAUCUCAUAGCUUGCAUGGCCAUCUUCUUAGGCUUAAUAAGAGGAACAAAGACUAAAUUACUGUGUGUUUGUCCAAGUUGCAAUUCUCCAUGUUGUGUGUGUUUCUCCAUGUUUGGGUCUCUGAAGAAUUUAAUAUAUCUAAACUUAUCGAGUGUUGGGUUCAAUGGAGCAAUUCCUUCAAAUUUAGGGAAUCUUUCUAACUUGCAAUAUCUCGAUCUUUCUUUUGAGUAUCCUAUCUAUAUGAAUUUUGGAUAUUCUAAUGAUUUAUUUGUUGAAAAUAUUGAAUGGAUGAUCGGACUUGUUUCCUUGAAGUAUCUUGGUGCAUAAUAUGUUAACCUUUCAUUGGUAGGAAGUUAAUGGGUUGAGGUGAUAAACAAGCUUCCAAUUCUAAUUGAGUUGCAUCUAGAUAGUUGUAGCCUUUUUGGCUCAAUUCCAUCUCCAAGCUUUGUUAAUUUUACUUCACUUGCUGUUAUAGCCAUCAACGUCAACGAAUUCAAUUCCAAGUUUCCUGAAUGGCUUUUAAAUGUCAGCAACCUUGUAUCCAUUGAUAUAAGUUACAAUCAAUUACAUGGGAGAAUUCCACUUGGUCUUGGUGAGCUACCCAAUUUGCAAUACUUAGAUCUAUCUUGGAAUUUCAAUCUCAGGGGCAGUAUCUUUCAACUGUUGAGGAAGAGUUGGAAAAAGAUAGAAGUUCUAAAUUUGGCUCAAAAUGAAUUACAUGGUAAGCUUUUGUGUGUUAUUAGAAAAAAUGAUAUUUCUUUGUUGAUAUGUUAAUGCAUAGUUAAAUAUAGUUCAUAAUUGUGUAUAUAAGUGUUGAAUAUGUAUCAAUAUACUAAUAUGGAAUAAUCACUAUAUUUGGUUCACUCGUUGGAAACAAAAUUCUUCUUAUUAAAAAAAAAAUUAUUUUUAAUUGUAAAUUUCUUAGAAGGAAAUUUAGUUUUUUUUAUCAGGAGCAUUAAAUUAUUUUGUUGUGUGAAUGUAACAUAAAGAAUAUGCUUGAUUUGAUAAGUUUGAAAUAGACGUGAGAAUAAAGUUGGUUUUUCUCUCUUAAUUUCCACAUAAAACAAAAAUAGAACAAAUGAAACUUUGUCUUGUUAUGUGGGAAAAAAAAUUAUGGGAAAAAGAGAGAAAAUUGCUAGUGGAAUGAUCUGUCACAAAAAAUUGACUUCUAGAGUUUGUUUUUUUUUUUUUUUUUUACUUUUUAAAAGAAGAAUAUUAUAUUUGUAACAUUUAAACUUGAUUGUUAAAAUCAACAUCAUAAAAUCCAAUCAUGAAUGCUAAUAUUAAAAAUAAUAAAAAGUGUAAUUAAAGACAAUGUAAAUAUUAGCUUAAUUUUUUUAAAUGACAUUAAAAAUAAUAAAAAAAUGUAAUUAAGACAAUUUAAAUAUUAAUUUUUUAAAUAUUUUUUUAGUAAUCUAUUUGGAUUUAAUUUGUUGAACCAAUUUCGACACCAUUUUCAAGUGGUAGUUAUCUUUUGUUUAGAUUAAUAUAAGAGUCGUAAUGAUUUUCGGAAACAUUCCCAUCUUUUCUAAUACUUGAAAGUUUUUAUCUUUCAAGUAUUAGAAAAGUUAAAAAUGCUUUCUGAAAUCAUUGUCAAAAUGUAUUUUAAGGCCUUAUCUAUUUUUUCUAGUUCUUGCAAUAGAUUAAGUAUUGAAUUAUAUAAGAUGGAGACAUCUUAUGGAUUAUUUGAGGGCCUGUUUGGAAUAAUGGCAAUGAAAAUGAAAAAAGAAAAUUCCAUUUCAUUUCUCAUUCUCAUUCUUAUUUUUUGUAAAACUUGGUUCAUCCAUAAUUUCCAUUGAUUUUUUUAAAUGUUUUUUAGAAUUGCAAUUAUUUAAUGCAUGAAACUUUUUAAAAACUUGAGAAUAGCUUUCUGAAGUCUAUUUUUGAAAAAAGAAAUUGGUAAGGGUAUUUUUGAGAAACAAAAGAUGUAAAACAUCUCGGAAACAUUUUUAAAAAGUACUUUUAGUUUAUGAAGUGUUUUUUUUAAAAAAAUUAAAUGUUUUAAUAAAAUUUAAAAAACAUUUCUACACCAUUGAAAAAUCAUUAUAGUGUUUCUUAAAGAAAUACUUGAUAACUAAACUUUUAGAAAAAAAAACUUUUAUUAAAAAUAGUUCAAAGAUAAAUAUUGCCAAAUGCACUCUAAAAAAAUACUUUUAGUUUUAAAUGUGUUUUUGAAAAAAAAAAAAAAGUAUUUGAUAAAUUUUAGGAACUUAUAAUAUGUUUUGAAAAAACACUUAAAAUGUAAUUUUCCUAAAAACAUUUAGAGUGCGUUUUGCAGUGAUUCGAAAAAGUGUUUCUAUCAUGCCUAAUACUUAAAAAAUAAAAAAAUUUAAGUGUUAAAAAGGCUAAACAAUACUUUCCAUAAUUACUGUAAAACGCACUCUUAAAAAAUAAAAAUAUAUUUCAAAUAAAAGCAUUGCCAUCAACCGUCUAACUAAAAAAAAUUGCUUUUCAAAUGUGAGUUAACAACUCUUUUUGAAAAAUUUUGCAAGACAAGCUCUUAGAAUUGUUUGAGAGUUCUUUUAUCGAGGGAUUGAUUGGUUAUGGAUGUUAGACUUUUACAUUAAUCUGAUCAUGUUAUAAUCUCAAGUAAGGUGAAAUUGAUUAAAUUGGAAAUCCACCCAACCUCGCAACGGGUUGAAAAUUGAUAGUUUCUGAUUAAGUUGGACUAAAUUGAUAUGAGUUGAUUAUUCAAAUUGAUUAAGUUGAGCGGGUUUGAGAUUUGGGCCGAACAAUACCCAGAUCCAUACACAAGAUAAUGGAUCCGGGAUCGGAUACGGGACCCGGCUCAUUUGAUCCCCGACGAACACAUUUGUAUAUCCAACCCCUAGAUCCUGCGGCCAGGAUCUAAUAUCUCCCUGAAAAGAAAUGUGAACCGUUGGAUGACUGAAUACAAAGCCACAAACAAACCCUACGAAACCCUAGUUUUUCACUCUCCUUCUUUUCGGACUGCUUCUGAUUCUCAGGACUCCUAUCUUCUCCACUGAUCACAGCGGCCACUCUCGGUGAGUAGAAGCUAUUUUCCGUUUGGUUCCUUAGAAAAUAUGGAAGGAAAUGCAUAAUUUUGGAUCUUAUUACGGUUUUUGUGGGUUUGUUUUGGUUCCUACUCGAAUGAAGUUGGUGGAAGUGAUUGUUUCUUGUUUGAUUCCCGAGAAAAUAGAACAGCAUUUGAAAGACUUUUGAUCUUGUUAUGUUUUAUGCUGUUCUGGUUUGGAUAUAUACACCUAGUCCUUGUUGGUUUGAAAUUUCAUCAAAUACCUCCCUUCCCUUUAUCAUUUGUUGUUUUCACUCACCUCCCCUCUAAUUCAAAAUAAGGGAGGUAUUUGACAAAUUUUCCAACUAGUGGGGACUAACUGCAUUUAGCUAAAAUCUUAAGGGAAGUGAGUGAAAUUAACUCAUCUUUUAAAUUGAAAGGAAAAAGAGUGAUUGAGAAGAAUAAGGGAAUUGAUGUUUUUAAUGGCUGAUCUCAUAUAUAAUCUAAUCUAAUUAUUCAUAGAUCAAAAAGAUUCCACUACAAUUGGUGGAUAAAGAAGAAGAAAGAUGAGUGGAUAUUAACACUAAUGGGGAGGAUAAUAUAGCAAUUGAAUAUAAUAAUGGUCCUUGGAGGGUCCUAUUAGUGCUAGUAAUAGCAAUGUUGAAAAUUAUUUUUGAUAAAAUCAUGAGACAAAGCUAAAUUUAAUGAGAAAAAAAGAAUUAAAUUAGAACUAUUACAAAUGAAAAAUAAUUAGUUUUAUCAUUAUAAAAUUUGUUUACCUAUAAACAAAUCAUUAUGAAAUUUGUGUUUUUUAUUAUUUAACUUUCUUGUGACUUUAUGACUAUAUAUUUUAAUUUUUUUUUUGAUAAUUUUUAUUAUUUAUUUGUUUAAGUUGAGGCUUACACCUCAUUUUCCAUGAGGCUUAAGUCUCACCUUGUUUAGACAAAAUGCCUCAAGAUCAUCUUUAGCCAUUUAAAACAUUGGUCCUUCUCCUUUUUGAUGUAUUCAUAUCUCUUUUGAGCUUUUGUUGUCUUUGUAGUGCUUAUUAAUUAUAAAAGGUUUGUGAUGAAUAUAGAAUUUGUCAUUUGAUUGGUUUUUGGCUUGGUAGAGAGAUGGGUGAAGAGGAAGCCAAGGGAGGACCAGUGAUUCCAGAGUCUGUGCUGAAGAAACAGAAGAGGAGCGAGGAAUGGACAUUGGCAAGAAGCAAGAGGUUGAGGCGAAAAAGAAGAAGAAUGCUGAGAAUCGGAAACUGAUUUACAGUAGAGCUAAGCAGUAUGCAAAGGAGUAUGAUGAGCAGGUACUCGUAGUUUUGUCUCAUGUAUUUGUUUUUCUGUUUUACUCAUGAAGAUGUGGGUAGCUUUAACUAAUAGAUGACACAUUUUUCAUGCAGCAAAAGGAGCUGAUUCAAUUGAAGCAUGAGGCUAAGCUGAAGGGUGGAUUUUACGUUGAUCCAGAGGUUAAACUUCUAUUUAUUAUUCGUAUCCGUGGGUAUGCACUUGGACUAUAGUUAUUUCCAUUGAUACCUUUACUUUCCUAUUAAUAUUCUGGUUCUCAUUCCUGUUCACUCUGGAACUUUCAGUAUCAAUGCUAUGCACUCGAAGAUGACAAAGAUUUUGCAGCUCUUGCGUUUGAGACAGGUUAGAUGUCAAACCACUGCAUCUGGAAAUGAGAAAUAAAUGGCCGUUAUAAAUCUAAUACCAUUCUUUGUGCUUGACAGCAUUAAGUUUCUUCUCAUAUCUUAUAUAGAUAUUCCUCCUCAAAGGAUAUAGUGGGGUAGGGAAUUGGGGUUGAACACCAGGGUGCCCUUUUUAGGAGUAGUAUUGCCAGUUCUUGCAUUGUUAAUCAGAAUUGUUUUCUUACUGUAUCAGAUCAAAUAUACAUACAUAUAUAUAUAUAUAUGUAUGUAUGUAUGUAUGUAUAUUUGUUUCACCUCAGAAUCUGAUGCUUAUACCUUAGCACUGCGGCUGUGAUGAAAACUUUGGGCAGAUGGAAAUUGGUAUUAUCUGUAUUUUUUCUACGCUUUUGAUAGUAUAUUGUGACAGUAGUGGCAGUAUUUGCCAGCUUGCUAUGCCCAGGUACUAUGCGUGAUACUGUACCAUAUUGCUUCUGAGAUAGGUUAUGGAACUGUGGCCCAUUAGCAUUCAUAUCAUGUCCAUAAAACACUCUUGACACUCAAAUGGCGAAGACAAACUACAAUUUUCAUUAACCAAAAUAAAUUGUCUAGUGAGAGCAAAUAAUCUAGAUUGAAACGUUGAAAAUCAAUGCCUGGCUAUAGUACUCAAGAAGCUGAAUUAAAUGUAUCAAGGAUCAAAUAUCCCAAACUUGUAUUCUUGAUGCUAUUUUGGAUGGUGAAUCAUUAGUUCAUCUUACAAACUGCUUCCUUAGUGAUUGAACAUUGUUAGUUUUAUGUCAAAUGAAUUAGUUAUGCAUCAUCAAUAAGGAUAUAAUGUCUCUUAUGAUGAGCUUACUAAUCUAAGCAAGCUAUCCCAUUAAAAAAAUGGAGUGUUCUUUGAUGACAUAAGAUCUUCUCAUUCGCUUCUUUGAAUACAGAUAUUCAAUGGGGUGUUUCUUAAAGUGAACAAAGCAACAAUGAACAUGUUGCACAGGGAUGAGCCUUGUGUGACUUAUGGGUAAGUAUCUUACUCUUUUGUUUUUCUUAAAAUCCUAUAAAAAGUUCUGAACUUGUGUAUUAUUCAUUUCUAAUGUAUUUAUAUUGCAAAUAUUUUAGGUACCCCAAUUUGAAGAGUGUGCGAGAACUGAUUUACAAGAGGGGCUAUGGAAAGUUGAACAAGCAGAGAACUGCCUUGACCGACAACUCCAUUGUGGAAUAGGUUUUUAUGUCCUUCUGUAUCUUGGUUUUUUUUGAGGGAUUGUUUGCUAUAUCUUGUUGCUAACCUGCUUUUGUGAUGAUAGGCUUUGGGGAAGUUUGGGAUUAUUUGCAUGGAAGAUCUUAUUCAUGAAAUCAUGACUGUUGGACCUCAUUUUAAGGAGGCCAACAACUUCCUAUGACCAUUUAAGCUGAAGGCACCAUUUGGUGGUUUGAAGAAGAAGAGGAAUCACUAUGUUGAAGGAGGAGAUGCUGGAAACCGUGAAAAUUACAUCAAUGAGCUCAUCAGAAGAAUGAACUAGACAGCUUGUGGUACUUUUGGCCUUUUCUUAUUGGAAGUUUGAUAUCUUUUGCUUCUUAUUAGCAACGAUAAAGUUGGUGAAUUCUUUUUCGGGUCAUAAACAUGAACACAGUGUUGGGAAAUUGAAUUUGAUAUUUGUUUUUAGACUUUGAUAGUAAAUAACUUUAUUACCUCUUAGAAUUUUAUUAGCAUUCAUGGAAGUGAUCAAUGAGUGAUUUUCUAUUAUAGUUACUUCCAUUCAAAAUUUUGUAUUGCAAGGUCAAAUUUAUAUAUGCCAUUUAAAUUUAUGUAUGCCACUUAACAACAUUUAUAAAAUUACCCUUACAAAUAUAUGGUGCUUCAAUUGAGUUUGUAAACCUUUUUUUUCUAUCAAGGUUACUUAAGUGUCAAAUCAACCUCUUUAUUAUGGUUUUUGGAGUAAACUUGUUGGAAAACCUCAAUAUGUACACUUGUAUUCAUCUUCAUAUGAUAUGUUUGGAUGUCUAAAAACACAAUGUUUAGUAUUAGAUUGACACGAUAAAAAGUUUGUUUCAAAUUAGAUGGUGUUUGUUUUUUCUACUUAGAUUUAAGUAGAACUCAAUUUCACUCUUAAUACAAUAUAAUAGUAUUAAGUUGAUUGUUUUUUUAUUAUUUUAUUUUUGUAAAGUGGUAAGUAUUAAUAGGGUGAGGCCAUGCUGAGAUCCUAUUUGGAUUGUUUUAAUAGUUAUUUUUAGUAUGUAUUAAAAAGCUAAAUAUUUUAACUUUUUUAUUUAGUAAAAUUUUUUAAAAAAAUGCAUAAUAAGUGGAAAAAAAAAGUUAAAAGAAAAUUAUAUAAAGUCUCAGACAUUUUUUGAGAUAAUGUUAUGUCUAAACCAUGUUAAAGUUUCAAAUGGAUGUUGUAUAUUUCGAUUUUUGGUCUAAACUUGUUUGACUAUCACAUAUAUAGUUAUUAACUUAUAUGAUCUUUUAUAAUUUUUAAAAUAUAUGUGUGUAUCUCUUUAAAAAUGAAAAAAAGAACAACUUUAGUGCCUGAAUUGGCUAAGUCAUAAUAUUGUACAGGACAAAGAGAAGAUGACAGUUAUCGGGUGAACAUUUUUUUUGCCUCAAAUCUUAAAAGAUUUUAGAUGUUUUAUUAUUAUUAUUAUUUUUAAAUUUAGUCUUAAUUCUUUAAAUUGAGUCUUAUUUUCAAGUAUGUAUAUGAAUAUACCAAUUAAAAAAUUAAAUUUUUAUUUGGAAUAUGAGCUUUGAAAUUGAAUGAUAUUUUUUCAUCAAUUUCGAUUGAGAUUUUAAACGAGUGUUAGACAUGUUUACACCAUAGAUGAAAAAGAAAAAAAAUAAUAGUAUAUUAUGUGCAAAAUUGUCUUGAUAUAAUGAUUAACCAAAGGAUGCUAUAUCUUCUUCUAUAUGGAAUUAAUUUCCUUUAUUAUUAACAUAUUUCACUAUUUUUAUUUUAAUUCUAUUUAAACAAAAAUGGUCGUGUGAACUAAAAUCGAUGUUCCUUUUAUUAUGGUGUUAUUUGACAAUUUUUUUUUAAUAUUAUUUAAAAAAGUUAUAAUGUAGGGUAAGACAUUUUGGUAAAGGUAAUAAUCAAUUCAUUUCUUGACGCGUUGAUUAUUUUCUUAUUUUUAAGAUGUAGAAUGAUCUAAAUAAGAAAAAAAGACAUAGUCAAGGUCUUUUAUUUUAUUUCAUUUUAUUAUUAUUUUUAAAAUUUUAGAGGAUGUUUUACUUGAAGACAGUUUAGCUUUUUGACUUGAUAACGUGGUUAACACUGCAUAGAGAAUAAACUUCCUUUAUCAUUGGUCAUGAUCAAACAAUGUGAUCUACAAUUCAUACAAAAUUGAUGAGUCAUGAAAAAGAUAAGAUUUUUUUUAAUUAAAUUUUAGAGGAUGUUUUACUUAAACAUGGAUUAGCGUUUUGACUUGAUAACGUGGUUAAUACUGCAUAUAGAAUAAAAUUCUUUUAUCAUCGGUUAUGAUCAAACAACGUGGUUUACACUUCAUACAAAAUUGAUGUGUUAUGAAAAAGAUACAAACUAUCUUAAUUUGAUUUUAAAUAGUUAUUUAUUAUCUAUUGUGGUCAACACUUGAUAGAAAAUAAAGUUCAUUUAUCAUUGGUCAUGAUCAAACAACGUGGUUUAUACUUCAUACAAAAUUGAUGUGUCAUGAAAAAAAUAUAGACAAUCUUAAUUUGAUUUUAAGUAGUUAUUUAUUAUCUAUUGUGGUCAACACUAGAUAGAAAAUAAAGUUCAUUUAUCAUCGGUCAUGAUCAAAUAACAUGGUCUACAAUUAAAAAAAAAAUUGAUGGGUCAUGAAAAAGAUGCAAACUUUUAAAAAAUAAAAAUAAAUUUAGAGGAUAUUUUACUUGAACACGUAUUAGCUUUUUGAUUUGAUAACGUGGUCAAUACUGCAUAUAGAAUAAAGUUCUUUUAUUAUUGGUUAUGAUCAAACAACCUCGUUUACACUUCAUACAAAAUUGAUGUGUCAUGAAAAAUAUACAAACUAUUUUAAUUUGAUUUUAAAUAGUUAUUUAUUAUCUAUUGUGGUCAACACUAGAUAGAAAAUAAAGUUCAUUUAUCAUUGGUCAUGAUCAAACAACGUGGUUUAUACUUCAUACAAGAUUGAUGUGUCAUGUAAAAAAUAUAGACUAUCUUAAUUUGAUUUUAAAUAAUUAUUUAUUAUCUAUUGUGGUCAACACUAGAUAGAAAAUAAAGUUCAUUUAUCAUCGGUCAUGAUCAAACAACAUGGUUUACAAUUCAAACAAAAUUGAUGGGUCAUGAAAACGACGCAAACUUUUAAAAAAUAAAAUAAANNNNNNNNNNNNNNNNNNNNNNNNNNNNNNNNNNNNNNNNNNNNNNNNNNNNNNNNNNNNNNNNNNNNNNNNNNNNNNNNNNNNNNNNNNNNNNNNNNNNNNNNNNNNNNNNNNNNNNNNNNNNNNNNNNNNNNNNNNNNNNNNNNNNNNNNNNNNNNNNNNNNNNNNNNNNNNNNNNNNNNNNNNNNNNNNNNNNNNNNNNNNNNNNNNNNNNNNNNNNNNNNNNNNNNNNNNNNNNNNNNNNNNNNNNNNNNNNNNNNNNNNNNNNNNNNNNNNNNNNNNNNNNNNNNNNNNNNNNNNNNNNNNNNNNNNNNNNNNNNNNNNNNNNNNNNNNNNNNNNNNNNNNNNNNNNNNNNNNNNNNNNNNNNNNNNNNNNNNNNNNNNNNNNNNNNNNNNNNNNNNNNNNNNNNUUUAAAAAAUAAAAUAAAUUUAGAGGAUGUUUUAGUUGAACAUGUAUUAGCUUUUUGACUUGAUAACGUGGUCAAUACUGCAUAUAGAAUAAAGUUCUUUUAUCAUCGGUUAUUAUCAAACAACAUGGUUUACACUUCUUACAAAAUUGAUGUGUCAUGAAAAAGAUACAAACUAUCUUAAUUUGAUUUUAAAUAGUUCUUUAUUAUCUAUUGUGGUCAACACUAGAUAGAAAAUAAAGUUCAUUUAUCAUUGGUCAUGAUCAAACAACGUGGUUUAUACUUCAUACAAAAUUGAUGUUUCAUGAAAAAAAUAUAGACUAGCUUAAUUUGAUUUUAAAUAGUUAUUUAUUAUCUAUUAUGGUCAACACUAGAUAGAAAAUAAAGUUCAUUUAUCAUCGAUCAUGAUCAAACAACAUGGUUUACAAUUCAAACAAAAUUGAUGGGUCAUGAAAAAGAUGCAAACUUUUAAAAAAUAAAAAUAAAUUUAGCGGAUGUUUUAGUUGAACACAUAUUAGCUUUUUGACUUGAUAACGUGGUCAAUACUGCAUAUAGAAUAAAGUUCUUUUAUCAUCGGUUAUGAUCAAAUAACGUGGUUUACACUUCAUACAAAAUUGAUGUGUCAUGAAAAAGAUACAAACUAUCUUAAUUUGAUUUUAAUAGUGAUUUAUUAUCUAUUGUGGUCAACACUAGAUAGAAAAUAAAAUUCAUUUAUCAUUGAUUAUGAUCAAACAACGUGGUUUAUACUUCAUACAAAAUUGAUGUGUCAUGAAAAAAAAUAUAGACUAUCUUAAUUUGAUUUUAAAUAGUUAUUUAUUAUCUAUUGUGGCCAACACUAGAUAGAAAAUAAAGUUCAUUUAUCAUCGGUCAUGAUCAAACAACAUGGUCUACAAUUCAAACAAAAUUGAUGGGUCAUGAAAAAGAUGCAAACUUUUAAAAAAUAAAAAUAAAUUUAGAGGAUGUUUUAGUUGAACACGUAUUAGCUUUUUGACUUGAUAACGUGGUCAAUACUGCAUAUAGAAUAAAGUUCUUUUAUCAUCGGUUAUGAUCAAACAACAUGGUUUACACUUCAUACAAAAUUGAUGUGUCAUGAAAAAGAUACAAACUAUCUUAAUUUGAUUUUAAAUAGUUCUUUAAUAUUAUCUAUUGUGGUCAACACUAGAUAAAAAAUAAAGUUCAUUUAUCAUUGAUCAUGAUCAAACAACGUGGUUUAUACUUCAUACAAAAUUGAUGUGUCAUGAAAAAAAUAUAGAAUAUUUUAAUUUGAUUUUAAAUAGUUAUUUAUUAUCUAUUGUGGUCAACACUAGAUAGAAAAUAAAGUUCAUUUAUCAUCGGUCAUGGUCAAACAACAUGGUCUACAAUUCAAACAAAAUUGAUGGGUCAUGAAAAAGAUGCAAACUUUUAAAAAAUAAAAAUAAAUUUAGAGGAUGUUUUAGUUGAACACGUAUUAGCUUUUUGACUUGAUAACGUGGUCAAUACUGCAUAUAGAAUAAAGUUCCUUUAUCAUCGAUUAUGAUCAAACAACGUGGUUUACACUUCGUACAAAAUUGACAUGUUAUGAAAAAAAUACAAACUAUAUUAAUUUAAUUUUAAAUAGUUAUUUAUUAUCUAUUUAACUUGACAAACUUUACAACAUGGUCGACACUUCAUGAAAAAUAAAUAUUCUUUAUUGUGGAUCAUGAUCGAGAAAAAAAUGGACUGUUAUUAUAUUAUUUUAAAUGGUUAUUCAUUGUCUAUGAUUAAAUCUAGGCAAAUGAAGUUAUUAGAUAUUUUGUAUAAUAAAAAAUAAUUUUGGAAGAAACUAAUCUAUCAUCAAAAGGUUAUAUCAUUUGUAUGUUACUCAUUAGUUGAGACUUAAAGGAAUUAAGUUUGUGGGUUGAAUGAUAUUAUUUUUUAAUACCGUUUUCCUUUGAAGUUAAAAAUGAUUAAUUAAGUUGCAAGACAAAUAUAUUAUUUAAUUUAUUAUGUGUGUAUAAGAUAAUAAAUUAGACACAAUUAUAUUAAUGAUGUUAGUUAGACAUAUUUCGAUUUAAAAUUACUUGGUGUAAUUUAUAAUUGUGGAUAAUAAAUAUUUAAUUUUAUAAUAUUAUUGGCCAAGUCAGUCAUGUGUGAUUUAUAAUAAUUUGAGAAUAUUAAACUUAUCUACUAUCUACAACAUUUUUUUUAUGGGUUUUAUUAUUAUUAUUUAAACUUAUUUAUUAUCAUCUUGUGGGGAUAACAUUUUUCAGACUUGAUUAUUAUUUUUAUUAUUAUUACUAUUUAAACUUAUCUAUUAUCAUUUUGUGAGGACAAUAUUUUUUAUAGAUAUGAUGUUUUAAAAGAUAUUACUUUCAACGUGGUUGCAAGGUCUUUAUUAUUAUACUUUUGUCUAUGGGUCAUGCACAGUGGGACAAGACCUUAGUCAAGUUUGUAGAAAAUUUUGAAUUUUCUACUACAAAAAAUUAAUUUGAUUUUCUUAUAAGCCAAAAAAAAAAAAAAAGGAAAAUAAAAAAGAUUUAUUAAGUCUAUUUUUUUUAGGGUUGAGAGAUAACAAUACAUAGAAAAUGUUUUUUAUGGGUGAUGCACAAUAGGAAAAAUCAAGGUUAUAUAAAAUUUUGAAUUUUCCACCAAUAAAUUUUUAAUCAAGCAUAUAAUUGUUAAUAUAUAUAUAUAUAUAUAUAUAUAUAUAUAUAUAUAUAUUAUUUAUUUAUUUAUUUUAAUAUUUAUGAAAAAAAAAAGAUUGUUAUUUAAUAUGUAAAACAACUUAAAUUCAAAAAUAAUUUUUUUUAAAGGUUUUUCUAUAAACAUAUCACAUUCCAAACACAACCCUUGUAACUAGAAGAGUAUUUAAGUUUAAAAUAUUUUUUAACUUUGAAGUUGUUUAGUUAUAGUUACUAUAUUUAUGUAAAACUCUUUUAACCCAAAUACUUAUGGACCAAACUAGUUUAUACAAGUGUUUUCCUUUUAUUAUAGUACUAUUUUACUAUUUUUCUUUCAAUUCUAUCUUUUUAUGCAAGUAUUUUUCCUUUAUUAUAGUAAUAUUUCACUAUUUUUUUUAUUUUAAUUCUAUUUAAAAAAAAGUAGUCAUGUGGACUAAGAUCGAUUUUCCAUUUAUUAUGGUGUUAUUUACCAUUUUUUUAAAUAUUUUUUUUUUAAAAACUAUAAUGUAGAGUUGUCCUUAAGGUAAUGAUGAAUUCAUUUAUUGACUAGUUGAUUAUUUCCUUUAAUUUUGUAUUAUGAUACAAAAUUAGUGUUUUGAUCACUAUUAAGUAUUUCUUUAUAUCCUAUAUUAUAAUUAGAUAUAAAGUUGUUAGUGUUAUUUUUAAAGUGAAAAAUGAUCUUAAUGGGACCAAAUGGUCUUUUGCUUUUUUGUUUUAAUUUUAGGGAUGUUCUACUUGAGCAUGGUUUAACUUUAUGACUUGAUAGCGUGGUCAACACCACAUAGAAAAUAAAGGUCUUUUAUUGUCAAUCAUGAUCAAAAGUUCCAUUAUUAUUGAUCAUGAUUAAACAACGUGGUCUAAACUUCAUACAAAAUUGAUGGGUUGUGAAAAAAAUGUAGACUAUUGUAAUUUGAUUUUAAAUUGUUAUUUAUUAUCCAUAUGACUAUUGGACUUGACAAACUUUACAAUGUAGUUUACACUUCAUUCAAAGUUAAUAUUCUUUAUUAUGGAUCAUGAUCAAGAAAAGAAUGGACUCCUAUGAUUUGAUUUAAAUGGUUAUUCAUUGCCCAUCAUUAAAUCUAGUAAGAUAUUUCUAUAAUAAAAAAAAUUGCAAGAAACUAAUCUAUUGUCAUAAGGUUAUAUCAUGCGUAUAUUUUUUAUAAGUCGGGACUUAAGGAAUUAAGUUUGUGAGUUGGAUCAUAUUAGUUUCUAAUGUCAUUUUCCUUUGAAGUAAAAAGUGAUUAUUUAAGUUGCAAGACAAAUAUAAUGUUUAAUCUAUUAUGUGUGUAUAAGAAAAUAAAUUGGAUGCAAUUAUAUUAAUGGUGUUAUUUUGGCAUAUUUCUAUUUGAAAUAAUUUAGCAAAUAAUAAAUAUUUAAUUUUAUAAUAUUAUUGGCCAAGUUAGACUUGCAUGAUUUAAAAAAUUUUGAGAAUACUAAACUUAUGUAUUAUGUAAAAUAUUUUUCAUGGACUUGAAUGUUUUAAAAGAUAUUACCCUUCAAUAUGGUUGUAAGGUUAUUAUUAUUUAAACUUAUCUAUCAUCUUGUGUAGACAACAUUUUUCAUGGAGAAAUUUUUUUAUAUAACUGAUUAUUAUUAUUAUUUAUCUUGUGUGGAUAACAUUUUUUAUGGACUUGAUUAUUGUUAUUAUAUAUAUAUAUAUAUAAAUUUAUCUAUUAUCAUCUUGUGUGAACAAUUUUUUUCAUGGAUUUGAUGUUUUAAAAGAUAUUACACCUUUAAUAUGGUUGUAAGGUUUUUAUUAUUAUACCUUUUUCUAUGGGUCAUGCACAGUGGGAUAGACCCAAGUCAAGUUUAUAUAAAAUUUUGAAUUUUUUAUUGUAGGAAAUUAAUUUCAUUUUCCUAUAAGCCAAGUAAAAAAAAAACAAGACUUAUCAAGUCUAUUUUUUUAUGCUUAAGAGAUAAGAAGACUUAGAAAAUGUUUUCUAUGGGUGAUGCACAAUGAGAGAAAUCAAGGCUAUAUAAAAUUUUGAAUUUUUCAAUAUAGAAAAUUAAUUUGGUUUUCUUUUAAGCCAAAAAAGGAAAAUAGAAAAAAGAAAAAAAGAAAACAAGAUUUAUCAAAUCUAUUUUUUUAUGCUUGAGAGAUAAGAACACAUAGAAAAUGGGAUUCAAUCAAAUGACCCCAAUUAUUGAAGGUAAAUUUCCUUGUUACUCAUUUUAACCUUUUCUUUAAGAGAUUAUCCAUGAUUUUGUUAAACCUUUAAUUUUGUAAGACUCGUAAUUAACAUAUUGGGUGGUUUUCUAAGUGGUAAAUCACAUAUGAUUGGUUUUACACAAUGUUUUUACAAUUGGAUCGGUAAUUGAACCGGAAAAGUUACCGGUUCAUGGUUCAUUGGUCAAAUCAAUGGUUGAACCGCGGUCGAAUCAGUGGUUGAACCGCAAUCUAAUCGACGGUUGAACUGCAGUCCAAUCGACGGCUGAACCGCGGUCAAAUCGGAGGUUAAACUGUGAUCGUACCGAUGAUCGAAUGGUAGUCGAACCGGUGAUGUCAUAAAUACAUAUUUUAUAUAUUAUUAAAAUAAAAAAUAAAAAAUAAAAAUGGAAAUGAUUCAAAUUUUAAUUGCAAUAAAUAAAUCAACAAAAAUUUCAAUAAAUUGAACUUUCAAUAUGCAAUAAAUAAAUGAAGGAUAACAAAUUUUGAUCAACAAAAAUUAUAAAUCUACAAAAAAUUAAAACAUUAAAUAUUAAACAUAAAAUAUAAAAAUAUUAAAUAUUAAAGUUCAAAAAUAAAAACUUAAAGUAUUAAACUAAUAAAUGGAUUUGAGCCACAACUAACAGCUAACCACCACAAAAAAUGGAUUUGUUGCAAAAAGUGUGGCUGGGCCGGGAGUUGGAGCAAGGAGAGGCCGGGACGGUUGGGGGGAAGAAUUUAAAAGGGUUGAAUCGUCCGAUUUGGAGGGAAUUGACCAGUUUGUCUGGUUCUCCGGUCCGAUGCUAGUUCAACCCUUGGCCGACUCAACUCAUCGGACCAAAUUGGAAUUGUCACCGGCCUGUUUGGUCCGGUUUUUAAAACCAUGUUUCUACAUCAAUUAUGAAAAAAACUAGUAAAUAUUUUUAUUAUUUUCUAAGUGGCCAAAACUUUCCAUUAACUUACCUAUGUAAGUGACGUGAAAGAAAUUUUGCCUACCCUAGUAACUAUCCCAUGUGAAUAAAGUUUCACUGAAAUUUCAUAUCAAUAUUUAUUUACUAGAUUUAGCAUCUUGUGAUUGAAAUAAUAGUUUUUGGAAAUUUUAAGUUUUGAGUAUUAGAUGAGAAGAUUUUAAAUUCUUGCUUUUAUUUUUUUUCUAAUAUUCAUUUAAUAUGAUGUAAAACUUUUUAAUGAUUAUAAAAAGUUUUGCAAAACAAGAUUCAAAAGUAACAUCUAUCUUUAAACCUUAAAUAGUGUUUUUUAAAGACUAUUUUUCACCAUUUUUAUAAACUGAAAAACUAAUAAUAAUCUUUUCUCCUCAAAAGCACUCCUUUUACAUUGUAAGACAAAACUAAUGAGCUAAUUUAUAAGCACAUUUUUAAUCAAGCAUAUAAUUGUUAAUAUACAUUUAUCUAUUUUAAUAUUUAUGAAAAAAAAUUAUUAUUUAAUAUGUAAAAGAACUUAAAUUCAAAAAUAAUUUUCUUAAGGUUUUUCUAUAAACAUAUCACAUUCCAAACACAACCCUCAGAGUUAGAGGAGUAUUUAAGUUUAAAAUAUUACUUGAUUUAGAAUCUAUUUAUUUACUGAGAAAAAUUGAAAAAUAUAGCUAUAUGCAAAGGAGAAAUAGGUGAAUCAAAAUUCAUUUUAGGUCAGCUUUGGUCUAUUUUUUCUAGUACAACUCAUUUUGAACUAGUUUUCAUCUAUUAUUUUUUGGUACUUACUAGGUAUAUUUUGAUUUUCAGUUAUAAAAAUUAUUAUACUCACUAACAAAUUAAACACAAGUCUUACUUCAUUUGAAGUCCAUUUAUUUAGUAAGCAAAUUAAUAAAAUUAUAGUUAUAUGCAUAGAAGAAACAAGAGUCAUUUUAAACUAAAGUCCAUGAAUUUCUUGUGGUGAUUGAGUUGUUUUUUGAAUCCCAAAUUCCUUCUUGAAAGUAAUAAGCUUUUUAAAAAAUCAAAGUAAGUAUUACUUGAUUUGAAGUCUAUUUGUCUAGUAAAAAAGAAAAAGGAAAAAGAAAAUUAUAGUCCUACAUAGAAAAUAAACAAUAGAGUUAUUAUAGACCAAUUUUUGUCUAUAAAUUUAUGUUAUUAAUUGAGUCAGUAUAUGAGUUUGAAAUUAUUAAAUUCAAUAAAGGAUUGAAACAUUAGGUCUAGCUAGGUUUAUUUUUAUUUUCCUAGUAAAAAAAUUCAAAAAAAUAUAGUUAUGUGUAAUAAAGAAACUAGAAAAGUUAUUCAUAAUAAUUUUUCUUUCAUGAUUUUUUUUUAAUAUUAAUUGGAUUAGCUUUGAGUUUGAUGACUGUUUAGUAUUAACUGGAUAUAUUUUGAGUUUUAAAUUAUUUUUGAAAACGAAUAAAUCCUAUAUUUUAAUAUUACUUGAUUUGGAAUCUAUUUGCUUGAUAAAAUUUUUUAGAUAAGUUAAAGAAAAAAAAAAUGUGUUAUUUAGAAAAGAUCAUAUUUGAUGAUUUUUGGUAUGGUUGGUGAAAAGAAAUGAAAAAAAGAAAGAGAUCGUGUUUACCUUAUUUGUUUUUAUGAUUGUUUUAAAUUAUUUUUAUUUCUUUAUGUUUUCUUUUGCUUUUAAAAACAAGUGAACAAAAUUUUUAUUUGUUUUUUGGAAAUUGUUCUCUAUUUAACUUUGGUUUUAAAAAUUGUUUUCAAACAAAAAGGCCAAAUAAUGCUAUAAAUUUCUAAAUUACACCACCAAACAACCUUAUGGAUUUAAUACUAUUUUUGUAUGCUAAAUGACCUAAGCUCUUAACUUAUUCCUAAUACCUUGAUUUACAUUUUUUGUUUCCUCUAGUUAAGAUUUUUUAGCAUUUAGAAUGAGUAUAAUUUUUUUAAUUCAUAAAUGAAUUUUUAUGUUUAUCUUAAUCUUAUUGACCUUGACUUAGUGCCAAGUCAUGGUCUUUCUAUCCACACCUUUUUAUUUUCUUUUUUUCUUUUUUUUCCUUUUUGUUCAAGUCAAGGUCUUCAAUCAAGGCACUUGGUUUUUGUGGUAAGGCAAAGACUCAAGUCAUUUUCCACUCAAUUAGAAUUUAAUAUGAUACAACUCAAAUAAUACUAAAAACAAAAAGAAGUGAAGCUAUCAUUGUCACUGCUUUAAACCACCUUCUAUAUAUUUUGUUGAAUUGAAAAUGCAAGGGAAACAAGAAAGAAGUUUUAGGUAAGGAACUGAUAUUGAUAAAUUAUUUUUAAUAUGCUUUUCUAUCUAAUCCUUCUAACUCUAAGUGAUUUCAGUUCUUGCCAGUCAAAGUAAGGUUGAUCUUUGAGAUGAUUAUAAUUGUUUUUCUUAAUAUAUAUUUACAUAUGUUAUUAGUAGAUCUUUUUAGAUUGGUGACGUUUGUUAAAUGUGUUGUUUAAAGUAAGUUCUUCAUGUUGUGCAAUUGUCUUUUAGAUUUUUCCAGUGUUUUCAUUUUUAUGUUGGAAAUAAAAUUUCAAUUCAAUUCAAGAAAAUGCUGACUACAUAUUGGAAUUCAAUUUUUACAGGUGCUCCUUACUAGAGAAUUGAAUAUUUACAUGGAGAAAAUUUCAAUUCUUGGUUUCAUUUUAGCUAUUCUCUAUCUCAUAACAACAGAACUUGCAUGUAAUGGUCAUACCCGUAUCGACAACAAUGUUCAAUCUGAACAAAAGGCUCUUAUUGACUUCAAAAAGUGGUCUCAAAGAUCCCAACAAUCGGCUUUCAUCAUGGAAAGGAAGCAAUUAUUGCUCAUGGCAAGAAUUAGUUGCGAAAAUGGCACAGGAUUUGUCAUUUCAAUUGAUCUUCNNNNNNNNNNNNNNNNNNNNNNNNNNNNNNNNNNNNNNNNNNNNNNNNNNNNNNNNNNNNNNNNNNNNNNNNNNNNNNNNNNNNNNNNNNNNNNNNNNNNGGUUAAGAUUUUUUAGCGUUUAGAAUGAGUAUUAAUUUUUUUAAUUCAUAAAUGAAUUUUUAUGUUUAUCUUAAUCUUAUUGACCUUGACUUAGUGCCAAGUCAUGGUCUUUCUAUCCACACCUUUUUAUUUUCUUUUUUUCUUUUUUUUUCCUUUUUGUUCAAGUCAAGGUCUUCAAUCAAGGCACUUGGUUUUUGUGGUAAGGCAAAGACUCAAGUCAUUUUCCACUCAAUUAGAAUUUAAUAUGAUACAACUCAAAUAAAACUAAAAACAAAAAGAAGUGAAGCUAUCAUUGUCACUGCUUUAAACCACCUUCUAUAUAUUUUGUUGAAUUGAAAAUGCAAGGGAAACAAGAAAGAAGUUUUAGGUAAGGAACUGAUAUUGAUAAAUUAUUUUUAAUAUGCUUUUCUAUCUAAUCCUUCUAACUCUAAGUGAUUUCAGUUCUCGCCAGUCAAAGUAAGGUUGAUCUUUAAGAUGAUUAUAAUUGUUUUUCUUAAUAUAUAUUUACAUAUGUUAUUAGUAGAUCUUUUUAGAUUGGUGACGUUUGUUAAAUGUGUUGUUUAAAGUAAGUUCUUCAUGUUGUGCAAUUGUCUUUUAGAUUUUUCCAGUGUUUUCAUUUUUAUGUUGGAAAUAAAAUUUCAAUUCAAUUCAAGAAAAUGCUGACUACAUAUUGGAAUUCAAUUUUUACAGGUGCUCCUUACUAGAGAAUUGAAUAUUUACAUGGAGAAAAUUUCAAUUCUUGGUUUCAUUUUAGCUAUUCUCUAUCUCAUAACAACAGAACUUGCAUGUAAUGGUCAUACCCGUAUCGACAACAAUGUUCAAUCUGAACAAAAGGCUCUUAUUGACUUCAAAAGUGGUCUCAAAGAUCCCAACAAUCGGCUUUCAUCAUGGAAAGGAAGCAAUUAUUGCUCAUGGCAAGGAAUUAGUUGCGAAAAUGGCACAGGAUUUGUCAUUUCAAUUGAUCUUCAUAACCCUUAUCCUCGUGAGAAUGUAUAUGAGAAUUGGAGCUCUAUGAACUUAAGUGGAGAAAUUAGUCCUUCAUUGAUAAAACUCAAGUCUUUGAAAUAUCUAGAUUUGAGUUUCAACUCAUUCAAAGCCAUGCCAGUUCCUCAAUUCUUUGGGUCUCUGGAGAAUUUAAUAUAUCUAAACUUAUCAGGUGCUGGGUUUAGUGGAUCAAUUCCUUCAAAUUUAAGGAAUCUUUCUAGCUUGCAAUAUCUCGAUCUUUCUAGCUUGUAAUAUGUCGAUCUUUCUUCUGAGUAUCUUUACGAUAUUGAUUCAGAGUAUCUUGACUAUAUUUAUUCUGAAUAUUUUAAUAAUUUAUUUGUUGAAAAUAUUGAAUGGAUGACUGGCCUUGUUUCCUUGAAGUAUCUUGGUAUGAAUUAUGUUAACCUUUCAUUGGUAGGAAGUCGGUGGGUUGAGGUGGCAAACAAGCUUCCAAGUUUAACUGAGUUGCAUCUAGGUGGUUGUGGCCUCUUUGGCUCAUUUCCAUCUCCAAGCUUUAUUAAUUUUUCUUCACUUGCUGUUAUAGCUAUCAACUCCAACGACUUCAAUUCCAAGUUUCCUGACUGGCUUUUAAAUGUCAGCAACCUUGUAUCCAUUGAUAUAAGUGACAAUAAAUUAUAUGGGAGAAUUCCACUUGGUCUUGGUGAGCUACCCAAUUUGCAAUACUUAGAUCUAUCUUCUUCGAUUUAUCUAUUUUCAGAUUUCCAUCUCAGGGGCAGUAUCUCUCAACUGUUGAGGAAGAGUUGGAAAAAGAUAGAAGUUCUAAAGUUGGAUGGAAAUGAAUUACAUGGUAAAUUUUUUGUGUUAUUAGAAAAAUUGAUUUUUCUUUGUUGAUAUGUUAAUGUGUAGAUAAAUAUAGUUCACAAUUGUGUAUAUGAGUGUUGAAUAUGUAUCAAUAUACAAAUAUCAAAUAAUCACUAUAUUUUGUUCAAUUGUUGGAAACAAAAAUCUUCUUAUUAAAAAAAAUAUUAUUUUGAAUUCUAAAUUUCUUAGAAGGAAAUUUAGUUUUUUUUUUAUCUAAAAAAAAGUAUGUAGUUUAACAAUUUAUGCUUGUGAAGUAUCUAUGUUAUCUAACAAUUUUUGUAUGAAGGUAAGUAAUUACAAAAAGUGUUUGUCUACAUAACUAUUAAAAAGAAUUGCAUCUUAUAGGAGUAUGAUUUUUUUUAAUCCUUAACUUCCUUUUUUACUUUAAAUUAGUUGAUGAAUGAUUUAUUAUUUUCGAUUGUCAAUAAUUAUAUAUUUGUUAUAUUAAUUAUUUUUUGAAUGUUUUCAUUUCAUUUUGACAUAACUCUUUUUUUUUUUUCAAUUUGUUUUGCUUUUGAGGAUAAUAAUUUGAGCAUGUACUAAAUGGAAUAUUUAUAUGAUGGUUGAAUUGAUAUAUGAUGUGCUUUGUCACUUAUGUUUUAAUAUUUUACUAAUUUUAGUUAUUAAAUGUUUUCCAUUUUUUACUCUCAUGGUAUACCUUCUUUUAAACUAUUCUAUUAAAAUUUUAUUCUAAAUUGUUAUGUUUAUUUAAAGUACUUCUUGUUCCUAUAAAAUUCAAAUAAUUAUAAUUUACUAUUCACUUAUAUUUGAAAAGCUUGUAACUAAUAAAUUAAAAAAUCACAUUGUAUUAAAAUUUAAAAAUUUACUUUCUGUAUCUCCAAAAAGAAUUAAAUUCCUAUUUUGACAAUUUAUGUUUGUUAAGAAUCUUUAUCAUCAAAUACCCUUCAAUCAUCUCCUACAUAUUUUCAAUUUCCAUUUUCUCUCACUAAUUCAUCUAUUAUAUCAAAAUAUUAUACUAGGUUGAACUCCUACUUUUCUCUAGCUUUGUUCUUUAAUGGUACGUUCUACUUUCAAAAUAUUAUAGCUUUGCAGAUAGGAGUAAUUUUCUAUUAAAAUUUUCUAGGAGUUUGUAAAUAAAUAGAAUAACCACUUGGAAUUAAAAUAAUUGUUGAGAAAAACAUUUUUUUUUUGCAUUGCUAAAAUACAAAUGAUAUUUUUGGUAACUUGGAUCUAUUAAAAAAAGAAAAAUGUAAUUACCUUCUCAAUCUUUUGGUUUAUAUUUUCAUUUUCUAUAUUUUCUCAUUGAACUAUCACUUUGUUCAAAUUAUUUUCGUUUAUUGUUAAAGAAACAAUUAAUGUCAAUGAUUAAUCCUACUAGUCUUAUAACAGUGAAAUCAAUUACUUUAUUUCAUGGUUAUCAGAAAAGAAAAAAAAAGUACCUAAAAAAAAUCUAAUAUUUUUUGUUACUUUUUCUUUAAAGUAAUUGUUCAUGAAUUAAUUUGUUUUGUUAUUUACUAUUUUUAUUAUUUGUUUGUUACAUAAUUUUAAUUAAUACAUAUUUUUAUUCUUGGUCAUUGCAGGUUCAAUUCCAAGCUCCAUUGGAAACUUUUGCAACUUAAAAUAUCUGGAUUUGAGUUUUAAUCUCUUGAAUGGAAGUUUACCUGAGAUUAUCAAAGGACUUGAAACCUGCAGUUCUAAAAGUCCUUUGCCUAAUUUGACAAAAUUGUCCUUGUACAACAAUCAAUUGAUGGGAAAAUUGCCGAAUUGGUUGGGUGAGCUUAAAAAUCUCAAGGCACUCGAUUUAUCCAAUAACAAAUUUGAAGGUCCCAUCCCUGCUUCUUUGGGGACAUUGCAACACUUGGAGUUUCUGUCUCUUUUGAAGAAUGAGCUGAAUGGAAGUCUCCCAGAUAGUAUUGGACAACUUUCUCAACUGCAAUACUUGGAUGUUUCUUCCAAUCAUUUGAGUGGAAGUCUCCCGGAUAGUAUUGGACAACUUUCUCAACUGCAACACUUGAUUGUUUAUUCCAAUCAUUUGAGUGGAAGUCUCCCAGAUAGUAUUGGACAACUUUCUCAACUGCAAGACUUGGAUGUUUAUUCCAAUCAUUUGAGUGGAAGUCUCCCAGAUAGUAUUAGACAACUUUCUCAACUGGAACAAUUGGAUGUUUCUUCCAAUCAUUUGAGUGGAAGUCUCCCGGAUAGUAUUGGACAACUUUCUCAACUGCAACGCUUGCAGGUUUCUUCCAAUUAUUUGAGUGGAAGUCUCCCGGAUAGUAUUGGACAACUUUCUCAACUGCAAGGCUUGCAUGUUUCUUCCAAUCAUUUGAGUGGAAGUCUCCCGGAUAGUAUUGGACAACUUUCUCAACUGGAACAAUUGGAUGUUUCUUCCAAUCAUUUGAGUGGAAGUCUCUCUGAACAACAUUUUUUGAAGCUGAGUAAGUUGGAGAAUCUAUAUAUGGGCUCCAAUUCUUUCCAUUUAAAUGUUAGUCCUAAUUGGGUUCCCCUUUUCCAGGUGGAUGAACUUGAUAUGUGUUCAUGCCACUUGGGUCCUUCAUUUUCGGCUUGGCUUCAAUCUCAAAAGAACCUCAACUUUCUUGAUUUCUCAAAUGGCAGCAUUUCAAGUCCUAUUCCAAACUGGUUUGGGAAUAUUUCUUUGAAUCUGCAACGGUUGAAUCUUUCUCACAAUCAGUUACAAGGUCAGCUACCAAAUUCAUUAAAUUUUUAUGGUUUAUCAGAGAUUGAUUUCAGUUCCAACCUCUUUGAAGGACCUAUUCCUUUUUCAAUCAAAGGGGUCGAUAUUCUAGAUCUCUCCUAUAAUAAAUUUUAUGGCUUUUUUCCAUCGAGUAGAGGUGAAUCCGUGUCAAGCUUGUCUUAUCUUUCUCUUUCAAGUAAUCAAAUAACAGGGGCCAUCCCAUCAAACAUAGGUGAAUUCCUACCCAGCUUGCAGUUCCUUUCUCUUUCGGGUAAUCGAAUAACAGGGACCAUCCCAGAUUCCAUAGGACGCAUCACCAAUCUUGAAGUCAUUGAUUUUUCAAGGAAUAAUUUGACUGGAAGCAUUCCUUCUACCAUAAAUAAUUGCUCUAACCUUUUUGUGUUAGACCUUGGAAACAACAAUCUGUUUGGGAUAAUACCGAAGUCGUUGGGCCAGUUACAAUCGCUCCAAUCACUGCACUUGAACCACAACGAGCUUUCAGGAGAGCUCCCCUCAUCUUUCCAAAAUUUAACAGGCUUGGAAGUUCUUGAUCUUAGUUACAACAAAUUGUUGGGUGAGGUUCCUGCAUGGAUUGGAGUUGCUUUCGUAAAUCUGGUAAUACUCAACUUGAGGUCGAAUGUGUUUUGUGGAAGACUUCCCUCCCAGCUUUCAAAUUUAAGCUCCCUGCAUGUCUUAGACAUUGCACAAAACAAUCUGAUGGGUAAAAUUCCAAUCACUUUGGUUGAGCUUAAAGCCAUGGCUCAAGAGCAUAACAUGAUCAAUAUAUAUCCUUCGUUUCAAAAAGAGGGACUCUCCUGGUAUAAAGAACUAUUGGUUGUGAUUACCAAAGGCCAAAGUCUUGAAUAUACCAGGACUCUUUCUCUUGUUGUAGGCAUUGACCUAUCCAACAAUAAUUUAAGUGGAGAGUUUCCCCAAGAAAUAACAAAAUUGUUUGGUUUGGUGGUUUUGAACUUGUCGAGGAAUCACAUUACUGGCCAAAUUCCUGAAAGCAUUUCAAUGUUGCGACAAUUGUUAUCUCUUGAUUUGUCAAGCAAUAAGCUUUCCGACAGCAUUCCUUCAAGCAUGGCCUCAUUAUCAUUCUUGAGUUAUUUGAAUCUAUCAAAUAACAAUUUCUCUGGUAAGAUCCCCUUUACAGGGCAAAUGACAACCUUCACCGAGCUGGCCUUUGUGGGAAACCCUGAUCUAUGUGGAGCUCCAUUGGCCACAAAAUGCCAGGAUGAAGAUCCAAAUAAAAGGCAAAGUGUUGUUAGUGACAAAAAUGAUGGUGGCUAUGUUGAUCAAUGGUUUUACUUGAGCGUUGGCUUGGGAUUUGCCAUGGGCAUCCUAGUUCCAUUUUUUGUUUUGGCAACAAGGAAAUCUUGGUGUGAGGCCUAUUUUGAUUUUGUGGAUGAGAUUGUCAGAUGGUUGUUGAGAGGAAGAGCAACCUAUGCCAAAAAUCAUCCUAGAAGGCGAUAAAUUUUAUUUGUAGAUCUUUCUAUGCUUUAUGUAUCAUUAUAAGCUUUGGAAGUGAAUUUCAUCACAGUUGCAAUAGAAGAAAAGACUUAGCUUUUAAUUUAUUUUAACUUCAGAACAUAUCCUUUGUUUAUAAUCUGCAGUGUUUUGGCAUUGUCGGAAGGCUUAGAAAAGAACUUGACACCUCUUAUUCAUUCUACAUUCAGAAGUCUUGCUUAUCAUAUUUCCUAGCUCCUUAUCAAUCAUUAAAUUCCUUGUACAACCAAAUAUUGUGAAAUUCUGCAUGAACAUAACCAAAGAGAAGUGAAAAAACAGUUGUUUCUGAAUUUUCACUGAAAGCAAAUACAUCUUAUCAUACCCUAUUCAAGUUCUAAAGCAAUAUAGAUCGUAGAUGAUUUCCAGAUACCCCUGUGCCACCAACACAACACAAAUAUAUAAAUAAAAACAAAUUAAUUAACCAAGAAUGGGUAAAAUCCACACAAUGGCCUUUAUUUAAUUACUGAAACAUGAAUAUAUAAACAAUUCAGCCUGGUCAUGCCCACCACUUUGAAUUGGCCAAUUAACUUAGCAAUUUGGGAGUGGGGAAAUCAUUUGCCUUAGUUGUAGAAUGCAUCAUUUUGCCUUGUAAAUUGAGAGAAAAAGUAACCUAUCUCACCAAUAUAAGAUAGGAAUUCCAACCUUAGUAAAUAUCGGUAACAAUCCAACCAUUUAUGCUAUUAGUGGAUCAACAAUGUAUGUUAGGCCAAUUAAUACUUAUGAUAAUUGUGGUGAGGUUCAAACCUAAGACCCCUCAAAAGCCAAAGAUUCAACACCAUUUUAAACUACAAAUUUAACUCAAAAGUUUAAACAACAUGGUACUCACCAAUAAGACAUAUUAACGUAAUUUUGUAGGGUUAAUAGACUUAAUUAAUAGCAAAAGCAAAAGCAAGAAAAUCCUUUGGUGGGACUUCCAUUUGCAUCCACCAUGUGAUGUGGGCAUCGACAGUGGUCGAGCAUCCACCCAAAUCGCACAGCCCAAGCCACCAUCUAGCAACUACAAAUACAUCCAAAGAAGCAUACCUCUCCCAACCCACAAAAUGUAAAUUGUUGGGACACAUUGAUAAAUUUGAUACUUCACAAUUCCAACCAAAGGAGAAAAUGGGGCACCGACGAAACCACAUAAGAAAUCAAAUCAAAUGAUUUCCCUAAAACCCAAAAGCGACAUUCUCGAUCACUUUUUGGGUUGACAACAACUUGAAGUAACUACCAGUCUCAUCUGCUAAUACACAUUUUUGGGUAAUAUUUAGUUAUCAAUUUGGAGCCGCUUUCUUGGUUUUGAACCCCAUAAAAAACCACUCAAGACAAACCCAAAUUAAAUAAUUCAGGUUUCUACAUAAGGGGUUGUUAAUACUAUUUUAAAAAAACCCUAAUUCUGCAAUGAAAGUGAAAUGAGAAAAUUGAAAAUUUGACAACAAAUUCCUAAAGAAAAGCGAAAAUGGAAGUGGGUAUGGUGCAUUGAGACAAGAAAGUUUAGAAUUUUGAAGACUUUCGGAGAAAUGCACAUGCUAUUGAUUUUUAAGUUCAAUUUUGAGAAUAAUUCACUCUAAGUAACCACAAACAAUGAGAAUAAAAUGAUACCAUUUCUAUGUACUUUACAAACACAUCCAUGUUGAUAAAUAUAUUUAUCUAUUCUUUUUUUUUUUUCAAUUUUUUAUCUUUCAUUAGAAGUUUGUGAAAUUGUUAAUUUUUUAGAUAAACAUUUGAACAAUAUUUUUUCAUUAAAAAUGAAUAUUAAUAUCUGAAAAUUUUUAACUAUAAAUUAUAAUAUUAUACUUAUAUUUUUAUUUACUUUAAAACAAAUACUACAUUAUAAGAAAUAAAUACAAAAUAAAUGGAUAAUAAUUGUUUCUAUAAAUAACUUAAUGAUAACUUUUCAUAUAUAAUAAAAAUAUAAAUUAUGUAUUUUUUUUGUUAAGAAAAUGGUAAUCUUUUAAUAAAAAUAAUAAAAAUAGAUAUUAAUAUUUUAAUAAAUCAAUAAAAUUGUAUUUAUUUGUUAAGUUUUAAAAUUUGUAGAUUUAUUAAAAUAUUAGUAAAAUAAAAUUUAUAAAUUUAUUGAAAUAUAUUCAUCAUUAUCAUAUUUGAUAUAUAAAAUAAGGAGUGAGAAUGAACACCUCAUUCAUUAUCAUGUUUGGAAUGAGAAUGAAAUAAAAAAUGAUUCUAACAAAUAAAGGAAUUUCUAUAAAUUAUUUAAAAAAAACACUUUUCUAAUAGUAAAAAAUAAAAAAACUGAUUUAUAUAAGUUGUUUUUAAAAAUAAUUUUUUUAAUUUUGAUUUUUAAAAUUUAAUUUAUAUAAUAUAAAUGAAAUUUAAUUCAAUUCUUAUUACAAAUAAAAAGAAAAAUUAUGAUUGAAUUAAAAAUAAAUAGUUUUUAAUAAAAUAUAAAAAUAAAUUAAAAAUAAUUCAACUCUUUUCCUGGGCUAGGCCAGCCUUUUGGGCUCUCUUAUGGGUCCUAUCUCUGGGCCUAAUUUCUGGGCCAAUUUUGGGCCUCCCUUUUUUAACAUAUAUAAUUUUUCUGAAGCCUUUUUUGCCUCCUUAAAGGGACCAUUUUCUGGCAACUUUGGGGCAUUUGAAUUUUUAUUUUAUUUAAUUUUUUUCCUAAUAUUUUAGCUAUGAAUUAUAAUAUUUUAGAACUUCACACAAAUAUUUAUCUACUUAAAAAAAGAAUAUUAAAUUAUAAGAAAUAAAUAAAAAAUAAAUAAAAAAUAAAUAUUUCAAUAAACCACAUCAUGAUAAAUUUCAUACAUAACAAAAAAUAUAAAUUAUGUAUUUUUUUUUUAUAAAAAAAAGAUGAUAAUAUUUUAGUGAAAGUUAUAAAAGAUAAAUUAAUAUAAGAAGUUGUUAACCUUAUUUUUAGGGUGAGGAGUGAUCUUAAAGACAACAUUAAUGGGCUUAAAAGCGGGCUUCUGCUCCUCAAUUGAAGCUACCACAUGGCACCAUGUUAUAAGCCAACAACCCUCCCCUCACCCACACGGGCCACACCCAACCGAAACCCACCCCACAUGAUACCCAACCGAAUAAAAAAUGGACUGGGCCUAAUUUUGGCUCAUUUUCCUGGGCUUGAUAGUUUGUCCAUUUUCCUGUCUUUUAGGCCCUCUUAUGGGUCCCAUCCCCUGGCCCAAUUUUGGACCUCACUUUUUUUAUAAAGCCUUUUUUUUGUCCUUAAAGGGACCAUUUUUUUGGCCCCUUUCUGGGCAACUUUUGGGUCGUUUGAAUUUUUAUUUUAUUUUCUUUUUUCUGAAACCAGUUUUUCCUCUCUGCAAGGGCCUAAUUUAUGGGCCCAAUAUAUGGGCCUUUUUUUUUUGGUUUUUCCUUCUCCAUUUUAACUUCCUAACUUUCAAAACCCAUAAUUUUGAAUGAGUCAUGGUCUUUUGAUUAUUUAUUUAUUUAUUUAAUUUUGAAAGAUGUUGUUGUAGUAUGUGGCUCAUAUUUGAGCGAAAAGACAUAUGGAGAAAAAGGGGUAAAUGCAGGAGCGAAGUGAUAGCAUUCAUCAUUUAGGCUUGUAUUUCUUUUGUUGUAGGCGAACGAUAGGUUGGGGGUGCAGGGGGCAACACCCCCGCGGUAUCGUUCAGGGGUAUUUUUGGAAUUUCAUUACUUAAGGGUUAGUAUAAAUACCCUUUUAUGUAACCUUAAUUUGAUACAUAGUGAAAAUCAUCUUUUCUUGUUCCCAUGGAUGUAGGUAAUUAGUUGAACCACGUUAAAUUUACGUGUUUUUCUUUUUUGUUUUUCUAUUUGUCAUCAUUAAUCGUUGCACGGAUUCCAAUAGAUGUUUUACUUGGGCACAAUUUAGUUUUUUGACUUGAUAACGUGAUCAACAUUACAUAGAGAAGUUCUAUUAUCAUAGGCCAUAAUCAAACAACAUAAUCUACAUUUCAUACAAAAUUGACAGAUCAUAAAAGAGUACAAACUAUUCUAAUAUAAUUUUAAAGUAGUUAUUUAUUAUCCAUAUGACUAUUUGACUUGACAAACUUUACAAUGUGGUCUACACUUUAUUCGAAAUAAACAUUCUUUAUUGUGGAUGAUAAUCAAGAAAAAAAUUGAUUAUUAUGAUUUAAUUUUAAAUGGUUAAUCAUUGUCCAUGAUUAAAUCUAGGCAAAUUAAGUUACUAGAUAUUUCACUCUUACUCUUACUCAUUGUCUAUGAUUAAAUCUCAGCCAGAAUCACAUCCCGUUUUAGAGCCAGUUCCAUUUGUCAUUUCUCCGACUCUUACUCCUCCCAUCCAUGGGAAUUAAGUUUGAGACACCAACCAAUAGAGCCACUUUCAUACAUGUAAAACCCGUCUUUAAUAUUGUUGAAACCAUCCAAAGCUGACAGGUUGAUUCAAAGAGACCAAACUUUUGCCAUCCAUGGGAAAAGGAUUCCAAAUAUAAAAAUCGGCAUUAAUGUUUCCAAACAACUUUGUCGUGGUUCAAUAAUAAAUAGAAACAUAUCCAUCCUAUAAGUCUGAUAAAUCUUUUUAUUUUUUAUAGGGAACAAGGAGAUGUAUUAAUAUAAAGGAGAAAAAAGGUCCAUGAACUAAACCAAAGGGAAAGUCAAGCAUCAUCAUUAUUACCUGUACAUGUAAAUUUGAAGAUUUUUCUUGGACCCUUAUUACCAAUCUUCUACCUUUGAUAUGAGACAAGUAGGGCCUGCAGGCUCAUCCAAUUCAAAGGUCAUCUAUCGAAUCCUAGGGUAUUCUUAGCGAUGAGUUUCUCUAUCUAAUGCCUUUGAAAUUCUCUCUACCUUGGAUGUUUUGAUCUACCACAAUCAUCAAAAGUAGAUUUGCUUCUAAAAUUCUCUUGCAGGUAAUUUCUAUUCUAUGGAUAUUUUGAUCUGGGUGAGGUGAUUCGAAUUAUUUUUUCUUAACAUGCAUAGAAGGAUGAUGCACAAGUACUUGACAAUUUUUCUUAUCUAAUUAGAUUGAUGAUCUUUCUUACAUGUGUUAUUGAGUGUCUUGAUGCAUUUGUCUUCUUUUUAUUAGUAUAUGGUGUUGAGGCCUUGCGUCCCGAUAAUCCACGUAGCUGCCAAGUGGACGCACGCUUUCAACCAAGAUUGAGUUCUGGUUCAGUUGCCCCUGCAAAAGAUGUCCGGACAGGGUGUCCGGACACACCCUCCGAUGGUUUUGUCAACCAUGGUUAGAGAGAUUAAUCAGUUGACCUUUUACUAGGUAUAGCAAGUUUACCUUCCUCCUUGUGUGAAGGUCCUUAUAUAUAGUAUUAGAAGCUUUGUCUCCCUCCUUAAUGGUAGGGAUACUUUUUGGCUUGUCAUGAUGCCUCUAGGUGGUGGCAGAGUCAUCAUCACCCUAUGGGCGACUGACAGAGAUCGUGGGAGGCGCCGCGACUAUCAGAGAUCGUGGGAGGUGACUUGCCAUCAUUCCUGUUUUUUCGCUCUGCAGGUGGCGGAACGUGGGCCGUGGCAGGUUGUCGGAAUGGCGUAGUAAGACUUGCUUACUUUAGUCAACGAUCCGGACAAUAUAUCCGGAUAGGAUAUGCUAUCAUCCGGAUGUGAUGCUCACGAGUGUCGUGUGCUUCUCCCUGAGGGAGUCCAGAUAGGGGAGCGUGCCACGUGUCCCUCUUUGGGGAGUCCGGAUGGAGUCGCUCCGGACAGUGAGGCGUGCCAUGUGUCAUCAGGGGAUGGGGUCUCUACAUAUGGGAAACAAAAUUUUUCUUCAAUUCAUGAAAAGAGAUAUAACAUGUUGCAAUUAAGUUUUUACAGGUGUUCAUAGUUGGUGAAUUGCAUAAUAAAUGGAGAGGAUUUCAAUUCCAGGUUUCCUUUUAGCUCUUCUCUAUUUAAGGGUGAGAGGAACAAUUGCUUAUAAGGAUGAAACUCAUUUGACAGAUUGCCUAGAAUCCGAUUGAGAAGCCCUUAUUGACUUAAAAAGCGAUCUCAAAUAUUCCAAAAAUCGAUUUUCAUCAUGGAAAGGAAGUAAUUGUUGUCAAUGGAAAGGGAUUAGUUGUGAAAAUAGUACCAGAAGUGUUAUUUCCGUAGAUCUUCAUAAUUCAUACUCUCCUUUGUAUGAAUUUGAGAAAAGGAGCUUAAUGAACUUGAGUGGGGAGAUUAGUUCUUCAUUGUUAAAACUCAAGUCCUUGAAACAUUUAGACUUGAGUUUCAACACAUUUGAAAGCAUCCUAAUUCCGGAAUUCUUUGGAUCUUUGAAGAAUUUACAAUAUCUAAACAUAUCAAAUGCAGGGUUUAGCGGUGUAAUCCCUCCAAAUUUGGGAAACCUCUCAAGGUUGCAGUAUCUUGAUCUUUCUUCUCAAUAUGGGAAUGGUCUAUCUACUGAUAAUUUUGAGUGGAUGAUUGGUCUUAUUUCCUUGAAGCAUCUCAAGAUGAACCAAGUCGACCUUUCAUUUGUUAGAUCAAAUUGGGUGGAUGUAUUAAACAAGCUUCCAUUUUUAACUGAGUUGCAUCUAUCUGAUUGUCGCCUCUCGGGUUCAGUUUCUCUAGCCUCAGUAGUUAAUUUUACUAUGCUUUCUGUUAUAUCCAUGAGGUAGAACUACCUUGAUUCAACAAUUUUGGAAUUGCUUGUAAAUAUCAGCAGCCUUACAUUCAUUGAUCUAAGCUACAACAGCUUAAACAGUAUUCCUCUUGGUCUCAAUCAGCUACCUAAUCUGCAAUACUUGAACCUGUAUGGCAAUGGAAAUCUUAC